rnacentral:lncRNA from 1 species
AAGACUCUUAAGUUCCUUGCAAUUUUUUAGGUUGAAAUGACUCAACCCCGUGAGAUUAUUAAUUGACUCGGGCAAUUCUUUAAUUUUUGACCCGGAUAAAUUAAGCUCUUCUAACUCCUCCAUACCUUCUGAAAUCUCUGGAAACAUCUCAAGACUGGAGCAAUCAGAAAGAUCAAAGGUUUUGAGAGAUCUCAUACGAAUUUUGCUAGGUAGAAUCUUAAGUUCCUUGCAAUCUUUUAGGUUGAAAUGACUCAACCCCGAGAGAUUAUUAAUUAACAGGGGCAGUUCUUUAAUUUUUGACCCGGAUAAAUUAAGCUCUUCUAACUCCUCCAUACCUUCUGAAAUCUCUGGAAACAUCUCAAGACUGGAGCAGUCAGAAAGAUCAAAGGUUUUGAGAGAUCUCAUACGAAUUUUGCUAGGUAGAAUCUUAAGUUCCUUGCAAUCUUUUAGGUUGAAAUGACUCAACCCUGAGAGAUUAUUAAUUGACAGGGGCAGUUCUUUAAUUUUUAACCCGGAUAAAUUAAGCUCUUUUAACUCCUCCAUACCUUCUGAAAUCUCUGGAAACAUCUCAAGACUGGAGCAGUAAGAAAGAUUAAAGGUUUUGAGAGAUCUCAUAGGAAUUUUGCUAGGUAGAAUCUUAAGUUCCCUGCAAUUUGAUAGGUUCAAAUGACUCAACCCCGUGAGAUUAUUAAUUGACGGGGGCAGUUCUUUAAUUCUUGAUCCGGAUAAAUCAAGCUCUUCAAACCCCUCAAUCACUUCUGAAAUCUCUGGAAACAUCUCAAGGUUCGAGCAACCAGAAAGAUUAAAGGUCUUGAGAGAUCUCAUACGAAUUUUGGUAGGUAGAAUCAUAAGUUCAUUGCACCCAUGCAGAUCCAAUAAAACAAGGUUUGAAAGAGUCGAAAUAGAUGGGUGAACCUCAACUAAGCUUAUACAACUUCGAACAAUUAGCCUCUCAAGAUUUGGCACAUUUGUGAAGUCAGGGGUUUCCUUAAGGGAUUGACAAUUACUUAAAUUGAUGAAUUUCAACUUUUCCUGUGUCUGUUAAAACAUUCAGGAAAACAUGCAUUACUUAAUAAGACAUCUCACUCAAAGCCCAAACAUUUAAAAGAAACAAAUACAUGUAAAUGAUUGUACGUACCUGGGUUCCUUCCCAAAGUCGGUCAAUGAGACUAUAUUGCAUGUCAAGUUCAACAAGAUUUUCGAAUUGAAAGUUGGAUGGCAAAGACUUGAGAGGGAAACCAAGCCAGGAGAGAUAUCUCAAGUUAAGCAACUUUAAGGACCCAAACAGGUGGUGUUUGCAGCACUCAUCUUUAAAAACGAAGUGCCUAUAAAUGAUCUUGAGAAGUCUUCGUUGAGUCCUUCUAACAACAGCUUCAGCAUUUAUGUGCCUAUGAUUGAUCUUGAGAAGUCUUAGUUGAGUCAUUCUAACAAAAGCUUCAGCAUUUAAGCAUGGCCAGCUUGAGUACGAGAAAUCCACAAUUAUGCUUUCAACUGUUUUUGUAGCCUGUGCAAAUCAAAGUAAAGGAAAAUACAGAGAACCUUAGUUUUGAUUAUGAAAUUAAUGAUUGUUUCUUAAGGAGCCGUCUGAUAAUCAUUUCAUUUUCUGUUUAAUUGUUUUCAAUUUUCAUUAUUAAAACAAUGAAAACUAAAAAUUGAAAACAAAAAUGGUUAUCAAACAGGCCUAAGAAAUUGAUUUUGAUCAAAAGUUGAACCUUUCUACUAACAAUUGCAUAAGAAAAAGAUUUCUCACCGUAUUUUCAGUUAGCACCUCACAAACAUCUUCAUAACUCCACAACCUACUUCGUCUCCCAGGAUCUUUGCUAGAUUCUUGGCGGACAAUUUCCCGACCCAUUUCCUCUAAUGAAUCAUGCAUCUCCAAUACCCCCAACGUUGAGACAGUUAUGAGAGCUCGAUCAAUUAGAACUUUUAUUCCUGUAUGAGGAUGGAAACCACAACUGUCCAGAAUUUCAGUUGCCUGGUCUUCCUUCAUCCCUCUAAAGAAACAUGCAAUAUCUAGAAAGAUGUCCUUCUGUGUGUCAUCUAGUCCAUCGAAGCUUGUUUUAAGCACAUCAUGAACUCCCCUUUGUGGGAUUUUCCUUAUUUUUUCUAACUCACCUUCCCACACGCGUAUAGUUUUUUUAUGCAAAAAAGCUCCCAAGACUUUGAGGGCUAAAGGCAGACCUUGAGCAUAUUCUACAACACGAUUCGAGAGAUCAUAAUAAUCUCUGUUGGGUUGGUCAUUUUUGAAGGCGUACUGCCAAAAGAGUUCCAGAGCUCCAUAAUAACUCAAAGUCCGGGGAUUAUAUAUCACAUCAGUUAUGCUUAGUAACUGCGAAUCUCUACUUGUUAUAAUAAUCCUACUUCCAACACCAAAGGAACGUUUCUUUCCAAGUAAAGCUUCAAUUUGUUCUGAUUCGUCCACAUCAUCAACAACAAUAAGAACUUUUCUCCGACCAAGUCUUUUUAACAUCUUCUUAAAACCAUAUUUUGAUAUGUCAGAACUCCCCACCUUGUUGUUCGAUAUACUCGAUAGAAGUUGUGUCUGCAUAUGUGGUUUGCCAUGCUUCAUGAAACCCUCCUUGACGUUUUCAAGAAAGCAAGAAGCUUCAAAUCGACAUGCGAUUUCAUCAUAAACUGCUCUAGCGAUGGUUGUUUUGCCUAAACCACCCAUACCCCAUAUUCCAACAACGCGAACAUUAUUCGCUUCACCUCCGGGAGGAUAUAAUAAUAAAUGCAUUUCAUGCAUGUGAGAAUCCAUGUCAACCAAGCCAUUAUCUUUGCUUGAUGUUGAUGAGAUGUCGAUCAAUUUCCUAUAAACAUAUUCUACAAUUUCCUCAAUAAGCUCUGCAUCAUUCCUGUCAAAUUAAAAAAAACAAUAUAAUAACACCACCAAAUAAUAAUUAAUGGGUUUUUUCAUCUGUUAGUUAAAAAAAAAAACAGAAAUUAAAACUAAAAACUAGAUAUUUAUAAAAUUACCGCAAAACGUUACAAAAAUCCCAAAAAUUAAUAGGAAACUAAAACAAAUUAGAAUUUACUCAUAUUUUCGCGAAUCCCAGCCGGAUAAACUGGUGGCAGUUGUAAGAGCGGAUCUCCAGCUCUGAACCUCUUCCAUUUCAGCGUUAGAAUCACGAUCGUGCUGAGCAAAAGCUUCCUCGAAUUUUCUCUUGAGUUUACGAACGUCAGACGGAUCAACUUCAUAGAAAAUGGGGAGUACAAUCUGGUUAUUGGUAUCCUUGCAUUUCAAGAUUUGCACGAGUUCUUUCAAGCACCAAGUGGAAGAAGCAUAGUCUUGAGAGAAAACUACAAUCGAAAGCCUUGACUCUCGAAUCGCUGUCAGGAGCUCAGAAAGGUGGUCGCCUUUUCUGAGCUUCUCGGCAUCAAUGAAGGCGUUGAUUGGUUUCUUAACCAGAGCGUUGUAGAGAUGGCUGACGAAGCCCCUGCGAGUGUCUUCCCCUCUGAAAUUGAUGAACACAUCGUAUUUGCAACCAAGGCCAGAAGAAGAUGAAGAAGAAGAAGCAGCCAUUAUUAAUCGAUCGCACCUGGUCAGCGACGAUCGAGCAGCUAAGACUAAGAGAAUUGUAAGUACAGAGAUACUCAAUAGAUCUACAAAUUGGAUCACCGGAAAUUAGUCUGAUCGAUACCAAGUCAAUGAGUCAAUGCAAAAGGGAAAAAGGGGAAAGUGAAAUUAUGCUUUAUGUUUUUUCACAUCUUCUUCGGGGAAAUUUCGGUGUGAAAGGAAUCUUAUCCUUUUGAUUUUUUAACCGAAGCAAAUGCGAAGAAAAGGGUCAAAGUGGAAAAUUGAAUAUACACUUGCCUAUCCAACAACCUCUUAAUUUAAUAUAUUUAAUUGAGAAAAGUAGUUUAGAGGAAUGAUGGUAUCUCCUUUUCUUCUCACUCAAUCUUCCGGCAUGCGAUUUAAUCAUUAUUAAAGCCAAGCUUAAUAAUAGGUCGUAUUAUUUAGGUCGUAUUGGAUUAUAAGUUUUUGUUGUGAACUUGUGAUACGAUAGUUGAAAAAUUAAAAAAAUUAUAAUUUAAAUGUACGCGGUGAAAUCUGUUAGAAUUUAGAUUCAAAAUUGAAAAUUUUAUUAACUUCGUUAAUUAUUAGCACACGAAGCUCACAAAUGAAAUAAAAUAAUAAAAUGUAAUCUUCACGUGCUAACAAUUAAUGGAGAGUUUCAUUUUAACCUAAAAUGUGUGGCUUACGUACUAAUAAUUAACGGAAUGUUGAUAAAAUUUUCAAUUUUAAGCAUAAAUCUUAAUAAACUUCAUCACAUGAGCUUAAAUCCUAAUUCAACUAUCUUCUCACUACCUUACCUUACCACUAAAAAAAUUAUUAAUCAAAUUAAGCUUAUUACUUACUUACAAAUACGUAACUAAAUCACUGAAAGCUAUCUCCGUUUCUUUGCUGGGUGGACAGCUGUCUCUUUGUCUUCUUUUGGCAGAUAGCUACUAGACUCCUAGGCCUCGUUUGUUUGACGUCCUUAGCUAGGACUGGACUAGCUAGGACUAAUAACCCUUGUUUGGUGCAAGCCGAGAUUGAGUUUAGUGGGAUUAAGUAGGACUCGUGCCGACUAAAUCCUUCGUUAGCUGGGCUUAGCGAGAGCCCCCGAAAAGGAGGGGAUUGCUAGUCCCGUUUCCUCGUCUUCCCUCUCACGCCGCGUCCUCGUGCUCGUCCUGCACGACUGCACCAUCUCUGACGACGACUCGUCUUCCUCCACCCACCCCCUUGCCGUCUGCAACUCCAAUCCCCACCCAUGGAAGAACAAGUGAAUUAAAGCAGCUAAUUUGCAAGAACAAGUGUAAUCAGAGCAAAAAAGUCAAUAAAAAUUCGAACGGAAGAGAGUAGAGAGAUGAGUGGAGCCUACCUCCUCCUCGUCUCGUAACACACGGACUGGAUCCAUCUUUGCUCCUUCCAAUCUCAGAAUUUUUUGUUUUUCACUUUGACGGACGACAAAUUCAAACACAAGCCAAGAUCAUAUUCAGUCAUGCAUUUCCUCAGAAGGCGGCACACUGCGAGAUGAACUUGAUUGGUGUUUUGUUUUUGGGAUUUGACCAAAAUCGUAAAGGCAGAUUUUCUUCAUCUGAGAACUGGAGAAAAAUUGGGAAAGUUUUGUUUGUUGGGAAGGGAAAGGAACGGUAGAGAUAAGGGAGAAAGAAUUAAAAUGAACAAAAGAAAAAUAUCUGAAUUUUAAAAAUAAUUUAGUCCGGUACUGCACCAAACGCUUCACUAAGUUAGUCAUGCUUAGUCUAGUCCAAGCCAGUCCAGCUUAGUCCCUGAACCUAGUCCAGUCCGAGAUAGUCCGGUGCAACAAACGCACCCCUAGUGGCCGGCCUAUUUUCCACAGCUGGUAUAGGACUCAGUUGCUAUACAAGAAGUGUUAUGUUGUAAUUCACUAUUGAUGGAAAUCCAACAGAAUCUUCUUCGACUUGUUGUGAGGAUUUGGGAUAUUUAUGAAUCGUAUCCAUUUAUCGUAUAUUGUGGGAUCAGUUUUUAUUAAAUAGUAUUUGUGUUUAAUUUUAAAUAAAAAAAUUUAAAAUAAAAUUUUACCGCACGAUAUACUAUGAACGAAUACAAUUCAUAGAUCUCCAAGAUCCUCACAAGGAGAAUCCAAAAAGGAUCCGGAUUCAAUGGAAAUAUUCGUAAAUGAUCCGGAUUCAAUGGAAAUAAGCUAAUUUUGAAUCAAAUAACAUUACUUUAUUUUGUAAGUAAAUUAAUUUUAAAUCAAACAACAUUAAUUUAUUAUGUAGCUAAUUAAUUUUGUAUGUGUCAUCAUAUAUAUUAGGCGCAUUUUAUUAUAGGUGAUUUUGUGGUAUUCAUCUUCAUUUAUAAGUAAAAAGUCUUAGGUUCGAUUCUCACAAAAGUGAAUUUGAACCAUAUUAUUGCUAGUCCAUUAUGAGGCCUAACCCACCCUCCUCCCCCUUAGUGUAGAUAGAUCGUUUGUUCAAAAAAAUAUAUAAUCAAAAUAGAACGUGAAGCGAAACAAUAGAUCAACAAUAUUUAUGUUAAUUAUAAAUAGGUCAACUAUGUAUGUGAUACUUAAAUUCAUUUAAAAUAAAAUAAAAUUACAAAAUCUGCCACUACAGUUGGCACGCACUUCAAUUAACAUUUUCUUUCUCAUAAUUUUUAUAUUUGGAAUGAGUCAUACGAAUCAAAUACUGCAAUGUAUUGUCUGUUUUCUGAUUCUAUUUUUUUACAUUUGGAUUCAGACACUGUGUUGUAGUGUCCAUUUAUUGGUUUCGUUUUUUCCAUCAGUCACACGCCUCCUACAUGUUCCUUUGUACAUUUGGAUUUAGACAAUGCAAUGCAGUGUCUGUUUCUUGGUUUUGGUUUUCCCUUUUGGAUUCAAACGCUGCAUUGCAAUGUAUGUUUCCUAGUCCUAUUUUUUUCAUCAUCCACACGUCUUCUACACUUCACACUUUCACGCGACUCCUGAUUUUUACAUUCAGAUUCAGACAUUGUAAUGCAGUGCUCAUUUCCUACCUCUGAUUUUUACAUUUAAAUCUAGGGUUAAACUCUGUUUACUACCCUCAUGUUUCGUGGUUUUCAACAUAUAGUACAUCAAGUUUUUUUCAUCCCAGUCAUACCUAAAGUGUUAAUUUUGGGACAGUCUCGUAUAUCUGUUAGUCAAACUGUUAGUUCUCCCGUUAAGUGAUGACAUAGCGCCCAUGUGGACAAUGACUAGGCCCCAAGUGUCAUUAAAAAAUAUUAAAAUAAUUAAUUAAAUAAAAGUUAUAAAAAAAAUCAUCCCUUCUCUCCCUUCUCCCCUCGCUGUCACACCCCGAUCCAGACAUACGUCCAAAGAUCGACACGUGACGUCACUAAAUGCCCGUAACUCAACGUACCCUGCCUUUUGGAUAUGUACAAAAUAUAAUUCCAGAUCCAGAUGCAUAAUAAUUUUGUGUAUACUUUAUGGCUGCAUCUAACCUCUUCGUUAGACUGCCUACGUACCCUCAAUAGGGAUCAAGUCAUUCGUAGUUCAACUUUUCACUACACUCGAAUAUUUAUCACAUAAAUUGCCAUAUUUCAACAUAAUGCACAAUUCAGAGCAUGCAACAUCUCAAGGAACAAUCGACGAGGUGCAAUAAUAAUCUAUAGCCAUAUUGGUCAGCGGUAUAUCAUAAUCAUAACAAUUACAUCCAACAAUCACACCAAAUAAUAACACAUACAACACACUGACAUGCAAGGCUAGAACGACGCAGUUCGGCUGAAGCCUACAUCUCUGAAGCUGAAAUCAAAUCCAAUGAACCAAGUCACCAAAGGGAUUCUGGACCACUCAACGGAAUCAAACUCAAGAUACGAUUCCGGACCAUCACUCAACGGAAUCGUGGAGUAGUAAGGAUUCCAAACCAUCACUCAACGGAACCGGGGAGUACCAUGCAUAUAGAACCACCCAAUGUAAUACAAGCUGGAUACGAUUCAGGAUCAUCACUUAACGGAACCGGGGAGUACCAUGCAUAUAGAACCACCCAUGGAAUACAAGCUGGACACGAUUCUGAACCAUCACUCAACGGAAUCACAGAAUAGAAGGGAUUUCGAACCAUCACUCAACGGAAUCCGAGUCAGGGUACGAUUCCGGACCAUCACUCAACAGAAUCGCAGAAUCGAAGGGAUUCCGGACCAUCACUCAACGAAAUCCGAAUCAGGAUACGAUUUCGGACCAUCACUCAAUGAAAUAGAGUGGAAGAUCAAGGGAUACAACAACGGCUUGCAGAAACAAUACAAGAACCAAGUACUUAAUUUAGAAUGGCUGAAUGAAAAUAGAUCAAUCCAAUCAUACAUUACAAACCCCAUGACAGUAGGUUAACGGUCCACUACUAGCCCUCACAUUUCAUCACAUCAAUCCAAUCAUACAUUACAAACCAUAUUUCCAAAACACAAGUAAAAUCAUACUUAAUGAAAAUAGAUCGAUGGCCAGAAAUAAAAAUAACACUUCAAUAGAAUUCACAUUCAAUAAACAUAGGUCUAUGGUGUGUGUGUGUGUGUGUGUGUUGUGUUUCACAUUUCAAUAGAAUUUCAUUUAUAACCUAUAUCUUAUUCACAUAUGAUAUUAAUAUAAGAAAUCAAGGUAAUAGCUAUAUCACAUAUAUUCAAGUCACUCUCAAACCAAUGUGGUCCCACUAGGUUUCACUUAGUUCCCCGUAGUACUAAUUUUAGUAUUUAGAACGUUUCGAGACAUGUUGACCAAAAGCCAAUUCUUGGUCGACAGUAGGAUCCACAACGCUACAAAAUUUGAUCCAGAAGAUCCGAACAUCAUAAUCAAGAUCCGUAACUUCCUAGGGUCCACAUUAUUCUCAAAGAACAACGUACUAAAAUCUCAUCGCAAUCCAACGGUCAGAUCUCCGCCCAUUGCUAGAAUUAGGUGGCGGUUAACAAUUAAUUUUACUAACUUAGAAAUCUAAUUCAUGAAGAUCCGUACAUCAGAUUCCCGAUCUGUAAGUUCUUAUGAUCCCAAAAUAUUACGUACUAUAACAUAUUAAAGUUUGGUGACGAUUCAACAGUCGGAUCGUCGAUUUCUAUUUUGACUUAUUCACGUAUCAAAAUGAAACUAAGUCCAAACAAUCAAAUUACGUCAUACGGAUAUCAAACAUGAACCCAGGGCAUCUAAUAGUGCUUAAAAAGACAUCAUUGGCCCACAGGCCACGCGCCGCCGUGGGUGGCGGUCGGCCACCCCAACUAAUCGAAAAAUUCAACUAUUUUAAAAAUUCUCAAAAAAUUACAAAAUUGAAGAUCUCAAAGAGUAGAAUAAACUUUAUAUCUAUGGCCAAGUCCAAUUUGGCCUAGAAAGUCCCCAAUGUUGUGAAAACCGUACGGAAACCUUAGAAUGGGUGUGUUCGAUUUAACCUCCAAACUUGCUCUGACGCCUCCACCACUGCUUGGGAUUUGUUCAUGGGUUAUAGGGGAGUGCUUUGGUGGUAGUAGUUGAAGAGAAACAUUUCACAAUUGAUGGAUUUUGAGCAAUGGUUCCCGCGUCACCCAUGGUGCUUGUUCCCCAAAUUCCAAGACUAAUUCCACUCCAAUUUUGGGUGGAAUAGGUAGAAGGAAUGAUGAGAGAUGACUUGAAGGGGGAUGACACUGGGCUGGAUCUAUCAGCAGCGAAUUCCCCAUACAAAUAGAGGCGCCUAUCAAAAAGAUACUCCGAAGACUUCGAGAUUGAGGUAUCAUUAGCCGAAGAAGGCCUUGGCCAAUCCACGUGGCCUGCUUGACGAACGUCAGCGACAGAGACAUCAGGUGGUGGGGGACCUUCAUCUCGCCGGAAAUUGGCCGGGAGACCAUGAAUCCCGCCGAUUUGUGUCUCACGGGUCAAAAGACCCGUUUUCCACCCCCCACCUUUUUUUUCUUUUUUCCUUUGUCUCGCCACUCCUGUGGCUUUCUUUCAUUUUCAUUUUUUUUAGCAACAACUUCAAACGUCCGUAACUAUACCGUUAUAAUCCGGACUCGCAAACGGCUUUCGCCUAUGCAUUCGUGAUCUCGAUAUCUAUUCAACAAUAUAAAUUGUGACCUCGAAUGGUCUACGGAUUUUAAAUAAUUAAUUUCCCGAAAAAUAAUAUAAAAUCUCUAUAAUACCAAUAUGUAGAUUAUAAUAAUGAAAUCCAAGAAUGAGAUUUCACACUCGUCCCCAACCCAGAAGAAGAAGAAGAAAAAAAAAAAAAACCGAAUCUGCAACCCAGAAGAAGAUGAAGAAGACAUGUUUUGAAAAGUAAACUUUAAUGCAGGAAAUCAAUACUACAAAGGAAGUAGCUGAGCUAUAAAUACAGAGGAAUGUUUGAACUACAAAGGGAGUAUGUGAAGAGUAGGAUGCAAAGCUUUUUAGAAGUCUUUUUUAAUAUGUUGAGUUAAGUGUCUUUUUUUUUCAACCUUUUUGCUGCCUUUUAUAGAACCGCCAUUUUCUUCUAGAGUAAGCCUUUCCUCCUCGAUUCAUUCUCUCUGGUGCAAGCAGCUGAUAUGAUUUGUUGUCAAAGGAUGAGUUCCCACUUGUAUACUUGAGCUUUUGAUCCCCUUGAAACGUAUCAUCGUUGGCGCAUUCAUCAUAGAAGCUCCAGCUUCAUACUAUCAUAAACACCGUACAUUUGAUAUUUAUUACAAAAUUUUCCUUUCUUCUUUUGCUUUUUCUAAUAAAAAAAUUAAGGUUGAACACAACAGGCUUUGUGGUUCAAAAAUCUAAUGGAAUAUUUGAUAGAAGGGUUGGAUUGUUAGCUUUGGGCUAAUGGAGAGUUGACAAAAAUAUUAAUUUUUGGCUUGAAUCCUAACAAACUUCACCACAAGGAUUUAAAUCCGAUUUUUUUUUUUCACCAUAGGGGUAAUCUUCUUAUUAUCCUAUCACCACGGGGACCAUUGAUCCAAUUUAGCCACUAAAUCAUAUUGCAUCAACUGAACAAAUAUAUUUUUUGUAUUGACGAAGAUAGAUAUAACCGUUAAUCGAUGGAAAAUUCGUUAUUCGGUGGGUAUAAUUAUGGAUAAUUACUGAUGAUUAAUUUACGUUUAUGGAGUGGUUAUUUUCAUGGUUAUUGGGAUGGAUAUAUCAUUUCCGUCCCAAACCAAACCGUUGUCAUCCCUAUAUUUGUUUAUGAGAAAAGUUAAUGAGACUUUCUCAAAAUGAGACUCUCCAUAAACGAUCUAUGCUAACUCAUGUUUUUUGUACAAUACUUUAUAAUGUUGGCAUGAAAAUUAUGCCAAAAACAUUUGAUGGUGGAGAAUCCAUAAAUAGUACUACUUAUGAAAGAGUCUCCUUAACAUUUUUCAUUUGUAUAUAGGCUAAAUAGCCAAAAUGGUCCUUGAGAUUUGCAUAACUCAUCACUUUGGUCCCUAACAUUUCAAAUCGAUAAAAUUGGUCCCUGAGAUUGUCCACCAUCCAUCAUUUUGGUCAUUCCAUUAAAAACUCCGUUAAGUGUCUCGGAACUCUUGGCCGGAAGUUUGGACAAUUUUCAAAGCUUCGUAACUCAAUCGUUUCUUAACCAAAUUCGACCCAUAAUAUAUGAAAAUGAAGAUAGAAAAGUGUAGAAUAAGAUUAUACUUAUUUAUAAGCCCAAUGGCUACCAGAGAUAGCCGGAAAAUAGUCUCAAAUUUGACUGGUCUGAAGGAAAACUGGAAAACUCGCCGGAAACUAGGUAAACUUUAAACGUUCAUAACUUUUUCAAUACGCAACGAAAUCAAGUGAUUUAAAAAAAAAAUCAUACUUCUCAACGAGAAGAAGAGAAUGAUAUCUUUUUCGAUGGCUAAUGCACCGUGGUUUGGCUGGAAAAUGGCUCAAAAGUGGCUGUCUUAGUCUCAAGUUAGCCACUUUCGAGCCAUUUUUCGGCCAAACCACGGCGAUUUAGCUGUCUACAAAGGUACCAUUCUCUUCAUCUCAUCAAGAAGUAUGAUUUUCGUUUUUGAAUCACUUGAUUUCGUUGAGUAUUGAAGAAGUUAUGAACGUUUAAAGUUGACCUAGUUUCCUGCGAUUUUUCCAGUUUUCCCUCGGACCAGUCAACUUUGAGGCUAUUUUCUGGCCAUCUCCAGCAUCUAUUGGGCUUCCAAAUAGGUAUAAUCUUAUUCUACACUUUCCUAUCUUCAUUUUGAUAUAUAUGGGUCGAAUUUGGUUAAGAAACAAUUGAGUUACGAAGGUUUGAAAAUUUCUCAAACUUCAGGCCAAGAGUUCCAGGACACUUGUCAGAGUUUUUAACGGAAUGAUCAAAAUGAUGGAUGAUGGACAAUCUUAGGGACCACUUUUAUCGAUUUGGGAUGUUAGGGACCAAAGUGAUAAGUUAUGCAAAUCUUAGAGACCAUUUUGGCUAUUUAGCCUUUGUAUAUAUGAUGGGUAAUAUUAGGGAGAGUAAAUUUAGAUACAAAACUAGCAAAUUAAAUGACAAUAAAAUGAGCAUGUUUAUCAGCGCUUAAGUAAUAAAUUAAUCAUCAACUUUCACGUUCCUGUUGUAAACAUUCCUAGUUUAAGUAUGAUUGUGUAAAUCCUAGAUAAGAUUUGAUUCUAGUUAUCCUUUCCUAUUACAACUUGUAUUACUUGGAGGAGAAGAAAUAUCUUCUCUACCUUUACUACUAUAAAUAAAGGCACAAUGUAGGAGGGAUAACAACACAUACAUUCCCCUACAAUUCUACAAACACACAUCUCUCUCAUCUCUCUCUCUGCCGCCGGCUCUAGUCUCUCUGUCAGAUAAAAUAGAUCACAACACAUUAUCAGCACGCUCCUACCGCUGCACUUAGGAAUCUGACGUUGGAGAUUUUUUUUUCUGCAUCAAACCAGUUCAUCCAUAUCAUCACGCAAUCAGGUUCUUUCCAAACAACGGUUUUUAACUCGAUAUUUUGCAAGCCCUGAUAGCAUGAACAUUCACCAUGAUGCAUGACCCAACUUUAUGUUUUACGUAUUUUAGAUUCUACAUAAAUUGUGUAUGCUUCAUAACCAAAAUUGCUACAAUUAUGUGAAUUUGAUAUUUGCCAUGAAUUGAAUCUUACAUAUGUACAUGCAUUGAAACUAUUAUUUGCAUAUGGAUCAACGUAAAUAUGUGAUUCAUUAAAUUUAUGCAUAUAAUAUAAUUGAAUUGAAAAAAAAAUAUUUUUUUUGCGAUUUGGGAAUUAGGGUUCUUCGAACCCGUGCACUUGCACCAUGCAAGCUGCAAGCCACCAGGCCAGCAGCUUGCGAUGGCCCAGCUUGGUUUCCUCACCAGGCCUGCAGCCUGCAUCAAGUCCCCACGAGGGCUCCAACCCAGAAACCCGACGUCGUUUAUGGCGUCUCUCCCAUUGUAGGAUGGCUUGCAGCCCAUCCUCACACCUCGGGUUAACUUGUCUAACAGCCUGAAGCUCGUCCUUGACAUCGAUUGACCGAGAUUCAAUUGAAUCUCAUCGGUUUUUAAAAAAAAAACCCAAUUCGAAAUUUCUAGGGUUUGAUUGCAACAAUUGAGAUUUUAAUUUCUCCAUGUUGUAAUCAUAGUCGAAAACACCCCAGAAGGGUACCUCCGAGUCUUCCCGUCCAAGUUUUGGCCACCUGCAGUGGUGGCGCCGAUCAUCUUCUCCGAUGGAAUCACCUAACCUCGCUAGGAUUUCUUGGAUCCAGCCCGAUCCCAAAUUUUUUGGGCCUGGCUUCGACUCAGGCUGAAAAAUAAUAAAUUUUUUUCUUUUGGGCUCGCCAUUGCAAGCCCAGUUCGACCCCCUCAUUUUUUCAGCCUAGCGUUACAUCACACCAGCCCAAAUGGGCUCUGGUGUUCUCCCAUGCCCCAUACUGCAGCAGAACCCAGCCCGUGUGGCUGUUGUGCUUUCCCUGCAUCGUGAUACACACGAUUGAGGCAUUCUUUGGGCCUUUGCCACCUGGGCUUACCUGAAGCAGCCCGUGAGUGAAAAAAAAAAAAAAAAAGAGAAAUUUUUUUUAGGGCUGCACACAGCAGCCCAUUCCCCUCUUCUCACCCCGUGGGCAUGCAACCUACACCCGAGGGUCCUCGGCCUAUAUUUUUAGACCCCGAGAUUUUAUUAUUUAAUACUUUUAAAUAAUAUGGGUUUUUAUAUUUUCACCCACACUUUAAUUUGGCCCCGAAGACCAAAAAUAAAUUAAUUCACUUAUCAUUAUACAAUAUUUCUGCAUAUAUUCUUUGCAUAUUUGUUUGCAUAUAUAUUUGUGUUUGCCUGCAGGAAUAUAUGAACCUAAAGUUCAUAAUUACUUUGAAACCCGAAGUUUCUUCUAAACAUGCCUUGUUUGAAAACCUGAAGUUUUCACUUAAACAUAUCACCCAUGAAACCCGAAGUUUUUCAUGCGAAAUUAUUAGUUUUUGGAUAUUAAGUUUUUAAUCCUUGAAUAAAUGAAAUUAUUUUGAAUUGAUACUUGUUUUUAUAAACUUUUAUGCAUGUGACCGAUUCAAAUUAAUUUUUCAUUCUAGGUAUGACUAGUGGGAAAGUUAGUUGUCUGGCAGAUAGUGCAACCACGCAUACUGUUUUGCGUGAACGCAUCUAUUUCACUAACUUCGUACCUAAGAAUGCACCUCUGACAACCCUCUCAGGCCCAUCCAACCUGAUCGAAGGAUACGGUAAGGCACGUAUAAUGUUGUCCAAUGGUACAAUCUUGACCAUUGCUGAGGCACUCUAUUCUCCACGUUCCGGAAGAACGUUACUAAGUUUCAAGGACAUUAGAGAUAACAAUUACCACGCUGAAACCCACGUAGAAAACGGAGUUGAAUUUAUGUGCGUAACUUCCUACGAAUAUGGCCAGAAGCGUAUUCUAGAGAAGAUGGAGCGUAACCCGAGUGGUCUGUAUACUACGACCAUACGCCCCAUAGAAUGCCACUAUGUGGCCGGCCCUACCACAGGGACUGCGCACGAAAUUACACUUUGGCAUGAUCGUUUGGGACAUCCUGGACGAAUAGCGAUGCGCCGUAUCCUCAAAACUUCACACGGGCAUCCACUAACCCGAAGCUUAGGUUCGAUCCAUGAAAUUGCAUGUCAAACAUGUUCUAUAGGAAAGCUUAUUACUAAGCCUUCUUAUGACAAGAUUCGUUCGAAUCCUCCCAUUUUUCUACAACGGAUUCAGGGGGACAUUUGUGGACCGAUUCAACCUCCUUGCGGACCAUUUAGAUAUUUUAUGGUUUUGGUUGACGCUUCUACACGUUGGUCACACGUGUGCUUGUUGUCCACAAGGAACGCUGCAUUCUCCAAACUGUUGGCUCAGGUUAUCAAGCUCAGGGCUCACCACUCUGAUUAUCCGAUCAAAUCUAUUCGAUUGGAUAAUGCUGGAGAAUUCAUAUCUAAAACUUUUGAUGACUAUUGCUUGUCGGUUGGGGUUAACGUUGAACAUCCUGUACCCCAUGUUCACACCCAGAACGGCCUGGCAGAGGCUUUCAUUAAGCGUUUACAAAUGAUUGCUCGAUCGUUGGUCAUACAUACCAAGCUCCCGAUCGCUGCUUGGGGCCAUGCAAUAUUGCACGCAGCAAAGUUGGUCCGCCUGAGGCCUGCUGUGACACAACCAUUUAGUGCCCUUCAGUUGGUCACCGGAUGCGAACCCGACAUAUCGCAUCUGCGCGUUUUUGGUUGUGCGGUCUAUGUGCCGAUCUCGCCGCCCUUACGUACAAAAAUGGGGCCUCAGCGAAGGAUGGGAAUCUAUGUCGGAUAUGAUUCUCCUUCGAUUAUUCGUUACUUAGAACCUUUGACAGGCGAUCUGUUUACCGCUCGUUUCGCGGAUUGUCACUUCUAUGAGACAGUCUUCCCGUCGUUAGGGGGAGAUAAAAACGUCAACGUUCCUAAUGAACGACGUGAAUUAUCAUGGACGACUCCCACUUUGUCUCAUUUAGAUCCCCGCACCGCUCAGUCUGAAGCUGAAGUGCAGCGCAUAUUAGAUCUCCAGAGCAUAGCUCAGAGCAUGCCAGAUGCUUUCACCGAUCUAGCGCGCGUGACAAGAUCACAUAUUCCAGCUGCGAAUACGCCUGCAAAGAUAGAUGUACCAAAUGUACGACGGACUACUCUCCUGGAAGCCCGGGACGCAAAUUCUGGUGAUCCACGUACAUUAACGGCUAGCCAAUCAUCUGCCCCUACACAAAAGCGUGGCAGACCCCUUGGUUCAAAUGAUUCACACCCCCGGAAGAGGAAAACCACGGCACAAGGUCCUGAAGAGCCUACCGUGAAUCCGACUAUCGCUUACUCAUUUUACCCAACUCAUGAGGAAAUUCUAGAUUAUGGAAGCGUCCUUGAAGAGACGAAUCCUCCUCCCGAGAAUCGUGAGAUUUCGGUCUAUUAUGCUAGUUUAGAUGAUGUGUGGCGUAGAAAUGAGAUGAUUGUCGACGAUGCAUUAGCAUUUGCAGUAGCUACUGAGAUCAUGUUGAGCGAUGACAUUGAACCGCGUUCCGUUGAUGAAUGUCGACGUAGAGCUGAUUGGUCAAACUGGAAACAAGCAAUCCAAGUCGAACUUGAUUCACUUGCGAAACGUAAGGUGUUUGGACCUGUAGUUCCUACUCCUCCACAUGUGAAGCUCGUUGGCUACAAAUGGGUUUUCGUUCGGAAGCGUAAUGAGAAGAACGAAAUUAUGCGUUACAAAGCUCGUCUUGUAGCACAAGGUUUCUCACAACGUCCCGGGAUUGACUAUGACGAAACUUACUCACCCGUUAUUGAUGUGAUUACUUUUCGAUACCUUAUCAGUUUGGUAGUUUCCGAAAAACUAGAUAUGCAGCUAAUGGACGUAGUAACCGCGUAUCUCUAUGGGGAUCUUAAUAUGGAAAUUUAUAUGAAAGUUCCCGAAGGACUUACAUUGACUGGUUCAAAUAUUUCCAAACCCCGGAACACGCUCUCAAUUCGGCUGAGGCGUUCACUAUACGGUUUGAAAUAAUCCGGAAGAAUGUGGUAUAACCGUUUGAGUGAGUAUUUGACUAGUCAGGGAUAUGUGAACAAUGAACUAUGCCCUUGUGAGUUCAUUAAGAAGUCACAUUCCGGAUUUAUGAUUGUUGCAGUAUAUGUCGAUGACAUGAAUCUCAUCGGAACUCCUGAAGAGCUCGCGAGAACUGCUUCGCACCUGAAGUCGGAAUUUGAGAUGAAAGAUCUAGGAAAGACUUGAUACUGUCUCGGUCUCGAGAUAGAGCAUUGUUCGGAUGGAAUCUUAGUACAUCAAUCGAACUACACCCAGAAGAUGUUACGCCGUUUUAAUGAGGAUAAAGCGAAGUCUUCGAGUACUCCUAUGGUCGUUGAUGCGUAAAAUAAGUUAACACACAAAAUUAAACCCUCUUUUUGACAAUUGUAGUAUAGAUGUAAGUAGGGUAUCGUUCUAGGCCGGGGAUUAGGAGGGAUUGCUAAUCUAUUAAAUUAACUUAAAAAUAUUAAAUAAGACUCAAGGACACAAAACUAGGCUAAAAACUCUAAUAACUCGAAACACACUUAAAAUGACUCAAAAUAAUGAAAACAAUUAAAUUAAAUACUAGGAACUGAAAUGGACGGAAAUUAAAUUAAAAGACUAACAAUAAAGAAAACUAAAUAAAUAAUAUAAUUUAAUAAUGGAUGGGUGUUUGGUUUUGAUGAAAAGUAAAUUAAACUUAAUUAAAUUACAGAAUUGACAAAAACAUGAAAUUAAGGUGAAAUGAUAAAUGACGGACUAGCUAGAGGGUUCUUCUCCACACAUGACACAUAUGCAACCUAAAUUGAUUUUCAGUUGUUCUUUCAAUAAAUUGUGAAUCUCAAUACUCCAGAUUAACCGUGAAUAGCACUUUUUUAAUCUUCAAGUUUUCCUUAAGUUAUUGAAUUGGACGGAAAAAACGCAUACAACAAUUCAAAACAUUCUUCAAAAGUCCCCUACGUGAAAAGCACAAUAGCGAUACAAUCAAAGAUCAUUAAACUUUGUGAAAACUAUAAGCAUUGACGAGGCAUUCGUAACUAUGAAAAGCAUGAUACUCUUGCCAAGAAUUUACUUAACGUGAUUGUGACUAGCAACCUUUACUACUUGUGAAAAUAAGUUCAUAACGAUUAGGUGAAAUUCACUUAUAUUCUAGCAUCAAAUUCAUGCAUGUAAAUUAAGCGUACACUCUCAACCAACAUACACAAAUCAGUUUUUAUACGAACGGAUAAGUAAAUUGAAAUCACAACUUAUGAAAUCACAACCGAAGGUAAUCAAUUCAUAUUACAAAUAUAUUCAUGGUUUCGAAUUAACCUCUAGCCAAAAUAAAAUUAAUUACACAUUAUUAAAAUAAAAAUAAAAUAGGAGUUUGGAAAGAUUAAACCGAAAGAAAGGAUCUGCUGCUUGGACUCUGAACUGCAUUUUCAUGCUGACCUCCUGUCCUCCUCGCCACUGACUUCCCUUCUCUCCGCAGCUUCACGCUGCCCAAAGGGCAGCCCUCUGCCUUCCACCAAUUCCCCCCCUCCUUCUCUCUUCUGCCAAUCCCAUCUAUAUCCUCAUGCUCCUGACCUCCUCCUUAUUUCUUUUUUUUCUAUUUUAUUUUUUUUUGUUGCUGUCCACCACAUUCUCUGCGCCUACUGCGCUCCCAGCUGUCUCUCCUGCUUUCCACUGACUUUUCCCGCUCCCACUUCUCUCUAUCCUCUUUCUGCUGCCGCAAGGCAGCUGUCUGCUUGCUGCUUCUCUCUCCCUUUUUCUGCUUGUUUAUAUUUUUUUUUUUCUUCUUUUCCUUUUCCUUCUUUUCCUUUUCCUUUCUUUUUCUUUUCUUUCUUUUUCUUUUCUUCUUUGCCGUUCCUUUCUUCUUCUACAAAACAUGAAUCAUGAUGAUGUUUCAAACAUCAUCAUGACUUGUUAUUAUUAUUAUAUAUUUAUUUAUUUUUAAUUUUAUUUAAAAGCUGAUCUACACAGACAGUUUUGACGAAUUUAUUACAUAAAAUUUCACUUGUUCUAUUUUUAUUUUCUUUGCAUAACAAAUCCUAUAAACACAAAAAUAACGUAAAUAGCUCAAAAAUAUAAGGAACUAACUAAGAAAAGACGAGUGAAUUCGAAGUAAAAAUAUAUAUAAAUAUCAUCCGAUCAAAUACCCCCACACUUAACUUUUGCUAGUCCUCGAGCAAAACAAAGAAAACUAGAACAAGAAGUAACAAGAAAAACAUUAGCUUCCCCCUAUGUGACCCUCAUAGAAUUUCAUUCGAGAAAACAAAUCAUCAAGAACCAUAGCUAGCAUCAAGGAAAUAAUCCAAGUUCAUCUUCCUUAUUCAAAUAUUAGCAGUAAUCUUUAAAUCAUCCUUGAAGUGUAGUGUGUGAGAUAGCCAUGCUAAUGCAAUUUCAAGUUUUUAUUUUUAAAAUCAUCAUAUGCAAACUAGCGACCUUCUCACGGGAUAUGCACUCAAUCACACAUGUGUUUAGUUUUAAUGUGUUUCGCUCAAAGAAUCAAAUGUGAAAUUUCUACCAUAAGCUUGCAUAAAGAUCACUUCUCCACAGUCAUAAUUGCAAAACUUAAAUCAAGAGGACUUUUAUUGGAUGUAAUGAGGCUUAGGGAUAGGGUUAUUGAAAUGAAAGAAUAGGAAAACACAAGUUCCAAGCUAUAUUGCAAGCAAUUCUUUUGUUUAGAUUUAUAAGAACUCAAUUUUUUCAGCGAUUCUUCUAGCACCUCCAACCAUACCCUUAAACUGAAACUUUAAAAACUUUUUAUUUUCUUUGUAUACAAUCUUUCUUUUUCUUUUCUUUUUUUCUUCUUUUUUUUUAUUUUUUUUUAUUUUUAUUUUUUUUAUACAAACAUGAAAUACCCCCACACUUAUUCUUUUGCCAAACACCUUCAAAGUACUUCACAAACAUUUCUCAUAAGACAAUCUCACAUUGCUCACUUGGAAAGGGUAAGGAAAAAAUGUUUCAGGCAUAAGGGUAGACAUAUCUGGUGAUAAGAAAUAAAAGGCUCAACAUACACGGCUCAAAUUGGCAAUCUAAUGAUAUCAUUUUCUUUGGGAAACAUAGUUAUUUGGGCCAUAGUGGUAAACCUAAUGCCUCUAUCAUUUCCAAGUUCAUGCAAUCAAUGACAAACAUUUCGAAAGAUCGUUACGCAAGUUCUAGAGAUGUAUCUCACAUAAGUUCAUCACACAUGAAAGAAUAGGAGUGUAUGAAAAAUGCACACUUUCAAUAGGCUCAAAAACUCACAUAGGAUGUAUAUGGUCACUAAAUUCACAUAUGAAGCUUUAAGUCAUACUUUAGUUUCACAUUAACAAGGCUAUGUGCAUUUGGUUUUUCAAAGAUGGUCAAACAUGUACAAAACUAACAAGAGAAUUAGGAAUUUCACCAAAACACAUGUUAACUAAGUUCUUGAUGAUCAUGGUUCAAAUUUUUGAUCCAAUUAUAUCAUUGGGUCGGGAAACUAACAAAAAUCUGAUUCAGAACAAUAAGGGAAACAAGACAAUAUUUUUUGGAUUUUUAAAUUUUUCGAUUUUUUUUUUUUUUUUUUUUUUUUUUUUUAAGAAAACAAAAACUAACAACACAGAAACAAAUGAAAUUCUAGAGAUUUCUACCCCCACACUUAAACUUGACAUUGUCCCCAAUGUCAGAAAACACUAUAACGCAAAUAAAAAUAAAAUAAAUAAAUAAAUAAUAAGAAACAAAAUAAAAACAAUGGGACUGAAAACUUCCCUAAUUUGCAGUAAAAUCAAGCGAUGACCCCCAAGCUAAAAUUCUGCAAUCAACUUCAAGGGUGGAAAUAACCAAAAGUUUCCUGCAAAGAAAAGAAAUAAUACAGUUAAGUACGCAAGAAAAUUAAUUAAAAAAAAAAAAAUUGCAAACGAAAAAUUGAAAAUUACGAUAAAAAGAUAAUGAAUAAAACUAAUAAGUAAUCAUUGGUCGUGCUUGUUGACUUUCCACAGCUUUCCUCUUGAACAGGGUGACACUUAGCUUUUUUACUAUUUGAUGAUAUUGUACGGCGGAGCUUUGCUCUUUGGGAAUGUUGCAGUUCCUUAUUUGUUCUCCAAGCAGAUGUGGCAGCUUCUCUAGUUCCUCAGUUCGGACUCCUUCCGCUGGGAUGAUUGUGCAAGCUGCAUUCUUCUCUGCUUGUUUCUUCUGCACAACGGGCAGGCACGAGGGAAAGGUGUUGGUCCUUAUUUCUUUCUUCAAUCUUUCCAAGUGCCCACCUCUUGCUUUCUUUCUCCUUGUCCCUAGCUGAAUUGUCUCCACAUGCUUCGAGGUAUCAUUUUCACUUUCCUUACUGUCCCCCAGGCAGAUGUGGUAGACGAAGAGAAAGCAUAAAAUGAUGAAGAUGAGUACUCGAGAGCAAGGCUAGGUAAGCAAUCAGGAAAGGGUUCCAGGCAGUUGGCUCCAGAUUGGAAGAUUGAUACCAAAUGCUGGCUGAUUGCUCUCUUUCUCCUUGUCGGAAAACAAAGACAAGGAGAAGGACAUGGAGAAAGCAUGAUAUGAGAUACUCUUGCUUUCAACCUUUAUGAUAUGAAAUACUUUUGCUUUGAAUGGGUUGUUCGCAGGAGUAUCCCAAGGAAUGAGGAACACAGAGUGACUCGAGAGGAUUCUUUGGGAAUGCAUUUUCGGAGAUGAAGAGGUGUUGAGAGGGUGUGCUGAGAGAGUGUGCUUUUGCUGUGGAAGGCGAAGGUAGAAACUUAUAGGACUUGUCUUCACAACCGGAACUGUUCUCUCACUUAGUGUCGGCAGCCGGUGGAUGGGUGAAGAAUACAAAUUACGCGCUUUCUGACAAAGCUGCCCGUAAUUUCCGCAAAGCUGCCAGUUGCAUGUGACAAGUGCUGACUAGGCUGAGAGAGACAGAUGGUUGGAAUCGGCACUUCGACAGACUGCCCGUGAUUUUCGCAGAGCUGAGUUUGCGUGUGACGGGUGACAACACGUCUGGACGAAUUGAUCUUGCGAAAUCCGGGGUUCGGCUCGUGGUUUCUGAGCAAGCCCAACUUUUAAGAAAUGAACGCCUCUUUUGAGAAAAGAAUCCGGCUUUUGAGAACGGAAACUCCUCUUUUGAGAAAAGAAUCCGGCUUUUGAGAAAGGAGCCCCGACUCUUCGAUUUGCGAGAUGACGCUUCUCUGAGGAGCGCCUCUUUGAUUUCUUCUUUUUAUAGAGGCGUUAAUUUUGUUCCACAACACACUUGAGUACCCUCCUGUAAACACUCCCAUCUUGCACUUGUUUAAUCUUGAUCAGUCCAACUCUCUUCUUUCUUUACCACCUCUGAAAAAUGUCUGGCCCUUCUGAUCGUCGUUUUGACUUGAACAUUGGUGAAGAGGCAGCUCCGCCUUCACCAGACAACAUAUGGCGGCCAUCCUUCAUAUCCCCUACCGGUCCCCUUACCGUGGGGGAUUCGAUGAUGAAAAAUGACAUGACCGCUGCGGUGGUGGCCCGAAACCUUGUCACUCCCAGAGAUAACAGACUGCUCGCAAGGCGGUCUGAUGAAUUGGCGGUCAAGGAGUCUCUGGCUCUCAGUGUGCAGUGUGCGGGUUCCGUAUCCAACAUGGCCCAACGCCUAUAUGCCCGAACCCGUCACGUUGAAUCCUUGGUGGCUGAAAUACAGAGUCUCAAGUAAGAGAUUAAAGGGCUCAAGCAUGAGAAUAAGGAAUUGCACAAGCUCGCACACAGCUAUGCCACCAGCAUGAAGAGGAAGAUUGACCAGAUGCAGGACACCGAUGGUCAAAUUUUACUUGAUCAUCGGAGGUUUGUGGGUUUGUUCCAACAACAUCUGCCUUCGUCUUCUGGAGCGGCACCGCGUAGUGAAGCUCCAACUGAUCAACCUAUGCCGCCUCCUCCUUCUGUGGCCCCGCCGACUGCUGAAGCCCCGCCCGACCAAUGAAUACUAUUAGUUUACAUCAUUGUAAAAUAUUUGUACUUUUUUUUUUUUAUUUUUUUAUUUUUUUAUAAAUGUAAAUUAAUGUAAAGAGACUUUGGUUAACCUUCCCACACUUAAACUAAAUAACACAAACUCACAGAAAUCAAACAAAUAACACAACUAACUAAACAAGACAAAAUGAAAGCAUUAAAGAUAAGGGUGUAAAAAUGCAAAUCUGAUUGGGUUAGCGAUUCCAAAGUCUCCCUUCGUUGAAUGCUUGGGUUGCCUCCCAAGAAGCGCUUGAUUUAACGUCUUUAGCCGGACGCAUCUUUCCUUUAAAUUUCCCUCGGCUCCAUUUGAACCUAAAAUCAAAGAAAGAAAAAUAAAUCAAAUAUCAAAAGUAAAAUACACAAACACCAAUAUAAACAUAAACAAAAACAAAAAUAAAAGGAUUAGCAAAGUUGCUAAUCCCCGGCAACGGCGCCAAAAUUUGAUGCGUAAAAUAAGUUAACACACAAAAUUAAACCCUCUUUUUGACAAUUGUAGUAUAGAUGUAAGUAGGGUAUCGUUCUAGGCCGGGGAUUAGGAGGGAUUGCUAAUCUAUUAAAUUAACUUAAAAAUAUUAAAUAAGACUCAAGGACACAAAACUAGGCUAAAAACUCUAAUAACUCGAAACACACUUAAAAUGACUCAAAAUAAUGAAAACAAUUAAAUUAAACACUAGGAACUGAAAUGGACGGAAAUUAAAUUAAAAGACUAACAAUAAAGAAAACUAAAUAAAUAAUAUAAUUUAAUAAUGGAUGGGUGUUUGGUUUUGAUGAAAAGUAAAUUAAACUUAAUUAAAUUACAGAAUUGACAAAAACAUGAAAUUAAGGUGAAAUGAUAAAUGACGGACUAGCUAGAGGGUUCUUCUCCACACAUGACACAUAUGCAACCUAAAUUGAUUUUCAGUUGUUCUUUCAAUAAAUUGUGAAUCUCAAUACUCCAGAUUAACCGUGAAUAGCACUUUUUUAAUCUUCAAGUUUUCCUUAAGUUAUUGAAUUGGACGGAAAAACGCAUACAACAAUUCAAAACAUUCUUCAAAAGUCCCCUACGUGAAAAAGCACAAUAGCGAUACAAUCAAAGAUCAUUAAACUUUGUGAAAACUAUAAGCAUUGACGAGGCAUUCGUAACUAUGAAAAAGCAUGAUACUCUUGCCAAGAAUUUACUUAACGUGAUUGUGACUAGCAACCUUUACUACUUGUGAAAAUAAGUUCAUAACGAUUAGGUGAAAUUCACUUAUAUUCUAGCAUCAAAUUCAUGCAUGUAAAUUAAGCGUGCACUCUCAACCAACAUACACAAAUCAGUUUUUAUACGAACGGAUAAGUAAAUUGAAAUCACAACUUAUGAAAUCACAACCGAAGGUAAUCAAUUCAUAUUACAAAUAUAUUCAUGGUUUCGAAUUAACCUCUAGCCAAAAUAAAAUUAAUUACACAUUAUUAAAAUAAAAAUAAAAUAUGAGUUUGGAAAGAUUAAACCGAAAGAAAGGAUCUGCUGCUUGGACUCUGAACUGCAUUUUCAUGCUGACCUCCUGUCCUCCUCGCCACUGACUUCCCUUCUCUCCGCAGCUUCACGCUGCCCAAAGGGCAGCCCUCUGCCUUCCACCAAUUCCCCCCCUCCUUCUCUCUUCUGCCAAUCCCAUCUAUAUCCUCAUGCUCCUGACCUCCUCCUUAUUUCUUUUUUUUCUAUUUUAUUUUUUUCUGUUGCUGUCCACCACAUUCUCUGCGCCUACUGCGCUCCCAGCUGUCUCUCCUGCUUUCCACUGACUUUUCCCGCUCCCACUUCUCUCUAUCCUCUUUCUGCUGCCGCAAGGCAGCUGUCUGCUUGCUGCUUCUCUCUCCCUUUUUCUGCUUGUUUAUAUUUUUUUUUCUUUUUCCUUUUCCUUCUUUUCCUUUUCCUUUUCUUUUUCUUUUCUUUCUUUUUCUUUUCUUCUUUGCCGUUCCUUUCUUCUUCUACAAAACAUGAAUCAUGAUGAUGUUUCAAACAUCAUCAUGACUUGUUAUUAUUAUUAUAUAUAUAUUUAUUUUUAAUUUUAUUUAAAAGCUGAUCUACACAGACAGUUUUGACGAAUUUAUUACAUAAAAUUUCACUUGUUCUAUUUUUAUUUUCUUUGCAUAACAAAUCCUAUAAACACAAAAAUAACGUAAAUAGCUCAAAAAUAUAAGGAACUAACUAAGAAAAGACGAGUGAAUUCGAAGUAAAAAUAUAUAUAAAUAUCAUCCGAUCAGUCGUUCGUACGCUAGAUGCAAAACGAGAUCCCUUCCGUCCGAAUGAGGAUGAUGAAGAGAUUUUGGAGCCUGAAGUUCCUUAUCUAAGUGCGAUAGGCGCUUUAUUGUACUUAGCUCAAUGCACUAGACCCAGCAUCUCAUUUGCUGUUAAUCUUUUGGCAAGAUACAGCAAUGCACCAACACGCAGACAUUGGACUGGCGUGAAAGACAUCUUCCAUUACCUUAAGGGUACUAUGGAUUUGGGCUUAUUUUAUCCCUACGAAUCCUCGAGUGAUGCCGCACCCUAUGCUCAUCGGGUUGAUUCUCGCCUUGUUGGUUAUGCCGACGCUGGAUACUUAUCUGAUCCGCACAAGGCGCGUUCUCAAACGGGUUAUGUCUUUACCGUUGGAGGCACCGCAAUAUCUUGGAGGUCAACUAAACAGACCUUAGUUGCCACUUCGUCUAACCAUGCUGAAAUUCUCGCCUUACAUGAAGCAACUCGGGAAUGCUUUUGGUUGAGAGCAGUAAUGGGCCAUAUUCGAAGCUCCUGUGAUCUUCAUCCUGCCGUUAAUGCCCCGACGACGAUUUUUGAAGACAACGCAGCUUGCAUCGAACAACUCAAGAAGGGUUACAUCAAAGGAGACAACACCAAGCAUAUUGCGCCGAAGUUCUUCUUUACACAUCAACAACAAGAACAUCAGAAGAUUGAAGUCACGCAAAUCCGAUCACAAGACAAUAUGGCCGACCUCUUCACCAAAUCACUACCGAAGGCGACGUUUCAGAAGCUUGUUCAUGGAAUUGGUAUGCGUAAACUUUCUGAGUUGUAACUUUGCUAUUUCUCUUUGGAAUUAUGUCAAACUCAGGAGGAGUAUCCUCUGGAUACUUGCUUGAUCUUAAUGUAAUUUUUUUCCCUAUGAUUAGGAGCAUUUUUCCCACUGGGUUUUUGCUACCUAACUAGGUUUUAACGAGGCACCCACCUUGGGCUGGUCAUAUCCCUGAUGACGUCCUGUAGAUGUUUCUUUUGACUUUGCAUUUCUCACACAUUUUCCUUAGACUAUGGAUUUUGUCCCUACUCGGGUUUUUGCCAUAGCCUUAGGGUUUUUUAGUGGGACUUACUACUUAUGCAAGUUCCUACCUUAUUGAGAAUAAGCGUUGUUCCUUGGAAUCAAUGCCGACGAGUCAACUUCCUCAACUUCUGCAUGAUACUGAAUCUACCUUGAGUAUUUACACACUCAAGGGGGAAUGUUGUAAACAUUCCUAGUUUAAGUAUGAUUGUGUAAAUCCUAGAUAAGAUUUGAUUCUAGUUAUCCUUUCUUAUUACAACUUGUAUUACUUGGAGGAGAAGAAAUAUCUUCUCUACCUUUACUACUAUAAAUAAAGGCACAAUGUAGGAGGGAUAACAACAUAUACAUUCCCCUACAAUUCUACAAACACACAUCUCUCUCCUCUCUCUCUGCCGCCGGCCCUAGUCUCUCUGUCAGAUAAAAUAGACCACAACAGUUCCUUAGUUUUCAAAAUUUUAUUUUCAUAUUUAGUCUCCUAACAUUGUCCAUGAAAUCACUUUAAUUUUGAGAUUAGAAGUGUCAACGACUCAGCAAGAUUAUUUCGCCAUCGCAAUUCCAGCAGAUUGAUUGGCAAUUAACAUGAAUUGAUUGAGUAGUAUACUAUAUUUUAUAACACAAAUCAAAAGAAAUUAACGAGAAGAAGCAACCCACUAGCAACAGUGCCGAUAAAAGCAAACCAAACGAAAAGGUGUGUGAACAUCCGAGCCAAAGUUACACUCACCUUUCAGGAGAAGCGAUAAGGCGGUGAAGAUAAGUGAAAGCCGAUCCGAACUGCAAAGUCAAUGAUGGAUGAAGCCGAUCCGAAUUGAGGAACUUGGAGGGAAACAUGGAUAAAGGUGGAAGAAAAUAGGGGGAAAAGAUGGAAAAGGUGGAAGGAAGAUAGAUGGAAGGAAACACGGAGAAAAAGUAGUCUUUAAAUUUGUCCCGCCAACAACUUUUUUUUCUAUUUUUUUUAACAAAAACGAUAAUAUCUACCAUAAGAGAGGGGUGUGCCAAAAUGACAAAAAUAUCCUUCAUUUAAUAAACAAUGGGCUAAAAUAAUUUGAUAAAAAAUAAGAGUAUUUUUGUCAUUUUUUCCUUAUUUAAUAGUGAUUUUUCACGGAAAAAUCAAAAUGAUCGAUGGUAAACAAACUCAGGGACUAGUUCUUAGAUUCUAAAUCUCAAGGACCAAAAUGAGGACUUAAAACCAAUCCUAGAGACUAUUUUGACUAAAAAGCCAUUAUUUUACCAAUGACACCAAUUUUAUUAAUCUAGAAAGAGGUGAUUCUAAAUCUCAAAGACUAAAAUGAGGACUUAAAUCAAUCUCAGAGACUAUUUUGACUAAAAGAACCAUUAUUUUACUAAUGACACCAAUUUUAUUAAUCUAGAAAGAGGUGACUCACCAAUUUGAUCUAUCAAACCUAAAAUGAAAAACAACGUAGUUUGGUCAUAGCACAAAAGAACUUGUGGGGUAAACCAAAUAGGUGGAGCAGUGUGUUCGUCUCUUAACACUUAAUUUCAAAUUCCUAUACCUAUAUAUUUGAGUAGUGGAAGUAAACAUUGUAAACCAGAGUGGUCUAACACCUCUUGAUCUGCUAAUCUUCCCGAGUGAAGCCGGCUAUAGGGAAAUUGAAGAGAUCCUUCGUGGUGCCGGAGCUUCGAGAGCACAGGACAUACACCAUACUCCCUCUCAUUGUCCCAUGGAAACAAAUUGUUGAACUAUAAGUAUUUGAGCUGAAAUGUUUUAGAAUAAGUUUUGUUUAAAUUGGUGAAUCCACUUGUGCAGAAUGAGGCAAAGUGUAAAUGUCUAGUUUUGUAAAAAGGCCAUGAGUGCCAUGUGUUGGUAGAUCCAUGAAAUUAGAGAGAUGUGUGUCUAGGAUGAAAUGUAGUAGUUUAUGUGGUCCCAAGUUAAGGACCUUCAGUUAAUGUAAAGCACGUGAGUGCUCAUUUCUGAAAAAAAAAGAAGCAAUUUUCCUCUGUAAAGUUUCUGCAGAGAAAAGAACAAGAAACCGUUCGCUUUCUCCAACCUUUGUUCAUCGUGUGUUUUCUGUACAGCUCCAUCUUCAUCAAAACUCUCAUUGAAAUCAAGUUACACUAACAUGGCCUCAGAGCCAGGUUGGGUCUAACAAUCUGGGCGUAAAUCUGUGAAGCUAUUUUUGAGCUCAAUCGAAGCUCUCUUGAAGCUCCGUGAACGUUGUCGAUUCAGAUCAAAACAUGUCUGGAUCUGGAGGCUCGGAAGUGAGGACUCCAAUUUUCUCCGGUGAGAACUACGAGUUCUGGAGAAUUAAAAUGGCAACGAUAUUCAAAUCCCUUGGGUUAUGGAACCUGGUAGAGAAGGGGAUUGAAACCUCCAAUCCGAAGAAGAAGGAAGCUGGAGAAGCAUCGAAGGAUGAUGAAGAAAUGGUAGCUGUUCUGAUGAAAGACACAAAGGCUUUGGGAAUCAUUCAGAAUGCAGUCUCGGAUCAGAUCUUCCCACGAAUCGCCAAUGCCGAGUCAGCUAAGAUGGCAUGGGAUUUGUUGUACGGGGAGUAUCAUGGUGGUGAUCAGGUACGAUAUGUGAAAUUGCAGAAUCUUAGGAGAGAGUUUGAAUAUGCUAGGAUGAGAGAUGAUGAGUCUUUAUCUAGCUAUCUUACACGGCUGAAUGAGCUAAUUAAUCAAAUGAGAACAUUUGGUGAAUCUCUGUCGAAUGAGAGACUGGUGCAAAAGGUUUUGAUUAGUCUUAGUAAACCUUAUGAUUAUAUCUGUUUGGUUAUAGAAAACACAAAGUGUCUAGAGACUGUAGAGUUGCAGGAAGUAGUUGCAAUCUUAAAAAGUCAAGAACAACGGUUUGAUCUGCAUACUGUUGAUACUACUGGGAAAGCAUUCUCAUCUUUCUCAAUGAGUUCAAAAGAGCAGGAUAGGGGUGAAGGUCAAUCUGGUUCAUCUCGGUUCCAGAAAAAUUGGAAUAACAAGGGCAAGAAAUGGGGUUCAAAACCUAAGUUUCAGCAUAAAUUUCCUGCUAAUCCUGCACAUAAUGCACAGUCAAUGAGGCAGAUAGGUACAAAACCACAGUGCAGGGUAUGUUCUAAGUUUCACUUUGGAGAGUGUAGGUAUAAAGGGAAACCUAAAUGCUAUAACUGUGAAAAGUUUGGUCACUGGGCUAGAGAGUGCACAGUAGGUAAAUUAGUGCAAAAGGCAAAUAGUGCUAAUCAGGUAGAGGUGACAGGGAACCUGUUUUAUGCAAAUAGCACAAUCACUGAAUCAAAAGUGAAUGGAGAAUGGUAUGUAGACAGUGGUUGUAGCAACCAUAUGACAGGGGAUUCUAAGUUGUUGAUAGACAUGAAGACAAAUGUGGUUGGCAAGGUUCAAAUGCCCACAGGGGAACUCAUGAAUGUGGCAGGUUUUGGUACACUUGUGAUAGACACUAGCAAAGGCAGAAAAUAUGUCAAAGAAGUAAUGUACCUACCUGGGUUGAAGGAAAAUCUGUUAAGUGUGGGGCAGAUGGAUGAACACGGUUACUACCUGUUAUUUGGGGGAAAGAUGUGUAGUAUCUUUGAUGGACCUUCAUUGGAUUGUCUUGUACUCAAAGUUGAAAUGAAAAAGAACAGAUGUUAUCCUUUGACACUGAUACAAAAUGAUCAGGUUGUACUGAGAGCAGGUAUUUCUAAGUCUACUUGGAUAUGGCACAAGAGACUAGGCCAUCUGCAUUUUAGAGGUCUUCAACAGCUUAAGAACAAAGAAAUGGUGCAUGGUCUCCCAGUUUUAGAAGAAAUGGAUGAAGUUUGUAAAGGUUGUCAGUUUGGGAAACAGCAUAGAGAGUGGUUUCCAAAGAAUCAAGCGUGGAGAGCAAGUAAACCUCUAGAACUGGUGCAUGUAGAUCUGUGUGGUCCUAUGCAGAAUGAUUCUCUUGCGGGCAACAAAUAUUUCAUGCUUCUUGUAGAUGACUGUACAAGAAUAAUGUGGGUUUAUUUUCUGAAAUACAAGUCAGAUGCAUUGAUCUGUUUUAGAAAAUUCAAGUCCAUGGUGGAAUUACAAAGUGGUUUUAAGAUAAAAUGUUUGAGGAGUGACAGAGGGGGUGAAUUCACAUCUUGUGAAUUCAACAAACUGUGUGAAGAUGCAGGGAUUCAAAGACAGUUAUCUAUGGCCUAUACUCCACAACAGAAUGGAGUGGUAGAGAGGAAGAACCGAGCUGUGGUUGAGAUGGCAAAAGCUAUGCUUCAUGACAAAGGACUACCAUACUACUUAUGGGCAGAAUCUGUACUCACAGCUGUCUAUAUAUUGAACAGGUGUCCUACAAGAGCUCUUGGAGAAGUAACUCCAUUUGAAGCAUUCAGUGGUCGAAAACCUGGAAUUGCACAUCUUAGAAUCUUUGGUUGUCUGUGUUAUGUACACACACCAAAUGAGUUGAGACAGAAACUAGAUGCAAAGAGUGUCAAGGGCAUAUUUGUAGGUUAUGCAACCUGUGAAAAGGGGUACAGAGUGUAUGAUCCUCUUAGUAAAAAGCUUAUACUCUCAAGGGAUGUUGUGUUUGAUGAAAAUGCAGCCUGGGAAUGGAAGACAGCUCCUGAGAACUAUGUAACUGUGUUUAAUCCUAUUGAGUUAUCUGUGCUGCCUAAAUGUAUCUCAUCAGAGACAACUCCAGAGGAAAAUGAUUAUGUUUUGUCACCAAAUCUGGCAUUUUCUCAUGAAUCUGUAAGUGAUGUGGACAGCAGCAUGAAAAUGACUCAAGCCUUUGAUCACACUCCAUUGAAAUGGAGGAAUCUAGAUGAUGUCUUGGCACAAUGCAAUCUUUGUAUUAUGGAACCUGAAAAAUUUGAAGAGGCAGCCAAAGAUGAAGCAUGGAUGAAGGCUAUGAAAGAUGAACUGUCAAUGAUUGAGAAGAAUGCAACAUGGGAUCUGGUGAACAGACCAAGUGAUAAACCCAUAAUUGGGGUUAAGUGGGUGUUCAAGACCAAGCUUAAUCUCGAUGGGACAGUGCAAAAGCAUAAGGCAAGAUUGGUAGCCAAAGGAUAUGCUCAGAAACCAGGUGUGGAUUACAAUGAAACGUUUGCACCUGUAGCUAGACUGGAUACAAUUCGGACUCUAAUUGCUUUGGCAGCUCAGAAAAGUUGGAAAUUAUACCAACUAGAUGUGAAAUCUGCUUUUCUGAAUGGAGUACUCGAAGAAGAAGUUUAUGUAGAACAACCAGAUGGUUUUGUGAUCAAGGGGAGUGAAGACAAGGUGUACAAGCUUUAUAAAGCUUUGUAUGGUCUAAAACAGGCACCAAGAGCCUGGUAUAGUGAAAUUGAUACCUAUUUUGCUCACUAUGGGUUUGUGAAAAGUCAGAGUGAAGCUACUCUUUACAUCAAAGUAAGGGGAGGAGAAAUUCUGAUUGUUUCAAUCUAUGUGGAUGAUAUAGUGUAUACUGGGAAUAGCACUGAGAUGUUGAAGGAGUUCAAGGAAGACAUGAUGACAAAAUAUGAGAUGACAGAUUUGGGGCUCCUUCACCAUUUUCUUGGUAUGGGAGUGAUUCAAACUCACACAAGCAUAUUUAUCCAUCAAAGGAAGUAUGCUGGUUCUUUGUUAGAUAAGUUUGGUUUGAAUGAGUGUAAAUAUGUGUUUACACCACUGGUUUCAUCAGAGAAGCUAUGCAAAGAUGAUGGCAGUGGUUCAGCAAGUGAGGAACAGUAUCGAAGAAUUGUUGGAAGUUUGUUGUAUCUCACAGCAACUCGACCAGAUAUAAUGUAUGCUGCAAGCCUUCUAGCUCGAUUCAUGCACUGUCCUACAAAUAAACAUCUUGGAACAACCAAAAGAGUGCUUAGGUACAUCAAGGGAACUUUAGAUUAUGGUUUAGAGUAUGUAAAGGGAAAGAAUGCAAUGCUAAUCGGAUUCUGUGAUAGUGAUUGGGGAGGAUCUGUUGAUGAUAGCAAGAGUACUUCUGGUUAUGCAUUUUCCUUUGGCAGUGGAGUGUUCUCAUGGGCCUCAGUGAAGCAGAAUUGUGUAGCACUCUCUACAGCAGAAGCAGAGUACAUCAGUGCCUCUGAAGCAACUGCUCAAGCCAUUUGGCUUAGAUUUGUUCUUGAAGAUUUUGGUGAGAUGAAAACUGAAGCAACUCCAGUACACUGUGAUAAUACAUCAGCAAUUGCAAUUACUAAAAAUCCUGUUUUCCAUCAGAAAACCAAGCACAUUGACAGAAGGUAUCAUUUUAUCAAGAAUGCACUCCAGGAAGGGAUAAUCGAUUUGGUGUACUGUCCAACAAAUGAGCAGGUGGCAGACAUAUUUACUAAGGCUUUGUCUAAGGAUCGAUUCAACUAUCUUCGAGAUAUGCUUGGUGUGAAAUCAGCUCAAAACUUAAAGGGGAGUGUUGAACUAUAAGUAUUUGAGCUGAAAUGUUUUAGAAUAAGUUUUGUUUAAAUUGGUGAAUCCACUUGUGCAGAAUGAGGCAAAGUGUAAAUGUCUAGUUUUGUAAAAAGGCCAUGAGUGCCAUGUGUUGGUAGAUCCAUGAAAUUAGAGAGAUGUGUGUCUAGGAUGAAAUGUAGUAGUUUAUGUGGUCCCAAGUUAAGGACCUUCAGUUAAUGUAAAGCACGUGAGUGCUCAUUUCUGAAAAAAAAAGAAGCAAUUUUCCUCUGUAAAGUUUCUGCAGAGAAAAGAACAAGAAACCGUUCGCUUUCUCCAACCUUUGUUCAUCGUGUGUUUUCUGUACAGCUCCAUCUUCAUCAAAACUCUCAUUGAAAUCAAGUUACACUAACACAAAUACCCUUCAGCUGCAGCAGCCAAACGACCCGAUGGAAUACUUCAAGUUCAAAAAGGGCAGAGACUCUCCCAGCGAUGCACGCACGGCGCUGCUAGUUAUUGCUGUACUAGUGGCCACCACCACCUUUCAAGCCGGACUCAGCCCUCCGAUGGGCAUUUGGCAGGACAGCCCUGGAUCAAACAUGAAUGGGACUGGCAGUGGGAGCAAUGAACCAGCGCACACAGCAGGGCAGUCCAUCAUGAGUUCUUACAAGAUAUUAGGAUUUUUCUUCUUUUACACUUCCAACUCGAUUAGACUUUCGUUUUCGCUUUACAUGAUCCAUGUCCUCACCACCAAUUUCCCUCUGCAGUUGGAGCUUAACAUUUGUAUGUUCACGAUGUUCUUGACGUACUGUUCUGCAAUUUCCGAAAUUGGACCGGAGAUCAUGUCCCACCCUGUGUUCGCUUUAACUAUGCCAGCGUUGGUAGCGUUGGUAAGGGUGUGGUAAGCGUAAUGCACCCGCUUAGAUGACCUGCAGUAAAUUGGACUCGAAGGCUCAUUUUAAAAUAGUUGUACAUUACACGUCUGUUUCCAGGAUCAUCGUUGGCGCAUUCAUCAUAGAAGCUCCAGCUUCGUAUCAAAGUCAGUCGUGACUAUCAUAAAUACCGUACAUUUGCUAUGUAUUACUAAAUCUUUGGUGUGGACUUCUUAUAUGAUAUAGCGUUAAGAAUUCAGUACGAAAACAGUAAAACAGAAUUAUUUGCACUAAUUCUUCCUCUUGAUUUAUGAUGGUGUUAGUUCUAUAAGUCGACAUCUUUGCCAGCCGCAAUUGAUACUGCCGUUUGAUACUGCAAAUGAAAGCCCGGUGGAUGCGCAAAAUUUCAAGCCAAUCUUACAGAUUGUAUGAAGAAAGGAACAAUGUAGUUGGUAGCACAGAAGUUUAUAAUCUUCUAGUUGGAGUAAUCUAAUUAAGGCUAUAAUAUUCAUACAGAAGGUUUUACAAAAUGAUCAUCUUUCGACAUGUAUAACAAUGGCGAUCUUUAAUCACAAUGACUUGUACAGCUCGAUCAAAUGAGAAGCAUGGAGGCACCACGUAGGAGCCACGGUGCAGCCCAAACUUUGCAGAUAAGAAAUCUGGUAAUUCACAGCAUAAGAAUCGAAUUACCGGGUCUCCUGACCAUCCUACGUACCAAUGUGCGCACAAGGAAAUGAGUAAGGUAAUCAAAUGCUGAGUCCUGCGUACCUGUUUCGGUGUUGGUUCGGAUGAACCCAUUUAGUUCUCAAUCCGUAACUUCUGGAAAUGCUCCUGAAAGCAUAAAUUUAAGCACAUCAUGAAAUCCCCCUUGCGGGAUUUUCCUUAUUUUUUCUAACUCAUCUUCCCACUCGCGUAUAGUUUUGUUACCAAGAAAAGCUCCCAGGACUUUGAGUGCUAAAGGCAGGCCUUGAGCAUAUUUUACAACACGAUUCGAUAGAUCAUCAUAAUCUCUGGUGGGUUGGUUUUUUCCGAAAGCGUGCUGCCUAAAGAGUUUCAGAGCUCCAGAAUCACUCAAAGUCUUGGGAUUAUAUAUCACAUCAGCUACGCUUAGUAAUUGCGAAUCUCUAGUUGUUAUAAUAAUUCUGCUUCCACCACCAAAGAAAUGUGGCUCUCCAAGUAGAGCUUCAAUUUGUUCUAAUUUGUCCACAUCAUCAACAACAAUAAGAACUUUUCUCUGGCCAAGGCUUUUUAACAUCACCUGAAAACCUUUACUCGAUAUGUCAGAGCUCCCCACCUUGUUGUCCGAGAUACUAGAUAGAAGUUGUGUCUGCAUAAGUAGUUCGCCGUGCUUCAUGAAACCCUCCUUGACAUUUUUAAGAAAGCAACAAGCUUCAAAUCGACAAGCGAUUUUAUCAUAAACAGCAUUAGCGAUGGUAGUUUUACCUAAACCACCCAUACCCCAUAUUCCAACAACUCGAACAUUAUUCGUUUCACCUCCGGGAGGAUAUAAUAAUAAAUGCAUUUCAUGCAUGCGAGAAUCCAUGUCAACCAAGCCAUUAUCUUUGCUUGAUGUUGAUGAGAUGUCGAUCAAUUUCCUAUAAACAUAUUCUACAAUUUCCUCAGUAAGCACCACAUCAUUCCUGUCAAAUUAAAAAAUACAAUAUAAUAACACCACCAAAUAAUAAUUAAUGGGUUUUUUCAUCUGUUAGUUAAAAAAAAAAACAGAAAUUAAAACUAAAAACUAGAUAUUUAUAAAAUUACCGCAAAACGUUACAAAAAUCCCAAAAAUUAAUAGGAAACUAAAACAAAUUAGAAUUUACUCAUAGUUUCGCGAAUCCCAGCCGGAUAAACUGGUGGCAGUUGUAAGAGCGGAUCUCCAGCUCUGAACCUCUUCCAUUUCGGCGUUAGAAUCGCGAUCGUGCUGAGCAAAAGCUUCCGCGAAACUUUUCUUGAGUUUACGAACAUCAGACGGAUCAACUUCAUAGAAAAUGGGGAGUACAAUCUGGUUAUUGGUAUCCUUGCAUUUCAAGAUUUGCACGAGUUCUUUCAAGCACCAAGUGGAAGAAGCAUAGUCUUGAGAGAAAACUACAAUCGAAAGCCUUGACUCUCGAAUCGCUGUCAGGAGCUCAGAAAGGUGGUCGCCUUUUCUGAGCUUCUCGGCAUCAAUGAAGGCGUUGAUUGGUUUCUUAGCCAGAGCGUUGUAGAGAUGGCUGACGAAGCCCCUGCGAGUGUCUUCCCCUCUGAAAUUGAUGAACACAUCGUAUUUGCAACCAAGGCCAGAAGAAGAUGAAGAAGAAGAAGCAGCCAUUAUUAAUCGAUCGCACCUGGUCAGCGAUGAUCGAGCAGCUAAGACUAAGAGAAUUGUAAGUACAGAGAUACUCAAUAGAUCUACAAAUUGGAUCACCAGAAAUUAGUCUGAUCGAUACCAAGUCAAUGAGUCAAUGCAAAAGGGAAAAAGGGGAAAGGGAAAUUAUGCUUUAUGUUUUUUCACAUCUUCUUCGGGGAAAUUUCGGUGUGAAAGGAAUCUUAUCCUUUUGAUUUUUUAACCGAAGCAAAUGCGAAGAAAAGGGUCAAGGUGGAAAAUUGAAUAGGACAAGGAUUGUCAGCCCUUCCACAUCUGGUGCUCUUCCGUGCCCUUUUGUUUAUGUUGUCACGGUUAAACCACAUUAACAUUUUAUAUUACUAUUUAUUUUUGUCUUAUUAUCUCUAUAAAAAAACAAUAUAAAAUGUUGACGUGACUUAACCGUGACCACACAAAACAGAAGGGCACGAAAGAACACCGAAAAUAGGAGAGCUGACAAUCCUUGUCCAAACUUAACCGUAAGACUUUUUGUAGUGAGCUACACCGGAUGACUUGAUAUAUUAUGACGAAAUAAACUAUUUAAAUAUACGGCUUACAUUGCGCAGUGCGCAUACUGGAUAAACAAUUAGCGCACCUGAUUGUAGGGAAUGGUGAUGCUCAUCGCUUAAUUUCGUUAUUGGAUUAGUUUAAGUUUUGAGGUUUGUGAAAUGGACAGAUAUAAAUUUUAAAAUUUAAACUCAGUCAAUAAUAAUAAAUAUGGUAGUGAGAAAAAAUGCACCAGUGACUUGUGGUUUAGAGACACACUCUCAAACUUAAAUAACAAUUUUCAUGCUUUCCAACAACACAAAAAUUUUAUAACUAAAAAUCAAUCAAAACAUAAUAAUUGAAUGAACGAAGAAAGCGUAUUAAAAUAAGGUUUUCUGACAUAUUUUGAGUGACACUUGCCACAAUAACGAAGAAAGCGUGGUAUUGUUGCACCUGCCAUAAAGUCAAGCUUGACAUUCUACAGUUGGAAGGCUAGCUGGCUGACUAGAAAUGGCCAGCCCGUUGGCUUGAUUUGGGGGUUUUGGCCAGAUGGGGCCCACAAGCCCUUUGGCCUAGCCUUCGAUUGAAGAUGGUUUUCGUGUCAUUCCGAGCUAUUUUUAGCCCUAUGACCUUUUGGCUGGGUCAGUUAGAGAUGGCUUUAGGUGCGGUGAUCGUAAUACCCUGAAAAUUUAAAUAUAUGAAUAUGUUGGGAAAAAUUGAAAAAAAAUCGAUUUAUGGUUAUGGAAAAUUUAAUUGAGAACUUUUAAAGUUUUUCCGGAAAUUAUUAUAAAUUACGUAUUUGUAUUCUUAAGAUUUUAUAUGAAUUUUCAAGAAUUUAUAAUAAUUUAAUUUAGUUUAGUUUUAAAUUAAACUAGUUACAAAGUUGGAAGUUUGGAAAUUAUUUAUUUAAAAUAUGUAGACCAUUCGAGGUCACAAUUUAUAUUUUUGAAUAGAGCUCGAUCUCAUGAACGCGUGGCGCAAACCGUUAGUAAAACGGAGUUCUAACGAAGAAGUUAUUAACAUUUAAAGUCAUGAAAAUUUUGGUAAUUUUAUUCAUUUUAGAAGGCUCCAGAAAAUCUAGAGCAAUGAGUUGUGCCACGUGUGUGGCUGGGAUGAAAACAAUUGGAGAGAUGGAUGGUUGUGAUUAAAGGAAAAUAAUAGAAAUGAGGGUAACCAAUGGGGAGAGAGAAUGAGGAGGGGAAAGGAGAAAAAGGAGAAGGAGGGGAACCCGACCCUCUCCUUCGACCCGGUUUUCUGACCCGAGCCCCACGCACACCCAACACCGAUUUCGGUGUUUUUUCCCGGUGAAUUGAGCGCCGCCACCACCCCUCCUGACUCCUCUCAUUGUCACGAACGGUAUCCGUCCACAUUUGGCUCAGUUUUGAUCAUGAUUUCAGAAGAAAAGGGAGAUGGACCCGUGAGGGUUUCAGAGUUUUCCGACGACAAAUCCGUCGUCUCCGGUCUCCACCGUUCCCACCACCACCACCUCCAGUUGAUUUCACUUGAACCCAGGAGCAAGGCCUAAGCACUAGCAGGGGCAUCGGAACAUCAAUGGAGUCGAAUCGAAUCCCACCAUUUCUAGGGUUUCCGGCGAGUUUGAGUGAAAUUGGGGCACUUCCACGCCAAAUUGGACUUAGCCAUAGGUAUGAAAUUUACUCCACUCACUGAGAUCUACUUGCCUGUAAAAUUUGGUAAUUUUUUGAAAUAGUUGAAUUUUCCGACAAGCCGGAGUGGCCAACCUCCACCCACGACUGCGGGUGCGGCGGCGCACGGUCAGGGAGCCGACAUUGUGUUAUUAUGCGAAUUUCGUUAUUCUAAUUAGGCUUUUGAGACCUAACUUCUGUGGUUUGAAUAUUAAUACGAUUGUGGUAUAUGUUGGAUUAAAUAAAUAUAUUCGGAUUUGGUUUGAGUUUUGGAAAUGUGAACUACGAAUGACUUGAUUCCUGUUUAGGGUACAUAGGUAGUAUAACAAGAUGUUAGAUGCAGCUAUACAAUAAGUUAGAUUAAAUAAACGAGACAAAGCUUUGAUUGAGAAAGUGAACUGAGUAAGGAGUUUGGAAUUUUAUUAUAAAAGGAAAUCUUAUGUUUUGUACAUAUAAAUUCUUGUUAUAAAUUGUGUGAACGUUUUAUAAAUUUAAGCAAGAAAUUAUGUAAUUAUGAUAAUUGGACAAUUGAGUUUGAUCUCUUGUUGGGAAAUAGAGUCGAUAUGAAGGUAUUGGUGUUGAAGUAAAAAUAUAAAUGUAUGUUUUGCUAAGUAAGUUUGGUGGAUACUUAUGUGAGUAGUUAGGAAAAUUUUUUUUUAAAGAAUAAAGUGUACCGAUAAUAAAUCAAACAAGAGAAGUGAAUUGGGCCUAUCAUUGGAAAUAUUUCCUGAAAAUAAAUAUUUCGGGGUUGGGGCGUUUCAGUGAUUGUCUUUGAGAUAUCGAAGGUUCUGUGUGAUCGAAUACUUCGUCCUCCUCCAGAGCCGCCACUGUUGAGAGGGUUACUUGCCUCAUGCAAACAUUAUGAAUUGUAAGUGAUGAAUUGUUCUGAUGAUGAGGUUUAUUUUUUAACUCAUUAUGUUUUGAGUUUAAACAUUUUUCCCUCUCUUUAAUGUAUAUAAGAUUAGUGUAAAAUAUUGUUCGUAAUAAAAAAAUAUAAAAAUGAUACAUUCUCAUUCAUAUAUAAGAUGAUCAAGUGUGGAAUUAAUACUUUUAACGAGUGACUCAAUUAACCAUUUUCAUUUCUUACGCAUUCAAAAUUAGACAAAUUCUUUGCAUACAUUUAAAAAAAAAAAGAUAUUCAGGAGACUUUGAAACUAUUACAUUACGGGAGAGGGAAUUUUGAACUCGGGACGCAUGAGUAGAACCCAAACGCUUCUCCACUAGGAUAUUAGACUAGUGCCGGUCCUGAAUUUUUUGGUGCCUGGAGCGAAUAAUGUGCCCUUUUCAAGUACAACAACAUAAAUUAAAAAGAAAUAUUUAAAGAGGGUUGGAACCCAGUCGAAGCCGGGGGGCUAGGCCCUCACGCCCAUAUUAUAUUACUCUGAAAACAAAAAAACAUACAACAUGGGAACAUAGUACUGAAACCUCGACAAUCAAAAGCAAAAUCAAAUACAACCACUCCAAGCAGUUAACAUAGCCAUCACAUAUUGAAUCCAAAAGGUUGACUACCCAUUCGCUGCAUAUAAUGUGCAGAAGAUAACAAAUUCUGAAGUGAUAUGCUCCCAAGUAUGAUAUUGGGCAGAAAAGAGCGGCGGCUUCAACCACUUCUUCAGCUAUAUCCGGCUGGGUGAGAGCAGCUAAAGACAUGAUUGUUCCCUAAUUACAUGAAUACAUGGAGUAAACACCAAAAGUAGCAGCAAGGGAAGGAGAUUUGAAGUAGAUGAAGAGGUGUGAAGAGUCUAAAGACCUGUGAAUGUCCAACAACAAAGACUUCGGAGCUUGUUGUCGAAUAUAUGCAGCGUAUCAUUUCUGACAGAUCAAAUCGAGCCAAUUCCUGCCAACUCCAAUCCCAAAAAUCCUACAGUAAAGCAUAAAUCUUAUUCUUUUCUGAUAAAGAUGUGCCCCUAACUCCAAUGUGUUUGACGCACAAUUCCUACCCAUACAUAGAAACCUUCAUCUGCAAAGACAAAUUCCAGCGAUUCUUCUGGAGAAUUUAAGAACCAUGCAUCACCUGGUUAGAGCCUAAUUUAAAAUGUAUCCGAUGGAUGUUCAUCAAUUUACACAAUAGUUAGUUUCAAGAAAGGAAAUUUCAACAGAACCUGAAAACUUCAGAUCAGGGGGCACCAAAUAGUGAGCUAUACAUUCAAAAUUUAAAAUAAUCAACUUAGUAGGACCAAUAUGUUGAAAAAAUUAGAAGGAGCUAUGAAAGUAAGGCUUUUCACUAAUCAGGCGUCCAGAGAAUCAAUAUUUUACUCACGUAUCAGUUACGGGGAACAAUCCCCACCAGAGCAAUCUCAUUAGUUCUUCACAUCUCAACCGUACAGAAAUUACACUAACAAACACGACUCCUGUUAGUCCUUCACAUCUCAAAUCCAGGAAGUACCCAUCUUUCGUCUGAAUCUGGAAAAUAAGCAGCACUCAAUUUAACAAUCUGGGUAUCUCAAAGUUACUCACUUUAAUCACAAAUUUAACAAUUAAACAUAUAAAUGGGCAUUUUCUAGUGAAAUAUUAGUAUAGUACUCACUGUGUGCUCGGAGCAAGAGCACCCAGAAAGCUCAAUGAGCUGUGCAGUGAGGGACUGUAGCGGUGAAUGACGGCAACCGAUUCUGUAAAAUUCAGUCGAGUUUUAGGCGAUUUCGGAGGUCAAGAGGCUGAUGAGGAAAGCUGGGACGGAAGGGCACUGGUCUGGAAGAAAGGCUCUGGUCGCCGCUGUCGCGAUUUGCAAAGGAAGAAGUGACAUUCUUCCAAAUAGGAAGAUGAAAUCGUUAAGGCUUUUAUUUAUUCCUCCUCUUGAUGCGCCCUUUUAGACUGCCAAUUCCAGACGAUCCAAUCUCAUAUAUCUUCCCUGCAAAAGCAUGUGUGCCAGACUUCAAGAUCAAAAUUUUCCAACAAAAGAAACUUAAAGAUCAAACUCGUUAGCGGAAUAAAUGGUGCACAAAGGGAGUUAAAAUCUUGACAGAUGUAUAUUUUUGGCAGAUUUUAUGUGAGCAUGCAAUUUUCUGUAGAACUUAAAAGCUGCAUAGCUGCUCUUGUUCGUUGUAUUGAAUACCAUGGUUUUACUGAUGAAUGCAGAGUUUGCUGACGAUUCAUACGACAAGCAAAUGAAUCAUCCACUGUAAUUUGCAGAGUUUACUGAUGAAUGCCCCACAUAUACCCAAAAAAAAAAAGUCAUUUAAACAAAUUCAGAGCGUUCAUCCACUGUAAUUUGCAGAUAUAGACACGUUAAGAUAAAAGGAAAUGCAAAGUACCUUUCACCCAAAUUGGAGGAGCAACGGUGGCAUUAGCAAGUUAGCAACGGGAAUUGACAUACCAACAUCUUCACAGUUUCUGCACAAGCACAAAUCAAUAGAAUCCGGCGGUGGAGUUAUGUACCUCUCCUUGGAAAAUGCCACCUCUUGGGAUUUCAAAAUAUGCGGCCGUGGCUAGCCAUCUGACAACGCCAAUUCCACCAAAGCCGCCGCAAUGGGGCAUAGUGUCCGAUUGAUUGCUUCAAACAGAGUACCCAAAACCCCUGAAAAUUAUUUCUUUAUUCAGAUAAUAAAAUUUCCCAAAUUUCGAAUUUUAAUUCCGUAUCAAAAAUAGGGUUUGAAUUUUGAUUACCUAGAAAUUGGAGGGUUGGGGCGAACACGGAGCGUGUCGGGAAUACCUACAAGGCUUUUGCAGUGUAUCAGAUUUAAAUACUGAAGCCCCGUAAGCCGUUCAAUCCAGGGGGAAAGCUCUUUGAUAGAUGUUCCAUCCAAGAAAAGCUCUCUUAAUCCUUCCAUAUCUUCUUUAAUGCUUGGAAACACCUCAAAUUUUGUACAACCGGAAAGAGAGAGAGAGACAAGGGACUUGAGCUGACAAAUGCUGCUUGGAAGACUCUUAAGUUCCUUGUAAUUUUUUAGUUUCAAAUGAUUCAAUCCUGUGAGAUUAUUAAUUGAUGAUGGCAAUUCUUUAAUUUUUGACCAUGAUAAAUCAAGAAUUUUUAACCCCUCAAUCACUUCUGAAAUAUCUGGAAACAUCUCAAGAUUCCAACAACCAUAAAAAUAAAAGGUUUUGAGAGAUUUCAUACGAAUGCUGCUUGGAAGACUCUUAAGUUUUUGACAAUUUGAUAGGUUCAAAUGAUUCAACCCCGUGAGAUUAUUAAUUGACGAGGGUAGUUCUUUAAUUUUUGACCCGGAUAAAUCAAGCUCUUCUAACCCCUCAAUACCUUCUGAAAUCGAUGGAAACAUCUCAAGGCUGGAGCAAUCAUAAAGAUUAAAGGUUUUCAGACACUUCAUAUGAAUGCAGCUGGGAAGACUCUUAAGUUCCUUGCAAUCUUUUAGGUUGAAAUGACUCAACCCUGUGAGAUUAUUAAUUGACAGGGGCAGUUCUUUAAUUUUUGACCAGGAUAAAUUAAGCUCUUCUAACUCCUCCAUACCUUCCGAAAUCUCUGGAAACAUCUCAAGACUAGAGCAGCGAGAAAGAUUAAAGGUUUUGAGAGAUCUCAUACGAAUUUUGCUGGGUAGAAUCUUAAGUUCCUUGCAAUUUGAUAGGUUCAAAUGACUCAACCCCGUGAGAUUAUUAAUUGAUGGGGGCAGUUCUUUAAUUUUUGACCUGGAUAAAUUAAGUUCUUCUAACUCUUUCAUACCUUUUGAAAUCUCUGGAAACAUCUCGAGACUGGAGCAGCCAAGAAGAUUAAAGGUUUUGAGAGAUCUCAUACGAAUUUUGCUAGGUAGAAUCUUAAGUUCCUUGCAAUGUGAUAGGUUCAAAUGACUCAACCCCGUGAGAUUAUUAAUUGAUGGGGGCAGUUCUUUAAUUUUUGAAUAGGAUAAAUUAAGUUUUUCUAACUCCUCCAUACCUUUUGAAAUCUCUGGAAACAUCUCAAGAUUGGAGCAGCCAGAAAGAUCAAAGGUUUUGAGAGAUCUCAUACGAAUUUUGCUGGGUAGAAUCUUAAGUUCCGCGCACCAAUUCAGAUCCAAUAAAACAAGGUUUGUAAGAGUCGAAAUAGACGCGUGAACCUCAACUAAGCUUAUACAACUUCGAACAAUUAGCCUCUCAAGAUUUGGCACAUUUGUGAAGUCAGGGGUUUCCUUAAGGGAUUGACAAUGACUUAAAUUGAUGAAUUUCAACUUUUCCUGCGUCUGUUAAAACAUUCAGGAAAACAUGCAUUACUUAAUAAGACAUCUCACUCAAAGCCCAAACAUUUAAAAGAAACAAAUACAUGUAAAUGAUUGUACGUACCUGGGUUCCUUCCCAAAGUCGAUCAAUGAGACUAUAUUGCAUGUCAAGUUCAACAAGAUUUUCGAAUUGAAAGUUGGAUGGCAAAGACUUGAGAGGGAAAUCAAGCCAGGAGAGAUACCUCAGGUUAAGCAACUUUAAGGACCCAAACAGGUAUUGUUUGCAGUACUCAUCUUUAAAAACGAAGUGCCUAUGACUGAUCUCGAGAAGUCUUUGUUGAGUCCUUCCAACAACAGCUUCAGCAUUUAAGUUCCUAUGAUGACUGAUCUUGAGAAGUCUUCGUUGAGUCCUUCUAACAACAGAUUCAGCAUUUAAGUGCCUAUGACUGAUCUUGAGAAGUCUUAGUUGAGUCAUUCUACCAAAAGCUUCAGCAUUUAAGCAUGGCCAGCCUGAGUACGAGAAAUCCACAAUUAUGCUUUCAACUGUUUUUGUAGCCUGUGCAAAUCAAAGUAAAGGAAAAUACAGAGAACCUUAGUUUUGAUUAUGAAAUUAAUGAUUGUUUCUUAAGGAGCCGUCUGAUAAUCAUUUCAUUUUCUGUUUAAUUGUUUUCAAUUUCAUUAUUACAACAAUGAAAACUAAAAAUUGAAAACAAAAAUGGUUAUCAAACGGGUCUAAGAAAUUGAUUUUGAUCAAAAGUUGAACCUUUCUACUAACAAUUGCAUAAGAAAAAUAUUUCUCACCGCAUUUUCAGUUAGCACCUGACGAACAUCUUCAUAACUCCACAACCUACUUCGUCUCCCAGGAUCUUUGAUAGAUUCUUGGCGGACAAUUUCCCAACCCAUUUCCUCUAAUGAAUCAUGCAUCUCCAAUUCCCCCAACCUUGAGACAGUUAUGAGAGAUCGAUCGAUUAGAACUUUUAUUCCUGUAUGAGGAUGGAAACCACAACUGUCCAGAAUUUCAGUUGCCUGGUCUUCCUUCAUCCCUUUAAAGAAACAUGCAAUAUCUAGAAAGAUGUCCUUCUGCGUGUCAUCUAGUCCAUCGAAGCUUGUUUUAAGCACAUCAUGAACUCCCCUUUGUGGGAUUUUCCUUAUUUUUUCCAACUCACCUUCCCACACGCGUAUGGUUUUUUUAUGCAAAAAAGCUCCCAAGACUUUGAGGGCUAAAGGCAGACCUUGAGCAUAUUCUACAACACGAUUCGAGAGAUCAUCAUAAUCUCUAGUGGGUUGGUCAUUUCUGAAGGCGUGCUGCCUAAAGAGUUUCAGAGCUCCAGAAUCACUCAAAGUCUUGGGAUUAUAUAUCACAUCAGCUAUGCUUAGUAACUGCGAAUCUCUACUUGUUAUAAUAAUCCUACUUCCACCACCAAAGGAAUGUUGCUCUCCAAGUAAAGCUUCAAUUUGUUCUAAUUUGUCCACAUCAUCAACAACAAUAAGAACUUUUCUCUGACCAAGGCUUUUUAACAUCACCUGGAAACCUUUACUCAAUAUGUCAGAAAUCCCCACCUUGUUGUCUGAGAUACUAGAUAGAAGUAGUGUCUGCAUAUGUAGUUCACCCUGCUUCAUGAAACCCUCCUUGACAUUUUUAAGAAAGCAACCAGCUUCAAAUCGACAAGAGAUUUCAUCAUAAACAGUUCUAGCGAUGGUUGUUUUGCCUAAACCACCCAUACCCCAUAUUCCAACAACGCGAACAUUAUUCGUUUCACCUCCGGGAGGAUAUAAUAAUAAAUGCAUUUCAUGCAUGUGAGAAUCCAUGUCAACCAAGCCAUUAUCUUUGCUUGAUGUUGAUGAGAUGUCUAUCAAUUUCCUAUAAACAUCUUCUACAAUUUCCUCAAUAAGCACCACAUCAUUCCUGUCAAAUUUAAAAAACAUAUAAUAACAACAUCAAAUAAUAAUUAAUGGGUCUUUUUCAUCUGUUAGUUAAAAAAAAAUAGAAAUUAAAACUAAAACUAAAAUCUAAACGUUACAAAAAUCCCAAAAAUUAAAAGGAAACUAAAACAAAUUAGAAUUUACUCAUAGUUUCGCGAAUCCCAGCCGGAUAAACAGGUGGCAGUUGUAAGAGUAGAUCUCCAACUCCGAACCUCUUCCAUUUCGGCGUUAGAAUCGCGAUCGUGCUCAGAAAAGCUUGUGCGAAACUUUUCUUGAGCUUACGAACAUGAGACGGAUCAACUUCAUAGAAAAUGGGGAGUACAAUCUGGUUAUUGGUAUCCUUGCAUUCCAGGAUUUGCACGAGUUCUUUCAAGCACCAAGUGGAAGAAGCAUAGUUUUGAGAGAAAACUACAAGCGAAAGCCUUGACCCUCGAAUCGCUGUCAGGAGCUCGGAAAGGUGGUCGCCUUUUCUGAGCUUUUCCGCAUCAAUGAAGGCGUUGAUUGGUUUCUUAACCAGAGCGUUGUAGAGAUGGCUGACGAAGCCCCUGCGAGUGUCUUCCCCUCUGAAAUUGAUGAACACAUCGUAUUUCCAACCAAGGUUAGAAGCAGCAGCCAUUAAUCGAUCGCACCUGGUCAGCGAUGAUCGAGCAGCUAAGACUAAGAAUAAUGUAAGAACAGAAAUACUCGAUUGAUCUAUAAAUUGAAUCACUGAAGAAACUGGUCUGAUCGAUACGAAGUCAACGAAGACAAAGAAAAUAAUGCUUUAUGUGUUUUCACAUCUUCUUCCGGGAAAUUUAACGAAAAUAAUUUUCCUUUAGGCAAAAUUGACUUCAAAAUAUAAAAAUAUUCUUUCAAUUAUGGACAUAUGACAUUUCGGUGUGAAACGAAUAUGCUUAUUUGGUUUGGUUUGGACCCAAGAAAGGACAAAGAUUGUCUGCCCUCCUACUUCCGGUGCCCUUCCAUGCCCUUCUGUUUGUGUAGUCACGGUUAAGCCACGUCAACAUUUUAUAUUACUAUUUAUUUUUGUCUUAUUAUCUCUAUAAAUAAGCAAUAUAAAAUAUUAACGUGGCAUAAUCGUGACCACAGAAAACAAGAGUUGGCACCAAAAAUAGGAGGACAAACAACCCUUGUCCCCCAAGAAAAUGCUAAGAAAGGAUGGUUUAGCAGCUGUGCAUGAGGGGACUGGGUCAAAGUACCCUGUUGAAUCCACUCUUGCCUACCCAACAACUUAUUUAGUUAUUUGUAAGCCCGAAAUAUAUCCCGAUCUUUCUAUUCACACCAAAAGUAAGUAGAGUGAUAAGAAAUAUUUCCGGUUAAGUAUAAGCAUGUCAGUCUGCAGCAGCAUAGCCACGUUAAGGGCUACCGUGGGCUGUAGUCUAUGUAAUUUUCAGUGAAAAAUAAAAUUUUACAUGUAAUUUUUAUUGAUUUUCAAAUAUACUUCUUCAUAUAUACAGUCUUUAAUCUGAAUUAUCUCAUUUUAAUUAUAUAAUUAUAUAAUACAGUUUACAAACUGUCUCUUUUUCUUACAUCAUUUUUCUCACCGCUUCUUGCACAUGUACAAGUUUGGAUUUUGUUUGAAUUUUAACACGUAUUUGUUUAAAAACGAAAAUCCUUGGCUUACAUAGUGAAAAUUUUCUUAAGUUAGCUGAUACUUUGAAAAAUACAGGAUCAAGUUUCUUUGUUUAUAAAGAUUUAAAUCUUUAAGCUAGCCCACCCGGUGAAAAAUUCCUAACUCCGUCAUGCAUUUUACAUAUAAUUUUUAUUGAUUUUCAAAUGUAGUCCAUCAUAUAUACCGUCUUUAAUCUGAAUUCUCUUGGUUUAAUUAUAUAAAAUUAUAUAAUACAGUUUACAAACCGUCUCUUUUCUUACAUCCUUUUUCUCACUGCUUCUUAUACAUGUACAAGUUUUGAUUUGUUUGAAUUUUAACACGUAUUUGUUUAAUAACGAAAAUCAUUGGCUUACAUAGUGAAAAUUUUCUUAAGUUAGCUGAUACUCUGAAAAAUACAAGAUCAAGCUUCUUUGUUUAUAAAGAUUUAAAUCUUUAAGCUAGCCCCCUGGUGAAAAAUUCCUAGCUUCGCCAUUGAGCAUGUGGUAUAUCCUAUGAUAUCAUGGACGGCAAACGAGCGAUUAAUGGUUGUUUGGCAUUUAAUUUGAUGUCACGGUAGUAACGGUACUCUAAAAUCUUUGAUAUACUUGCUUUCAGCUACAAAACUACUAGAACUCCGAAAAUUGCUUAUGAAAAUAAAAAUAUUGACUAGAUUUGAACUUGUAUAAUCUAUGUCUUCACUACACAUUGUUGUGUUCGCUCGUGUUCUAAAGUUGACGCUAGCUAGAAGGUCACAGCAAGAAGCAGAGGAGGCUAACUAUUGCAGAAAUUUGUUUAUUCAAAAGCAUUUGUAAAAACACAUAUUGAAAUUAAUUCACGCCAAAAAUAAAUAAUACAGUGGUGGCAGGCACACUACAACAAUAGGGUUUUAACCCUAUGCAUUUUUAUAUUGGCUUUUGUGUUAUCAGUUGCGACCGCUCGGUGGAGAGAGCAUUUUAUGUUAUGAAUAAAAAUACCACUGCGUAACAAAAUAGAAGAUUAAUGGUUGAGUGAUAGCUGGUUUGUUUGCAAUGAGAGAGAUGUUUUUGCUUUUAUUGAUAAUGAAUCUAUAUACGCGAUGUUUUCAUAGCAUAAAACAUCGCCGACAACAAUUGUAACUUUUUGUGUUGAUAAAUUAGGAAAGACAUUAAUAUUUUCUAAUAUCUAAAAGAAUUUGGAUGUCUACAUUUUUUUGGAAAACUUUUUACCCUUCUAAAUUUCGCGCCUCUCCCGACAAUUCCUAGCUUCGCCACUGCUAUAGUCAACUCCAAGUCUUGUCCAUGAUAUCAAUAUCCCUACUGUAAACGGUGACUUCAAUAUAAGCUAACAAAAAGUUUGUAUAGAGAAGAUAUAUGCAUGAAAAAAUGGCAGUGUUUGUGUUGCCGAACGGAUGAUACUGAAAUACCUAAACCCAAGUCAAGCUCCUUUAGUCCACAAAAACAAAAGUUUAGAAUACAAUAAUGUUUGCAUAUAGAUUGGAGAAACGACAUACCACCGGCCAGGAAGGUGCAGUGAAAGAGAGAGGAAAAGAGGAAAGAAACAAAUACGAAAUGACAAAGACUAUCAAAUAGAUUAUAACAAUGACUUCUUAGCGGUGAUCACAACUAUUCAACUAUCGAUGAUGCUUUAUUUUAGAUUGAGAUGUGGAAGCAUCUGAGAAGUAGCAUGUCAACAACCAUUACACAAUAAUAUUGUCUAAUAUCUAAAAGAACUUGGAUAUCUACAUUUUUUUAGAAUCUUUUACCCUUAUAAAUUUCGCACCUCUUCAGACAAUUUCUAGCGUUGCCGCUGCUUCAGUCAACUCCAAGUCCUAGUGGUUCUUGUCUAUGAUAUCAAUAUACCCAUUGUAAAUGGUGAUUUCAAUAUACAUAGAGUGUGUACAGGGGAGAUAUAUGUAUGAAAAAAUGGCAGUUGUUGUAUCUGUGUUGACGAACGGAUGGUACUGGAAUACCUAAACCCAAGUCAAGCUUCUUCAGUCCACAAAAACAAAAUGUUUAUUAUAUAAUAAUGUUUGCAUAUGGACUUGCGAAACAACAUACCGCCGGUUGGGAAGGUGCAAUGAAAGAGAGAGGAAAGGGGGAAAUAAACGAACAAGAAAUGACAAAGGCUAUCCAAUAUAUUAUAAAAUGACUUCUUGGCAGUGAUUAAGCUAUUCAAUUAUCAAUAAUGCAUUAUUCUUAAAGUUUAUAAUAUAAUAAUGUUUGCAUAUGCACUUGCGAAACGACAUAUCGUCGACUGGGAAGGUGCAAUGAAAGAGAGAGGAAAGGAGGAAAUAAACGAACAAGAAAUGACAAAGACUAUCCAAUAUAUUAUAAAAUGACUUCUUGGCAGUGCUUAAGGUGUUCAACUAUCAAUAAUGCAUUAUUCUUAGGUUGAAAUGUGGAAGCAUCCGAGAAAUAGCAUGGUAACAACCACACAAUAAACAAAAGUGAUUAGAGAAAAGAACCAAAUGUGAAAGGAUAAUUAAAAACAGUUAUUCAAGAUCGGCGGUAAAUCAUUCAGCUAUUUACAAGAUUUGAACUUAGAACCGCAAUCUACUAGAUUGUUGUAUCAACUAUUAAGUGGUGUUCUAAUAUAAUUCUUAGGAAUUUCAAGGAGGCAUAUGGGGGUGGAUCAUUUUUUUUCUAAAUUCGACAGUACAAAGAAGAAUUUAAUUGAUAACGGAAAAAAUAAGUUACAUAUAGAGCUGGAGCAUAUAAUAGACCCAAAUUGACCAUUUUUAGGCUCCACUGCUAAGAACUAUUGCAAAAUGCUCAUUAGGAUUACCCUGUGAACUCCGUCCUUCCACACCAAGCCUCCAAACUCAGUCCGAUAUGUUGCAGCUAGUUUAGAUACUUGUCCCCUGCAUGUUACAGAAUCACAAGAGCAAGCUUACAAAACUGCAGUUUUUACUCAUAGUUAUUGCAAAUGAAAAUACAGGUUGGUGCCAGCAAUUAUCAGUGUAAUUCUCUAUCCGACGGUAUUUCUCUCGCCUUCUCUUGAUAAUUUCGGAUGUGACAUGUUUAAGAUAACUCUUCCAAACACGUUGCUUAUGCCUAAUUUUUAAUACCACCAUAUCAUAUCAUAGUAAAUCCAAAUAACUAUCGAAUGGCAUUUAGGCAUCUAGAAUAUCAAAUGCAUUACUUUACAUUGAAAAUUCAUUUAUUCAAUAGCAUUAAUACACUAGUAAAAAAAACACUUUGCACGACGUAGGUCCUUCGUCGCGCAAAGUCAAAACAUGUCGCGCAAAACUUUGCCCAACGAACCUUCGUCACGCGCAAACCGUCGCAGCAAGGCAGUGACAUAAGGCUUUGCACGACGAAGGGUUACAUGCAUCGCGCAAAGCCACUUUGCGCGACGCAUGUAACCCUUCGUCGCGCAAAGCCAUUUUGUGUGAUGCAGGCUGCGUCGCUCAAAGUGGCGUCACGCGAAGAUGCUUUGCGCGACACAUGUCAUUGAGUUGCACAAAAUGACUUUGCGCAACGUAACCUACGUUGCGCAAAGUGUAUUUUUGGUUUUGGUCAAAAAUAUUAUUUUCUUAAUUUUUAAUAAUGUUGUAAUUAAAUUCUAAACAAUAAUUAAUUAACCAAAAAAAGUAUUUAAUUAUAAAAUAUAUGGAAAUGUACAUACAAGAUGUCCGAAUAAAAAAGAAAAAACUACAAGUAGUCUUCUAGGUGAAGUGGCUACUGGGUAUCAACAUGGUGAAGUGGCUUCUAGGUGAAGUAACAUUUCGAUGACGUGAAAAAGUUUCAAUUGGUCAUCUACAAGUGUCAAACCUAACACAUUUUACUUAAAAAAGAAAAAGGUAAUAACAUAACUCAAAACGAAAAGCAAAAGGGAAAAAAAAAAACUUUGCGCGACAUAAGUACAUAUGCAUCUCGCAAAGUUUUUUUUUCCCCCUAUUGCAGAUACAAAUAACAUCAUCCUUUUGCAAGAAUCAGUCUCUGCCCUCUCGCCCUCCCUCUCCCGCUCCCUCUCCUUCUCCUUCUCCCCUGUGUAGUUGUUGGUUGUGUUGUACGAAGUCGUCCCUCUCCCUCUCCCAUGUGUUGUUGUUCGUUGCACAAAGUAUUUUGCCCGAUGCAGGUGUACCUACGUCCCGUAAAGAUUUUUUUUUUUGCCCUUUUGCUUAUGAGUACAAAAUAAAUAAAUUAAAAUCUACUUACUAAAUCAACUAUGGAGCUUUUGACUUGUGUUAGAACACUGGAAAGAAAGACAAAAAGAGACAUUUUCAUGUUGACUUUGCACGACGCAUAGUACAUCAUGCGUCGCGCAAAGCUGUUUUGAGUGACGUAGUGUACCUGCGUCGUGCAAAGUUGGAAAAAAAACGGUAAAACAUUCUUGGUUUGGCCCCAAAAUCUUGCGCGGCGCACAAAACGUCGUGCAAGUGGUCUUUAUGCGACCAUACUUUGCGCAACGAAGGAGUGCGUCGCGCAAAACAGUUUUGAACGACAUAGAUGUACCUUCGUCGCGCAAAACAAUUUUGUGCGACCCACUCCUUCGUCGCACAAAGACCACUUGUGCGACAUCUUGUGUUUAGCGUUGCACAAAGUAUGUUUGCGCGACGAAAUUUGCUACGUCACGCAAACAUGUUUUUGUACUAGUGAUAACACACACAUUGAAUCUCCACUUGCCCACCCAAAAACUUCUUUGUAAACUAGAAAUAUAUUCCAAUCUCCCUAUUCACAUGAAGAGUGAGUUAGAGUGAUUGGAAAUAUCUUUGAUUACGUGUACGCACACCACAUAUGUGCCAUAUCCAACGGUAUUGCGGACAUAAAGCAAGCAAGUAAUGGUUGUUUGGCUUCUAAUCUGAUGUCACGGUAGUGACGGUACUACUUUGAAAUCUUUGAUGUAUAUGUUUUUAACUACAAACUACUAGAACUUCACAAAUUGCUUAAAUACAAGUUCAAGCAAUAAUAAGAAUAUUUCCAAUAGAACACCUUUCAUAGGGCCGGUCCAGAAAUUUUUGAGGCCCGGGACGACGUAAAAAAAAGUGCCCUAACUUCAUGUAAGAAAAUUAUUUAUUUUCACACGUAAGACAUCGAUAAAAUUAUACUUAGAAAAACACUUCAAACUUAAUAAUUUAAAAACACAUAAAGACUAAUUUAUUUUGUAUUGAGAGAGGGAAACAACAAAACUUCGGGCUUACAAGUAGAUAGAUGAUGAGUUUUGUUUUCCAUCUGAACUUUGAAUGUGUUUUUGAAUAAAUCAUGAGGUGUUUUUUUCUUAUUUACUAAUCUUGUCAAUAUGGGACUAUAAAAAAAUGAUGUUUUCGAGUCUUUAAUUGAUAUGUAUUAUUAAUGAAUUGGCACUAAAUUAAACAUUUUGAUGACAUGUCAUAUAAUUUGCAAAUUUGGUCUACGUAUUAUUCUUUGUUGAAGAUUAGACUUGAAUUAAAACGAAUAUUUAAAAAUAACAACCCACAUAUCUACUAGAUAGUAACUAAAAAUAAAUUAACAACCAAACAAAAAUUUGUAAAAAUUGAAAAGAAUAAACAUGCACAUAGCACUUCAAACAAAAAUCAUUGUUUCUAAGGGGGGUGUAUUCAAUUGAGAAUGUGAAAGAUUUUAAUGGAUUUAUAAAUCCAUGGAUUUUUAUGGAGUUUAAUUGAUUUGUAGAGAUUCCAUAUAAAAUUUUGAUUCAAUUCCUUCGAAAUCUCAUGGGAAGAGGUGAGAUUUGUGGAUACUUAAAAUACACUACGAAAUCUCUCCAAUUCCCUCUAAUUCUUUAACUUUCUCAAAUUCUUUAAAAUCAAUUUCUAAUUGAAUACACUUGGAAUGUUAUAAACUUCUUUAAAAUCUUAAUUGAAUACACCUGGAUUUCUAAGGAUUUUAAUAAACUAUUUUGAAAUUCUAAUUGAAUACACCUAGAAUUUCAGAGAAUCACUUAAAAUCCUAAUUGAAUACCCCUGGAAUUAUUAAUUCCCUGAAACUCUCUCAGAAUCCUAAUUGAAUACACCCCUCUAAGUAGACUUCUUGAUCCUUUUACCAAAUUUUAUAAAUUUAUUCUCUUAUGAAAAGAAAUUUGUAAAAAAUGAAAUGUAAAUAAGCACACAUGGUGUUUUGAACCCAAUACCUCCUCAUUAUUUUCAAAUGACAAACCACCACUUCUAGUUAAAUUUCUAUGUCUUUGAACCAAAUUUUAUAAAUUUAUACUCUUAUAAAAACAUACAUAAAUUGACACACCCCAUCCCGAAGGAGGGCAUGCUGGCCGUCACGUGAGAGUGACGUAACCAUUUGCACAGUACGGAAGCUUUAAGAUACAAUUUAUAAGUUGAUACACCCGAAGGUGAGUCCUAAUUUUGUCCAAUCUGUCAGAACACCGUCGAAUUCCUCGUAGUCACCACACCUUUGUGAUUCUUGAACCUGGAGGGGCGCAAAACCAAAAUUGAGUGGGUCAGUAAAACAAUUCUUUUCCAAAUCCAAACAUUUCUCAAAACGUUGUAACCCCUCUCCGUAAAACCUGUAUACUUUCCCAGAAAUGUAAAAUAUAAAUAUACAUAUAUAUUCUCAAAACUUCAUUUUUACUAUCUCAACAUUUUUCUUUAUCAAUCAUGCCAUGCCAUGUCUAAUUCAACAGUUAAAUAUGGAUGCAUCAACAAUAAUCAUAUCAGGUGCAAGAAAGUAAUCAACCGGAGGCCCUCUAAUAGCCCUGUACGGUUGAACCUAGAGCUCAAAAUCUAUCACUAUCACUCUACCGGAGUCACCUCUGUGACCCGUCCGGCCUUCUGCACACAAGUUAUGCUCUAGUGCUUUCUCAUCAAUCAUCUGUGCACAUAAUCUAAGGUCACCCACCAGUCGGAAUCUCACUAACACUCUCGCGACUGGCCUGUCGUACCCACUCCGCGUGGACUGUACGACUAGCAUCUACUUGGAUCCAAGGCGAGCGUGCGAUGCGGUGAAUACUAUAAGCACUAAACCAUUGGUGCAGGAUUUGAGCUCAAUAUAUAUCAACAUCAUCAUAACAGUAAUUAAAUACUCACCUGAUACUCACCUGUGCGUCCGCCGCACCAUUCAUUCAUAUGCAUCAUAUCUCAAUUCAUACUUUUCAUAUCAUUUCAUGCAUGGCAAUUCGAUUCACAUUUCUAUAUACUUUUCAUAUACUUUUAUGCAUGGCAUUUCAACUAAUAUAUCUCAUAUACUUUUAUACAUUUUCAUUAAAAACAUAAUUUCAUGCAUUUUCAAUUUCUGGGAAACGGCAAGUAUAUAUGUAUACGGAAAACAAAACUGCCCACUCACCUGGAGUUCGCCCUACAACUCCCUAGCACAAUACGCCAAGGCGUCAUGACGAUCGGCGCCUAAAAACAAUAAUUAAUUCCAACCUCAGAAUUCAUAGUGAUAGAAUAUAUAACUUAUAUAAAAUACGUCACUACGUAGUUCGAUCCGGAAGAUCUGCCACUCAGAUUUUAAAUCCAUAACUUCCAGAGGUCCACAAUAUACCUCUAGGACAACUUCCUAAAAUUUCAUUACCAUCCAACGGUCGGAUCUCCGUCAAUUUCCAAAACUAAGUGACGGUUAACAUUUUAUUUUAUGAACUUACAAUUCCAAUUCCGGAAGAUCCGUAACUCGGAUUCCCAAUCCGUAAGUUCCAAUAAUCCUCAAAUAUUACGUAUUACAACGUAUCAAAGUUUGGUAACGAUCCAACGGUCGGAUCGUCAAUUCACAUUUUCACCAAAACUAUAAAACGUUAUUCGAACACCUAACCAACAAUCCUUAAUAACUUUCUCAUACGGUGCUCAAAUUGGGUAUAUGAAUAUACCACGGUGAUCUACUCGACGUCACGGACGUCGACAUAUUUUUAAAAUAAUUUUAUUUAUUUAUUUUUUUUAACUGUAGCACCUUCUUCUUCCUUGGGUCGCCGGACUGGUUUUUCCGGCGGCCGUUUUCCGGGCAGUUUUUCAAAUUGUCAUAACUUUGUCAUUUCUCAACGAAAUCAAGUGAUUCAAAAACGAAAGUUGUAGCCCUUGAAGAGACAAAGAGAAUGGUACCUUGCACAACACCUAGUUCGCCGUGGUUUGGCCGGAAACUGCCUCGAAAGCCUCGGAGGUCGCCGGAAACUGGGUAUUUUUCAAAUGAGUAUAACUUCUUCAAUACUCAACGAAAUUGAGUGAAACAAAAAGGAAAGUUGUAGUACUUGACGAGACGAAGAGAUUGAUACCUACCUCGACUCCUAACUCGCCGGGGAUUCGCCGGAAAAUGCCUCGAAGCUCCGGCCAAACUUUGAACUUGUCGAUCUCCGUGUUCUUACGUCCAAAAACUUCCAACGAAGCACUCCGAGCUUCCUUGGAACCUCACUAAGCUCACUGUGAGCUUGGAUUGUCCUAAAACAAAGUCAAUUCGAAGAUCAUGAACAGUGCACUUUCACGGGGAGUUUAGAAUCUAGGUUUUUCCGAAGUAAAACUUACCUGAAAUUGGUGUCUACGUGAUCGUGGAGUCUCCAGGAGUUCGAUGGUGGUCUUAACUCCGUCGUUGGUAUAGAUUUAGGGUGGUUUUGGAGCUCGUCUGUGUGAGUUUGAAGGAGAGGGAGAGAGACAGAGAAUGAGAGAUUGUGAGGGAGGAGAGAGAGACAGGGUACGGGAAAUAGGGAGGGAUUUGAGGUGUGUGGUCCUACCUAACCCCAAAUCAUAAAAUUCCAUCUCCAAAUAACUUAGAAACAUAUAUUUCACCAAUAUAUGAUUCACAUAUCUUAAUCACGUUUAAGGGAAAUUCCGUCAAUUUACAAUCACGAGUGUAAAACUUUGGGACGGGCUGUGACAUAAAUAUAUCACCCUAAUAAUUUUGGUGCCCCUAAUUUUUCUGGGCCCUGGACGGUCGCCCUGCCUACACUGGGCCUAGGCCGACCCCCUUUCACAAUCCCUGGAGAGCUAGUUCAUUAAUAGACCGAGGAAUAAGUAAAUUGACUCAUUCAUAUAUUUAGAUCAUGAAUGUUUGGAAUCCAUAUUAUGUAAGGAGACAUUGCUUUUGCUAUUAUGAAAUUUAAAAAAAAAAAUGACUAGAUUAGAACUUGCAUAAUCUACGUUUUAUUCAUGGCAUGCGAUUAUUAAUGAUUAAAGCUAAGCUUAAUACUAUGGGAGGUAAAGUAGUGGAAAGCAAAUCCUUGGCACUCAUGGCACUUAUGGAGAAGAUGAAGAAAAGAAACCUAGGUCGUAUUUAUAUACAAACAUGUGACUAAAUUACAGAAAUGAUAACGAGAGAGCAUGUGAUUGUUGACAACCAGUGACAUGAGAAACACACUCUGGGAUCAUAUCCAUCAGAAGCCCAAUUCCAUCCUGUGUAAGAAAGAGAGCAUGAGAACACGAACAUGAAAAAUGAAAGAAUUGUAUUCAGCAUUUUGUCAAGCUAUCAAUUGGUACACAAGCAUUAUGAUGUAAUAAUCAUGUUAAAAUAAAAUAUAAAUAGUAAAACUACACGUCCAAGCUUUAAUCCAAAGAAUUCUCACUUAGUAGUCCAAAGCUAAUUGAUUACCAUUCGGUUGAUCCAGAAACACUCAACCUAUCCAACUAUUUUGCGACGUUACCAAAAACUACUACUACUUUCCAGGUGAAACAUGAAGGGUGAAAAAGCAAACAUGAAUCACUAGAUUUACUACAAAUGAUAUACCGAACAAUCUAACAGUAAAUAUCAACAAGACCAAUCCAACGUUAUCACAAAGCAUAUAUCAAUAAGAAAAAUAUAAAAAUAUUGUUACCUUACUGAAAGCUCCAAUAUUCGGUAAGGUAACAUUGGAGGUCACUAUCAUCUUUCCCGCGAUCAGUGAAUAAAAGCCAAAGAUCUGACUCUUGGAUUCGAGUCAUGGGUUUGGGUCGCAAUUCUCUCGUCGCAUGUUUGAAUACCAAGUUCAUCUUAACAGACUUGGUUUUUUUUAUCAAACAUCUUAACAUAUUUAGGGGUGUGUUCAAUUGGGGAUUUAAGAGAUUUUAAUAGAUUUAUAAAUUUAUAGAUUUAUAUGGAGUUUAAUUGAUUUGUAGAGAUUUCAUGUAAAAUUUUGAUUCAAUUCCCUCGAAAUCUCAUAAGGAGAUGUGAGACUUGAGGAUGUUUAAAAUACACUACGAAAUCUCUCCAAUUGAAUUCCUCAACUUUUUCAAAUUCUUUAAAAUUAAUUUCUAAUUAAAUUCAAUUGAAUGUUGUAAAAUUCUUUAAAAUCGUAAUUGAAUGCAUCCAGAUUUCUAAAUAUUUUAAUAAACUAUCUUAAAAUUCUUAUUUAAUACAUUGAAUUUUAGACAAUUACUUAAAAUUCUUAUUGAAUACCUUUAGAUUCAUUAAAAAAUUUAAAAUUUUUCAAAAUCCCAUUUGAAUACAUCACCCUUAAUAAAUUGUACAUUACAUUAUAUCCCAUUUGAGCACAUUAGCUUAUGCCUCCGGAUUCUGCAUAUCGGGUCGGGUUCCGAAGUUCGAGCUCACAUUUGAUAAUCAAAUUCAUCACAUUUGAUCCAACGGUGGUAAUUGGCAAACCCACCUCGGAGUCAAAAGAUGCGGCCCACGCUCCCUCUCUUUUCCAAAACCCUAGCAAAACCUCGGCCCUAUAAAUACCUUCCACAUCCGCCGCAGGAGGCACCCAAAUGCCCCUUUCUCUUCCCUUUCACACACUAAUCCCUCGCAGAGGCGAUGGGAUUCCCAGUUGCUUCUCCGUCGGAGAAACCUUUCCAACUGCUCCAUCUCUUUGCACCAUCGCCUCUGUUUCUUUUUUAUUUAUUUACUUAAUUAUUUGAGCAAUUUCCUUUAUCCUUGCCAUUCAUAUUUCAGAUUUUCAGCUUGUUUUUUUUUAUCCGAAAAAUAAAAUCGAAGUUGUAUGAGUUUUUUGCAAUUUUGUUGGGUGAGGCCGGUGAUGAUCGAAACAUAUUUUGCCUACAUUGCUUGAUUAUCUUAUUUUAUUGAGAUAAUGAUAAAAUCCGAUGUAUCUGAGGCCUUCCCGGAAGAACGAGCUUUAUUUUAUUUUUUAUUUUUUGGGUAAAAUGUAUUAUUUCAAAUCUUAAUAUUUCAAAAAACUGAAUUUUUAAAUUUCGACUAAAAUGAUGAGUUUUGUUGAUAUUUGCGAUAUAUCACUUAAAUAGUGAAGAAAUUCUUAAUUUCGUCUUAUUAAAUAUGUCAGAUUUUGUUUGAUAUUUUCUCGAUGUCAGAAGUCGAACUUAGAACUCUUAACCAUAAGAAUUGAAUUGAGCUACACUGGAUGCGUUGGAGAAAAUAUUAAUAACUGAAGGAGGAUUUAUGUUAUAACAAAAAUAAAAUAAAAAUGGUAUUCCGGUGCCAGGAUUCGAACCUGGAUGAAAACUCUUAACCAAUAAGACUUUUUGUGGUGAGCUUCACCGGACGACUUGAUAAAUCAUGGCGAAAUAAACUAUUUAAAUGUACUCCUUACGUUGUGCCGUAGAUAAACAAUUAGUGCACAUAAUGUAGUUAUCUGAUUUGUGGGGAAUGGUGAUGCUCACCGCUUAAUGUCGUCGUUGGAUCAGUUUAAGUUUUGAGAUCUGUGAAAUGAAUAAAUACAAAUUUAAAAAUUUAAAUUUAUUUAAUAAUAAUAAGUAUGGUAAUGAGAAAAAAAUGCAUCUUAUGGUUCAGAAACACACUCUCAAAUUUAAAUAACAAUUUUCAUGCUUUCCAACAACACAAAAAUUUUAUAACUAAGAAUCAAUCAAAACAUAAUGAUUGAAUGAGCGAGGAUUUCUUUUAUUUUUUCCAAAUUUUCUGAAGGUUUUUUCUAUAAAAUUUAUGGUGUCAUGAUUGCCUUAAAAGAAUCGUAAAUGUGUUCCUUGAAAAAUAAUAUGAAACCGUAUUUUGAGUUCUUAUGUUUAUUGUUUUAAUUCGAUCUAUCGUUUGAAGCCGCCUCCACCAAAAUAAAUUCAUAUCUAUAUUUUUUCUAUAACGAGUGAUUAAUAAAUCCAACCGUUUUUCAGCACCACAAAAUAAGUUACAACCCGAACACUAACGAGCGAUUAAUGGGUCCAACCGUUUUGCCACAUAUAUAUUUUCUUUUUAUCAAAACAUGCAAAUAUCUUCUUUACCAACUUGAAUCUCCCAUCGUUUGUUUUCUCUUCAUCCACAGAUUUGAUCUGUCUUUUUUGGUGAUCAAACCAAAAUUUUCUUGGACAUGAUUGUACAUACAACCAUUAAUAAACUAUCUCCAACAAAAGCCUAAACAUAGCCUCGUCCAAAAUUAUAGUCUUGCAAAAAAAUAUUUUUUUAAUAAACGAUGUCAAACUAUACUCAUGUACUAUCUUUAACCUGUAUGAAACCUUAAAAUGUAGUGAGCUUCAUCAGUUCAUGUUUAGUGCAAUUAUAUAGAACAAAAUGGUUGUAUUUCAUUUAGGAUUAGGACUUAUAUGUGUGACUUGUAAGGGAUUUAGAGCCACAAAGGAGGGAAACUUGAAGUUACAAUUAUUUGAAUUUGGCGACAGUUAAUCGAAGGAAAUUGCUUGUAACUGCAUCCUUGAUGGGAGGAUGAGUUGCGGAACGUACAUAUAUAUAUAUAUAUAUAUAUAUAUAUAUAUAUCACUUUGAUCUCUCUUCUUAGGUGUGUGUGAUCCCUCACGUAGAAAUAGUCCCAUUGAGUGUUCUUGGAUCAAUUUUGUGACCAAAGGAAGAGAAGAUAUCACAUCCUGGCCCGGGACGGACCACUUCCCGGGCCCACUCCACCACCGUAGCACGAUAUUGUCCGCUUUAGGCCCCGAUUAAGCCUUCACGGUUUUGUUUCUGGAAACUCACGAGCAACUUCUUAGUGGAUCACCCAUCAUGGGAGUGCUCUGCCCACCUUCUCACUUAACUUCGGAGUUCAGACAAAACCCGAAGCCAAUGAUCUCCCAAAAUGGCUCGUGCUAGCUAGGGAUGAGAAUAUACAUUUAAGGAUCACUCCCUUGGACGAUAUGGGAUGUUACAGAAGACAAAUGAUCAAACUUGUUGUCAAUGUCUUCUUCUACAAGUAAGUAAAUUCUCAUUACUUGUUAUAAUCGCUGCAUGCAUAAUGACACAAUAAAUGCAACAAUUAUCAUUCAAUGUUAAGAUUUCUGAACUAGGAUCAUGGUUUAAUUGUUAAUGAUAUAUAUAUCCAAGCAUAACCGAAAUAGCUAAACAUAGCCCCAUAAUAAUUUAUUAUUUUAAACCUUAUACUUUAAAUUAAUUAAUUAAUUUAAUUUAAUUAUCAUUGUAUGUUUUCAAAUUUAGCCGUUUAAUUUGAAUUAAUUGUUGCAACUGAGGAGCUGGAUCCCCAAAAAGGGCUAAGAGGGGUUCUAUAUUUGACCAACUUGAUACCCCUUAGGCUAAUAAUCAUCUGGUGGGCUCCAUAAAAUUAUAGUCUAGUCAUCGGUUGGAAAUAAAUUUUUAGAUAAAUCAAGGUCAUUUUUAGUUUUUAAACCUUUAGUCAUCUCAAUUGAAAAUGACCUUAUGUCUUUAUACGAUGUGCCUCCUAUUUCCAGCUUCAACUCCAACUGAAGGAUGUAAACGUAAUUAUCAUCUAUAGAGAUUCAUCAGAAUUUGAGGGGUUAGAUGACCCCUACUUGCCUCUUAAUGGAUUGGCCUAGGGGUGGGCAAACGGGUAUAGGAACCGCGGGUCGGGGCGGGUACGGACCGGUUCUUAUUUUGUAAAAAUAAAAAUGAGGCGAGGUAGGGCGGGCUUUUGAAAUUUUCGGUUCGGGCUGGUUCCUGAAGUAUGGUAGCGUUUGGUACGUGGGACGGGACGGGACGGAACGGGACGAGCCGUUCCGUCCCACGUUUAGUGCGCCUAAAAACUGUGGAACAGGUUGUUCCAUGGGACAAAAUUUGGCUGAUUUUUCGUUCCACCUCUUCCCCCUGGAACGACCCGUUCCACAUCUGUGGAACACAAAUUUAUAACAUUUUAUGACAAAAUUUCUCCUUAUCUUUUUCAAUAUUUACAUCAUCUGUUCCGUCCUGUUCCAUCUCGUCCCGUCCAGUCCUGUUCCGUCCCGUUCUGUCCCAUCUGCGUACCAAACGGUACCUAUAGGAACCGCGGUUACCCGGACCUGCCCGUUUGUAGUUAGAAUGGACGUAUAAGAUUGAAGAGAUCAUCUCUCCAUCCAAUCUGAAUCGUUGGUUUUAGGUUUGCUCAUCCUCAAACUUAUCGAAUUCAACUGUCACUCUUACUCUGUUGAUCGAGUCUCUCUCGCCGUCUCCAGUGCGUCGUCUCCUUCCCUCCACCACCCCGACAACACGACGGCCCAGACGACCACCAUCUUCUCGAUUUGUCACCUCUCUCUCACCUCUCUCUCGCCAUCUCGAUUUGACAUCCCAAGGACCCAGACUUACAUAACCCAGCCACCCCACCACCCAUCUUCUCGAUUUGUCACCUCUCAUUUGCCGUCUCGAGUGUGUCUUCCCCUCCUUCACCGAGGAGGACGAGAUUCAAAUCCUGCUGGUUUACUCCAAGGAGAUUAACAAGCGCAUGCUCGACACCGUCAAGUCCAGGAACGCCAUUGCUUCCGCUGCUCAAAACGGCGCCAUGGAGUCCGAGACUGUGAGCUCUGCGGUGGAAUGUACCGCUGUUGCCGCCAAUGAAGAUGCUAAGGCUGAAGAGCACAGAUCUCUCCAUGUGUGUUAGGUCACUCUUAGCUUCAUAUUAGCCUAUUAGAGCUUUCAUAUCGAGAUCUGUUCAUAUUUAUCAUGGAUUUCUUGUGAUGCCUAUAUACCUAAUGACCUGUUAAAUAUUUAAACUUUGUUAAUUUCGCUAUGCGCUUCAAUUUUCUGUGGAUUAUAUUAUCUGGGUUUCUGUUGUGAGUAUUGAUCUACUGAGUCUUGAUCUGCUUUGUUCAGAGAUGUUUAUGUUGAAGAUUUUAUAAGGAAGUGGGUGCAUUUGGAAUUGGAAAAUUAUCGAAAUCUUUCCUCUUGCAUUAUUUAGGUUUCCUAUUGCAUAAUCUGCUGCAUUAGUGAAUCUGUGCAAAUUCCAAUUUUUUUUUUUCUAAACAAAAAGAAAACCAAGAACCCGUGGACCCGGCCUGAACCGGCCCAUUUCAACCAGGCCGAGUAAGGUCCAAUUCCUAUAUAAGAAAAUGUAAUCCCCAACUCGGUCCGGCCCAUCUCCUUUGCACCUGGAUCCACCAGUGGCCAUAUGCUAUUGCCCUUUUAUUUUCUUUUUUCUCCUGCCAUGGGCGCAGUCAUGGGUAAGUAGGUAAGUUUGAUUACGCAAUUAAUUGGGCACUCUAGGAGACGCGUAGUGUUAGUGCAGGCUCAAAAGUCAAAAGGUUAAUGAGGAGUGUGGAUGGAAAGCCUGCCCUAAAUACGUUUGUAUUCCUUUGCUGAGUUACUGUACUCUGCCCUUUUCUCCUCUCUUCCUGGAAAAUUCACUCUAUUGAUCUCUGGCCGUGUUUUGCGUGGCAUGAAACAAAACGGUCAAGUAGUGUAUAACAAUUUCAAAAAAAAAGGUCAAAUAGUGUAUAACAAUUUAUCAUAUAGAAAGUUGAUGGUGCUGCAGAUGAUUAAUGAGAGUUUUAACGAAAAACUCACAGCACUGUUUACUUUAACGAAAAGCCACAUUUUUACAUUAAAAAGUCAAACCUAGUACUAUUCAUUUUAUCCUUUAUUUUGUCUUUAACAUUAAAACUCAAAGUUUUCAAACAUUUUUCAUUAGUUUUCCUAUGAUUAAUUGGUGUCCGUAGAAAUUACAUGAUAUCACUCAGACUUUAUCCAACAUAUUAGGCCAUCUCCAACAAAAGUCUAAACAUAGCCCCAUCUAAAAUUAUAUUCUUGUAAAAAAUUAUCUUUUAAUGAAUGAUGUUAGACCAUACUCAUAUAUCAUCUUUAACCGAAAUGGUUAAACACGGCCACUUAAUAAUUUAUUAUUUUAAACCUUAUACUUUAAAUUUAUUGGUUAAUUUAAUUAAACUACCAUUGCAUGUUUUCAAAUUUAGUUGUUUAAUUUGAAUCAAUUAUUGCAACUGAGGAGCUAGAUCCCCAAAAAGGGCUAAGAGAGGGUCUAUAUUUGGUAAGCCUGAUACACUUUUGGCCAAUAAUCGUCUAGUGGGCUCCACAGAAUUAUAAUCUAGUCAUCGGUUGGAGAUGAAUUUUUGAAUAAAUCAGGUAAUUUUUAGUUUUUAAUCCUUUAGUCCUCUUAGUUGAAGAUGACCUUAUGUCUUGCUUUAUAUGAUGUGCCUCCUAUUCCCAGCUUCAACUCCAACUGAAAGAUGUAAACGUAAUUGUCAGCAAAGAGUUAGAAACAUACCCGAAUCCACGUUUUAUAAGCAGAAACUACACUUAUUUGACAUGUUUCCUCAUUUUUUUUACUUGCAAAUUCAAAACCGUCUUGUCGGACCAGUAUAACAAAAUAAUGUUUACGAACAACUGUUAAAACUAAUCACAACAAGUUAAUGCAUAAAGAACUUACGGAUACGGAGGGUGCUAUGAGGCCACCGAAAAGGGUAAACCCCGCAAUAAAUGAAUUCACCUUGUGAUUAAUACUUUGCACAACUUUUUAUGAACCGACAAAAGGCUACAACAAAUUAUGGCUAAAACAGGUCGGGGAUAUGAAAAUAAAUGUCUUCACAGGGUCAGCAGCUUACCAGGGGAGGCAAAAAUGGAAUGAAUGAUGGAAAACUUGAUCUUCAUUUACCGCUCCAAGCUCUGCGCGUUUAAUCCGCUGUUGUAUCCUCAGCCUGCGAACCUACGCAUAUCGAAGCUCAUUCUUAAAGAACACAUUUCUAAUGGCAAUUGGAGAGUAAUUUAAAACAUGCUAAACUGAGAAAGUGGUAGCAACAAGCAAUUGCUCUCACCUCCUCCAUAUGCAAGAAAAUUUUGUUGCGACGACUCCGAAUAUUAUCUUGAAUUUCCUGCAGCUCCAUUGUCGCAAGGUCCUGCACUGUUUCAGGCCCCUCUAUGAUACAAAAUCUGCACAAUUAAGCAUGUAAAAACAAAAAUUUACAGGCUACAAAGCAAUUUCCAUAAUUUUUGGGUUAAUUAACAUCAACAGCAGAUAAAUCACAUGGGUUUUUCACAUAAAGUUACAAACUUUCAAAGACCAGUAAGCUGUCUGCAAUCUCAUAAAUUUCACAGUGCAAAGUAACAAUCCAAAGCUUGGAAAAUUUUCAUUUUCUGUUAAUUUCCUAGAGAGAGAGAGGGGGGAGUACCCGGCGGGGUUUGUAUCGGCGGCGGGAUUGGGAUCAGAAUCGACAGACGGAGCGAAAGAGGAGGAGUCGGGCUCCGAAGCCAUGGCCAGGGAUCACCAUCUGGAGCUGCUUGUUGAUAUGGGGCUUCUUGGGUAGCUGAAUUUGGAGCAGCCGGAGCUACGCAGUUUGUACGGACAGCACCGAUUUACGGGGAAAGAAACGGCAAAAAGUCUGCCGGAGCAGAGCAUCUCUCUCUCUCAAACCAGAAGGCAGAGCUUUCUGUUUCUCUACAGGUUUCUUUCACUGGUAAAUUCCGGAGAAGCAGAGAAGAAGGGUCAAAGGGCCAUGUAUAGUUUUAUAGUCAUACAAAAAAUUAUAUUUUAAUAAAAAAUGUAAGGCCAUAUUUUAUUAGGAAAAUUAAUGAAAAGGCUUGAAAACUUUGAGUUUUAAUGAUAAGGACAAAAUAAAGGGUAAAGUGAAUAGUACCAUGAUUGACUUUUUAGUGUAAAAAUGUGGUUUUUGGUUAAAGUAAACAGUACCAGGUGCUUUUCGUUAAAGUUCCCUAUUUUAUUCCAUAUCCAACUUAGUGGGCCAAUGGACCGUAGGCCAAACAUAGUCAUUUGACAAAAAUCUUAUCUCUAACCGAGAGAGCUAAAGGACCGUAGGCCGAAUAUAACUCCUUAAUAAUUUACUUUUAACGAGUGACUCAAUUAACUAUUUUCAUUUCUUACACGUUCAAAAUUAGACAAAUUCUUUGCAUACAUAAAAAAAAUAUAUAUAUAUUAAGGAGAGAGUAUUAAACUAUUACAUUACGGGUUUCGAACUCGCGAGAACCCUAAUGCCUCUCCACUAGGAUAUUAGACCAGUAAAUUAAAAAGAAAUAUUUAUAGAGGGCUGGAACCAGUCGAAGCUGGGGGGCUAGGCCCUCACGCCCAUAUUAUAUUACUUGAAAAAAAAACAUACAACAAGGAGGACAUAGUACUGAAACCCUGACAAUCAAAAGCAAAAUCAUAUACGACCACUCCAAGCAGUCAACAUAACCAUCACAUAUUGAAUCCAAAAGGUUGACGACCCAUUCGCUGCAUAUAAUGUACAGAAGAUAACAAAUUUUGAAGUGAUGCUCCAAGUAUGAUAUUGGGCAGAAAAGAGCGGCGGCUUCAACCACUUCUUCAGCUAUAUCCGGCUGGGUGAGAGCAGCUAAAGACAUGAUUGUUCCCUAAGAACAUGAAUACAUUGAGUAAACACCAAAAGUAACUGCUAGGGAAGGAGAUUUGAAGUAGAUUAAGAGGUUUAAUACCUGUGAAUGUCCAACAACAAAGACGUUGGAGCUUGUUGAAUACAUGCAGCGCAUCAUUUCUGAUAGAUCAAAUCGAGCCAAUUCCUGCCAACUCCAAUCCCAAAAAUCCUACAGUAAAGCAUAAAUCUUGUUCUUUUCUGAUAAAGAUGUGUCCCUGACUCCAACGUGUUUGACGCACAUUUUCUACCCAUACAUCGAAACCUUCAUCUGCUGGAGAAUUUAAGAAUCAUGCAUCACCUGGUUAAGAUCAAGAAAAGCCAGUAACCAAUUUCAAUUGAGUUUGAAGCACAUUAGAGCCCAAUUUAAAAUGUAUCCGAUGGAUGUUCAUCACUUCACACAAUAGUUAGUUUCAAGAAAGGAAAUUUCAACGCAACCUGAAAACUUCAGAUCAGGGGGCACCAAAUAGUGAGCUAUACAUUCAAAUUUUGAAAUAAUCAACGCACAAUAUGUUGAAAAAAGUUGGAAGGAGCUAUGAAAGUAAGGCUUUUCACUAAUCAGGCGUCCAGAGAAUCAAUAUUUUUACUCACGGAUCAGUUAGGGCGAACACUCCCCACCAAAGCAAUCUCAUUAGUACUUCACAUCUCAAACCAAACAGAAAUUGCAGUAACAAACAUGACAUCUAUUAGUCCUUCACAUCUCAAAUCCAGUAAGUACCCAUCUUUCGUCAGAAUCUGGAAAACAAGCAGCAGUGGAUUUAACAAUCUGGGUAUCUCAAAGUUACUCACUUUAAUCACAACAUAUAAAUGGGCAUUUUCUAGUGAAAUGUUAGUGUAGUACUCACUGUGUUGCUCCGAGCAAGAGUACCCAGAAAGCUCGAUGAGCUGAGCACAGAGGGACUGCAGUGGUGAAACGGCGACCGAUUCUGUAAAAUUCAGUCCGGUUUUGGGUGAUUUCUGAGGCUGAUAAGGAAAGCUGGGACGGAAGGGCACAAGUCUGGAAGAAAGGCUCUGGUCACCAUUGUCGCGAUUCGUGGAGGAAGAAGUGCCCCAAAACAAUUUCAGUCCUGAACAGGUGCACCGUUUGCACUGGGCCAGGGCCGACCCUGAAUCGCUAUAGCGUCCUUCUCCAAACAGUAUAUAUACAGAUGCUAGAAAUAUCUACCAGAACCAUUCAAAUCUAGCAUCUACAGCUUUAGCAUUUAGUUGGUACAAGGUACACUCUUCCGAAGGGAGAUGAAAUCAUUGAGGCUCUUAUAUAUUCCUCCUCUUGAUGUGCCCCUGUAGACUGCUAAUUCCAGACGAUCCAAUCUCAUACAUGUUCCCUGCAAAAGCAUGCGUGCCAGACUUCAAGAUCAAACUCGUUAGCGGAAUAAAUGGUGCACAAAGGGAUUUAAAAUCUUGACAUAUGUGUAUUUUUGGCAGAUUUUAUGCGAGCAUGCAACUAAAACUGGCAUCACUAUCAAUGGUGCACAAAGAUCGGCAGAAAAAACGUAAAGAGAAGCAAUCACAACGCAAAAUGUACGAAGUAAUCUGUCCACGUAUUGGGAAAACAUUAACACUGGAUGAGGGGAAUAAACAUGGAAUUUUGAUAAAAGUCAGAAUUUAUAAAUUGACAUGCAGUAAUUUUCUUGUUUGGAUUUAUAAACAUAUAAAUUUAGAAUUUCCGCGUGGGAAAAACAAAACUUGGAACUUAUGACCUCCAAUUCUCAAGUUUAAAUUUCAUGUAAAUAUGUGUCAUUUCUAAAUUUCCAUGAGAGAGUUUAAAGAUAACAAAUACUGUUAUUUCAAUUUCUAUCAUUUUAAAAUUUCUUAGUAAUCUUAAAUUUCCUCUUCCAAACAGAGUGUAACAGUUUGUAACUUCUCCAUUGUAUUUGUUCAACUAUGCAAUUUUCUGUAAAACUUAAAAGGCUGCUUAGCAUCUCUUGUUCGUUGUAUUGAAUACCAUGGUUUUACCGAUGAAUGCAAAGUUUGCUGAUGAUUCAUACGACAAGCAAUUGAAAAUCCCAUUAUUAUGCCCCACAUCAUUUACACAAAUUCAGAGGGCUCAUCCACUGUAAUUUGCAGGUACAGAAAUGUUAUGAUUAAAGGAAAUGCAAACUACCUUUCACCCAGAUUGGAGGAGCACCGGUGGCAUUAGCAAGUGAGCAACAGGAAUUGACAUACCAAUAUCUUCACAGUUUCCGCACAAGCACAAAUCAAAAGAAUCCGGCGGCGGAGUUAUGUACCUCUUCUUGGAAAAAGACACCUCUUGGGAUUUCAUAAAAUCCGGCUGUGCCUAGACGUCUGACCACGCCAAUUCCACCAAAGCUGCUGCAACGCGGCGUAGUGUCCGAUUGAUUGCUUCAAAACAGAGCUUCGUAUCCAUGUGUUUAUAAGCACAGAGUACCCAAAACCCCAGAAAAUUAUUUCUUUAUUCAGAUAAUAAAAUUUCGCAAAUUUCGAAUUUUAAUUCCGAACCAAAAAUAGGGUUUGAAUUUUGAUUACCUAGAAAUUGGGGGUUGGGGUGGAGAGGGACUGAGGCCAAGACGCAGCUAUGUGUCCGUGAUCAGGUGUGCCAAUUUACAGAGGGUGUCGGGAAGAUGCACAAGGCUUUUGCAGUUUCUCAGAUUUAAAUACUGAAGCCCCGUAAGGCGUUCAAUCCAGGGGGAAAGCUCUUUGAUAGAUGUUCCAUCCAAGAAAAGCGCUCUUAAUCCUUCCAUAUUUUCUUCAAUGCUUGGAAACACCUCAAACUUUGUACAACCGGAAAGAGAGAGAUAGACCAGGGACUUGAGCUGACAAAUGCUGCUUGGAAGACCCUUAAGUUCCUUGCAAUCAUCUAGCUUUAAAUAACUCAAUCCCGUGAGAUUAUUAAUUGACGAGGGCAGUUCUUUAAUUUUUGACCCGGAAAAAUAAAGAACUUUUAACCCCUCAAUCACUUCUGAAAUCUCUGGAAACAUCUCUAGACUCGAGCAACCAGAAAGAUUAAGAGUUUUGAGAGAUUUCAUACGAAUGCUGCUUGGAAGACACUUAAGUUCCUUGCAAUCAUCUAGGAGCAAAUGACUCAACCCCGUGAGGUUAUUAAUUGACAGGGGUAGUUCUUUAAUUUUUGACCCGGAUAACUCAAGCUCUUCUAACCCCUCAAUCACUUCUGAAAUCUCUGGAAACAUCUCUAGACUCGAGCAUCCAGAAAGAUUAACGGCUUUGAGAGAUUUCACAAGAAUGCUGCUUGAAAGACACUUAAGUUCCUCGCAAUGAUCCAAGCUUAAAUAACUCAACCCAGUGAGAUUAUUAAUUGACGAGGGCAAUUCUUUAAUUUUUGACCCGGAUAAAUCAAGAAAUUCUAACCCCUCGAUCACUUCUGAAAUCUCUGGAAACAUCUCUAGACUCGAGCAACCAGAAAGAUUAAGCACUUUGAGAGAUUUCAUACGAAUGCUGCUUGGAAGACACUUAAGUUCCUUGCAAUCAUCUAGGUGCAAAUGACUCAACCCCGUGAGGUUAUUAAUUGACGGGGGUAGUUCUUUAAUUUUUGACCCGGAUAACUCAAGCUCUUCUAACCCCUCAAUCACUUCUGAAAUCUCUGGAAACAUCUCUAGACUCGAGCAGCCAGAAAGAUUAAGGGUUGUGAGAGAUUUCAUACGAAUGCUGCUUGGAAGACACUUAAGUUCCUCGCAAUUAUCUAGGCUUAAAUAACUCAAACCACUGAGAUUAUUAAUUGAUGGGGGCAAUUCUUUAAUUUUUGACCCGGAUAAAUCAAGAACUUCUAACCCCUCAAUCACUUCUGAAAUCUCUGGAAACUUCUCAAGACUCAGGCAGCCAGAAAGAAAGGAAUUUAAGAGAUUUCAUACGAAUGCUACUUGGAAGACACUUAAGUUCCUUGCAAUCAUCUAGGAUCAAACGACUCAACCCCGUGAGGUUAUUAAUUGACGAUGGCAGUUCUUUAAUUUUUGACCUAGAUAAAUCAAGCUGUUCUAACCCCUCAAUCACUUGUAAAAUCUCUGGAAACAUCUCAAGACUCCAGCAGCCAGAAAGAUUAAAGGUUUUGAGAGAUUUGAUACGAAUGUUGCUUGGAAGACUCUUAAGUUCCUUGCAAUUUUCUAGGUUCAAAUGACUCAACCCCGUGAGAUUAUUAAUUGACGAGGACAGUUCUUUAAUUUUUGACUUGGAUAAAUCAAGCUCUUCUAACUCCUCCAUACCUUCUAAAAUCUCUGGAAACAUCUCAAGACUGGAGCAGCCAGAAAGAUUAAAGGUUUUGAGAGAUUUCAUACGAAUGCUGCUGGGUAGAAUCUUAAGUUUCUCGCACCCUUUCAGAUUCAAUAAAACAAGGUUUCUAAGAGUCCUAAUAGACUGGUGAACCUCAACUAAGCUUCUACAACCUUGAAGAAUUAGCCUCUCAAGAUUUGGCACAUUUGUGAAGUCAGGGGUUUCCUCAAGGUAUUGACAAUAACUUAAAUUGAUGACUUCCAACUUUUCCAGCGUCUGUUAAAACAUUUAGGAAAGCAUGCAUUACUUAAUAAGACAUCUCACUCAAAACCCAAACAUUUAAAAGAAACAAAUACAUGUAAAUGAUUGUACAUACCUGGGUUCCUUCCCAAAGUCGGUCAAUGAGACUAAAUUGCAUGUCAAGUUCAACAAGAUUUUUGAAUUGAAAGUUGGAUAGCAAAGACUUGAGAGGGAAUCCAAACCAGGAGAGAUACCUCAAGUUAAGUAACUUAAAGGGCCCAAUCAAGUGGUGUUUGCAGUAAUCAUGUUUAGAAAUGGAGUCCUUAUGACUGAUCUUGAUAAGUCUUAGUUGAUUCAUGCUAACAAAAGCUUCAGCAUUUAAGCAUACCCAGUCUGAGUACGAGAAAUCCACGAUUAUGCUUUCAACUGAUUUUGUAGCCUGUGUAAAUCAAAGUAAGGGAAAAUACAGAGAACCUUAGUUUAGAUUAUGAAACUAAUACUUGUUUCUUAAGGAGCCGUUUGAUAAUCAUUUUGUUUUUAGUUUAAUUGUUUUCAAUUUUCAAUUAUUAAAACAAUAAACACUAAAGGUUGUACCCAGUGCACAAGGCUCCCGCUUUACGCAGGGUCUGGGAGAGAUGAAUGUUGGCUAGCCUUACCCCCAUUUAUGGAGAGGCUGCUUCCAAGUCUCGAACCCGAGACCUACCGCUCAUGGGCGAAGGCACUUGUCAUCACACCAAGUGCGACCUCUUAUUAAAACAAUAAACACUAAAAAUUAAAAAUUAAAAACAAAAAUACUUAUCAAACGGACCUAAGAAAUUGAUUUUGAUCAAAAGUUGAAACUUUUUAUUGACAAUAAGAAAAAGAUUUCUCACCGUAUUUUGAGAUAGCACGUGAUGAACAUCUUCAUAACUACACAACCUACUUCGUCUCCCAGGCUCUUUGAUACAUUCUUGGCGGACGAUUUCCCGACCCAUUUCCUCUAAUGAAUCAUGCAUCUCCAGUUCCCCCUCCCCUGAGACAGUUAUGAGAGCUCGAUCGAUUAGAACUCUUAUUCCAGUAUAAGGAUGGAAACCACAAACUUCCAGAAUUCGGGUUGCACAGUCUUUCUUCAUCCCUUUAAAGAAACAUGCAAUGUCCAGAAAGAUGUCCUUCUCCUUGUCAUCUAGUCCAUCGAAGCUUGAUUUAAGCACAUCAUGAAUUCCCCUUCGUGGGAUUUUCCUUAUUUUUUCUAACUCAUCUUCCCACUCGCGUAUAGUUUUGUUACCAAGAAAAGCUCCCAAGACUUUGUGUGCUAAAGGCAGGCCUUGAGCAUAUUCUACGACAUGAUUCGAGAGAUCAUCAUAAUCUCUGGUAGGUUGGUUUUUUCUGAAGGCGUGCCGCCUAAAGAGUUUCAGAGCUCCAGAAUCACUCAAAAUCUUGGGAUUAUAUAUCACAUCAGCUAUGCUUAGUAAUUGCGAAUCUCUAGUUGUUAUAAUAAUUCUGCUUCCACAACCAAAGGAAUGUGGCUCUUCAAGUAAAGCUUCAAUUUGUUCUAAUUCGUCCACAUCAUCAACAACAAUAAGAACUUUUCUCUGACCAAGGCUUUUUAACAUCACCUGAAAACCAUUUUUUGAUAUGUCAGAACUCCCCACCUUGUUGUUCGAGAUAUUCGAUAGAAGUUGUGCCUGCAUAUGUAGUUUGCCAUGCUUCAUGAAACCUUCCUUGAAAUUUUCAAGAAAGCAACAAGCUUCAAAUCGAUUAGCGAUUUUAUCAUAAACAGCUCUAGCGAUGGUUGUUUUGCCUAAACCACCCAUACCCCAUAUUCCAACAACGCGAACAUUAUUCGUUUCACCUCCGGGAGGAUAUAAUAAUAAAUGCAUUUCAUGCAUGUGAGAAUCCAUGUCAACCAAGCCAUUAUCUUUGCUUGAUGUUGAUGAGAUGUCGAUCAAUUUCCUAUAAACAUCUUCUACAAUUUCCUCAAUAAGCACCGCAUCAUUUCUGUCAAAUUUAAAAAACAAUAUAAUAACACCACCAAAUGAUAAUUAAUGGGUCUUUUUCAUCUGUUAGUUUUCAAAAAAAUAGAAAUUAAAACUAAAAACUAAAUAUUUAUCAAAUUACCCCUAAACGUUACAAAAAUCCCAAAAAUUACUAGGAAACUAAAACAAAUUAGAAUUUACUCAUAGUUUCGCGAAUCCCAGCCGGCUAAACUGGUGGCAGUUGUAAGAGCGGAUCUCCAGCUCCGAACCUCCUCUAUUUCGGCGUUAGAAUCGAUAUCGUGCUGAGCAAAAGCUUCCGCGAAACUUUUCUUGAGUUUACGAACAUCAGACGGAUCAACUUCAUAGAAAAUGGGGAGUACAAUCUGGUUAUUGGUACCUUGCAUUCCAGGAUUUGCACGAGUUCCUUCAAGCACCAAGUGGAAGAAGCAUAGUUUUGAGAGAAAACUACAAUCGAAAGCCUCGACUCUUGAAUCGCUGUCAGGAGCUCGGAAAGGUGGUCGCCUUUUCUGAACUUUUCGGCAUCAAUGAAGGCGUUGAUUGGUUUCUUAGCCAGAGCGUUGUAGAGAUGGCUGACGAAGCCCCUGCGAGUGUCUUCCCCUCUGAAAUUGAUGAACACAUCGUAUUUCCAACCAAAGCCAGAAGAAGAAAAAGAAGAAGAAGAAGAAGCAACCAUUUAUCGAUCGCACCUGGUCACCGAUGAUCGAGCAGUUAUGACUAAGAGAAUUGUAAGUACAUAAAUACUCAAUGAGUCAAUGCAAAAGGGAAAAAGCGAAAAGGAAAUGGUUGUGAUAUCCAUACUUUAUUUUACUUUUUUAUACAUUUUUGAUAAUUUAUUUUUGUUAAUUUUUUUUAAUUCAUCUAGUUUUACAUUUAAAAAUUAAAAAAAUUUAUGAGAAGUUGAAAUGUGUGAAUAUCACGUCCAAAGGAAAAUUAUGCUUUUAUGUGUUUUCAGAUCUUCUUCAGGGAAAUUUCGAUGGGAAUGGAAUCUGCAUGCUUUUGAUUUUUAACCCAAGAAAAUGCCAAGAAAGGGGUCAAAGUAGUAAAUUUAAUCUACACUUGCCUACCCAACCACCUCUUAAUUUAAUAUAUUUAAUCGAGAAAAGUAGGUUAGAGGAAGGAUGGUAUCUCCUUUUCCUCUCUCAGUCUUCCAGCAUGCCAUUUAAUCAUGAUUAAGGCUAAAGCUUAAUUAUAGAUCUUGAUUGGAUUAUUAGUUUCCGUUGUAAUAUGGUGGUUAGAAGAUUAAAAAAAUUAUGAUUUAUGCUUUCAUAUGCUAACAAUUAAUGAAGAAUUAACAAAAUUUUAAAUUUUAAAUCUAAAUCCUAACAUAUUUUACCAUAGAAGCUUAAAUCUUAAUUUACUUAUCACAUGGAUUAUUUUAUAACUACCUUACUAUUAAUUCAAUUAAACCUAUUAUUUCUACGAAAACUAAAGAAAAGUUAAAAAAAAACUUUAGUUUUAAUGAAAAAAGAAAAAUGAAUGUGUAGUAAAUAAUACCAGAAAAAAAUAAAAAAAAUAAUUUUUUAUUAAAAAUAAACAGUAUAAAAAAUGUUGCAUUAAUACUCUCAUUAUUUAUUUACAAAUACGUGACUAAAUCACAAAGUGUUAGAAUGAAAGGGAGCGCUCAAAACGAUGAAAAGCAGGAGCACAGAAAGCUAUCUCCGUUUCUUUGUUGAGCGGACAACUGUUUAUUUGUCGUUCUUUUGGCAGAUAGCUCCUAAUGGCCCAUUUCCACAGCUGGUUAUAGGAUUCUGUUGCUAUAUAAGAAGUGUUUUGUUGUAAUUCAAUAUCGAUGGAAAUUCAACAGGAUCUUUUUCAAAAUUUUGUGAGGAUUUUGGGGUGUUCGUGAAUCUUGUUCAUCGUAUAUUGUGUAGUUGUUUUUUAUCGAAUAUUAUUUUUGUUUAAUUUUAAAUAAAGUAAUUUAAAAUAAUUUUUUACUGCAAGAUGUAUGAUGAACGUAUAUGAUUCACAGAUCUCCAAAAUCCUCACAAAGAAAAUCCAAAAAUGAUCUGAAUUCAAUGGAGAUAAGUUAAUUUUGAAUCAAAUAACAUUAGGAAAGAAAAAUAACAUUAGACGCCAGUCGGGCGAAGGAUUGGAGCCUAGUGCCUAGGCAGCUAGGCGAAGCCUGGGCGAUUAGGCGGCUAGGCGGCCUAGACGGUUUUAAAUAAUUUAUUGUAUAUUUGUAUAAAAUUAUUAUUAGCACUUCAAAAAUCUCAUUUUAUACUCCAAAUUUUCUAUAUUAAAAAAGAAAAAUACACUUAUGAUGAGUGUAGAAUGAGAUUUUUGAAAUGCCAAUACACUUCUCUAUUUUUAUUAUAUAAAUCAGUUGGACUUAAAAAAGAAAAUAAAGAAAAUAAAACAUUGUUCAAAAACUAAAACUCUAUAAAUAUAAAAAGUCAGGUCUUGAUUUAUCAUUACAAUUGAUAAAUAAAGGAGUGUGCUAUCUACACAACUUUUUUUACUUCUCACUCCUAAAUAAAAAAAUGAUGUGUGGAUAUCACAUCCCUAAAUAAAAUAUAUAAAUAUAGAUAGUUGGAGGAUAUCCAAGAGACAUUCUUUGGAGGAUUUUAGAGAAGAAAGGAGUACGAGUAUAUAUCCAAGCUAUAAAGGAUAUGUAUGAAGGAGCAAAGACUGCCGUAAGAACUCAUGAAGGACAAACCGAAAGCUUUCCCAUAACUGUAGGAUUACAUCAAGGCUCAUCCUUAAGUCCUUACCUUUUUGCGUUGGUAAUGGAUAAGUUAACAGGACAUAUUCAAGAUGAUAUUCCUUGGUGUAUGCUUUUCGCAGACGAUAUAGUGUUGAUAGAUGAAACUCAGGAAGGGGUAAAUGCAAAGCUUAACCUUUGAAGAGAAGUGUUGGAAUCUAAAGGUCUUCGCCUAAGCCGAUCAAAGACAGAAUAUAUGGAGUGCAAGUUCAGUACAAAUGAAGGCCAAAACGAGUUAGGGGUGAGGAUCGGAGAUCAAGAAAUACCAAAGAGCAACCGUUUUCGUUACCUAUGAUCUAUCUUGCAAAAGAACGGAGAAUUAGAUGGAGAUCUCAAUCAUAGAAUGCAAGCUGGAUGGGUGAAGUGGAAGAGUGCAUCCGGCGUGUUGUGUGACCGCCGUAUGCCACUGAAGCUCAAGGGAAAAUUUUAUAGGACGGCAAUAAGGCCGGUGAUGCUGUAUGGCACAGAAUGUUGGGCAGUGAAGCAUCAACACGUACACAAAAUGGGUGUAGCGAAGAUGAGGAUGCUUCGUUGGAUGUGUGGGCACACGAGAAAGGAUAAGAUUAGGAAUGAGGAUCCGGGGUAAAGUAGGAGUAGCCGAAAUUGAAGGAAAGAUGAGAGAAAAUCGGUUACGGUGGUUUGGACAUGUGCAAAGAAGGCCUACUGACGCUCCGAUUAGAAUAUGCGACUAUGGGACAGAGGUUCAGGGCCGAAGGGGUAGAGGAAGACCUAGGAAAACUUUGGAAGAGACUUUAGGAAAAGACUUAGAGUACUUGGAUCUAACGAAGGACAUGACACAGGACCGAGCACAAUGGCGUUCUAAGAUUCAUAUAGCCGAUCCCACUCAGUGACUUGGAUUUUCCAAGUCUCCAACCGAGAAGUUUUCCUCACUCGGGAAAUUAAGGGAACACUACCUCAACCUACAUGCUCCACUCACAAAGCUUCAACAAAAGAAAAUUCAAAGAACUUAGCGAAGAAUGAUUUGGUGUAUUUAACACAAACGUUGAAAUGAAGGAAAGCUUAUUUAUUGAUAUUCCCGAUAAGCUACAAAUAUGUACAUAUACAUAAGGUUGCUUAGGAGAAGUCUCAGCAGCCGGUAGAGCCCCAGAAAGAGAAGGCACCAGAGGGGGAUCAUUCGGAGCCUCAGAACUGGACAGAACCCUAGAAGGAUGAGGCAUCAAAGGUUGAUCAUUUGGAGCUUCAUUACGCGGUACAGCCCCAGAAGAUGAAGGCAAUAAAUGCCUUUGGAACAAACCCACAAAUCUCUGAUGAUCAAGUAAAACCUGACCAUCAGAUUCCUUCAUCUGGUCAAGCUUCCUCUUCAUGUUUGUAGCAUAGUCAUGUGCGAGCCGGUGCAACUGUUUAUUCUCAUGCUUGAGCCAUCUAAUCUCCUGUUUGAGACUCAUCACUUUAGCCGCCAAUGAUUCAACUUGGCGGGUUCAAGCAAAUAGGCGUUGGGCCGUAUUAGACACAGAACCUGCACACUGAACACUGAGAGCCAGCGAAUCCUUAACAGCUAACUCAUCAGACCGUUUGGAAAGUAGUUUGUUAUCUUUGGGAGUGAGAAGGUUCCUGGCCAUCACCGCAGCGGUCAUAUCAUUCUUCAUUACGAAAUCCCCAACGGUAAGAGGACCAGUAGGGGAGACGAAGGAUGUGCGCCAUAUGUUGUCUGGAGAAGGCGGGGCUGCCUCUUUAACAAGGUUCAAGUCAAAACGACGGUCGGAGGGGCCAGACAUUUUCAAAGGUGUUGAAGAGAGAAGAUGUCGGAUAAAUCAAGAUCUUAGAAGUGCAAGAAUGGAGCUUCUACUGGUGGAUUUCAAGUGUGCUUUAGAACUUAAUGACAGCCCCUAUAAAAAUCUGCACUCGACGGAGCUUCAGAAAUCGAAGAGGCGUUUGCUUUCUCAAAAGUUGGGCUGCUCAAAGACCACGAAGGCCAAUCUCAGAAAUCGAAGAGGCGCUCGCUUUCUCAAAAGCUGGGCUACUCAGAGACCACGAGGGCCGAUCUCAGAAAUCGAAGAGGCACCUACUUUUCCAGCCUUGUCAGCACCUGUCACACGCACACUCAGCUUUGCGGAAAUUAUGGGCAUUCUGUCGAAGACUUCUGGUGAAGUAAAAAGCACAUGAAUCUUACUGUUCAAUCACCCACUUCCCACACGCAACAAUAGCUCAUGGGUACCACAGAUAACUUUGCCAAAGUUGAGCACGUGAAGCUUGCAGCUCCUACUACAUCGCUCUGACCAAGAAGGGUAAAAGAAUAGCAAAGAAACAGCACUAACAAAGUUUAGACCCAUAAAUUUUGAAGGUCUAGCUACCAUAUUAUUACCCACAAGGGUAAAGGAACAGUACCACUGCUGGAUAAUUGGAAAGUCCCUGUGUGUCAACCUCUGUGCUUCGUGGCAAGGUAGACUAGCAAACAUGCCCAACCUUUACUCACAUUCGAGAAAACACUCCCAAUAAGAUUGCUUGCUCCAAAAUCGAAGAGGCACCGUCCUCCGAAUCUCGAGAGCCAGACUCCCAACAUGAAUACUUUCUCAAAAAAAUCGAAGAGAGGGUAAAGGAACAGUACCAUUGCUGGAUAAUUGGAAAGUCCCUGUGUGUCAACCUCUGUGCUUCGUGGCAAGGUAGACUAGCAAACAUGCCCAACCUUUACUCACAUUCGAGAAAACACUCCCAACAAGAUUGCUUGCUCCAAAAUCGAAGAGGCACCGCCCUCCGAAUCUCGAGAGCCAGACUCCCAACAUGAUUACUUUCUCAAAAAUCGAAGAGACACUGCUAUCCCGAAUCUCGAGAGCCAGACCCCCAGCAUGAUUGCUUUCUCAAAAAUCGAAGAGGCAUCGUUCUCCGAAUCAAUCGAAGAGGCGCUCGCUUUCUCAAAAGCUGGUGGGCUGCUCAGAGACCACGAGGGCCGAUCUCAGAAAUCGAAGAGGCACCUACUUUUCUAGCCUUGUCAGCACCUGUCACACGCACACUCAGCUUUGCAGAAAUUAUGGGCAUUCUGUCGAAGACUUCUGGUGAAGUAGAAAGCACAUGAAUCUUACUGUUCAAUCACCCACUUCCCCACACGCAACAAUAGCUCAUGGGUACCACAGAUAACUUUGCCAAAGUUCUCUGCCAAAGUUGAGCACGUGAAGCUUGCAGCUCCCACUACAUCGCUCUGACCAAGAAAGGUAAAAGAAUAGCAAAGAAACAGCACUAACAAAGUUUAGACACAUAAAUUUUGAAGGUCUAGCUACCAUAUUAUUACCCACAAGGGUAAAGGAACAGUACCACUGCUGGAUAAUUGGAAAGUCCCUGUGUGUCAACCUCUGUGCUUCGUGGCAAGGUAGACUAGCAAACAUGCCCAACCUUUACUCACAUUCGAGAAAAACACUCCCAACAAGAUUGCUUGCUCCAAAAUCGAAGAGGCACCGUCCUCCGAAUCUCGAGAGCCAGACUCCCAACAUGACUACUUUCUCAAAAAUCGAAAAGGGUAAAGGAACAGUACCAUUGCUGGAUAAUUGGAAAGUCCCUGUGUGUCAACCUUUGUGCUUCGUGGCAAGGUAGACUAGCAAACAUGCCCAACCUUUACUCACAUUCGAGAAAACACUCCCAACAAGAUUGCUUGCUCCAAAAUCGAAGAGGCACCGCCCUCCGAAUCUCGAGAGCCAGACUCCCAACAUGAUUACUUUCUCAAAAAUCGAAGAGACACCGCUCUCCGAAUCUCGAGAGCCAGACCCCCAGCAUGAUUGCUUUCUAAAAAAUCGAAGAGGCAUCAUUCUCCGAAUCUCGAGAGCCAGAUCAUCAAUAGGAUUGCUUGUUCGAAAACCGAAGAGGCACCACUUUCCCAACUUCAAGAGCCGGAUCUCCUUGGAUAAAGCUUGUCUAUAAUCUUCACACGGAACAUCAGCUUUCCAGAUACCACAGACCACUUUUUCAAAGUGCUCUGACAGAGUUAAAACAUGUGAAGCUGGCAGGUCCCACUACCGUGCUAUGACUAAGCAGGGUAAAGGAAUAGCAUUACUACUUGUUGUUAGGGAGACUCCUAUAUAUGUCGACCUCCAUCCCCAACGACAGGCAGACCUGCAAAAAUGCUCAACCCUUCCUCAUAUCUGAGAGGCCACUCCCAACGAAGCCUUUCAAAAUAUUCAGCUUUCUUCCCCCUCCCCGAUAAUACCUCUGCAAACAAGCUAUACUAGAGCAAGAAUAUCUCAUAUCAUCAGGGUUAAAAGCAAGAGUAUCCCAUAUCAUGCUUUUUCCCUGUCUUUUCCUUUGGCCUUGUUUUUACCUGCAAGACAAGGAGAAAGAGAGCAAUCAGUCAGCACUUGGAAUCAAGCUUCCAGCCAGGAACUGACUGCCUGGAACCCCUUACCUGAUUACUUACCUGGCAUUGCUCUCGAGUACUCAUCUUCAACAUCUUAUGUUUCCAGGGAAGAUUACCGCAUCUGCCUUGAGGAACAGAUAGGGCAAGUGCGAAGGAUACAAGGAAGCAUGUGGAGACAAGCGUAACAGCACACGUGCCGAUACAUCCAUUACUCUGUCAAAAGCAAAAGUAUCCCAUAUCAGCAGGGUCGAACGUACUCUAGAUUUGAUGGACUUGUUUUGACCCUCAAAUUCUUCAGUCGGCCUUAUACUCUGGAGGAAACCAGAAAACCCUCCAGCUCAGUUCAAGAAUAAGCCUGUGGAAAGUUACUUCUUCAAAAGCAAAAGUAUCUCAUAUCAUCUCUUCUCAUUUUUCUUCUCUUUAUCCUUCAUGCUGCCUGCAAGAUGGGGAGAAGGUGAACAAUCAGCCGGAGCUCUGAUUGCUUACCUUGUCUGUCACCUCUUUCAGCAGAUCCCCUAGCUCGGCGACUUGGGGGACUCCUACUACAUGGUUUGUAUCGCGCUUGACCAAGCCUGAAACUACAAGUAAGCUUCAAGUGAAAUUGAUACAUUACCUUGUGCAUCUCCACCAGUUAAAGAUACCACCCCUGGAUGGAGGAAGAGUACUUCCAGAGAAGAUGCCACAUCUACCUAUGAGACAGAUAAGGCAAGUCAAGACGAUACCACACUCCGAUACUUAGAAGUUUCGUGAUUACGAGAUCAUUCUCCCACAAUAUUUCCUAAUGUCAUUUGUACUAAAUCAUUCACUUGUACUCACUAAAGGAGAGCUUGAACCUAUGUACUUGUGUAAACCCUUCACAAUUAAUGAGAACUCCUCUAUUCCGUGGACGUAGCCAAUCUGGGUGAACCACGUACAUCUUGUGUUUGCUUUCCUAUCUCUAUCCAUUUAUAUACUUAUCCACACUAAUGACCGGAGCAAUCUAGCGAAGAUCACAAAAAGCAACCGUUUUCGCUACCUAGGAUCUAUCUUGCAAGAGAACGGAGAAUUAGAUGGAGAUCUCAACCAUAGAAUACAAGCUGGAUGGAUGAAGUGUAAGAGUGCAUCCGGCGUGUUGUGCGACCGUCGUAGGCCACUGAAGCUCAAGGCAAAAUUUUAUAGGACGGCAAUAAGGCCAGCGAUGUUGUAUGGCACAGAAUGUUGGGCGGUGAAGCAUCAACACGUACACAAAAUAGGUGUAGCGGAGAUGAGGAUGCUUCGUGGGAUGUGUGGGCACACGAGAAAGGAUAAGAUUGGGAAUGAGGAUAUCCGAGGUAAAGUAGGAGUAGCCGAAAUUGAAGUAAAGAUGAGAGAAAAUCGGUUCCGGUGAUUUGGACAUGUGCAAAGAAGGCCUACUGACGCUCCGGUUCGAAGAUGUGACUACGGAACAGAGGUUCAGGGCCGAAGGGGUAGAGGAAGACCUAGGAAAACUUUGGAAGAGACUCUAAGAAAAUACUUAGAGUACUUGGAUCUAACGGAGAACAUAACACAAAACCGAGCGCAAUGGCGUUCUAGGAUUCAUAUAGCCGACCCCACUUAGUUGGAAAAUGCUUUGUUGUUGUUGUUGUUGUUGUAUAGAUAGUUGGCGCUUUGUAGUGGGCGGUAAGUUCUAGUUUUACCAUUAAAAAAUAUACACUGUCAAACUAGUGUGGGUUCUAUCAAUUUUUUUAGUAUUUUAUUUAUUUUUUCACUCUGUCUCCGUGCCAUGGUCUUGAUAUUAUCACUCCUUUAAUAUUUUAUUCAUAUUUUAUUCUACUUGAUUUAUGAUGGUGUGUUUUUUUGACCAAGGUUUAUAAUGGUGUUUGUUCUAUAAGUCGGCAUAUUUGCCAACCGCAAUCGAUACUGUCGUUCUCAAACACAAAGCAAUAGUUUGCUACCGAAAACAACCAAAGUGUGACAAAGGGAACCGUCUUACACCUAACCUGUUUUUCCCUCAUCAAAUGAGCGCGUUGAUCUGCAGGUAUUUUCUGCCAUCUCAAAACCUGUUACAAAGAAAUAUAACGUUGAUGUCGAGCUGGAUAGCAUAUUAUACCAAUUAUGUGUACAAACCUAUUGAAAUAAAGUAGCUGUAGUUGCAUAUUACGACAGAUAUUAACGAAAACAAAAGAAGGCUCGCCUAUUCAAGAUCCUAAAUCCCGUGAUUCUUUUGUUUUUAGUUUCAGAAAUUUUCAGAGCACAAACUGGAAAGUACCAAGAUACUUACAUAUUGGGCAUAAUGAAAUGCAUCUUCAUCUUUCAAGCAAGAUUUGAGUGAGCGCAAACCGUCCUGAGAGUUACAUAAGUCAAUCAGUAAUAUAAAAACGUAUACGCAUCACAUCCAAACACAAGUAUUCAAACACCAACAACUUCUUCAUGCGGUGAGGCAUGUUAAAAAAUAGGGAAGAACAGUUAUUGAAUAGGAAGUUAAAGGACUAAAUUUAUGACCUUGUGUUUGUAGUUCUUGGCUCGUAUGCGUUCAUCUAUUACAAAACCAAUCUGUAACAGGUACAACAGAAAAUAUAAGCAGUAGUCAGAACAUUAAUCUUCGGCAUUCACAUUGCCACCAAUCCAAAGUUAAAAGUCUGAAGGCAAAACAGUAUGAUUCUUAUCUCUCAAACAAAAAUGAAACUAUACCCCGGUCUCAGACAUAAAUGAAAUAAGUUCUACUGCCUCAACUGAGUACUGUGAUUAUAUAUAAAUCCAAUUCACCUUGUCAAGUAAUCUCUUAGGAUCUUGAAAUGCUUCCUUCUUAGCCCAGUCAUUAAAUACAUGCGAGAAAAUUGAUCUCUCAUCCACACUGAAUCUAUUGCACAGUGACAGAAGAAUAAAGUUAAACAUGAACAUAACCAACCAAAAAUGCUAGUUAUAAUAGUACACCCAUAAUUGCAAGCAAAACCUUUUUAAGAAGCCAUUUCCAUGGUUUUCCUCCCCAAAUUCCAUCAAUUCUGCAGAGGCAACGUCAAAUUUACUAUGAUGGAGAUCAUUUUGCACUGUAAUAACUUCAGAAGGUAGGAGAUUUGGUUUCAGAUCAUCUGUUGACGGAGUAGUUUCUUUUGAAGUGUCAUGAUGCUUUGAUUGCAAGCCUUCUGUACUUACGUCAGCCUACAAAACAAAAAUUGCAUUCAUCCACACUAGACUUAAUAAGAUUAGAAACACUUCAGAUUCUUCAUUAUUUGUAUUUUUGACUAAACAGCAGAACAACUGAGGAUAAUGAACAGUAAUACACACCUGGACUUCUCGUAGAUGAUUUGGAAUUUCUUUCAGAAAUCGCGAAGGUUGAAGCAUCUGAAGGAGUCACCUUCUCAGUCAGAGCAACAACAACAAAUAAGGAGGACAGGAAUUCAAGCUAAAACGAACCUGCCAACUGGAAUCCAUCGUAACAUAAAGAAUGAAAAGCUUUUUUCGAGCACGAGUCAUUGCAACAUAUAAUAGGCGUCUCUCCUCCUAUGAUUAGAGUGGGAUUAUUGAGUUAUUGAUCAAAAGAAAAAAGAGUGGGAUUAUUGUGAAAAACAUGUCAAAGCUCUGCAUAUAACUGAAAAAUGUUGAACAAUUUACCACACACCUCAAUGGAGGUCCCAUUUUCUUUUGCAACCCCAUUGAAUUCAUGCAACAACGGGAUCUCAGAUUCAUUUACCUGUGUUAUUGGCAUGAGCAUUAAAGCAAGCUAAGAUGAUUUGAAGAGGUUGAUAUCGUCAUGAAUAUAGUAGAACAGAGAAUACCAAUUUCAAGCCAUCAAUUAGGUAUAGCAUUGGCAUGUUUAAUCCGUAAAAUCUAAUGACAGAACACCUCAACUCUACACAUAAAUAAAUAAACAACCUGAAAAAUAUUACAGCCACAUGUUAAGGCAAAUACCUUAAUUAUGAAAACUAUAUCCCACUCUAAACCUUUUGACUGCAAGAGAAUGAAAAAGAAAGACAGUAAGCCAAGAAUGUUUUGUAGAACUCCAAAGGAAGUCCAAUAGGGAAAUCAUCGCAAGUAUAAGAGUUAGCGAGGUUCGCAUAAGAGGAUAUCAAAAAGAUCUAGAACCUGAUGAAUAGUAGUCAAAGUGACAGAACUUUGGUUGUCAUGUCUUCGGGAGUGAAAAUUUUCACUCUCCUGCUCAGAUAUGUAGUCGAUGAAAGCUUUGAGUAAAUUAACGCAGCCUUUUUCUUCUGCUACGACUUCUCUCUCUCCCCUUUUCCCGCAACAAAAUGAGUUGAUAAGAAAUCAGAUACGUCGUCUAGUAGGUACUGAAGAACCUGCAAUGAGAAUAAUCGCAUCACAGCAACAGGGUUGGACCAAGAUUUAAGUGACAACAAUGAUUAACUAACUAAAAUAGAGAAAUUAUUCAUUUAAGACCUUGUUGACGGAAAAAAGGGUUUUCCAAGCAGCGGGUCAUUUAAGCUUAUUGUAUAAAUGACAAUCAUCACAAACGGCAAACUUACAGAUCUCACGUCAUUGUCUUCAUUCAGCAGUUUUCCUCCAUCUACAUCAACGACUGCACGUUGCUCAAGACGGUACUUCUAAAAAUUGAAAGUCAACAACAACAACAACAACAACAAAGCCUUUUCCCACUAAGUGGGGUCGGCUAUAUGAAUCCUAGAACGCCAUUGCGCUCGGUUUUGUGUCAUGUCCUCCGUUAGAUCCAAGUACUCUAAGUCUUUUCUUAGAGUCUCUUCCAAAGUUGUCCUAGGUCUUCCUCUACCCCUUCGGCCCUGAACCUCUGUCCCGUAGUCACAUCUUCGAACCGGAGCGUUAGUCGGCCUUCUUUGCACAUGUUCAAAAUCACCGGAGCCGAUUUUCUCUCAUAUUUCCUACAAUUUCGGCUACUCCUACUUUACCUCGGAUAUCCUCAUUCCCAAUCUUAUCCUUUCUCGUGUGCCCACACAUCCCACGAAGCAUCCUCAUCUCCGCUACACCCAUUUUGUGUACGUGUUGAUGCUUCACCACCCAACAUUCUGUGCCAUACAACAUCGCUAGCCUUAUUGCCGUCCUAUAAAAUUUUCCCUUGAGCUUCAGUGGCCUACGACGGUCACACAACACGCCGGAUGCACUCUUUCCAUCCAGCUCGUAUUCUAUGGUUGAGAUCUCCAUCUAAUUCUCCGUUCUCUUGCAAGAUAGAUCCUAGGUAGCGAAAACGAUCGCUUUUUGUGAUCUUCGCUAGAUUGCUCCGGUCAUUAGUGUGGAUAAGUAUAUAAAUGGAUAGAGAUAGGAAAGCAAACACAAGAUGUACGUGGUUCACCCAGAUUGGCUACGUCCACGGAAUAGAAGAGUUCUCAUUAAUUGUGAAGGGUUUACACAAGUACAUAGGUUCAAGCUUUCAUUUAGUGAGUACAAGUGAAUGAUUUAGUACAAAUGACAUUAGGAAAUAUUGUGGGAGAAUGAUCUCGUAAUCACGAAACUUCUAAGUAUCGGAGUGUGGUGUCGUCUUGACUUGCCUUAUCUGUCUCAUAGGUAGAUGUGGCAUCUUCUCUGGAAGUACUCUUCCUCAAACGAUAAAUUAUUACGAAGCAUUGAAUAUAAGCAUGAAACGAAGAAAAUGUUAUGGAAUGGUGAUCCUCAUCCUCAAAGAUGAUUAAAAGCAAUUUGAUUCAAAAAUGACAUAUCAACUCUGGAGAAAUGGAAGACAAACCUGUGGUACCAUAUUCGCAACUGAGGUUAUGACAGCUGAAAUCGAUUGUUCCUGUGUGCAUUGAUAAGUGAGACUACCAUAGAGAUUCACAACUAAAUAAAGACAGGUAUUCCACAGAACAACCUUUACCUCUUUGGAAACACAGAUCUAACAAAAACUAUAACAUUUUGGAUUAAUAUUGACGAAUCAAGAAUAAUGCAAGGGAGCAAGAGAUACUCUUCCUUCUAAUAACAAGGAGGCGUGAAAAGUAUACAGAGUUCCAACAAUUAGAGAACUAAAAUCAAACUAAAAAAAUCACCAAAGUAGACAGAAUCUCACUUCGCCAAAAAUUUGAAAAUAUAUCCUUUUUAUCCAUUGAGAUUCAUGAACUACUACUACUACUACAUCAUGCCAAUAAGCAAUGCGUAAGAGGUGCUACAAUUUACCGAAUAUAUUUACCCUGAGAACAAGUUUUGAAAUCAUCUCUAGUGUUAACAGCACCUUGCGUCCUUGGGUAAGCUGAGUCCUAUUAUCAAGUAAAGAGACCAAUCAGUACAUAUCCAAAAGAUCUUAAAUGCUUGUAAUACCAAAUAAGAAAGAAACAUGAGUAUAUCUUGAAUUAACCAUGUAAAAAUGUAAUGUUAAAGCAUCUUGUCAUACAGACCUCUUCAAGGUACCAGAAAUUUUUGCACUAAAGAUGUCACAAGCAGCUGAUAUGAAGCUGCAUUUUCUGUGAGUUGAAAUUUUGUCAAUAUAAUCGAUCACCUGAAGAGAGAGAGAGAGAAAAAGACAGUGAUAUCCAGAGAUGUGAGCCUAAAUGCUGAGUGUGUAAAAAAAGAAGAUUAAAUGGAUAGCAAGAAUAUACAACUUUAAUGCUGAAAAGAACAUUGAAUAUGAUGCUCAUUCAUCAUUCCCAUUGAACGUGUACCUUCUUCUUUUCCUCUUUCUCAAAAGCAAGUAGAGCCUUGAAGACUUGCCUAUAUGAUCCAUCAUCACAACCAGGCAAAGUUGUUUUAAUCAUAGCAACAAUGGCUCUAACUACCUGCCAUAAGAAACAUGCUACAUCAACAAGAUCACAGAGUGUACCAGAAACCGUAAUGUAGCAAAAUCUUGGAUAAAAUAGCUGACCAAAAGGGAAUGGAAAAGCAAGCACGAAAAACAAUGAAAAGGACCAGUGAUGCCAAAAUUCUGGUGGAAAAGGUGAAAAGCUUCUGCCUAUUACAAUUUUUGUAUGCAUUCUUUAUAACUUAAGUUCUACUAGCAAAAACCACCUUAUGCAAAAUAAUAUUGGAAAAAUUAGAUACAUACAACUGAGAAGAUAGGUUUUCAUAAUCUGGACAAGUGCUAACUACCUUCUUCCUAUAAACUGCCACUCCAUGAACAUUAAAUGGUAUUUUCCUUUCACGCAAGGCUGUCUGGAAGACUUUUCCUGAUACCUGUAGCAUAAAAUACAAAAGAAAAUGUGACCAAAAUGUCUUAUAUGAUUCACCUCAUUCACAUUAGCACUAAGGCAAGUAAGCUUGACCUGCCUCCGGUAAAGGAUUGCUAUAUUUCCAUAGGAGCACCCUGCUUCUGACCGUUUCGAUGCAGUCUCCAGGAUCUUGUCGACAACAAAGGCGCAUUGUGCAUCCUCAUUGUGACUUUCCUUGAUAAUUACCUACAUUUUGCCAGUAAAACCAGUGUCACUAACUAAAAGGACUGAAAAAUGACAUCAAAUUGUACUUGUUGGAGCAAGGAAAGAUUAAGUACCUUAGACCCAGAAGAAUUGUCCGUGUCAACAUUCUUUAGUUGGCAUCGCUUCUUAUUGUUUUUUAUAACAGAAGAUGCAGCUUCCACAAUAUAGCGUGUGGACCUAAAGUUUUUAUUAAGCCUAAUCUGAACCAUAAAGUUAUGUCAAAUCCCACAGAAACCCAUAAAAUAAAACUUACUUUCCUGUAAUUGUACAAUAUAUUUGUUCUAUACUAUAUAUAAUGAAAAAAGACACUGUGAAUGACAUAAGAUAACAUAGCAGUCAAGUGCGAAGCGAACCUCUUUGUAAUUUGAAAAAUCUUUACGAAAAGAAUCAAAUCCAGAAAUGUCCGCCCCAUUGAAACUGAAAAUGGACUGCAGCAGGAUAUAUGUUAUUUGAUUUAGAACAGAUAAGGGCUGGAUUAGAAUGAGCUGAGAGAGAGAGAGAGAGAGGGAGAGAGGGAGAGAGGGAGCAAUAACAUUGGAUUUCCAUAAUAAAUCAACAACAUGCCUGAUCAUCAUCACCAACAAUGGUUAUGUGGUUAUGAGAGGCGAGAAUCCGCAAAAGACUAUAUUGCAUAGCACUUGUGUCUUGAAACUCGUCUAUUACAAUAGCUUUCCAUGACUCCUGGCACUCCUUCAACACUAAUUAAGAGAACACCAUGUAUCAACAUUUAGCAUUACUUGUAAAACUAGAUAAAUCAAUGAAAUAUACUUAGAUGAUAGAGACCUUCAGGAAAAUCACUUAGCAGCUUCACAGAGCAGCUAAUUAAGUCGUGGUAGUCCAAAGCGUUGCACGAUUUCAAGAUAUCAUUGUAAUUCCUAAGAAUUUCACCCUGAUUCAGAUUGAGAGCUAAAACUCAUAAGCAAUAGUUUCAAAGAACUGAAAUGAUAUCUGAAAUUCUAGUUCUGAGCGUACUCCUGUCACAUCACCCAUUCUUCGGCAUUCAGCGGGAGUCUUUCCAGAAGCUUUUGCCUGAAACAUAAAUAAAUUUACUGCCUAAUGCCACAUAUUGUAAGACACACCAUUGUAUUGGUCAUUCUAGCUUGAUUGUAGCUAAUAUUUUUUAAAUCGAAUGAUUAGAGUUCUUAAUCCACAAUAAUCUGAACAUUAAAUUUGGUAUUCAAGACUAACCUGUGUCACAAACUUCAGCCAUUUCUUUGAUGCAUCCUUAAAAUGAUGUGGAGAUGUUACGCCGUCAGACUCUUCCCCAUCUAUAGCAACAUUAAGAUUCGUUUUACUCUUUUCAUCUUCUGAUAACCGCACAGCUUCAAUGAUUGCUCUUCUCUGUUGCCCAUGUCCAUAUAUCAAAAAUUCUGGUCUGCGCUUGAGUCUAAAACACAAGCCAACAUAACAGACUCAGCUAUACCACCAAAUGUAUGGUGUUCAAAAUCAAGGGAGGUGAAUCAAUAGCUUACUUCUCAGCAUGUGAUCGGCAAAGUUGCAAUGAAAAUGAAUGAAAUGUACUGAUUGUUAGUAGUUUUGCCGUUGCUUUCCCAGUCACAGAUCCAAUUCGAUCUCUCAUCUCGGAAGCUGCUGCUGUAGUGAAAGUCAUUGCUAGAAUGUUCGACGUGCUAAUGCCCUAAGAACACAAAAAAAAAAAAAAAACGAAUAAGAUUUCGAUCAUAAACAAGAAAUGUAGAGAAACACACAAUUACGAAAGAAAAAGUUAGAGGGAAAGUAGCAACACCUCAUUGAGCAGCAUUAGAACGCGCCCAACUAUCGUUGAAGUCUUUCCACUUCCAGGGCCGGCAACAAUCAUCAAAGGUACUGAAAUAUAGCUGCAAGCUGCCUCACGCUGCCUUUCGUUGAGAGAAAGCAAAUACUUCAAAUACUCAUCCGGCAUGUUAGGCAAUCCAUGGUUAACAGAAUCUGUUUGGUUUUCACUACUCAAAGGCGGCGCUGAUGGCACUAACGUGUUAUGACCCAAAUUAUUACUGAGGUUUUAUGCUUUAUUACUGUGAGGAAUUGUUAAUAUACCAGCUGGCAUUUAAAAGUGUAGAGGUUUUAUAAAAGGAGCCCCAGCUCCCCCAAAUGUAUCAGAUCAGAAUUUUACAAAAGAAAUCAAUAUUGGAGCUCUGCUCCUUCUUCUCUCCUUCCCUCUUCUUCCAUAGCUUUCUUGUGCCACUUACAGGUUGAUUAAGGGAAUUGAGAAUUAGAUCUUAUCAAUGGUAUCAUCCUUCUCGAAUCCUGGUUUCCCUCCUGUGCACACCCACCCACCUACGUUUUCUGCCAUGGUUGCUGCGCCCAAGGAUUCGCUUCGCGAGACCCUGGAUGCUCUAUUCGCACCCUACCUGGCUAAGAUCCGCCGUGCCCGUGAGUUGGCUCUCAGCGCUGAGGGAGACUCCACUCCAACCCUUAUGUUCGCUAUCAGUGAUGGGGGAGUUCCUGAUCCAGCCCCGAUGAUUGCCGAUGACGCUGCAGGAAUCGAUCUCGGUCAGAAAAUAAUUCCACGAGUCGCUGCAUCAACUAAUCAGAUUCUGCCGUUGCUCUCGUCAUCGCCGUUAUUGCGAGCACUAGCAAAUCCUCCUGUCAGGCCACCGUCGAACUCAAACGCUUCAUUGGCAAAUUCGCCCAGCCAGCCGCUACACUCAAAUGAUAUUGUAGCAGCCACAAUUCCAUUGCGGAAUGUUGAGAAAACCAGGCCCGUUGCGAUUGUGACCACAAUGCCGCUAUUUCCGAUUUCAGCAACCUUUAGCACUGAAUCAGCCCACGCUCACAAUCACAACCUCGUUUUGAGCACCAAGGAAGCUACAACAAUGGCGCAUGUUCUGGGUUUUCCUCUCAAGAAAGCAGGAGCUACUAAAUCUGUAGGUAUAUCUCAUACAAACACCACGAAGCGUCGACACGAGGUAUUGACAUCCUUGCUUUCCAAUUCUACAAAUCGGAAGGACAAAUGGUAUUGGGUUUUGCAGGUUAUUUUGGCAUAUUAUACUGGUGUUAUUGUGAUAAUGUAUGACGACUUCUUAACUGAUAAAUGUGGAUGGGGUAAUUGGUACCUUGUGGGACAAUUUGUGUUACACGCGCCCCUAAUUUAAAUCGUAUUUUUACUAAAUUUGAGUUUAUCUUGCUUUUAAAAUUAUUUUUGGGUUUUAAAUGGUGUGCCCAAGGCCCACCCCCUGUUUUGUCCCCCGUUCCCUUUCCCUUUCUUUUAUUUAUUUUCUUCUUUCUUCUUCUUCUUCUUCUUCUUUUCUGUUUCUUUUUCUUUCUUUUCCGUCUGUCCCUCUCGGCUCUCUCUGCGCCCUCUCUUCUCUGCACCGCAACAAGCACACGCACGCACCCAUUGCACCUGCGCGAGGAAGACCAUCAUCAUCUCGUCCUGCUCUCUCUCCCUCUCGUGUUUGCGAACCCAGAAAAUCGGAAAGGAUCUUCCGCGAGAUUUUUAUAUUUUCCGGUUAGGUAAGCCUCAAAUCCCUCUCUUUCGUCCUAGAAUCUUUUGAGAAUGGGUUCUAAUUGGUUUUAUUUCGUGAUUUUUGGAGGUUUUAGGAUGAAAACAAACUCGGGUGCAGGAACACCCAUUUCCGGCGAGGAACCCGCCACUUUCGAGUUAAUCUCCGGCCAAACCACGGCGAGUUGGCCGGCGUGCAAGGUAUCAAUCUCUUCGUCUCGUCGAUUACUACAACUUUCCUUUUUGUUUCACCCAAUUUCGUUGAGUAUUGAAGAAGUUAUACUCAUUUGAAUCUUACCCAGUUUCCGGCGAGUCCGACGGCUUUCGAGGCGUUUUCCGGUCAAACCACGGCGAAUUAGACGUCGUGUGAGGUACCAUUCUCUUCGUCUCUUCGAGGGCUACAACUUUCGUUUUUGUCUCGCUUGAUUUCGUUGAGUUUUAACAAAGUUAUAGCCAUUUAAAAUUGGGUGGUUUUCCGGCCGAAAUUCCAGCCUUCUUCUUCCUCGGGUCCGGCGACCCAUCAAACUUGGGCCCUUUGGGCCGUUUCUGUUAAGGGCUUUAAGCCCAAACCCUAAACCUUUGGGCUUUAGGACCAAACCCAAGAACCCAAACCCUAUGACCCAAACCCGGAUCCAAGCCCAGACCCGUUUGACCUGGUCCGACCCGGAUCCUGACCCGUUGACUUUGACCGGUCAACGUUGACUUUUCUAGUUGACUUUUCGGGUUUUCGUCCAAGACCUUCCUAGGCUAAUUUCGACGUCCUGGAUCCGUUUUUGAAGUUCGUUUUCCCAAAUUCAAUCGUUUGAGUAGAGUUUGACUAAAUGGAUCAUUUAUGUGCUUAGGUGAAUUUAAUGACGGCGGUUCCGUUAUUCCUAUUUGGUAUGGCGUUGCACCAACGGUGUACGGUGAGUGGACCCCUUCUAAAAUGCAUGUUUUAUAGUAGAAAUGCAUACAUAAAAAGUAUGAUUUGAUGAUUACCUUUUAUGAAACGUUUUGUGAGAUAACAUGCUUAUUGAGGCUACUUUAAAUUAUUACUAUUUUUCCUAUAACCCGUGUUCUUAUAGAAUAUCUGAUGGAUGACGAUAUGAUAUUAGAACAUGUUUAGAACACCUCUUUAUAGUAUAGAUGAUGGAUGACUUUAUACUAUGAAGUUGUUUUUCAAUAUAUAUGUUCAAUGGUUUUGUACUUACCUAGUGGUCAUUUCCGCUACGGGACGUAGGGAUAGAUUCCGGUCAUUCCCGGGCGACGGUUUGGUGUUGGCAUAGGGCCUGGAGUGUGUUUCCUCUGGCUAUUUAGCACAGGGACGGGGAGCCGGCAUGGGGCCUGAAGUGUAUUUUCCUCUGACUGUCUGCUCAGAGACGGGGAGCCGGCAUGGGGCCUGGGGGUUAUCGGACAAUUCACUAGUGAUUAUUAUAUAUAUAAAAGUUAUGAUUUGAGACACUGCACAUCAUGCUAGGUUUCGGAAAACCUAUGUUUAUCAUUAUAUAUGUGUUUUCAUAAAACUUGGGGGUUAGUACGUUGAUAACUGUUUUGUUAUAUUUAUAUCAAAUUGGUCCACUCAUGUUUGUUUUGCGCCCCCUUCAGGAUUUAGGAUCGAGGCGUACAAUCCCGGCAAUCCAGGCACUUCCGCAUCGGUAUCUUCAAGUCCUCUCGGUGUAGAACCCACUUCUGUGUUCAUUCAAUUUUUAUAUUAAUUCUUUUAAUGUUCUAGAUUAGAUGUGUGCUCUGAACACGUUCCUUAAAUGCAUAUUCUUUAUUUAUAUUUAUAAGUUUUAUCUAUCCUUUAUUUUCAGCAAUUGCACUCAAUAAAUGGCUUUCGUCGCCCUCGGGUGUCGGCCAGCACGUGACCAUCCUGAUAUCCUGAGGAUAUCGGGAUCGGGGCGUGUCAGAUUGGUAUCAGAGCGUGGUUUGUUCAGAGCAUACUUAGGAUCCUCUUCUAUUAUCGUAGAGUGUUGGUUUUGACAUCAUUUGGAUGUCCAGACUUCUAGAUUUGGUGCCAUUCGGCGCAGUCGUGCGAAUCUUCCUCUAUUUGAAUUGUCACAUUCGGGUUGAUAUACAAGAAUUUGUGUCGGGAUUGUGCCUCAUCGGUGACGUGUUUGAAUUGUUGGACGACUUUCAGCUUCAGAUUGAUACUCUACGACGUGCAUUCCCUGGGAAUGACGGGCAUAGUCGGUGUUACUUGGAAGCGACGGAUUUUAGAAAUCUCAGCUUAAGGAAGUCUGGUCAAGACCAGCUGUAAAUUCGAAAUGGCGAUGCCACUCUACAACAUGCGUUCCCUAGGAAUUGCGGGCGGAGUCGGCUUUGCAUCGAAAUCUUGGGAAGCGGAAAAAAAAUCUUGGCAGUACGAAUUGACUAAGACCAACUGGAGUUCUGAAGCGGUGUUGUACUCUGCAACAUGCGUUCCUUAGGAAUGGCGGGCAGAGUCGUAUCUCUUUAGAAAUUACUCGAAACUUUCGAAAUGCAGAUUGAAGAAGCGAGUAAGUGCUAGUGGUGACGACGGUUAGUAGGUGGUAGUUGGUGGGAGCAAAAUCAAUGUUCUCGAACUCAUUACCACUGAAGAAAUUUGGGUGAAUCUUUAUAACAGUUCUCUGUGAUUGUUUUAUCGAUUACCUUCUCGUUUAUUCCAACGACGAAGUCAAGUUCACUGACCUUUGAUCGUCAGCUUCACAUCAAAUCCCUCGAGAGUUGACUUCGUCUAGAGAUUAUACUUUUCUUGGGAAACUCCUCGGUAGCAGACGUUAUUCUCAUCAAUUUCGAAAUGGAGUUGCGAUUCUUGUUGUUGUUGUAGUUGAACUUGGAUAAUGAAGAUUCAGCCUUGUUUGGAUAAACAAAUUCCUUGAACUUCACCUGGGUUUGGUACUUGGUAGUAAACCCUAGUUCCUCAUCCGUGUACUUUUCAGUGAAGGUGAACUUAGUCCCUUGCUUGCAACCUAACUGUUCAGCCUUGUAAUUUUCAGCGUAAUGGCUUGAGACUCUAUCAUAUUCAUCAUUGUACGAAGAUCGAGCUUUACUCUGAACUUCUCUGGGCUCGUUAAGCUUUGAUUUGCUCAGAGGCAUCACUUUAAGGUAGCCAAUCGUGUCACUGCAUGCAUACACAAGCUGCUUUGUAUCUUUCUUCUUCGUUAUUCUGCUGAUUCAGAGGUUUUAUGUUUAAUUUCUGAAUUUUUAAAUGACUAUCGCGAAGUACCGUGAAUCUCGAAAUGUCUUUGGCCUCGUCAAAUCUUAUUAAUAGUUCUUGACUAUUCUUGAGAUUAGACUUGUUCCUUUUGGCUAAGAAACCAGUCGACCUUAUUGUGAUGAGUAGCCAAAUAAUCAUAAACAGUAACUUCUAUUUCUGCAUCUUCAUUUUCCUUCGUUUGUUUGUUUGUUUCUCAAUGUGAACUGGAUCAUGCCGGGACAUUACACGAAGGGUGUAAAAAAAAAAAAAAAAAAAAACGUUUGUUCUCGGCGUGGUUUCUAGUUCAAAUCCGGAUAUCUUGUACUCUAUAUUUAAUGGACUUGUUUUGAACCUUAAAUUCCUGAGUGUUCUUUUAGCCUUAUCGACAUGGUUUCUCUCUCAAUUAGUGAGAAAUUCAUGAUCGAUGGUUUCGGCGGAAGUGUGCGCCCAAUUCUUAUCGAUUUGGACAGGAAUGUUGGGAGCAUAAUCUUUUCACAAGCUUACUAGACUUACCAGAAAGAGUUCCACGUGGGUGUGAAGUUUGAGUUGUCUUUUGGUAAGAGACUGGUGAAGAUUGUGGUGCAGAUGAUUAGCAGAUUGUAUCACUAUCUUCACGCUGAAUUGAAUGGUCACCAUUCAUUAUCCUGCUGCAAUUCAUAAUCAUCAUAUCUUACUCUGGUAGACAUUUUUGAUGAUGUGUUCGCCUCAACGCAGCUUUCCACUACCUCUCACCAGGAUCCUUCGGUUCGAGAGCACGUGGGCGUGAGGUUGAGCGGUCUUUUAGUAAGAGUUGGUUGAAGGUUUUAGUUCAGAAGGUCAGCAUAUUGUAUCACCAUCUUACUAGAAUUCAUAGGCAUCACAUCGGUUAUUUUCCAACGAUAUGUGUUCGUGUCAAUGCAUACUUCGACUGCUUCACUUCUGAACCUUAUUCUUGUGAGUAUGUGGAUGUUGAAUCACUUAUAGCAGAUUUGUUUGGUGCACUCUGGAAUGGCACCACAACGUAGUUGAGAUAAGAAUCGGAAGAUCUUUGCACUUUUUGCGAAUGGUGUGUGCUCUCAUGGGGUGUUUAGGUUGAUUGCAUGAGAGUCAUUCUUUCCUCCAACAUUGAUCUUGUUUGACUAGAAAUCUGCAACUAAGCAAAAAUGGAGAGGUGGAUUGAGCACUACAACAGUUCCCAAGAGAUACUGCGUGUUGAGGAAGAUGACUUCUCGUUUUCUGCUUACCUAGUUCGAGCUUUUGGGUCUACUACUAACAUGGUGGCCACUUCUCUUGAAUCCCAAAGUACAGUUUCAAAUGGGUUCUUUGUUGGCAUAACUCUGGAGUAGUUGGUCACAUUUGGAAUAACUGAGGAAGAGGUUGUGCUUGGUACUAAAGGGAGUUAGUAUGACGAUAGUUAUUGGUUUUGUUCGAUUUGGGUAUGGCACUAUUUGCGACAUGGUACGAGAGUUGCUACACGCAACAUUGGUUGAUAGAGGAGACGUGCAAGCUUGUACUUGGAGGAUCGAAUUUUCGACGUGUGAAAUUGUGCACCCUCAGGAAAUUACUGCUUGUUUACUGAGACAACAAAUGUGUGGUCGAUAUCGCGGGCGGCCGACUGUGGUAUCGAUAAUUUAUUUGUUGGGUUCGUUAAGCAAGUGGGGCAGGAAUAUCCUUUUACGGCAGCCGUUAAAGAUUCACUAUUGUUAGAACUGGACCCAAAGACACAUCUAUUUUCGGAGUACGCGACGUUUCGAAUUCUUGGGCAAGACCCACUCUCAUUCUUCAGUUUUGGUUUUCAGUAUAAGUAUUUUAACCUCAUUUACUCUAGUUAAUUGUUUUGCCAUUACAAAUGUUUUUGGAAAAGUAUUUCCGUUUUCAGUUUUUAAGUGUAGCUCGAAUUUUCAACCUAUAUGUUGGUACAUAUCCAUUUUGACGUUAUCGUAUGUUAUGUUCUUACUUUUGACCUUAAUCUAUUUUAUGUUUUCGACUUUAUAUCUUUAUAAAGUAUGUUUUCUACUUUUACACUGAUGGGGAAGAAAGUAAGCUUGGAGGCAUGAUAGAGGAUUUUGCAACCCGCUCGCGACGGUGUGGUAUAUUCUCUUUGAUGCACCCACUCUGACUUGAUUUCUCUUUAUACAUAUAUUCUUCUUACUAUUUUCGUGUAUUUCAGUUUAGUAGGUGAUUUUAAAUUUCGGGGACGAAAUUCUUUUUAAGGGGGGUAGAUUGUUACACCCGCCCCUAAUUUAAAUCGUAUUUUCACUAAGUUUGAGUUUAUCUUGCUUUUAAAAUUGUUUUUGGGUCUUAAAUGGUGUGCCCAAGGGGCCCCACCCCCUGUUUUGUCCCCCGUUCCCUUUCCCUUUCUUUUAUUUAUUUUCUUCUUUCUUCUUCUUCUUCUUCUUCUUUUCUGUUUCUUUUUCUUUCUUUUCCGUCUGUCCCUCUCGGCUCUCUCUGCGCCCUCUCUUCUUUGCACCGCAACAAGCACACGCACGCACCCAUUGCACCUGCGCGAGGAAGACCAUCAUCAUCUCGUCCUGCUCUCUCUCCCUCUCGUGUUUGCGAACCCAGAAAAUCGGAAAGGAUCUCCCGCGAGAUUUUUAUAUUUUCCGGUUAGGUAAGCCUUAAAUCCCUCUCUUUCGUCCUAGAAUCUUUGAGAAUGGGUUCUAAUUGGUUUUAUUUCGUGAUUUUUGGAGGUUUUAGGAUGAAAACAAACUCGGGUGCAUGAACACCCAUUUCCGGCGAGGAACCCGCCACUUUCGAGUUAAUCUCCGGCCAAACCACGGCGAGUUGGCCGGCGUGCAAGGUAUCAAUCUCUUCGUCUCGUCGAUUACUACAACUUUCCUUUUUGUUUCACCCAAUUUCGUUGAGUAUUGAAGAAGUUAUACUCAUUUGAAUCUUACCCAGUUUCCGGCGAGUCCGACGGCUUUCGAGGCUUUUUCCGGUCAAACCACGGCGAAUUAGACGUCGUGUGAGGUACCAUUCUCUUCGUCUCUUCGAGGGCUACAACUUUCGUUUUUGUCUCGCUUGAUUUCGUUGAGUUUUGACAAAGUUAUAGCCAUUUAAAAUUGGGUGGUUUUCCGGCCGAAAUUCCGGCCUUCUUCUUCCUCGGGUCCGGCAACCCAUCAAACUUGGGCCCUUUGGGCCGUUUCUGUUAAGGGCUUUAAGCCCAAACCCUAAACCUUUGGGCUUUAGGACCAAACCCAAGAACCCAAACCCUAUGACCCAAACCCGGAUCCAAGCCCAGACCUGUUUGACCUGGUUCGACCCGGAUCCUGACCCGUUGACUUUGACCGGUCAACGUUGACUUUUCUAGUUGACUUUUCGGGUUUUCGUCCAAGACCUUCCUAGGCUAAUUUCGACGUCCUGGAUCCGUUUUUGAAGUUCGUUUUCCCAAAUUCAAUCGUUUGAGUAGAGUUUGACUAAAUGGAUCAUUUAUGUGCUUAGGUGAAUUUAAUGACGGCGGUUCCGUUAUUCCUAUUUGGUAUGGCGUUGCACCAACGGUGUACGGUGAGUGGACCCCUUCUAAAAUGCAUGUUUUAUAGUAGAAAUGCAUACAUAAAAAGUAUGAUUUGAUGAUUACCUUUUAUGAAACGUUUUGUGAGAUAACAUGCUUAUUGAGGCUACUUUAAAUUAUUACUAUUUUUCCUAUAACCCGUGUUCUUAUAGAAUAUCUGAUGGAUGACGAUAUGAUAUUAGAACAUGUUUAGAAUGUCACAGCCCGUCCCGGGAUUUCUAUAUCGGGGGCGUGAAUUGACGUAACUACCCUUGACGGACAUUCGGGUACGUGUGUGUGCGACAUUAUUGAAUUAAUUUUGUAAGUUUUGGGAUUUUAAUUUUGGAAUUUGGAAAUUUUUGUGGUUAGGGAAUUGGAUGGAUGGUGAGGAUUGUGUUGGACCACACAAUCACACACACACGCACUCCCUGUCUUCUCUCCCUCCCGUAGCUCUCUCUGUCCCUCUCCCUCACGAUCUCUCUCUUUCCCCUCACCCUAUACGUACGGCCUUCACCCAAAACCCUUCAAAACUCGACGGAUCGAGGCAAAUAAGGUAUGCAUCUUCAUCCUUUCGUCGUCCUGAGUUCAUUGGUGCUAGUUUUAGGAAGUGAAACCUUCGAUUUCACAUAGAUCCCGAACCUCCAUUUUUGAGGUACUGUUCAUGCGAACGUAAAAUGUUGUGUUUCAGGAGAUUUCAAGCUUGUGGUGAGCUUUAGGAGGUUCCUAAGGAAGCUCGGGGACGUUCGUUGGAGAGUUUUGGACGUCGGGAUCGUAGGUUUCAAGUUUGGCCGAAUCUUUGGUUUUUCCAAGGUGAGAUUUCGUAGUUUUUAGGCCCUAAAACAAGUCCAACGUGAUUGUACACUCUUAGGGCUUCAAUUUGGUAUAAAAUACGAAGAAAAUGGGUGAAAAACGAAGGAGAAUAGUGAGUUUGAAAAUCGGCCGGAGUUCGGCCGGAGUCCGGCCACCAGAGAACCAGUCCGGCGAGACCUGCGAAGAAGACGACACGUGCGCUGCACGUGCUGCGCGUGGCCAGCGCGUGGACCCGUGCCACGUGUGGCGCGUGGGGGCGCGUGGGGCUUCCAAAAAUUUUUCUAAAAAUUUCUCGACGCUCGUGACGUCGAGUAGGUCGAUGUGGUAUAUUAUUAUACCAAAAUUGAGCAUCGUAUGAGAAGUUAUUUCAAAUUAUUGGUGAUGUGCUUAAAAUUAAUGUUUUUAUAGUUGUUUCGCAUAUAGGUGAGACGUAUCCCGAGGACGACCGCAUCCAGGGACGCCACGGGGGUUACGACGACCCGUCGACUUAUCAGUGAGUGGGCAGUUUUGUUUUCGUAUUACCUAUAUACUACUGUUUUUCCCAGAAAAAUGUUUAUAUGAAAAUAUGUUUUGAAUAUGCCAUGCAUAGAAUUAUUUGAAAAUCAUGAAUUGGUUUAUGAACUAUAUGAUUGAAAUAUGAUGCAUACAUGUUGCAUGGUGCUGUGGAGGCACAGGUAAGUCAGGUGAGUUCAUUUAUUCAUUGAAUUGUUGUUGUUGAGAUGAGUUGAGCUCAUAAUCUGCACCCUAGGUGUUAGUGCUUAUAUUAUUCACCACACCGCACGCUCGUCUUGGAUCCAAGUAGGUGGAUGUCGUACAGACCAUGUGAGGGUUCCGACAUGCUAGUCGUACAGAUCACUAGGCGUGAUUCCGACUAGUGGGUGACCUUAGUUAUGCGCGCUGAUGAUAUGAUGAGAGAAGCACUAGAGCGUAUUUUUACACCUUUCAUCGUAUAGACUACCUUACGUAGUUCCGAGUGAUGUGCAGAGUAGGGCCGUAUAGGUCACUGUGGUGACUCCGGCUUAGUGGGAUUUUUGAGCUAUUGAAUUAAUCGUAUAGGACCAACUGCAGGGUCUCCGAUUGAUUCCUUAUUUCACCUGAUUUAUAUUUUUUAUUUAUGUCAUGGCAUGUUUUCUUGAAAAUGUUAAAGAUUUGAGAUUUAAAUGUUGAGAUUUUAUAUGGUUAUAUAUAUUUCUGGGAAAGUAUACAGGUUUUUACGGCGAGGGGAUAUAACUGUUUUAAUGAAAUGUUUUGGAAAACUAAUUUGUUUUACUGACCCACUCAUUUUGUUUUGCGCCCCUCCAGGUUCUAGUUUAGCGGUGGUUGGCUCACGAGGUCCUUUCCGGCUUUCUGACAGAUUUGGGACAUGUAGGACUCACCUGAGGGUGAUGUAUUCUUAUUUUAGUCCUACUUGACUGCAGUUAACCUAUGCUCUGAACUUAUGUGUUUACUUGUAAACUCGUCCGGUUAUGUCCGUAUGUGGUUAUGUUGAGUUUGGGUUGAAUUUCUGUUGUUAUUACGCUUCCGUGUCGUGCUUAUGGUUACGUCACGCCCACGUGACGGCCAGCACACCUGGAUCCUCCGGAUCAGGGUGUGUCAGUUUGGUAUCAGAGCUUAGGUUGCAGUCCUGUAAAAUUGUUAAUGUCUUAACGAUCUUUUUGAUGUUUUCUGUCAGAAUCAUGCCGCCUCGUAGAGAGCGUAGGGAGUCCCGCCGUACUCCUGAACCUAAUUUCCCAGAUAUUACUCAGUUAGGGGAAGCGAUGGCCCAGGCUUUACAGAAUGUGAUUCGUCCUCCCCCUCCUCCGAGGACACCUCUGGAGACCAUGUACAACUUGAAGUUAGAUCGGUUUAUGGGUAAUGAAAGUCAUGAGGGGGCAGAGAAAUGGCUUGAUCAUAUUGAGAAAACCUUUCAGGUGAUGCAGAGUCAGGGGAAUCUCCCUGCUAAUAGGUGGGUGGAGACCACCACUUGGUUUCUGGGUUGUGAACCAGCAGCAUGGUGGAUAAAUCAGGCUAGGUACAUGUCACCUGAGACGGCAGCCGACUGGAAAGUAUUCAAGGAGCAUUUUAUGAAGAGAUUUCGUUCCUCCUGAGUAUAUUGACCGUAAGAAGCAGGAAUUCACCAGGUUGAAACAGAGAAAUAUGUCGGCACAUGAAUAUUAUAGAAAGUUUACUGAUUUGUCUCGUUAUGACACUGAUAUAGCUGGUAAUCAGGGAGAGAUGCUUCGACGUUUCAAGUUGGGAUCUAAGAAGAAGUGGCGUACCUUUGCCAAUGCACUUCCCUGCGCUGAUUAUCAUGAGUAUUUCGAGAUUUUGGUUAGGAUGGAGGACUCUGAUAAUCUUCCUGACAGUGAGGAUGACGAGGACAAGAAUGAGGGUCAGAAGAAGAAUGAUAAGGGUAAGGGUAUUUCUAUUCCUGGACCUCGACAGACACAGAGUUUUUAAGAAGAGUGGAGCGAGUUCGAGUUCUUCUAGUGGGGGAUAUAGUUUUACUGGCCCGAGGAGAGGUGGUGGAAGAUUUUCUGGUGGACCCAGAUUUCAGGGUCAGAGGGAUGCUGGUGGAUCUGGCGCUCCAUGGUGCCGCCGUUGUAACUCCCGUCACCAUGGUGAGUGUAGGAGAGGUUCUGGUGCCUUGUUUUUACGUGUGGGACAGAUGGGACAUCGGGCUUCUCAGUGCCCCCAGGGUCAGCAGAGACCGCAGCAGACUAAUAUGCCACCUCCAGCACCAGUUCAGCAGAGUUUUGGGACCGGGUGGUUAUGGCCAGCCGAGUCGUGGUGGUGCCUACCACUAUCAGGGGGAUGCUGCUCCGUAUGCUUCCGGACCUUAUCAGUAUUCUCAGGAGCCUUAUCCUCAGGCAGGGUAUUCUCAGGAUUUUGGAGGUUAUUCUUCUUAUUCCUCUAUGCCAGCUGGUGGAUCGCAGUGGCAUCAGGGAGGCCAGCCCCGUCAGGGGGAAGUUGCUACUGGUGGUGCAGGAUCAUCCAGGCAGCCUAGUCAGCCAGGCCAGGGACGAGGUAAUCAGGGCAAUAGAGGCCGAGGUGGACGUCAGCAAGCUCAGGGGCGAGUUAAUCAUAUUGUCCCUGCAGGAGGCUCAGAACCAUCCAGACUUGAUAAUGGGUACGUUAAAUGUUCUUGGUCAUUUUGCUAAGGUUUUGAUUGAUUGUGGCGCUACGCACUCUGUGAUUUCUCAUACGUUUGCUCAAAUAACCCAACCUCACCCUUCACCUCUAGGAUUUGAUUUAGAGUUUGCCAUGCCUAGAGGAGAUAAAUGUAUUGUGGAUAGUGUGUAUCUGGGGUGUCCAGUGAUGGUUGAGGGCGUGAUUAUGUCCGCUGAUCUUAUUCCGUUAGAUAUUGUGGAUUUUGAUGUGAUUUUAGGGGCCGAUUGGUUACACCAUAAUCGUGCCCAUAUUGAUUGUUAUGGUAAAUCAGUUACUUUUUAUCGUCCUGGAUUACCCGAGGUUAUUUUUGUGGGCGAGAGAAGUGGGGUGAGACAUGGAGUUAUUUCUGCCAUAAGGGCGAGGAAAUUAUUAUCGAAGGGUUGUCAGGGAUAUUUGGCACAUGUGGUAUUAAAUGAUGUUGCUCCUACUAGUAUAGAAGAAGUUGGUGUGGUCAGACAUUAUCCGGAUGUUUUCCCUGAUGAUUUGCCGGGAUUGCCGCCAGACAGAGAGGUGGAAUUCUCUAUUGAUUUGCUUCCAGGUACGGACCCUAUAUCUCUGACUCCUUAUAGAAUGGCUCCUGCUGAGUUAAGGGAAUUAAAAAUCCAGUUGCAAGAAUUACUUGAUAAAGGUUUUAUUCAACCUAGUUCUUCACCUUGGGGUGCCCCAGUAUUAUUUGUGAAGAAGAAGGAUGGAACUCUUUCGAUUGUGUAUUGAUUAUAGACAAUUGAACCGGGUAACGAUUAAAAACCGUUAUCCAUUGCCCCGCAUUGAUGAUUUGUUUGAUCAGCUGAAAGGUGCGUGUGUAUUUUCUAAGAUUGAUUUGAGAUCCGGGUAUUAUCAAUUGAAGAUUAAAGAAGACGAUGUACCUAAGACGGCUUUCCGAACUCGGUACGGACAUUAUGAAUUUUCGGUUAUGCCGUUUGGGUUGACUAAUGCACCUGCAGCUUUUAUGAGAUUAAUGAAUGAGGUAUUCCAGAAAUAUCUUGAUAAAUUUGUUAUUGUUUUUAUUGAUGAUAUUCUGGUAUACUCUAAGUCCCAAGCAGAUCAUAUCCGACACCUUAAUUUGGUGUUAAGGAAAUUAAGGGAGCAUCAGUUGUAUGCCAAGUUCAGUAAAUGUCAGUUUUGGUUGACUGAAGUGGCAUUUUUGGGGCAUGUUGUAUCAGCUCAAGGUAUUCAAGUUGAUCCUCAAAAGAUUGCAGCAGUGGAGAAUUGGGAGCAACCUCGAACCGUCACGGAGGUACGAAGUUUUCUUGGCUUAGCAGGUUAUUAUCGACGGUUCGUUCAGGAUUUCUCUAUGAUUGCUUUACCGUUGACAAAGUUGACCAGGAAGGAUGUUAAAUUUGAGUGGGAUGAGAAUUGUGAGCGGAGUUUUCAACAAUUGAAGUAUUGCCUCACUCAUGCACCGGUGUUGGUACUUCCCGACGAUAGCGGUAAUUUUGAGAUAUAUAGUGAUGCUUCAUUAAAUGGUUUGGGAUGUGUUUUGAUGCAGCAUAAUAAGGUGAUUGCCUAUGCUUCUAGGCAGUUGAAAAAAUCAUGAAAGGAACUAUCCUACUCACGAUCUUGAAUUGGCAGCAAUUGUUUUUGCUUUGAAAAUUUGGAGGACAUUACUUUGUAUGGUGAGAAGUGUAAGAUCUUCACUGAUCACAAGAGUCUUCAGUAUUUGUUUACUCAGCAUGAUCUUAAUCUUCGUCAGCGAAGGUGGAUGGAAUUGUUAAGUGAUUAUGAUUGUUCUAUUGAAUACCAUCCAGGUCGUGCUAAUGUAGUAGCGGAUGCACUGAGUAGGAAACCUCAAGGUAGACUUAAUGCCCUUAUAUGCUAGUCGUGUUCCUCUUCUUGCUGAAUCUGAGGACAACUGGGGUAAGGUUGGAAAUUGAAAGACCGAGGAUGGAGCUUUUCUUGCUAGUUUUCAAGUCAGGCCAGUUUUGGUGGAGCGUAUACUUGCAGCUCAGAUGGUGAAUGAGGAAAGUUCAAGGAGUUGGUUCAGUUAAGAAGUGAAGGGAAAAAGAAAGACCUCAGAAUUCGGGAAUCAGACGGUAUGCUCAUGCAAGAAGACAGAAUGUAUGUUCCGAAUAAUGAGGAAUUGAAGAAGGAAAUUCUGGACGAAGCACAUUGUUCAGCUUAUGCGAUGCAUCCGGGAGGAACAAAAAUGUAUAUCAUACCAUUCGACCAUUUUAUUAUUGGCCGGGUAUGAAAAGAGAAAUUGCAGAAUAUGUGAGCAGGUGUAUUAUUUGCCAGCAAGUGAAAGCAGAAAGAAAGAAGCCAUUUGGGCGAAUGCAACCCCUUCCUGUUCCCCAGUGGAAAUGGGAAAAUAUAACCAAUGGAUUUCGUGUAUAAACUUCCUCGUACGCGAAAUGGAUUUGAUGGUAUUUGGGUGAUUGUGGAUCGACUCACCAAGUCGGCGCAUUUCAUUCCUGUGAGGGAGAAAUACCCUCUGAAUAAAUUGGCUAAGUUGUUUAUUUCGAAGAUUGUCAAGUAUCAUGGAGUCCCAGUAAAUAUUAUCUCCGAUCGAGACCCGAGGUUUACUUCUAAAUUUUGGGUGGCUUUUCAGGAAGCUCUGGGUACUCAAUUACUGUAUAGCACAGCUUAUCAUCCUCAAACUGAUGGGCAAUCAGAGAGGACCAUUCAGACGUUGGAAGGAUAUGUUGAGAUCUUCAGUACUGCAAUUUGGUGAUUCUUGGCAUGAUCGUCUGGACUUAAUGGAGUUUGCUUAUAAUAACAGUUUUUCACUCGAGCAUUGGUAUGUCCCCAUUCGAGGCACUUUAUGGUAGGGCGUGUCGAACGCCAUUAUGUUGGUCUGAGGUUGGUGAACGGGUAUUAGAAGGCCCUGAGAUCGUGGAUGAGACGACUCAAAAUGUUCAGAUAAUUAAGUCAAACCUGAAAGCAGCCCAGGAUCGACAGAAGAGUUUAGCGGAUCGGCAUACUACUGAUCGAGUGUAUGAUGUGGGUGAUUGGGUAUUUUUGAAAUUGUCGCCUUGGAGAGGUGUAGUACGAUUUGGGAAAAGAGGAAAGUUAAGCCCGAGAUAUAUUGGACCUUAUGUGAUCACUGAAAGAGUUGGUGAAGUUGCCUAUCGGUUGGAACUGCCUCCGGAGUUAUCUAAGGUCCAUAAUGUGUUCCACGUCUCUAUGCUUCGGCAUUAUAUUUCUGAUCCUUCUCAUGUGAUCCCUCCUCAACCGUUAGAGAUUAAUCCGGAAUUUGACGUAUGAUGAGGAACCGGUCACUAUCUUGGAUUGGAAAGAUAAGGUUCUAAGGAACAAGACGGUGAGUUUGGUAAAGGUGUUGUGGAUGAACCAUUCUGCAGAGGAAGCCACCUGGGAGACGGAAGAUCGGAUGAGAGAGAUGUACCCAAGGUUAUUUUAUGGGUACUAAGUGGUUAAUUUGGAUUGUGGGAAUUUCGGGGACGAAAUUCUAUAAGGAGGGGAGAUUGUCACAGCCCGUCCCCGGGAUUUCUAUAUCGGGAAUGUGAAUUGACAGUAACUACCCUUGAUUGGACAUUCGGGUACGUGUGUGUGCGACAUUAAAUUGAAAUUUUGUAAGUUUUGGGAUUUUAAUUUUGGAAUUUGGAAAUUUUUUGUGGUUAGGGAAUUGGAUGGAUGGUGAGGAUUGUGUUGGACCACACAAUCACACACACACGCACUCCCUGUCUUCUCUCCCUCCCGUAGCUCUCUCUGUCCCUCUCCCUCACGAUCUCUCUCUUUCACCCUCACCCUAUACGUACGGCCUUCACCCAAAACCCUUCAAAACUCGACGGAUCGAGGGGCAAAUAAGGUAUGCAUCUUCAUCCUUUCGUCGUCCUGAGUUCAUUGGUGCUAGUUUUAGGAAGUGAAACCUUCGAUUUCACAUAGAUCCCGAACCUCCAUUUUUGAGGUACUGUUCAUGCGAACGUAAAAUGUUGUGUUUCAGGAGAUUUCAAGCUUGUGGUGAGCUUUAGGAGGUUCUAAGGAAGCUCGGGGACGUUCGUUGGAGAGUUUUGGACGUCGGGAUCGUAGGUUUCAAGUUUGGCCGAAUCUUUGGUUUUUCCAAGGUGAGAUUUCGUAGUUUUUAGGCCCUAAAACAAGUCCAACGUGAUUGUACACUCUUAGGGCUUCAAUUUGGUAUAAAAUACGAAGAAAAUGGGUGAAAAAACGAAGGAGAAUAGUGAGUUUGAAAAUCGGCCGGAGUUCGGCCGGAGUCCGGCCACCGGAGAACCAGUCCGGCGAGGACCUGCGAAGAAGACGACACGUGCGCUGCACGUGCUGCGCGUGGCCAGCGCGUGGACCCGUGCCACGUGUGGCGCGUGGGGGCGCGUGGGGCUUCCAAAAAAUUUUUCUAAAAAUUUCUCGACGCUCGUGACGUCGAGUAGGUCGAUGUGGUAUAUUAUUAUACCAAAAAUUGAGCAUCGUAUGAGAAGUUAUUUCAAAUUAUUGGUGAUGUGCUUUAAAAUUAAUGUUUUUAUAGUUGUUUCGCAUAUAGGUGAGACGUAUCCCGAGGACGACCGCAUCCAGGGACGCCACGGGGGUUACGACCCGUCGACUUAUCAGUGAAUGGGCAGUUUUGUUUUCGUAUUACCUAUAUACUACUGUUUUUCCCAGAAAAAUGCAUUUAUAUGAAAAUAUGUUUUUGAAUAUGCCAUGCAUAGAAUUAUUUGAAAAUCAUGAAUUGGUUUCACAUGAACUAUAUGAUUGAAAUAUGAUGCAUACAUGUUGCAUGGUGCUGUGGAGGCACAGGUAAGUCAGGUGAGUUCAUUUAUUCAUUGAAUUGUUGUUGUUGAGAUGAGUUGAGCUCAUAAUCUGCACCCUAGGUGUUAGUGCUUAUAUUAUUCACCACACCGCACGCUCGUCUUGGAUCCAAGUAGGUGGAUGUCGUACAGACCAUGUGAGGGUUCCGACAUGCUAGUCGUACAGAUCACUAGGCGUGAUUCCGACUAGUGGGUGACCUUAGUUAUGCGCGCUGAUGAUAUGAUGAGAGAAGCACUAGAGCGUAUUUUUACACCUUUCAUCGUAUAGACUACCUUACGUAGUUCCGAGUGAUGUGCAGAGUAGGGCCGUAUAGGUCACUGUGGUGACUCCGGCUUAGUGGGAUUUGAGCUAUUGAAUUAAUCGUAUAGGACCAACUGCAGGGUCUCCGAUUGAUUCCUUAUUCACCUGAUUUAUAUUUUUUAUUUAUGUCAUGGCAUGUUUUCUUGAAAAUGUUAAAGAUUUGAGAUUUAAAUGUUGAGAUUUUAUAUGGUUAUAUAUAUUUCUGGGAAAGUAUACAGGUUUUUACGGCGAGGGGAUAUAACUGUUUUAAUGAAAUGUUUUGGAAAACUAAUUUGUUUUACUGACCCACUCAUUUUGUUUUGCGCCCCUCCAGGUUCUAGUUUAGCGGUGGUUGGCUCACGAGGUCCUUUCCGGCUUUCUGACAGAUUUGGGACAUGUAGGACUCACCUGAGGGUGAUGUAUUCUUAUUUUAGUCCUACUUGACUGCAGUUAACCUAUGCUCUGAACUUAUGUGUUUACUUGUAACUCGUCCGGUUAUGUCCGUAUGUGGUUAUGUUGAGUUUGGGUUGAAUUUCUGUUGUUAUUACGCUUCCGUGUCGUGCUUAUGGUUACGUCACGCCCACGUGACGGCCAGCACACCUGGAUCCUCCGGAUCAGGGUGUGUCAUAGAACACCUCUUUAUAGUAUAGAUGAUGGAUGACUUUAUACUAUGAAGUUGUUUUUCAAUAUAUAUGUUCAAUGGUUUUGUACUUACCUAGUGGUCCUUUCCGCUACGGGACGUAGGGAUAGAUUCCGGUCAUUCCCGGGCGACGGUUUGGUGUUGGCAUAGGGCCUGGAGUGUGUUUCCUCUGGCUAUUUAGCACAGGGACGGGGAGCCGGCAUGGGGCCUGAAGUGUAUUUUCCUCUGACUGUCUGCUCAGAGACGGGGAGCCGGCAUGGGGCCUGGGGGUUAUCGGACAAUUCACUAGUGAUUAUUAUAUAUAUAAAAGUUAUGAUUUGAGACACUGCACAUCAUGCUAGGUUUCGGAAAACCUAUGUUUAUCAUUAUAUAUGUGUUUUCAUAAAACUUGGGGGUUAGUACGUUGAUAACUGUUUUGUUAUAUUUAUAUCAAAUUGGUCCACUCAUGUUUGUUUUGCGCCCCCUUCAGGAUUUAGGAUCGAGGCGUACAAUCCCGGCAAUCCAGGCACUUCCGCAUCGGUAUCUUCAAGUCCUCUCGGUGUAGAACCCACUUCUGUGUUCAUUCAAUUUUUAUAUUAAUCCUUUUAAUGUUCUAGAUUAGAUGUGUGCUCUGAACACGUUCCUUAAAUGCAUAUUCUUUAUUCUCUUAUAUUUAUAAGUUUUAUCUAUCCUUUAUUUUCAGCAAUUGCACUCAAUAAAUGGCUUUCGUCGCCCUCGGGUGUCGGCCAGCACGUGACCAUCCUGAUAUCCUGAGGAUAUCGGGAUCGGGGCGUGUCAAUUUGUGAAGAAGAAUUUUUAUGCACUGCAACUGUUUGAUCGUCUGUCUAAGAGAGGGAGUGCAAAUGUACAUGUGCUUUAUGUGGCCUCUUUAGAUAUGCAUGAUUUAGAAGCUAGCCCUAAACUGGAUGGUAGUAGCAGCAAGCCAAGGGUUAAAGAAGUGUCUUCUGAAGAAAAAGAUAAUGUGUCUCACAUUGAGAUUAAGAUUACUGAAUACCAUAGCUCCGAUGAAAAGUGUGUUCUGAGGUAUCUUAAUCUUUCAGACAACGCCAUGGGCAACUAUGGUGUCAAUGCAUUUGAGUCACUUCUUAGUUCACAAAACAAUUUGAGAGAACUUUAUUUGAUGAAUAUGGCAAGGCUCAAUAUGUGUCAUAACAUGAGGGAGUGGCACUGCGAUGCUAUUAGGAAGAUCAAAUGGCUGAAUGAGAAUGAGAUUUCUGUUAUGAUCAAUACCGAAGGACAAGCAAACUAUGAAGGUUUUUUUUAUUGUAUCAAAUAUGGUGAGGAGCUCACUUUUAAGCUGUUGCUCUAUUUCCAAGCUGUCAAGGCAAAAAGUCUUGGGUUUACUAAACUUGGGUCACCAAAAGAGGCUAAGAAGGUUGUUGGGAACAUGAAUGAUGUUACUGCUAGUGCCAAACAGCUAAAGGAGAUGGAACAAGGCUUGACCAGUUUGAUAGUUUUGGGGAAUGGGCGAUUGUCUGAUCUUAUUGCACAGCUGCAGGAUAUAUUAGAGGGUGUAAAUGAAGCUGAUAUCUUGCCGGAGAAGUUUGAUAAUGCAGUUAUUAAAGCUCAGAUUCCACAAUUGGCUCGAGAAAUCAGGGAGUUAACCUCAUCUCGACCUGUAACCAUCUACAAUGAGAAUUCUUCCUCUAGUGGGAAUUAUGCUUCAUAUUUAGUUCCACUUGCUGCACUUGCUGCAAUGGGCUAUUGUUACAUGUGGUGGAGAGAUUGGUCAUUUUCAGAUGUGAUGUAUGUGACAAGGCAUAAUAUGGCAAAUGUUGUUGAAGCUCUAAUUAGAGAGGUAGCUAGCAAGAGCAAUGACUUUGCUGGGAACGGAACAACAAAUACAUUGAAGAUGAGUGAAUGCGCUAUGGGCACCUAUUUAGAUUUAGUAUGCUCUCUUAGUCACCUGGAAAGCAAUUUUGGUGGUGCCUUAGUUAUUGAUUUACAUGUUGAGUUCUCUUUGUUUUUCACUUGUAACCCUGACUGUCGGCUUUUAUGGGAUCCAGGAGAUGCAAUGGCUAAAACUGUUAAGAUGAUACUCUAUUUUAAAAAUGUCAAGGCAGAGUGGCUUAACAGGGUUACAAAAAUAACCAAGUUUGGUAGUUUUAUGGUACAAUUGGAUAGAAGUGUUGAAGCUUUGAAUAAGGGCAAAAAGCAAAAAACUAGAGAUGGUGGAUAUGGUGAUGAGAUAAAGAGAUUGCAUGAUUUAAGCGUGAACAAGGUUGUGGAUAUGGCGACUAGGUUCGAAAGUGCAUUGGUAGGACAUGUUAACAAUAUAAUUUGUAGUACUACUGUAAGAUUGGAGAGACUUCACUCCGAUGAUUGGUGGUGUUCUGCUAUAUCUCAACUGCUGAUGAUUGGUAAAUCCAUCGUAUCUAGUUCAAACAAAACUCAGGAAGCAAAUGUGGAUGCUGUUUUGGGAACCGGUGAUCCGAGUCUACUAGUUGAGAACACUUCAGUUGAGCAGCUUGGUUUCGUCAGAAAGGUGACAAUCUUUAAGGACUCCACUUCCAUUAUUGGUGAUGCAGCAUCAAAAGAUGGGUUGCAAGUCCAUGGUGUGUCUCCAUUUGACAUUAUGGGCAGAAAUCUUUUCUGGGAAAAGCAACUGCAAAGGCUGCAAAUGGGAGCUGUCACAAGAAAGUUCUUGGUGGUUAAUUUCAGUUCUGGUUUUGAUGAAUCUUCAUAUCUCUCUCGGGUUGAAAAUUUUGAGGAGAUGUCACAAGAAAAUUAUGGAGAGGCUACAGGAAACAAGAACUCACUCACUCAGUUCAAGCGAGCUGCCAUACCUGGAAGGAUUAUAAUGAUUUCAAAGUCAAGUUCUACAAUUCCAUUUUUAAGCCUUGAGGACAAGGCUAAUUUUCAAGGGGGAAGUAUUGUUAUGACCCAAAUUAUUACUGAGGUUUUAUGCUUUAUUACUGUGAGGAAUUGUUAAUAUGCCAGCUGGCAUUUAAAAGUGUAGAGGUUUUAUAAAAGGAGCCCCAGCUCCCCCAAAUGUAUCAGAUCAGAAUUUUACAAAAGAAAUCAAUAUUGGAGCUCUGCUCCUUCUUCUCUCAUUCCCUCUUCUUCCAUAGCUUUCUUGUGCCACUUGCAGGUUGAUUAAGGGAAUUGAGAAUUAGAUCUUAUCAUAACGUCACUACCACAACUCCCAAUAUCAUCACGCUGAAUGUCCACACUCGGUUUCUGCUCAAUUAAAGCGUCAAUUUCCUGCAAAAUACUCUCAUCGAAAUCAUCAUCGUUAAGAAUUCCAGAUGCAGAGAAAGAAUCAAAUGAAGUCAGAAACUGCGGUUGUCUGAUUGGAGUUGUGAAAGAAUCCGAUUUUGACACGCUUGAUUCGGUCCGGCUAACGCUUAAGCUCCCGGAACACGAAGCACUGCCAUAUUCACCACGCGCUGAAUUGUACCGGCUUGCGGAAAUCGGAAGCGGUGUUCUUUGAACUCUAUUGAGCUGAGUUGGCGUUUGGAUUCCAUUUCCGCCAAAAAACACAAUUGAAUUGAUUUAAAUUGAAGCAAGAAAACAGCCAAGUAGCCAAAAAAUAGUAAGAAGAUGAAACCUUUGAUUCCUGAACGACUUACUUGGUAUGAGGGAGGUGAUGAUCAGGUGAAACGGCGUCGUUGCAGGGGCGUUUGCGAUCAAUGAGGGCCUUGGCGGCUCUGAAAUUCCGAGAGAUGCGGUUUCUUUGUUCCGCCGUGAGCCCUCCGCCGUACGCCUGAACGUUUUCCUUGGACAUUGCUUCCAAGAUUCCAACGGAGGAUUUGGCCUGACGGCCUGACCAGGCUGAUAACAGUGUAAAACCUUAGGAGCUAAGGAAAAACUAAGAGAGAGAUUGUAGAGAGGGAAAGUUUUUUCUUUUUGGAAACCAGUAGAGAGGGAAAGUUUGUUAAACCUGAAUAAUAUUCUUUUCAUUCAACUUGUCUACAAUAAUUACCACUCGUGGUAUUUAUACAUUUGUAACACACCUCACUAACUAACUAAGACCACCACCAAUCAUACAUAAACACUUGUCAUAAUCCUAUGCACUCAUAGUAUCAUCACUUUAACAUUCCCCUCAAGCUCAUGUGGCAGAUUGCCAAGCAUGAGAUUGGAACAAUUACGAGCGAACUGGGGUGAACACAAGCCUUUGGUGAACAUGUCGGCAUAUUGAUCUGCAGAGGUAACAAACUACAAAAUAAUUGUCCUUUGAUGAACUCUUUCACGAACAAAGUGGCAAUCAAUCUCUAUAUGUUUGGCUUUAUAGUGCAAUACAGGAUUAGUGGCAAGAGCCAUUGUUGAAAUGUUAUCACAAUGCAAAACUAGAACAGAAGGAGAACCAACAUGCAAAUCUCGAAGAAGCUGUUGUAUCCAGAUAACCUUAGCAGUGGUUGUAGCCAUUGCUCUAUAUUUAGCUUCAGUGGAAGACCUACUCACUGUAUGCUGCUUUUUAGAACUCCAAGAGAUAGGAGUAUCUCCCAAAAAAAUGACAAAACCCGUGGUUGAACGACAAUCAUUGGGAUCCCCUACCCAAUCAGCAUCUGUAUAAGCUUUCAACUGAGAUGAACCUGAUUUAAAACAUAAUCCCAAAGAUAUAGUGCCUCUGCGAUAUCGUAGAAUACGUUUCACAGCAGCAAAUGAGUGGCUAAGGGUGAAUGCAUAAACUGACGUACUUGAUUGACAGAAAAAUAAAUAUAUGGUCUUGUAAAUGUUACGUAUUGCAGUGCCCCAACAAUACUUUUGUAAGUGGUAGGAUCAAAAACAGGUUCACUACCAUGAUUCAGAAGCUUCUGAUUAGGAUGACAAGGUGUGGAAAAAAGGUUUACAGUCUAGCAUAUGCAUCUUUUAAAGGAGUUCUUUGACAUACUUGGUCUGAUGAACAAAGAGUCCCUGACCCUGAUACUCAAUCUGUAAACCAAGAAAAUAAUGCAACACACCUAGAUCUUUCAUGCCAAACUCACUAGUUAACUAACUAAUAACCUUCUGAACCUUCACAGCAUCAUUACCAGUGAGAAUGAUAUCAUCAACAUAUAAUAAGAGAACAAUAAUUGAUGAACCAUCACACUUGACAAAUAAAGAAGGAUCUGCAUAUGAUGACUUGAACCCAAGCUUAGGCAAAUAACCUGAAAACCUGUCAUGCUAGGCUCUGGGAGCUUGCUUGAGACCAUAUAAAAACCUCUCUAGUUUGCACACAUAAUCUGGAUAGGUAGAAUCCACAAACCUUUGGGACUGAGACAUAUAAACUUCUUCAUCAAGAAAGCCAUGCAAAAAAGCAUUAUUGACAUCUAACUGUUUGAGUUUCCAAUUAUGAGAUGCAGCCAAGGAUAAAACCAAUCGAACUAUGGUUGGUUUGACCACAGGGCUAAAGGUUUCAUAAUAGCUAAUACCAACUUCUUGAGAAUACCCAUUAGCUACAAUUCUAGCCUUGUACCUAGCCACUGAACCAUCUGGAUUUCUCUUAAUCUUGUAAAUCCAUUUACAACCAACAAGAUUUUUGUCAGGUGCUAAGGGCACAAGCUUCCAAGUAUGAAGCAUCCAUCUCUUCUUUCAUGGCAUUUUGCCAUUGAACACACUUGACUGCACUAGAAAAAGACCGAGGUCCAAUAAAUGGAAAUGUGGAAGAAACACUAGGUGGAUGAAUGAAUGUGUUUGAAUGCACAACAGACACUGGUGAGGAAGAAUGACCAGAAGUAACUUGAGGAUUGAAACCCAAAGCAUUAGAGUCUAUAGGAAACUUGGAUUCAUAAAAAAUAACAUGUCUAGAUACUAAUAGUUUAUGAUCUUUGAGAGAGAAGCAAAUAUACCCUUUGUAUUGUGUAGCAUACCCCAGAAAAAUACACUUAGUAGUUUUAGGUUCAAGUUUAUUGCUUCUAUAGGGUUUCAAUGAAGGAUAGCAUAAACACCCAAAAAAUCUCAAAUGAUCAAGCUUAGGUGGAGAUUUAUAUAGCAUUUCAAAAGGAGACUGCAUAUGUAGGGUAGGUGUGGGCAUUUUGUUUAUAAGAAAAGUAGCAGUGGCACAGGCAUGGAACUAGAAUUUUGAAGGUAAUGAAACUUGUUGUAAAAAGGUAAUAGUUGUUUCGACAAUAUGUUGAUUUUUUCUCUCAGCCAACCCAUUAUGUUAUGGGGUAUAAGGACAAGAUUUUUUAUGAACAAUGCCUUUGGUAAGAAGAAAUUGCUUAAACUGAGUACUAACAUAUUCCCUACCCCCAUCACUCUGCAAAAUUUUUACAUGAGCAUCAAAAUAAUUCGAGACAGAAGCAAGAAAGUUGACAAAAACAGUGAACACUGCAACUUUAUUAUUUAAUGGAAAAAUCUAGGUAUAUCUUGUACAUUCAUCAAUAAAGGAAACAUAAUACUUGUAACCUUCUAUAGACAAACUAGGUGAGGGACCCCAAACAUCUAUGUGAAUUACUUCAAAUGGAGUAAGUGACUUCGAAGCAAUUACAGGAAAAAGGAGCUUGGUAAACUUGCCUUGCAAACAAGCAUUACAAGUAUGAGAUUGAGAGUUACAAGGAAAAGAUAUACAAGACUUAUUAAGUGCUGCAGUGACAGUGGAAUGUGUAGGAUGGCCUAAUUGACAAUGCCACAAUGUAGAAGAAAUCUUUUGACCCACAAAUGCAACUGGAUUAAAAACAGGAGAAAUAGACCUCUGUGGUUUGAUUAUGGGAAGUGGAUAGACAACAUUAUUACUCAGCCCUUGGAAUAGCACUCUCCCGGUGACCUUGUCCUGUAGACAGAGAGAAACAUCAUCCAUGAUACAACGACACUGAUUAUCUUUGCACAACUGAUUCAUAGAUAAUAAGUGUUGUGACAGUUUUGGAACAUGUAACACAGAGUUUAACUUGAAAUUAUGUGACUAAGUGAGAAGAGAAGAGGAACCAAUAUGUUUGACAGCUAAACCUUCACCACUAGCACUGGUCACAAUAUCAUUUGAUGGAUAAAUUUAUUGUCAUGUGCAAGUUUGACAAAUCUGAGGUCAUAUGGUUAGUUGCUCCCAAGUCAAGAAACCAGAAAUCUUGUUGAAGAGUUGAGGAUGAUGCACCAGCUCGUGCUUGCAUAGCAAGAGGAGGAUUUUGUGAGGAUAUAGUUAAUAGAUACAUAUGUGGUAUGACAAGAUACUGAAACUGUGAGCUAUUAGACUGUGGAAUCAUGCCUUGUGAAGGACCACAUGGAUUCUAGCUAGGUGCUUCACCAUAUGACCCAGUAGGCAUUGGAGUUGGCAUAGAUGAGGAUAAACCCUAAGAGAAAUGCUCUGAUGUGCCUGUGAAAUUUUUAUUCUGAUCAAAGCAAGUAGCAGCAACAUGACAACCUCUGUGACAAAUUUGACAUCCAUGUUGAAAACAAUUCAAUGCAGAAUGACCUUUGCGAUCACAUAUUUGCAGAAUGGCCUUUGCAACCCUAGAAAGAAGGAGCGAAGAAGACCAAAUGUGUACGUUUCUCUUUGGUUUUUUUUCCCUCCUAAUCGCGCUGUUCGAAAUCACGGACCUCGGGCCUGGGCCUAGUGGGCCCAAUUAUGAGGCCCAUUAUCUCCGGUCUUCUCGUUCUACUUCUAGUUACCCAAAUUAAGAACGUACGCUUUUAGCGCGAGAGAGAAAUGGAGGCCCUGAUUGCCUCGUACGGAGACUCGUCGUCGGGCUCAGACUCCGAGUCGCCGGCUCCACCUCCACCACCACCUCCGGAGCUCAACAACCCUCAAGAACCGACCCCUGCGCUGCCUCCACCUCCUCUGUCACUUCUCGACAGCCCCAAUUCCUUCGGUAACCUCUGAUUCCCAUCAAUUUUCAUCUUUUAGCUUUCUGUUGUGAUGGCUUUUUCCGAGUUGCCCACCAAGUGUUUGAUGUUUUGCCUCCGAAGAAUUUCUGGACUUAUCGGCAAGCGCCCAGCCGAGCAGAGUUCGGAACUUUCCUCACGUCGAAGGGAACUACGCAGUACAUGUAUACAUCCCAGGUUAUCAAAAUUCUCGAAAUUUUCAGCUCCAUUAGCAAAUGCGAUCGCUUUGCACUUAGUUUUUGCUUGUUUAAUUGUGUGGUUCCAGUUUAUAUACCACCAGCACCAAGGAAAGAGAUGGCCUUGUUUUUGAACAAGCUAGCUUCUCUGCUGCCUGGUCUCCAUGCGGUUGACGUUGACUUCCCGCUUGACAUUCUGCGUAAGGACGAGCACAAGCUUGAACAAGUUGCUUUAGGCAGAGAGUUCCAUAUAAGUCUCGGAAGAACUGUUCCGAUGCGGGUGCACCAGAUUGAUUCCUUGGUGACAAUGCUGCGGCAGAAGCUUCAGAUUCAGAGGCGGUAUGGUUACAUUUACAUUCUCUUGUCUGCAUUGCGUGAAUUUAGUUCUGUUAUUUAACAUAAUUCUGUAAGCCUGUUUUCGUAUAAAUGCACGGUUGAAUCAGCUUUCAUUGUCUACAAGUCUGAAAUAUUUUAACUUCCAUUGAUUUCAGAUAACAAAGCAGAUUCAAGCUGUGAAUGAGGUGUAUAAGCUUCACAAUCUUCCUGAAUUUUACAAGGUUAGCUUUUUCGUGCUUUUCAAACUCGAAUCGGUUCCUGAAUGUAUGACAAUAUAUUGGAUCAAACGAUUUCUCAAAACACUAAUUCACUUGAUGGGGUCUUGGUGAUCACAGGAUCCACGCCCUCACAUCUCGGUAGCUUGAGCAUUGGGUGACAUCAGCAAUUCCCUGAACAAAGUGGUUGAAGAAGAAAGACGAAGAUCUACCAUCGGAGGAUCGUUACAGAAAUGUAUUUUUACCAGUAAAUUCAAUGGUAUCGAUAUCGAAUGUAGGAUUGGUAAUAAAACACACAAAAUAUGUAAAUUUUCUGAAGAAUAAUGUAGCCAUUUAACUGUAUUGUGAAAUUCCGAGAAUAUAUGGCUGAGCAUUGGAUGAGAAGACAUUUCUUCGUUGGUGUCGAACUUCUUGUCGAAGGUAUUGGCACCAGUGUAAACGUCAUCAUCCAUGUUGAUGGUAAUUACUUACCAGCUACUAAGGGUGUCGGAACAACCUUGCACGCACCCUCCUGUGCAUUACUUGGUAUUGUCUCGGAUUCUCCAAACUUGAAUGCUAAUGUAAACCCACUCUUGACCUUUCCGUCAUCUGCAAUUACCGGAAAGCCGGCUUGGAUGUUGCCGUUGACCUACCAAACUUAAAAUACCGACGAAAUGUUGGAGUACUUCAGUGUACUACUCGUUUUUGUAUGCGAGAGCUCCACCUCUAUCGUUGUAACAGCAUCUGAUGCGGACUAGUCCUUCAUUCCCGUUACUCUUUGCCAUCUCCACUUCAAACUUGGUGUGAUGGCUCCCGGCCUCCUCUCCGGUGAAAUUGAGUAACCCCGGAGCUGGCGUGCCAUCAAGAUUUCCGUUGUGUCUCUAUUUGCUGUUGUGGUUCGGUUCCACUAUAAACUUGGCAGAGUUAGCAUUUUCAUUCUGUUGUCUGUAUAUCUUGAUAUUACAAGUAUUUGUUGUGCAAAAUGCAUGCUAAGUUCAAGUUAUGUUUAUAUGUGUGUGUGUGUUGCCACUUUUCCAACGUUUUCUCCAAAAUUGUGACGAGCAACAAAGCAGUUUUGAUUCCGUGCACAACAACGAUACCUCGAAAGAAAUUGAUUCUUCCCCAGAAAGAUGUUUUAAAACAAAGUUGAACAAGGGAAGAAAACUUUUGAAUCGCAAUCAGAUGUCUGGUCAAAUUCUUUAACAGUUGAUGUAUACAGAAGUUCCUUGCUUAUGACACGACUUAUGAGAGGAUGUAUGUAUUGCAUUUGCAUCAAAAGAAAGAAAGAAGGUUGUAAGUGGUAAGGGAACGACUACCGAUGCCGCUCCACUUCUAAUCAAAGGGAUCGAUCCGAGGGUCGUGUUCACUUGCCAUCGCCAUUCCAGUGCAAAGGCAUGUCGGGCACAUUACCUGCCACAUUUACAGACGCAAUGUUAGAUAUAGCUGCCAUUUGGAAGUCAUCUCUCAAAAUUUUGCUACUAAAUUAAUCUUAAACUUCAUUUCCAGUGCAAUUUUUUUCUUCUGAAUUGUCUUUCACAUGCCCGACAAAUAGAAGUAUCACCAAACAUGUGAUAUAGAGCAUCUAAGCGGCAGGCACUAAAAGGAAUUUAGUAUGCAAUAAACAUUCAACGGACAUAAUUAUAUGUCUAACCUUUCCCGCUCCUGAGCAAUUUGAACAUCGUUCAGUUUUUGGCAGAGAUAGGGGUUGGUUUCCGCCAUCAGCUGUCGAUACUGGUUCAGUAAGAACAAGGGUUCCAGUGCUGGAGCAACGAGCACAAGCAAGAGAUCCUGCGUAAGUAUCAAAUACACAGGUAAGUUGACAUACGAAACCAAUCCGAACAUCUCCAUCGUAUAUAUUUAAAGCUACAGUACAUAAAACUAAAAGUCAGAAAUAUAGGACAUUAUCACACCAGUUCCAAGACAAUAUUUGCAUCGUUUAUGCUCCUGCUGUUUCACAUUGUUUAUUUCAACUACCAUCAAUGCUGAGAUCACUCCGACUGCUCCUCCAGAGAAUGACGCCACUAUGGGAUCAACUUGACUGCAGUUUGAAAGUAAAGGAGAUCAAUAAACGAAACUGGUAACAACAUAGUAUCAACAUUAUUUAGCUUCGUUUCAAGAAAGAUGACAUCCUAGGUUUUUCUAAUGUGUAAAAAUUGAGGAUCCUCGUAAAAUUUGACUAUAUCGGUUCCCAAAGCAUUUGAUUCCUACGUUACAGACGGAAAACAGCAACAAUCGAAUUUAAAGAUUCAUAACACGAUAGAUGGUACAAAAUUUCAAAACGAUAAUUACUAGAGAACAGGAGGGUUAAUAGCCUGAGAUAUGAGCAAUACCUCAACUGCAACGGCAGAUGCAUAUUUACUAUAAAGUCUUUAUAUGAUGUGCCUCCUAUUCCCAGCUUCAACUCCAACUGAAAGAUGUAAAGGUAAUUGUAGGCAAAGAGUUACAAACAUAACCGAAUCCAUGUUUUAUAAGCAACAACUACACUUAUUUUGAUAUGUUUCCUCAUUUUUUACUUGCAAAUUCCAAACCAUAUUGUCGGACCAGUAAAAGAAAAUAAUGUUUAUGAUAACUGUUAAAACUAAUUACAACAAGUUAAUGCAUAAAGAACUUACGGAGGGUGCUAUGAGGCCACCGAAAAGGAUAAACCCCGCAAUAAUUGAAUAACAAACAGCAUAAUACUGCUUAAGGUUGUCUGAACUCUGCAAGCAAUGAAUUCACCUUGUGAUUAAUACUUUGCACAAACACUAGUUUUCGCAAUUUUUUAUGAAUCGACAAAAGGCUACAACAAAAUAUGGCUAAAACAUGUCGGGGAUAUGAAAAUACAUGUCUUCACAGGGGCACCAGCUUACCAGGGGAGGCAAAAAUGGAAUGAACGAUGGAAAACUAGGAAGUUCGUUUUCUUGAUCUUCAUUUACCGCUCCAAGCUCUGCACGUUUAAUCCGCUGUUGUAUCCUCAGCCUGCGAACCUACGCAUAUCGAAGCUCAUUCUUAAAGAACACAUUUCUAAUGGCAAUUGGAGAGUAAUUUAAAACAUGCUACACUGAGAAAGUGGUAGCAACUAGCAAUUGCUCUCACCUCCUCCAUAUGCAAGAAAAUUUUGUUGCGACGACUCCGAAUAUUAUCUUGAAUUUCCUGCAGCUCCAUUGUGGCAAAAUCCUGCACUGUUUCAGGCCCCUCUAUGAUACAAAAUCUGCACCAUUAAGCAUGUAAAAAUUAAAAAUUACAAGCUACAAAGCAAUUUCCGUAUAGUUGUUGGGUUAAAUAACAUCAACAGCAAAUAAAUCACAUAGGUUUUUCACAUAAAGUUACAAACUUUCAAGGACUAAUAAGCUGUCUGCAAUCUCAUAAAUUUCACAGUGCAAAGUAACAAUCCAAAGCUUGGAACUUUAAAUUUCCACCUUCUGUUAAUUUUUUAGUGCACCUGGUGUCGUUAGAUUCGAGUAGUAUGUCACAUUAAAUUUUUUUUUUCUGUGCAUGCAUUUUUUUUUAAAAGAAAAUUUAUAUUGUUAAAGAGCGAGUUCGAAACUAUUACAUUAUGGAAGGACAUAGUACCGAAACUCCGACGAUCAAAAACAAAAUCAUGUACAACCACUCCAAGCAGUCAACAUGGCCAUCACAUAUUGAAUCCAAAAUGUUGACGCCCCAUUCGCUGCAUAUAAUGUACAGACGAGCGGCAGCUUCAACCAGUUCUGCCAUAUCCGGCUGGAUGAGAGCAGCUAAAGACAUGAUUGUUCCCUAAUAACAUGAAUAAAUUGAGUAAACACCAAAAGUAGCAGCAAGGGAAGGAGAUGUGAAGUAUAUGAAGAGGUGUAAGACCUGUGAAUGUCCAGCAACAAAGAUUUUGGAGCUUGUUGUCGAAUAAUGCAACGCGUCAUUUCUGGUAGAUCAAAUAGAGCCAAUUCCCGCCAACUCCAAUUCCAAAAUUUCUACAGUAAAGCAUAAAUCUUAUUCUCUCUUCUGAUAAAGAUGAGUGUCCCAGACUCCAACGUGUUCCACACACAUUCCCUACCCAUACAUCGAAACCUUCAUCUGCAAGGACGAAUCCCAGCGAUUCUUCUGGAGAAUUUAAGAAUCAUGCAUCACCUGGUUAAGAUCAAGAAAAGCCAGUAACCAAGUUCAAUUGAGUUAAAAUGUAUCCCAUGGAUGUUCAUCACUUUGCCCAAUUGUUCUUUUCAAGAAAGGAAAUUUCAACAGAACCUGAAAACUUCAGAUCAGGGGGCACCAAAUAGUGAGCUAUACAUUCAAAAUUUGAAAUAAUCAACUUAGUAGGACCAGUAUGUUGAAAAAAUAGGAAGGAGCUAUGAAAGUAAGACUUUUCACUAAUCAGGCGUCCAGAGAAUCCAUAUUUUACCCGCGUAUCAGUUACGGGGAACACUCCCCACCAGAGCAAUCUCAUUAGUCCUUCACAUCUCAACCGUACAGAAGUUGCACUAACAAACAUGACUCCUAUUAGUCCUUCACAUCUCAAAUCCAGGAAGUACCCAUCUUUCGUCUGAAUCUGGAAAAUAAGCAGCAGUCAAUUUAACAAUCUCGGUAUCUCAAAGUUACUCACUUUAAUCACAAAUUUAGCAAUUAAACAUAUAAAUGGGCAUUUUUUUAGGGAAAUAUUAGUAUAGUACUCACUGUGUGCUCGGAGCAAGAGUACCCAGAAAGCUCAAUGAGCUGCGCACAGAGGACUGCAGUGGUGAACGACAGCGACCGCACAGAGGACUGCAGUGGUGAACGACAGUGACCAAUUCUGUAAAAUUUAGUCGAGUUUUGGGAAAUUUCUGCAGCGAUUUCGGAGGUCAAGAGGCUGAUAAGGAAAGCCGCGACCAAAGGGCACUGGUCUGGAAGAAAGGCUUUGGUCGCCGCUAUCGCAAUUCACGAAGGAAGAAGUGCCCCAAAACAAUUUCGGCCCUGGACAGGUGCACUGUUUGCACUGAGCCAGGGCCGGCCCUGAAUCGCGAUAACGUCCUUCUCCAAACAGUAUAUAUACAGAUGCUAGAAAAAUCUACCGGAACUAUUCAAUUCUAGCGUCUACAGCUUUAGCAUUAGUUGGUACAAGGGGCAUUCUUCCAAAGAGGGAGAUGAAAUCGUUGAGGCACCAAAUAGUGAGCUAUACAUUCAAAAUUUGAAAUAACCUCUUGGUAGGACCAAUAUGUUGAAAAAAUUGGAAGGAGCUAUGAAAGUAUGGCUUUUCACUAAUCAGGCGUCCACAGAAUCAAUAUUUUACUCACAGAUCAUUUACGGGGAACACUCCCCACCAUAACAAUCUUUUUAGUCCUUCACAUCUCAAACCAAGUAGAAAUUGCAGUAACAAACACGACUUCUAUUAGUCCUUCACAUCUCAAACCCAGUAAGUACCCAUCUUUCGUCUGAAUCUGGAAAACAAGCAGCAGUGGAUUCAACAAUCUGGGUAUCUCAAAGUCACUCACUUUAAUCACAAAAUUAACAAUUAAACAUAUAAAUGGGCAUUUAUUUAGUGAAAUAUUAGUAUAGUACUCACUGUGUGCUCGGAGCAAGAGUACCCAGAAAGCUCAAUGAGCUGCGCACAGAGGGACUGCAGCGGUGACGACGGCAACCGAUUCUGUAAAAUUCAGUCGAGUUUUGGGCGAUUUCUGCAGCGAUUUCGGAGGUCAAGAGGCUGAUAAGGAAAGCUGGGACGGAAGGGCACUGGUCUGGAAGAAAGGCUCAGGACACCGCUGUCCCGAUUCGUGAAGGAAGAAGUGCCCCCAAAACAAUUUCGGCUCUGGACAGGUGUACUGUUUGCACUGGACCAGGGUCGGCCCUGGCGAUAACGUCCCCCAAACAGCACAUAUACAGAUGCUAGAAAUAUAUAAAUGUAACCUGAAACUACUAGAACCAUUCAAUUCUAGCGUCUACAGCUUUAGCAUUAGUUGGUACAAGGGACAUUCUUCCAAAGAGGGAGAUGAACUCAUUGAGGCUCUUAUUUAUUCCUCCUCUUGAUGUGCCCUUUUAGGCUGCUAAUUCCACACGAUCCAAUCUCAUACAUCUUCCCUGCAAAAGCAUGUGUGCCUGACUUCAAGAUCAAAUUUUUCCAACAAAAGAAACUUAAAGAUCAAACUCGCUAGAGGAAUAAGUGGUGCACAAGGGUGUUAAAAUCUUGACAUAUGUAUAUUUUUGGCAGAUUUUAUGUGAGCAUGCAACUAAAACUGGCAUCACUAUCAAUGGUGCACAAAGAUUGGUGGAAAACUUUAACAGUUUGAGUUGUAACUUCUCCAUUGUAUUUGUUAAGGCAAGACGGAUGUCAUCUAUUCAUUUUUCUGUAAAACUUAAAAGGCUGCAUAGCAGCUCUUGUUCGUUGUAUUGAAUACCGUGGUUUUACUGAUGAAUGCAGAGUUUGCUGAUGAUUCAUACGACAAGCAAUUGAAAAUCCCAUCAUUAUGCCCCCCAUAUACCAGAAGAAAAAAAAGUCAUUUACACAAAUUCAGAGCGUUCAUCCACUGUAAUUUGCAGAUAUAGAAACGUUAAGAUAAAAGGAAAUGCAAAGUACCUUUCACCAAAUUGGAGGAGCACCGGUGGCAUUAGCAAGUUAGCAACGGGAAUUGACAUACCAAUAUCUUCACAGUUUCUGCACAAGCACAAAUCAAAAGAAUCCGGAGGUGGAGUUAUGUACCUCUCCUUGGAAAAUGCCACCUCUUGGGAUUUCAAAAUAUGCGGCCGUGGCUAGCCGUCUGACCACGCCAAUUCCACCAAAGCCGCCGCAACGCGGUGUAGUGUCCGAUUGAUUGCUUCAAAUCAGAGCUUCGUAUCCAUGUGUUUAUCAGCAGAGAGUACCCAAAACCCCUGAAAAUUAUUUCUUUAUUCAGAUAAUAAAAUAUCCCAAAUUUCGAAUUUUAAUUCCGAAUCAAAAAUAGGGUUUGAAUUUUGAUUACCUAUAAAUUGGGGGGUUGCGGUGGAAAGGGAGUCAGCCAAGACGGCGAUAUGCGUCCUCGAGAGGGCUAUGAAAAUACAAAUUACAGAGCGUGUUGGGACGAUGUACAAGGCUUUUGCAGUCUCUCAAAUAUAAAUACCGAAGCUCCGUAAGGCGUUCAAUCCAGGGGGAAAGCUCUUUAAUAGAUGUUCCAUCCAGGAAAAGACUUCUUAAUCCUUCCAUAUUUUCUUCAAUGCUUGGAAACAACUCAAAUUUUGUACAACCGGAAAGAGAGAGAGAGAAAAGGGACUUGAGCUGACAAAUGCUGCUUGGAAGACUCUUAAGUUCUUUGCAAUCUUUUAGAUUCAAAUGAUUCAAUCCCGUAAGAUUAUUAAUUGACGAGGGCAGUUCUUUAAUUUUUGACCCGGAUAAAUUAAGCUCUUCUAACUCCUCCAUACCUUCUGAAAUCUUUGGAAACAUCUCAAGACUAGAGCAGCCAGAAAGAUUAAAGGUUUUGAGAGAUUUCAUACGAAUGCUGCUUGGAAGACUCUUAAGUUCCGUGCAAUUAUGUAGAUUCAAAUGACACAACCUCGUAAGAUUAUUAAUUGACGAGGACAGUUCUUUAAUUUUUGAGCAGGGUAAAUCAAGCUUUUCUAACCCCUCAAUACCUUCUGAAAUCGAUGGAAACAUCUCAAGACUGAAGCAGCCAUAAAGAUUAAAGGUUUUCAGACAUUUCAUAUGAAUGCAGCUUGGAAGACUCUUAAGUUCCUUGCAAUCUUUUAGGUUGAAAUGACUCAACCCCGUGAGAUUAUUAAUUGACAGGGACAGUUCUUUAAUUUUUGACCCGGAUAAAUUAAGCUCUUCUAACUCCUCCAUACCUUCUGAAAUCUCUGGAAACAUCUCAAGACUGGUGCAGUCAGAAAGAUUAAAGGUUUUGAGAGAUCUCAUACGAAUUUUGCUAGGUAGAAUCUUAAGUUCCUUGCAAUCUUUUAGGUUGAAAUGACUCAACCCCGAGAGAUUAUUAAUUGACAGGGGCAGUUCUUUAAUUUUUGACCCAGAUAAAUUAAGCUCUUCUAACCCCUCCAUACCUUCUGAAAUCUCUGGAAACAUCUCAAGACUGGAGCAGUCACAAAGAUUAAAGGUUUUGAGAGAUCUCAUACAAAUUUUGCUAGGUAGAAUCUUAAGUUCCUUGCAAUCUUUUAGGUUGAAAUGACUCAACCCCGAGAGAUUAUUAAUUGACAGGGGCAAUUCUUUAAUUUUUGACCCGGAUAAAUUAAGCUCUUCUAACUCCUCCAUACCUUCUGAAAUCUCUGGAAACAUCUCAAGACUGGAGCAGUCAGAAAGAUUCAAGGUUUUGAGAGAUCUCAUACAAAUUUUGCUAGGUAGAAUCUUAAGUUCAUUGCACCCAUGCAGAUCCAAUAAAACAAGGUUUGUAAGAGUCGAAAUAGACGGGUGAACCUCAACUAAGCUUAUACAACUUCGAACAAUUAGCCUCUCAAGAUUUGGCACAUUUGUGAAGUCAGGGGUUUCCUUAAGGGAUUGACAAUAACUUAAAUUGAUGAAUUUCAACUUUUCCUGCGUCUGUUCAAACAUUCAGGAAAACAUGCAUUACUUAAUAAGACAUCUCACUCAAAGCCCAAACAUUUAAAAGAUACAAAUACAUGUAAAUGAUUGUACGUACCUGGGUUCCUUCCCAAAGUCGGUCAAUGAGACUACAUUGCAUGUCAAGUUCAACAAGAUUUUCGAAUUGAAAGUUGGAUGGCAAAGACUUGAGAGGGAAACCAAGCCAGGAGAGAUACCUCAGGUUAAGCAACUUUAAGGACCCAAACAGGUGUUGUUUGCAGUACUCAUCUUUAAAAACGAAGUGCCUAUAACUGAUCUCGAGAAGUCUUCGUUGAGCAUUUAAGUUCCCAUGAAGACCGAUCGUGAGAAGUCUUCGUUGAAUCCUUCUAACAACAGAUUCAGCAUUUAAGUGCCUAUGACUGAUCUUGAGAAGUCUUAGUUGAGUCAUUCUAACAAAAGCUUCAGCAUUUAAGCAUGGCCAGCCUGAGUACGAGAAAUCCACAAUUAUGCUUUCAACUGUUUUUGUAGCCUGUGCAAAUCAAAGUAAAGGAAAAUACAGAGAAAUUAGUUUUGAUUAUGAAAUUAAUGAUUGUUUCUUAAGGAGCCGUCUGAUAAUCAUUUCAUUUUCUAUUUAAUUGUUUUCAAUUUUCAUUAUUAAAACAAUGAAAACUAAAAAUAAAAAAUUGAAAACAAAAAUGGUUAUCAAAUGGGCCUAAGAAAUUGAUUUUGGUCAAAAGUUGAAGCUUUCUACUAAUAAUUGCAUAAGAAAAAGAUUUCUCACCGUAUUUUGAGAUAGCACGUGAUGAACAUCUUCAUAACUCCACAACCUACUUCGUCUCCCAGGCUCUUUGAUACAUUCUUGGCGGACGAUUUCCCGACCCAUUUCCGCUAAUGAAUCAUGCAUCUCCAGUUCCCCCUCCCCUGAGACAGUUAUGAGUGCUCGAUCGAUUAGAACUCUUAUUCCAGUAUAAGGAUGGAAACCACAAUCUUCCAGAAUUCGGGCUGCACAGUCUUUCUCCAUCCCUUUAAAGAAACAUGCAAUGUCUAGAAAGAUGUCCUUCUCCUUGUCAUCUAGUCCAUCGAAGCUUGAUUUAAGCACAUCAUGAAUUCCCCUUCGCGGGAUUUUCCUUAUUUUUUCUAACUCAUCUUCCCACUCGCGUAUAGUUUUGUUACCAAGAAAAGCUCCCAAGACUUUGAGUGCUAAAGGCAGGCCUUGAGCAUAUUCUACGACAUGAUUCGAGAGAUCAUCAUAAUCUCUGGUGGGUUGGUUUUUUCUGAAGGCGUGCCGCCUAAAGAGUUUCAGAGCUCCAGAAUCACUCAAAAUCUUGGGAUUAUAUAUCACAUCAGCUAUGCUUAGUAAUUGCGAAUCUCUAGUUGUUAUAAUAAUUCUGCUUCCACCACCAAAGGAAUGUGGCUCUUCAAGUAAAGCUUCAAUUUGUUCUAAUUCGUCCACAUCAUCAACAACAAUAAGAACUUUUCUCUGACCAAGGCUUUCUAACAUCACCUGAAAACCUUUACUCGAUAUGUCAGAACUCCCCACCUUGUUGUUCGAGAUACUCAAUAGAAGUUGUGCCUGCAUAUGUAGUUUGCCAUGCUUCAUGAAACCUUCCUUGAAAUUUUCAAGAAAGCAACAAGCUUCAAAUCGACUAGCGAUUUUAUCAUGAACAGCUCUAGCGAUGGUUGUUUUGCCUAAACCACCCAUACCCCAUAUUCCAACAAUGCGAACAGUAUUCGUUUCACCUCCGGGAGGAUAUAAUAAUAGAUGCAUUUCAUGCAUGUGAGAAUCCAUGUCAACCAAGCCAUUAUCUUUGCUUGAUGUUGAUGAGAUGUCGAUCAAUUUCCUAUAAACAUCUUCUACAAUUUCCUCAAUAAGCACCACAUCAUUCCUGUCAAAUUAAAAAAAAAACAAUAUAAUAACACCACCAAAUAAUAAUUAAUGGGUUUUUUCAUCUGUUAGUUUUAAAAAAAAAACAGAAAUUAAAACUAAAAACUAGAUAUUUAUCAAAUGACCCCUAAACGUGACAAAAAUCCCAAAAAUUAAUAGGAAACUAAAACAAAUUAGAAUUUACUCAUAGUUUCGCGAAUCCCAGCCGGAUAAACUGGUGGCAGUUGUAAGAGCGGAUCUCCAGCUCUGAACCUCUUCCAUUUCAGCGUUAGAAUCACGAUAGUGCUGAGCAAAAGCUUCCUCGAAUUUUCUCUUGAGUUUACGAACGUCAGACGGAUCAACUUCAUAGAAAAUGGGGAGUACAAUCCGGUUAUUGGUAUCCUUGCAUUCCAGGAUUUGCACGAGUUCUUUCAAGCACCAAGUGGAAGAAGCAUAGUUUUGAGAGAAAACUACAAUCGAAAGCCUUGACUCUCGAAUCGCUGUCAGGAGCUCGGAAAGGUGGUCGCCUUUUCUGAGCUUUUCGGCAUCAAUGAAGGCGUUGAUUGGUUUCUUAGCCAGAGCGUUGUAGAGAUGGCUGACGAAGCCCCUGCGAGUGUCUUCCCCUCUGAAAUUGAUGAACACAUCGUAUUUGCAACCAAGGCCAGAAGAAGAUGAAGAAGAAGAAGCAGCCAUUAUUAAUCGAUCGCACCUGGUCAGCGAUGAUCGAGCCGCUAAGACUAGAGAAUUGUAAGUACAGAAAUACUCAAUAGAUCUACAAAUUUGAUCACCGGAAAUUAGUCACUGAGUCAAUGCAAAAGGGAAUUUUCUUCAGGAAAUUUCGGUGUGAAAGGAAUCCGCAUACUUCGGAUUUUUCAACCCAAGAAAAUGCGAAGAAAGGGGACAAAGUAGUAAAUUUAAUCUACAGUUGCCUACCCAACACCCUCUUGAUUUAGAGGGUGUAUUCAAUUAGGAUUCUGAGAGGGUUUCAGGAAAUUAAUAAUUUCAGGAGUAUUCAAUUAGGAUUUUAAGUGAUUUUUUGAAAUUCUAGGUGUAUUCAAUUAGAAUUUCAAAAUAGUUUAUGAAAAUCCUUAGAAAUCCAGGUGUAUUCAAAGUUUAUAACAUUCCAUGUGUAUUCAAUUAGAAAUUGAUUUUAAAGAAUUUGAGAAAGUUAAAGAAUUAGAGGGAAUUGGAGAGAUUACGUAGUGUAUUUUAAGUAUCCACAAAUCUCACAUAUUCCCAUGAGAUUUCGAGGGAAUUGAAUCAAAAUUUUAUAUGGAAUCUCUACAAAUCAAUUAAACUCCAUAAAAAUCAAUGGAUUUAUAAAUCCAUUAAAAUCUCUCACAUUCUCAAUUGAAUAUAUAUUAAAAAGAUAAAGUUAGUCUCACAUGUAAUCUCUACGUACUAACAAUUAAAUGAGAGUUCCGUUUUAACUUAAUAUAUGUAACUUACAUGCUAAUAAUUAACGAAAUAUUAGCAAAAUUUUUAAUUUUAAGCAUAAAUUCUAAUUUAGAUAUCUUCUAACUAUCUUAUCACCUUAAAAAUUAUUAAUCAAAUUAAACUUAUUAUUUAUUUAUAAAUGCGUAACUAAAUCACAAAGUGUUGAAUGAAAGGGAGCACUCCAAAGGAUGAAAAAGCGGGAGCAUCGAAAGCUAUCUCCGUUUUUUGCUGUCUAUUUGUCUUCUUUUGGCAGAUAGCUCCUAGACUCCUAGGGGCCGGCCUAUUUUCCACAGCUGGUUAUAGGACUCAGUUGCUAUUGAAGAAGUGCUUUGUUGUAAUUCAAUAUCGAUGGAAAUUCAACAGAAUCUUUUUCAAAUUUUUGUGAGGAUUUUGGGGUGUAAGUGAAUUGUUUUUGUUCAUUGUAUAUUGUGCGGUCAUUUUUCAUCAAAUACUGUUUAUGUUUCAUUUUAAAUAAAAUAAUUUAAAAUAAUUUUUAGCUGCAAGUUGUACGAUGAACUGAUAUAAUUCAUAAAUCUUUAAAAUCCUUACAAAGAAAAUCUGAAAAAAAUCCGAAUUCAAUGGAAAUAAGCUGAUUUUGAAUCAAAUAACAUUACUUUACAACACUGCAGUUUUCAGCAUUGCACCGGAGAUCGUGCGGUCAUUCGUCCUUCUGUUCUCCGUAGUUUUGCCGACUUUGGUUCCACUUGCUGUCCAAUGCGCUAGGCGGCUUAUCAGGAUCAGGCUUAGAGAACCUGUAGUAAACUGCAUUAUGUGGUUCGUUUAUAGCUGUACAUCAUAAGUCUAUUUCCGGGAUCAUAUCAUCGUUGGCGCAUUCAUCAUAGAAGCUCCAGCUUCGUAUCCAAGUCAGUCGUUACUAUCUUACAUUUGCUAUAUAUUACAAAAUUUUGGGUGGGAAAACUUCUUAUAUGAUAAUGCGUGAAGAAUUCAGUUCGAAAACAGUAAAACAAAAUUAUUUGUACUAGUUCUUCUACUUGAUAUAUGAUGGUGUGUUUUUUGUUUUUUUGACCGAGGUUUAUAAUGGUGUUUGUUCUAUAAGUCGGCAUCUUUGCCAACCGCAAUCGAUACUGUCGUUCGAUACUGCAAAUGAAAACCCGGUGGGUGCGCAAAAUUUCGAGCCAAUCCUACAAUCUGACAGAUUGUAGGAAGAAAGGAACAAUGUUGUUGGCAGCACAAAAGUUCAUAAUCUUCUACUUGGAGUAAUCUGUUUAAGGCUUUAAUAUUCAUGCAGAAAGUUUUACAAAAUGAUCGCCUUUCGACAUAUAUCACAAUGGCGAUCUUUAAUCAUAAUGACUUGUACUGCUCGAUCAAACGAGACGCAUGGAGGCACGACGUAGGAGCCACGGUGCAGCCCAAACUUUGCAGAUAAGAAAUCUGGUAAUUCACAGCAUGACAAACAUAUUAUUGGGUCUCCUGACCAUCCUAGAUACCAAUGUGUGCACAAGGAAAGGAGUAAGGUAAUCAAAUGCUUGAGUCUUGUGUACCUGUUUCGGUGUUGGUUCGGAUGAACCCAUUGAGUUCUCGAUCCUUAACUUCUGGAAAUGCUCCUGAAAGCAUAAAUAUAUGUACGGAUUUAAACCAAUGACAAUGGACAUAAUUUACAGACAAUGAUUGAAGAAAAUACAGAUAUAAAUGCCUCAGUAUUCCAUUGACGAAAGUUCUAGAUUUGAUGAAUCAAACGUCCCACGUUGAGACUGCGUUAAGGCAAAUGGUUCUCAAACACAAAGCAAUAGUUUGCUACCGAAAACAACCAAAGUUUGACAAAGGAAACCGUCUUACACCUAACCUGUUUUUCCCUCAUCAAAUGAGCGCGUUGAUCUGCAGGUAUUUUCUGCCAUCUCAAAACCUGUUACAAAGAAAUAUAACAUUGAUGUCGAGCUGGAUAGCAUAUAUACCAAUUAUGUGUACAAACCUAUUGAAAUAAAGUAGCUGUAGUUGCAUAUUACGACAGAUAUUAACGAAAACAAAAGAAGGCUCGCCUAUUCAAGAUCCUAAAUCCCGUGAUUCUUUUGUUUUUAGUUUCAGAAAUUUUCAGAGCACAAACUGGAAAGUACCAAGAUACUUACAUAUUGGGCAUAAUGAAAUGCAUCUUCAUCUUUCAAGCAAGAUUUCAGUGAGCGCAAACCGUCCUGAGAGUUACAUAGAGUCAAUCAGUAAUAUAAAAACGUAGAUGCAUCACACCCAAACACAAGUAUUCAAACACCGACAACUUCUUCAUGCGGUGAGGCAUGUUAAAAAAUAGGGAAGAACAGUUAUUGAACAGGAAGUUAAAGGACUAAAUUUAUGACCUUGUGUUUGUAGUUCUUGGCUCGUGUGCGUUCAUCUAUUACAAAACCAAUCUGUAACAGGUACAACAGAAAAUAUAAGCAGUAGUCAGAACAUUAAGCAUCGGCAUUCACAUUGCCACCAAUCCAAAGUUAAAAGUCUAAAGGCAAAACAGUAUGAUUCUUAUCUCUCAAACAAAAAUGAAACUAUACCCCGGUCUCAGACAUAAAUGAAAUAAGUUCUACUGCCUCAACUGAGUACUGUGAUUAUAUAUAAAUCCAAUUCACCUUGUCAAGUAAUCUCUUAGGAUCUUGAAAUGCUUGCUUCUUAGCCCAGUCAUUAAAUACAUGCGAGAUAAUCGAUCUCUCAUCCACACUGAAUCUAUUGCACAGUGACAGAAGAAUAAAGUUAAACAUGAACAUAACCAACCAAAAAUGCUAGUUAUAAUAGUAUACCCAUAAUUGCAAGCAAAACCUUUUUAAGAAGCCAUUUCCAUGGUUUUCCUCCCCAAAUUCCAUCAAUUCUGCAGAGGCAACGUCAAAUUUACUAUGAUGGAGAUCAUUUUGCACCAUAACAACUUCAGAAGGUAGGAGAUUUGGUUUGAGAUCAUCUGUUGACGGAGUAGUUUCUUUUGAAGUGUCAUGAUGCUUUGAUUGCAAGCCUUCUGUACUUACGUCAGCCUACAAAACAAAAAUUGCAUUCAUCCACACUAGACUUAAUAAGAUUAGAAACACUUCAGAUUCUUCACUAUUUGUAAGUUUGACUAAACAGCAGAACAACUAAGGAUAAUGAACAGUAAUACACACCUGGACUUCUCGUAGAUGAUUUGGAAUUUCUUUCAGAAAUCGCGAAGGUUGAAGCAUCUGAAGGAGUCACCUUCUCAGUCAGAGCAACAAAAAAUAAGGAGGACAGGAAUUCAAGCUAAAACGAACCUGCCAACUGGAAUCCAUCGUAACAUAAAGAAUGAAAAGCUUUUUUCGAGCACGAGUCAUUGCAACAUAUAAUAGGCGUCUUAACACUUCAAAGCUCUGCAUAUAACUAAAAGGUCGUACCCAGUGCACAAGGCUCCCGCUUUACGCAGGGUCUGGGAGAGGUGAAUGUCAGCUAGCCUUACCCCCAUUUUAUGGAGAGGUUGCUCCCAAGUCUCGAACCCGAGACCUACCGCUCAUGGGCGAAGGCACUUGCCAUCACACCAAGUGCGACCUCUAAUUGUAUCAAAUACAUAUAUUCACAAAAAUUAUAUAUGACCGUUAGAUGUAUUAAAUACAUGCAAGUAUUGUAGCUAGAUGAUUAUUGAGUAAGGAAAUUCGAUCCUGACUUGCAAGACCUAGAGUAUACUAAUGACUUGUACCAGAUCAUGAGUCAACAAGCACGUAAGGUUAUUCAUAGUUUGACACUAGACGACAAUAAUGAAGACAUGAUCCAAUGAUUUUGCAAAAUAAAAAGUGCCUUAACAAAUGAUUUUGGUGUGCCACCGGAGAAAUCUAAAUCAUAUUCAUUGAAAGGCCAGUUAUUUCCUUCCAUUCUAAAAGAAAUACAGCAAUGAAUGUCAAACUAUAAAAUGUAUCUCCUAAAGUUGAGAGAAAGGACCCUUACCUACAUUACGGAAAAACACUAUCUUCCAAUGAAGUGGCAUAAAAAUUGCUGAAAUAUGUUAAUUUCUAAAGUACAAAUAAAACAACCUACCUUUUCAAAGUAGAAAUUUAUAAGUGCCUUUUCAAAGUAAAAACUUAAAAGUGCCUCUUCAAUGUUUUCAUUUUCAAAUAAAAGUGGUCCAAAAUGCUUGAAGACAACUAGGAAAAAGAAACAUAACUGAUUGAAGACCAUAUAGGAAAUCAAUGGAGCUUGAAUUUCUAGAUUAAUAAACAAAUUAACAGAGCUUCUGUACUACACAAGCCUUCCAAGGAUAAGAAGAAUAACAGAAGAAUAAUAAAAAUCACAUAUAGGUGCACAUGAACCUUCACACGUCCAGAAAAUUUGCAAAAGAAGUACAGCAAUAACAUAGAUGACAUAUGGCUUGGCGCACACACUCACACAGAGAAGCGUAAUAAGUAAUAAUAUUCCCAAAUAGCUGCACAUUCAAUUGCACACAUACAACAAGAACUACAACAAUAACGUAGACAUGACGCGCACGCGCACACACACACACACACACUCACGGAGCUAGUGAAUGCAACAAUAAUCAGCUGACCUGGUUCAAGACUGGAGCAGUGGUAGUGCAAUCGUCACAUUUUUGUUGACAUCAUGAACUUGGCUUUUUUCUCAGCUGGCUUAAGAAUCUGGAAAGAGCACAUUAAGUUUUCAUCUACACUCAUCAUCGCACCAGCAUUGUCAAACUCACCACAGUAGUUGGGAGCUGAAAAAAUUGUAACAAGUUGCCUGUCCGCAAAGAAUUCAUAACCAUCUUCCAUUGGCAUGUUUAAUCUGCAUAUAACUGAAAAAUGUUAAACAAUUUACCGCACAUCUCAAUGGAGGUCCCAUUUUCUUUUGCAACGCCAUUGAAUUCAUGGAACGGGAUCUCAGAUUCAUUUACCUGUGUUAUUGGCAUGAGCAUUAAAGCAAGCUAAGAUGAUUUGAAGAGGUUGAUAUCGUCAUGAAUAUACUAGAACAGAAUACCAAUUUCAAGCCAUCAAUUAGGUAUAGCAUUGGCAUGUUUAAUCCGUAAAUCUAAUGACAGAACACCUCAACUCUACACAUAAAUAAAUAAACAACCUGGAAAAUAUUACAGCCACUUGUUAAGGCAAAUACCUUAAUUAUGAAAACCAUAUCCCACUCUAAACCUUUUGACUGCAAGAGAAUGAAAAAGAAAGACAGUAAGCCAAGAAUGUUUGUAGAACUCCAAAGGAAGUCCAAUAGGGAAAUCAUCGCAAGUAUAAGAGUUAGCGAGGUUCGCAUAAGAGGAUAUCAAAAAGAUCUAGAACCUGAUGAAUAGUAGUCAAAGUGACAGAACUUUGGUUGUCAUGUCUUCGGGAGUGAAAAUUUUCACUCUCCCGCUCAGAUAUGUAGUCGAUGAAAGCUUUGAGUAAAUUAACGCAGCCUUUUUCUUCUGCUACGACUUCUCUCUCCCCUUUUCCCACAACAAAAUGAGUUGAUAAGAAAUCAGAUACGUCGUCUAGUAGGUACUGAAGAACCUGCAAUGAGAAUAAUCGCAUCACAACAACAGGGUUGGACCAAGAUUUAAGUGACAACAAUGAUUAACUAACUAAAAUAGAGAAAUUAUUCAUUUAAGACCUUGUUGACUGGAAAAAGGGUUUUCCAAGCAGCGGGUCAUUUAAGCUUUUUGUAUAAAUGACAAUCAUCACAAACGGCAAACUUACAGAUCUCAUGUCAUUGUCUUCAUUCAGCAGUUUUCCUCCAUCUACAUCAACGACUGCACGUUGCUCAAGACGGUACUUCUAAAAAUUGAAAGUCAAACGAUAAAUUAUUAAGAAGCAUUGAAUAUAAGCAUGAAACGAAGAAAAUGUUAUGGAAUGGUGAUCCUCAUCCUCAAAGAUGAUUAAAAGCAAUUUGAUUCAAAAAUGACAUAUCAACUCUGGAGAAAUGGAAGACAAACCUGUGGUACCAUAUUCGCAACUGAGGUUAUGACAGCUGAAAUCGAUUGUUCCUGUGUGCAUUGAUAAGUGAGACUACCAUAGAGAUUCACAACUAAAUAAAGAUAGGUAUUCCACAGAACAACCUUUACCUCUUUGGAAACACAGAUCUAACAAAAACUAUAACAUUUUGGAUUAAUAUUGACGAAUCAAGAAUAAUGCAAGGGAGCAAGAGAUACUCUUCCUUCUAAUAACAAGGAGGCAUGAAAAGUAUACAGAGUUCCAACAAUUAGAGAACUAAAAUCAAACUAAAAAAAUCACCAGAGUAGACAGAAUCUCACUUCGCCAAAAAUUUGAAAAUAUAUCCUUUUUAUCCAUUGAGAUUCAUGAACUACUCCUACUCAUCAUGCCAAUAAGCAAUGCGUAAGAGGUGCUACAAUUUACCGAAUAUAUUUACCCUGAGAACAAGUUUUGAAAUCAUCUCUAGUGUUAACAGCACCUUGCGUCCUUGGGUAAGCUGAGUCCUAUUAUCAAGUAAAGAGACCAAUCAGUACAUCCAAAAGAUCUUAAAUGCCUCUAAUACCAAUAAGAAAGAAACAUGAGUAUAUCUUGAAUUAACCAUGCAAAAAUGUAAUGUUAAAGCAUCUUGUCAUACAGACCUCUUCAAGGUACCAGAAAUUUUUGCACUAAAGAUGUCACAAGCAGCUGAUAUGAAGCUGCAUUUUCUGUGAGUUGAAAUUUUGUCAAUAUAAUCGAUCACCUGAAGAGAGAGAGAGAGAGAAAGACAGUGAUAUCCAGAGAUGUGAGCCUAGAUGCUGAGUGUGUAAAAAAAGAAGAUUAAAUGGAUAGCAAGAAUAUACAACUUUAAUGCUGAAAAGAACAUUGAAUAUGAUGCUCAUUCAAUUGCCAUUGAACGUGUACCUUCUUCUUUCCUCUUUCUCAAAAGCAAGUAGAGCCUUGAAGACUUGCCUAUAUGAUCCAUCAUCACAACCAGGCAAAGUUGUUUUAAUCAUAGCAACAAUGGCUCUAACUACCUGCCAUAAGAAACAUACUACAUCAACAAGAUCACAGUGUACCAGAAACCGUAAUGUACCAGAAACAUACUACAUCAACAAGAUGCAGUCUCCAGGAUCUUGUCGACAACAAAGGCACAUUGUGCAUCCUCAUUGUGACUUUCCUUGAUAAUUACCUACAUUUUGCCAGUAAACCGGUGUCACUAACUAAAAGGACUGAAAAAUGACAUCAAAUUGUACUUGUUGGAGCAAGGAAAGAUUAAGUACCUUAGACCCAGAAGAAUUGUCCGUGUCAACAUUCUUUAGUUGGCAUCGCUUCUUAUUGUUUUUUAUAACAGAAGAUGCAGCUUCCACAAUAUAGCGUGUGGACCGAAAGUUUUUAUUAAGCCUAAUCUGAACCAUAAAGUUAUGUCAAAUCCCACAGAACCCCAUAAAAUAAAACUUACUUUCCUGUAAUUGUACAAUAUAUUUGUUCUAUACUAUAUACAAUGUUUUAAAAGGUUCGCCUCGGGGCGCGCCUAGGUGCCCUGUGAGGCUGGGCUUGAGGGUUGCCGCCUCUGUUUUCAGGGAGUGGGAGGAAGGCGUCGCCGGAGCCGCCUAAGCGCCAGAAGGCGCCACUGGAGCCGCCUAGGUGAGCCUCAGGGGAUUUUUUUUUUUUUUUUUUUUUUUUUUUUUUACUCCCAAACCCAAAUUUUGGGUAGGGUUUUAACUAGCUCAUACUCUUCCUUGCACUAUCAUCUCUCUGCCUUCUUUUCUGAUUUUUAUUUUUUAUAUAAUGGAUGUGUGUGCCGUCUGCGUGCAUUGUUAUAUGUGUGCUCAUCGUGCUUUUCAUCCUCUAUUAUAUAUAUAUAUAUAUAAUAUAAUAUAUGUAUAUAUAUAUGUGUGUGUAUAUGUAUUUAUAAUAUAUGUGUGUGCUCAGGAUGAUUAUUGAUUAAUAAUCUUCUUUUUUUUAAUAUAAUAUAUGUGUAUGCUCAGUGUAUAUAUUAAAAAAUUUAGGUCCCGUGAGGCAUCGCCUCACUCCUCACGCCUAGGCUGGGCUAUCCCUCGGACGCCUCGCCCACGCCUCAUGCUUUUAAUACAUUGACUAUAUAUAAUGAAAAAAGACACUGUGAAUGACAUAAGAUAACAUAGCAGUCAAGUGCGAAGCGAACCUUUUUGUAAUUUGAAAAAUCUUUACGAAAAUAAUCAAAUCCAGAAAUGUCCGCCCCAUUGAAACUGAAAAUGGGCAGCAGGAUAUAUGUUAUUUGAUUUAGAACAGAUAAGGGCUGGAUUAGAAUGAGCUGAGAGAGAGAGAGAGGGAGAGAGGGAGAGAGGGAGCAAUAACAUUGGAUUUCCAUAAUAAAUCAACAACAUGCCUGAUCAUCAUCGCCAACAAUGGUUAUGUGGUUAUGAGAGGCGAGAAUCCGCAAAAGACUAUAUUGCAUAGCACUUGUGUCUUGAAACUCGUCUAUUACAAUAGCUUUCCAUGACUCCUGGCACUCCUUCAACACUAAUUAAGAGAACACCAUGUAUCAACAUUUAGCAUUACUUGUAAAACUAGAUAAAUCAAUGAAAUAUACUUAGAUGAUAGAGACCUUCAGGAAAAUCACUUAGCAGCUUCACAGAGCAGCUAAUUAAGUCGUGGUAGUCCAAAGCGUUGCACGAUUUCAAGAUAUCAUUGUAAUUCCUAAGAAUUUCACCCUGAUUCAGAUUGAGAGCUAAAACUCAUAAGCAAUAGUUUCAAAGAACUGAAAUGAUAUCUGAAAUUCUAGUUCUGAGCGUACUCCUGUCACAUCACCCAUUCUUCGGCAUUCAGCGGGAGUCUUUCCAGAAGCUUUUGCCUGAAACAUAAAUAAAUUUAUUGCCUAAUGCCACAUAUUGUAAGACACACCAUUGUAUUGGUCAUUCUAGCUUGAUUGUAGCUAAUAUUUUUUAAAUCGAAUGAUUAGAGUUCUUAAUCCACAAUAAUCUGAACAUUAAAUUUGGUAUUCAUGACUAACCUGUGUCACAAACUUCAGCCAUUUCUUUGAUGCAUCCUUAAAAUGAUGUGGAGAUGUUACGCCGUUAGACUCUUCCCCAUCUAUAGCAACAUUAAGAUUCGUUUUACUCUUUUCAUCUUCUGAUAACCGCACAGCUUCAAUGAUUGCUCUUCUCUGUUGCCCAUGUCCAUAUAUCAAAAAUUCUGGUCUGCGCUCGAGUCUAAAACACAAGCCAACAUAACAGACUCAGCUAUACCACCAAAUGUAUGGUGUUCAAAAUCAAGGGAGGUGAAUCAAUAGCUUACUUCUCAGCAUGUGAUCGGCAAAGUUGCAAUGAAAAUGAAUGAAAUGUACUGAUUGUUAGUAGUUUUGCCGUUGCUUUCCCAGUCACAGAUCCAAUUCGAUCUCUCAUCUCGGAAGCUGCUGCUGUAGUGAAAGUCAUUGCUAGAAUGUUCGACGUGCUAAUGCCCUAAGAACACAAAAAAAAAAAAAAAAAAACGUAUAAGAUUUCGAUCAUAAACAAGAAAUGUAGAGAAACACACAAUUACGAAAGAAAAAGUUAGAGGGAAAGUAGCAACACCUCAUUGAGCAGCAUUAGAACGCGCCCAACUAUCGUUGAAGUCUUUUCCACUUCCAGGGCCGGCAAACAAUCAUCAAAGGUACUGAAAUAUCGCUGCAAGCUGCCUCGCGCUGCCUUUCGUUGAGAGAAAGCAAAUACUUCAAAUACUCAUCCGGCAUGUUAGGCCAUCCAUGGUUAACAGAAUCUGUUUGGUUUUCACUACUCAAAGGCGGCGCUGAUGCGGCACUAACGUCACUACCACAACUCCCAAUAUCAUCACGCUGAAUGUCCACACUCGGUUUCUGCUCGAUUAAAGCGUCAAUUUCCUGCAAAAUACUCUCAUCGAAAUCAUCAUCGUUAAGAAUUCCAGAUGCAGAGAAAGAAUCAAAUGAAGUCAGAAACUGCGGUUGUCUGAUUGGAGUUGUGAAAGAAUCCGAUUUUGACACGCUUGAUUCGGUCCCGCUAACGCUUAAGCUUCCGGAACACGAAGCACUGCCAUAUUCACCACGCGUUGAAUUGUACCGGCUUGCGGAAAUCGGAGGCGGUGUUCUUUGAACUCUAUUGAGCUGAGUUGGCGUUUGGAUUCCAUUUCCGCCACAGAUUCUGGAAUUUGAAAAACACAAUUGAAUUGAUUUAAAUUGAAGCAAGAAAACAGCCGAGUAGCAAAAAAAUAGUAAGAAGAUGAAACCUUUGAUUCCUGAACGACUUACUUGGUAUGAGGGAGGUGAUGAUCAGGUGAAACGGCGUCGUUGCGGGGGCGUUUGCGAUCAAUGAGGGCCUUGGCGGCUCUGAAAUUCCGAGAGAUGCGGUUUCUUUGUUCCGCCGUGAGCCCUCCGCCGUAUUCCUGAACGUUUUCCUUGGACAUUGCUUCGAAGAUUCCAACGGAGGAUUUGGCCUGACGGCCUGACCAGGCUGAUAAUAUUCUUUUCAUUCAACUUGUCUACAAUAAUUACCACUCUUGGUAUUUAUACAUUUCUAACACGCCUCACUAACUAACUAAGACCACUACCAAUCAUACAUAAACACUUGUCAUAAUCCUAUGCACUCAUAGUAUCAUCACUCUAACUUCCCCUCAAACUCAUGUGGCAGAUUGCCAAGCAUGAGAUUGGAACAAUUACGAGUGAACUGGGGUGAACACAAGCCUUUGGUGAACAUGUCGGCAUAUUGAUUUGCAGAGGUAACAAACUGCAAAAAAUUGUCCUUUGAUGAACUCUUUCAUGAACAAAGUGGCAAUCAAUCUUUAAAUGUUUGGCUUUAGAGUGCAAUACAGGAUUAGUGGCAAGAGCCAUUGCUGAAAUGUUAUCACAAUGCAAAACUGGAACAUAAGGAGAACCAACAUGCAAAUCUCGAAGAAGCUGUUGUAUCCAGAUAACCUUAGCAGUGGUUGUAGCCAUUGCUCUAUAUUCAGCUUCAGUGGAAGACCUACUCACUGUAUGCUGCCUUUUAGAACUCCAAGAGAUAGGAGUAUCUCCCCAAAAAAUGACAAAACCCGUGGUUGAACGACGAUCAUUAGGAUCCCCUGCCCAAUCAGCAUCUGUAUAGGCUUUCAACUGAGAUGAACAUGAUUUAAAACACAAUCCCAAAGACAUAGUGCCUCUGAGAUAUCGUAGAAUACGUUUCACAGCAGCAAAUGAGUGGCUAAGGGUGAAUGCAUAAACUGACAUACUUGAUUGACAUAAAAAGAAAUAUAUGGUCUUGUAAAUGUUACGUAUUGCAGUGCCCCAACAAUACUUUUGUAAGUGGUAGGAUCAGAAACAGGUUCACUACCAUGAUUCAAAAGCUUUUGAUUAGGAUGACAAGGUGUGGAAAAAAGGUUUACAGUCCAGCAUAUGCAUCUUUUAAAGGAGUUCUUUGACAUACUUGGUCUGAUGAACAAAGAGUCCCUGAUCCUGAUACUCAAUCUGUAAACCAAGAAAAUAAUGCAACACACCUAGAUCUUUCAUGCCAAACUCACUAGUUAACUGACUAAUAACAUUCUGAACCUUCAUAGCAUCAUUACCAAUGAGAAUGAUAUCAUCAACAUAUAAUAAGAGAACAAUAAUUGAUGAACCAUCACACUUGACAAAUAAAGAAGGAUCUGCAUAUGAUGACUUGAACCUAAGUUUAGGCAAAUAACCUGAAAACCUGUCAUGCUAGGCUCUGGGAGCUUGUUUGAGACCAUAUAAAGACAUUUCUAGUUUGCACACAUAAUCUAGAUAGGUAGAAUCCACAAACCCUUGGGGCUGAGACAUAUAAACUUCUUCCUCAAGAAAGCCAUGCAAAAAAGCAUUAUUGACAUCUAACUGUUUGAGUUUCCAAUUAUGAGAUGCAGCCAAGGAUAGAACCAAUCGAACCAUGGUUGGUUUGACCACAGGGCUAAAGGUUUCAUAAUAGUUAAUACCAACUUCUUGAGAAUACCCAUUAGCUACAAGAGUAGCCUUGUACCUAGCCACUGAACCAUCUGGAUUUCUCUUAAUCUUGUAGCUCCAUUUACAACCAACAAGAUUUUUGUCAGGUGGUAAGGGCACAAGCUUCCAAGUAUGUUGUUGAAUCAAAGCAUCCAUCUCUUCUUUUAUGGCAUUUUGCCAUUGAACACACUUGACUGCACUAGAAAAAGACUGAGGUCUAAUAAAUGGAAAUGUGGAAGAAACACUAGGUGGAUGAAUGAAUGUGUUUGAAUGCACAACAGACACUGGUGAGGAAGAAUGACCAGAAGUAACUUGAUGAUUGAAACCCAAAGCAUUAGAGUCUAUAGGAAACUUGGAUUCAUAAAAAAUAACAUGUCUAGAUACUAACAGUUUAUGUUCUUUGAGAGAGAAGCAAAUAUACCCUUUGUAUUGUGUAGCAUACCCCAGAAAAAUGUUGGAGCAAUAAUAGAAAAUAUGAGAAAUAACAAUAUAAUUCCAAUGAUAAUAAUCAUAAAGAAAUUCACAACAUCAAUUAUAUAUGAGAUUAAUAUAAACUACUAGAGUGAAAGUUAGAAUAACUGACAAACUUGGAGAUUGAGGCUUGCAUAAAUGCAAUGUCCUAAAGAUAGAAUUUCGCCCCUACUCUUGUGUUUGUAGUUCAAUAGGCGUCCAUCUCUCAGAAUUCAACAAUCUAUAAUCCGAAGUCAAAGCACUUCAAUCUUCGGACUCUGGCGAACUUUAUAUAUUCCGUACUCUCAAGACACGACUCGGAAUUUGACACACGAAUCAUUUGAGAAACAAAGUUGGGGAAACCCUAUUUCUCAAGAGAGUAACAAUUAACUCUAUUUUUCUAUUUUUAAUGAUAAUGGUUUCAUGAGUUUAUAUAGAACCCAAGUACUUUUUGUUAAGGAGAUGUAACUUUUCAUCUAUAAGUAUACAUCACUUAUCAAGAGAAUACACCUAAACAACAUAACCUUUCUAAGAAAUUGGUUAACACUAUUUUUCAUUCAAUUAUUAAAAUUAUAUAUUACAAUAUUUCAUAUUAUAAUAUAUAAUUUCCAACAAAAAAUACACUUAGUAGUUUUAGGUUCAAGUUUAUUGCUUCUAUAGGGUUUCAAUGAAGGAUAGCAUAAACACCCAAAAAAUCUCAAAUGAUCAAGCUUAGGUGGAGAUUUAUAUAGCAUUUCAAAAGGAGACUGCAUAUGUAGGGUAGGUGUGGUCAUUCUGUUUAUAAGAAAAGUAGCAGUGGCACAUGCAUGGAACUAACAUUUUGAAGGUAAUGAAACUUGUUGUAAAAAGGUAAUAGUUGUUUCGACAAUAUGUUGAUUUUUUCUCUCAGCCAACCCAUUAUGUUCUAGGGUAUAAGGACAUUUUUUAUGAACAAUGCCUUUGGUAAGAAGAAAUUGCUUAAACUGAGUACUAACAUAUUCCCCACCCCCAUCACUUUGCAAAAUUUUUACAUGAGCAUCAAAAUAAUUCGAGACAUAAGCAAGAAAGUUGACAAAAACACUGAACACUGCAAACUUUAUUAUUUAAUGGAAAAAUCCAGGUAUAUCUUGUACAUUCAUUAAUAAAGGAAACAUAAUACUUGUAACCUUCUAUAGACAGACUAGGUGAGGGACCCCAAACAUCUAUGUGAAUUCCUUCAAAUGGAGUAAGUGACUUCAAAGCAAUUACAGGAAAAAAGAGCUUGGUAAACUUACCUUGCAAACAAGCUUUACAAGUAUGAGAUUGAGAGUUACAAGGAAAAGAUAUAAAAGACUUAUUAAGUGCUGCAGUGACAAUGGAAUGUGCAGGAUGGCCUAAUCGACAAUGCCAUAAUGUAGAAGAAAUCUUUUGACCCACAAAUGCAACUGGAUUAAAAACAGGAGAAAUAGACCUUUGUGGUUUGAUUAUGGGAAGUGGAUAGACAACAUUAUUACUCAGCCCUUGGAAUAGCACUCUCUCGGUGACCUUGUCCUGUAGACAGAGAGAAACAUCAUCCAUGAUACAACGACACUGAUUAUCUUUGCAUAACUGAUUCAUAGAUAAUAAGUGUUGUGACAGUUUUGGAACAUGUAACAUAGAGUUUAACUUGAAAUUAUGUGACUUAGUGAGAAGAGAAGAUGAACCAAUAUGUUUAGCUAAACCUUCACCACUAGCACUGGUCACAAUAUCAUUUGAUGGAUAAAUUUGUUGCCAUGUGCAAGUUUGACAAAUCUGAGGUCAUAUGGUUAGUUGCUCCUAAGUCAAGAAACCAGAAAUCUUGUUAAAGAGUUGAGGAUGAUGCACCAGCUCAUGCUUGCAUAGCAAGAUGAGGAUUUUGUGAGGAUAUAGUUGAGAGAUACAUAUGUGGUAUGACAAGAUACUGAAACUGGGAGCUAUUAGACCGUGGAAUAAUGCCUUGUGAAGGACCACAUGGAUUCUAGCUAGGUGCUUCACCAUAUGACCCAGUAGGCAUUGAAGUUGGCAUAGAUGAGGAUAAACCCUAAGAGAAAUGCUCUGAUGUGCCUGUGAAAUUCUUAUUCCGAUCAAAGCAAGUAGCAGCAACAUGACAACCUUUGACAAAUUUGACAUCCAUGUUGAAAACAAUUCAAUGCAGAAUGACCUUUGCGAUCAUAUUUGCAAAAUGGCCUUUGCAACCCUAGAAAGAAGAAGGAGCGAAGAAGACCAAAUGUGCACGUUUCUCUUUGGUUUUUUUUCCCUCCUAAUCGCCCUGUUCGAAAUCACGGACCUCGGGCCUGUGCCUAGUGGGCCCAAUUAUGAGGCCCAUUAUCUCCGGUCUUCUCGUUCUACUUCUAGUUACCCAAAUUAAGAACGUACUGGUUCGCUUUUAGCGCGAGAGAGAAAUGGAAGCCCUGAUUGCCUCGUACGGAGACUCGUCGUCGGGCUCAGACUCCGAGUCGCCGGCUCCACCUCCACCACCACCUCCGGAGCUCAACAAUCCUCAAAAACCGACCCCUGCGCUGCCUCCACCUCCUCUGUCACUUCUUGACAGCCCCAAUUCCUUCGGUAACCUCUGAUUCCCAUCAAUUUUCAUCUUUUAGCUUUCUGUUGUGAUGGCUUUUUCCAAGUUGGCCACCAAGUGUUUGAUGUUUUGCCUCUGAAGGAUUUCUGGACUUCUCGGCAAGCGCCCAGCCGAGCAGAGUUCGGAACUUUCCUCACGUCGAAGGGAACUACGCAGUACAUGUAUACAUCCCAGGUUAUCAAAAUUCUCGAAAUUUUCAGCUCCAUUAUCAAAUGCGAUCGCUUUGCACUUAGUUUUUGCUUGUUUAAUUGCGUGGUUCCAGUUUAUAUACCACCAGCACCAAGGAAAGAGAUGGCCUUGUUUUUGAACAAGCUAGCUUCUCUGGUGCCUGGUCUCCAUGCGGUUGACGUUGACUUCCCGCUUGACAUUCUGCGUAAGGACGAGCACAAGCUUGAACAAGUUGCUUUAGGCAGAGAGUUCCAUAUAAGUCUCGGAAGAACUGUUCCGAUUCGGGUGCACCAGAUUGAUUCCUUGGUGACAAUGCUGCGGCAGAAGCUUCAGAUUCAGAGGCGGUAUGGUUACAUUUACAUUCUCUUGUCUGCAUUGCGUGAAUUUAGUUCUGUUAUUUAACAUAAUUCUGUAAGCCUGCCAAAUUUUUCGUCCAUUUUCGGUUUAACACAUUUUGUUAUUGUGAAACAGGUAUUGGAUUGAUUUUAGCAAGUGGGAGGUUUUUGUUAAUGAUGAUCAGACCCGGACCUUUGUGUCAAUCGAAAUCAUUGCUGCUGGGUUAGCUGAGGUAUGAUUGCUAGCUUUCUUUCUUGGUGCAAUUCUAAAUGUUUUCAGUUGUUAUAUGGGCUUAAGAUUUAGUAAGUACUUGCCGAAAGUCAUGGGAUUUUGAAAUAUCGAUAUCUUGCUUGCUUAUUAGCUUAGACUUGGUCUUCGAUGCACUUGUAACAUGAAAAACACAAACGAAAACUAAUGCAUGAUAUGCUCAUGGUUUUAACAUGUGUUGUCCUGGCGUAAAUCAUGUUCCUAAUCCUGUCAUGUGAGUAUAUAAGCCUAUGAAACUUAGGGCAUGUUUGGCGGGCCGGACAAGAUUGGAAUUGGUAUUUCAGACUAGUUAGGUUAGGAUUGAACUGGAUAGGAUAGGUUUUUUGUCUAAAGAUUGGUGUAGACUGUCUUAACCAGACUAGGAACGAUGGGAUUUAAAAGGUGAAACAGAUCCGCGACAUCCCAAGGAUGACCCGCCCACCCAACAACUCUGCUUGUGACUUGCAACACCUCUCGUACCCUCCACGCCCCUUGCGGCCCGUCAGACCACUCUGAUAUCCUGGAGGAGUGAAACGUGGUUACUAGAAGCAUACCUGUUUUCGUAUUAAUGCACGGUUGAAUCAGCUUUCAUUGUCUACAAGUCUGAAAUAUUUUAACUUCCAUUGAUUUCAGAUAACAAAGCAGAUUCAAGCUGUGAAUGAGGUGUAUAAGCUUCACAAUCUUCCUGAAUUUUACAAGGUUAGCUUUUUCGUGCUUUUCAAACUCGAAUCGCUUCCUGAAUAUAUGACAAUAUAUUGGAUCAAACGAUUUCUCAAAAAACUAAUUCACUUGAUGGGGUCUUGGUGAUCACAGGAUCCACGCCCUCACAUCUCGGUAGCUUGGGCAUUGGGUGACAUCAGCAAUUCCCUGAAGAAAGUGGUUGAAGAAGAAAGACGAAGAUCUACCAUCGGAGGAUCGUUACAGAAAUGUAUUUUUACCAGUAAAUUCAAUGGUAUCGAAUGUAGGAUUGGUAAUGAGACACACAAAAUAUGUAAAUUUUCUGAAGAAUAAUGUAGCCAUUUAACUGUAUUGUGAAAUUCCGAGAAUAUAUCGCUGAGCAUUGGAUGAGAAGACAUUUCUUCGUUGGUGUCGAACUUCUUGUCGAAGGGAUUGGCACCAGUGUAAACGUCAUCAUCCAUGUUGAUGGUAAUUACUUCCCAGCUACUAAGGGAUUGGUAAUUACGUCUUUCACAUGCCCGACAAAUAGAAGUAUCACCAAACAUGUGAAUAUAGAGCAUCUAAGCGGCAGGCACUAAAAGGAAUUUAGUAUGCAAUAAACAUUCAACGGACACAAUUAUAUGUCUAACCUUUCCCGCUCCUGAGCAAUUUGAACAUCGUUCAGUUUUUGGCAGAGAUAGGGGUUGGUUUCCGCCAUCAUCAGCUGUCGAUACUGGUUCAGUAAGAACAAGGGUUCCAGUGCUGGAGCAACGAGCACAAGCAAGAGAUCCUGCGUAAGUAUCAAAUACACAGGUAAGCUGACAUACGAAACCAAUCCGAACAUCUCCAUCGUAUAUAUUUAAAGCUACAGUACAUAAAACUAAAAGUCAGAAAUAUAGGACAUUAUCACACCAGUUCCAAGACAAUAUUUGCAUCGUUUAUGCUCCUGCUGUUUCACAUUGUUUAUUUCAACUACCAUCAAUGCUGAGAUCACUCCGACUGCUCCUCCAGAGAAUGACGCCACUAUGGGAUCAACUUGACUGCAGUUUGAAAGUAAAGGAGAUCAAUAAACGAAACUGGUAACAACAUAGUAUCAACAUUAUUUAGCUUCGUUUCAAGAAAGAUGACAUCCUAGGUUUUUCUGAUGUGUAAAAAUUGAGGAUCCUCGUAAAAUUUGACUAUAUCGGUUCCCAAAGCAUUUGAUUCCUACGUUACAGACGGAAAACAGCAACAAUCGAAUUUAAAGAUUCAUAACACGAUAGAUGGUACAAAAUUUCAAAACGAUAAUUACUAGAGAAGAAAAAUGAGAAGAGAUGAUAUGGGAUCUGCUAAAAGAGGUGACAGACAAUGUAAGCAAUCAGAGCUCCGGCUGAUUGUUCACAUUCUCCCUAUCUUGCAGGCAGCAUGAAGGAUAAAAAGAAGAAAAAUGAGAAGAGAUGAUAUGGGAUACUUUUGCUUUUGAAGAAGUAACUUUCCACAAGCUUAUUCUUGAACUGAGUUGGAGGGUUUUCUGGUUUCCUCCAGAGUAUAAGGCCGACUGAAGAAUUUAAGGGUCAAAACAAGUCCAUCAAAUCUAGAGUACGUUCGACCCUGCUGAUAUGAGAUACUUUUGCUUUUGACAGAGUAAUGGAUGUAUCGGCACGUGUGCUGUUACUUGUCUCCACAUGCUUCCUUGUAUCCUUCCCACUUGCCCUAUCUGUUCCUCAGGGAGAUGCGGUAUCUUCCCUGGGAGCAUAAGAUGUUGAAGAUCAACCCUCGUGGUCUCUAAGCAGCCCAGCUUUUGAGAAAGCAAACGCUUCUUCGAUUUCUGAGCAGGCGCCUCUUCGAUGUCUGAAGCUCCGUCGAGUGCAGCUUUUUAUAGGGGCUGGCAUUAAGUUCCAAAGCACACUUGAAUCUCCACCAGUAGAAGCCCCAUUCUUGCACUUCUAAGAUCUUGAUUUGUCCGACCUCUUCUCUUUUCAACACCUUUGAAAAUGUCUGGCCCCUCCGACCGUCGUUUUGACUUGAACCUUGUUGAAGAGGCAGCCCCGCCUUCUCCAGACAACAUAUGGCGGCCAUCCUUCGUUUCCCCUACUGGUCCUCUUACCGUUGGGGAUUCCGUGAUGAAGAAUGAUAUGACCGCUGCGGUGGUGGCCAGGAACCUUCUCACUCCCAAAGAUAACAGACUACUUUCCAAACGGUCUGAUGAGUUAGCCGUUAAGGAUUUGCUGGCUCUCAGUGUUCAGUGUGCAGGUUUUGUGUCUAAUAUGGCCCAACGCCUAUUUGCUCGAACCCGCCAAGUUGAAUCAUUGGCGGCCGAAGUGAUGAGUCUCAAACAGGAGAUUAGAGGGCUCAAGCAUGAGAAUAAACAGUUGCACCGGCUCGCACAUGACUAUGCUACAAACAUGAAGAGGAAGCUUGACCAGAUGAAGGAAACUGAUGGUCAGGUUUUACUUGAUCAUCAGAGAUUUGUGGGUUUGUUCCAGAGGCAUUUAUUGCCUUCGUCUUCUGGGGCUGUAACGCGUAAUGAAGCUCCAAAUGAUCAACCUCUGAUGCCUCCUCCUUCUAGGGUUCUGUCCAGUACUGAGGCUCCGAAUGAUCCCCCUCUGAUGCCUUCUCUUUCUGGGGCUCUACCGACUGCUGAGACUUCUCCUAAGCAACCUUUGUGAAGGCUCCAUCUUGUUUGUUUAUUUUGACUCAUGUAUAUGUACAUAUUUGUAGCUUAUCGGGGAUAUCAAUCUAUAUGUACAUCUUGUUUCCUUCAUUUCAACGUAUUGUGUUAAAUACACCAAAGCCUUCUUCGCUAAGUUCUUUGAAUUUUCUUUUGUUGAAGCUUUCUGAGUGGAGCAUGUAGGUUGGGGUAGUGUUCCCUUAAUUUUCCGAGUGAGGAAAACUUCUCGGUUGGAGACUUGGAAAAUCCAAGUCACUGAGUGGGAUCGGCUAUAUGAAUCUUAGAACGCCAUUGUGCUCGGUCCUGUGUCAUGUCCUUCGUUAGAUCCAAGUACUCUAAGUCUUUUCUUAGAGUCUCUUCCAAAGUUUUCCUAGGUCUUCCUCUACCCCUUCGGCCCUGAACCUCUGUCCCAUAGUCGCAUCUUCUAAUCGGAGCGUCAGUAGGCCUUCUUUGCACAUGUCCAAACCACCGUAACCGAUUUUCUCUCAUCUUUCCUUCAAUUUCGGCUACUCCUACUUUACCCCGGAUAUCCUCAUUCCUAAUCUUAUCCUUUCUCGUGUGCCCACACAUCCAACGAAGCAUCCUCAUCUCCGCUACACCCAUUUUGUGUACGUGUUGAUGCUUCACCGCCCAACAUUCUGUGCCAUACAGCAUCGCCGGCCUUAUUGACAUUUCUUCGUUGGUGUCGAACUUCUUCUUGUCGAAGGUAUUGGCACCAGUGUAAACGUCAUCAUCCAUGUUGAUGGUAAUUACUUCCCAGCUACUAAGGGUGUCGGAACAACCUUGCACGCAGCCUCCUGUGCAUUACUUGGUAUUGUCUCAGAUUCUCCAAACUUGAAUGCUAAUGUAAACCCACUCUUGACCUUCCCGUCAUCUGCCAUUACUGGAAAGCUGGCUAGGAUGUUGCCGUUAACCUACCUAACUGGCUAGGAUGUUGCCGUCAUCUCCAAACUUAAAAUACCGGAAAGCCGGCUCCAAACUUCAAUGUGCUACUAGUUUUUGUAUGCGAGAGCUCCACCUCCAUUGUUGUAACAGCAUCUGAUGCGGACUAGUCCUUCAUUCCCGUUACUCGUUGCUAUCUCCACUUCAAACUUGGCGUAAUGGCUCCCGGCCUCUUCUCCGGUGAAAUUGAGAAACCCUGGGAAACCCUUGAGCUGGCGUUUUCAUUCUGUUGUCCGUAUAUCUUGAUAUUACAAGUAUUUGUUGUGCAAAAUGCAUGCUAAGUUCAAGUUAUGUUUAUAUGUGUGUGUGUGUGCGUGUGUGUGUGUGUGUUGCCACUUUUCCAACGUUUUCUCCAAAAUUGUGAUUUUGGUGUUGUUCUAACUUUAUGUUGGUGUUGUUCUAACUUUGGUGAAUGCUAAUAACAAUUCCCUCGUUAACCAUUGGGACGAGCAACAAGGCAGUUUUGAUUCCGGGCACAACGACGAUACCUCGAAAGAAAUUGAUUCUUCCCCAGAAAGAUGUUUUAAAACAAAGUUGAACAAGGGAAGAAAACUUUUGAAUCGCAAUCAGAUGUCUGGUCAAAUUCUUUAACAGUUGAUGUAUACAGAAGUUCCUUGCUUAUGACACGACUUAUGAGAGGAUGUAUGUAUUGCAUUUGCAUCAAAAGAAAGAAAGAAGGUUGUAAGUGGUAAGGGAACGACUACCGAUGGCGCUCCACUUCUAAUCAAAGGGAUCGAUCCGAGGGUCGUGUUCACUUGCCAUCGCCAUUCCAGUGCAAAGGCAUGUCGGGCACAUUACCUGCCACAUUUACAGACGCAAUGUUAGAUAUAGCUGCCAUUUGGAAGUCACCUCUCAAAAUUUUGCUACUAAAUUAAUCUUAGACUUCAUUUCCAGUGCAAUUUUUUUCUUCCGAAAUGUCUUUCACAUGCCCGACAAAUACAAGUAUCGGUCACCAAGCUUGUGAAUAUAGUGCAUCUAAGCGGCAGGCACUAAAAGGAAUUUAGUAUGCAAUAAACAUUCAACGGACAUAAUUAUAUGUCUAACCUUUCCCGCUCCUGAGCAAUUUGAACAUCGUUCAGUUUUUGGCAGAGAUAGGGGUUGGUUUCCGCCAUCAGCUGUCGAUACUGGUUCAGUAAGAACAAGGGUUCCAGUGCUGGAGCAACGAGCACAAGCAAGAUAUCCUGCGUAAGUAUCAAAUACACAGGUAAGUUGACAUAUGAAACCAAUCCGAACAUCUCCAUCGUAUAUAUUUAAAGCUACAGUACAUAAAACUAAAAGUCAGAAAUAGAGGACAUUAUCACACCAGUUCCAAGACAGUAUUUGCAUCGUUUAUGCUCCUGCUGUUUCACAUUGUUUAUUUCAACUACCAUCAAUGCUGAGAUCACUCCAACUGCUCCUCCAGAGAACGACGCCACUAUGGGAUCAACUUGACUGCAGUUUGAAAGUAAAGGAGAUCAAUAAACGAAACUGGUAACAACAGAGUAUCAACAUUAUUUAGCUUCGUUUCAAGAAAGAUGACAUCCUAGGUUUUUCUAAUGUGUAAAAAUUGAGGAUCCACGUAAAAUUUGACUAUAUCGGUUCCCAAAGUAUUUGAUUCCUACGUUACAGAUGGAAAACAGUAACAAUCUAAUUUAAAGAUGCAUAACACGAUAGAUGGUACAAAAUUUCAAAACGAUAAUUACUAGAGAACAGGAGGGUUAAUAGCCUGAGAUAUGAGCCAUACCUCAACUGCAACGGCAGAUGCAUAUUUACUAUAAAGUCUUUAUAUGAUGUGCCUCCUAUUCCCAGCUUCAACUCCAACUGAAAUAUGUAAAGGUAAUUGUAGGCAAAGAGUUACAAACAUAACCGAAUCCAUGUUUUAUAAGCAACAACUAAACUUAUUUUGAUAUGUUUCCUCAUUUUUUACUUGCAAAUUCCGAACCAUAUUGUCGGACCAGUAAAAGAGAAUAAUGUUUAUGAUAACUGUUAAAACUAAUCACAACAGGUUAAUGCAUAAAGAACUUACGGAGGGUGCUAUGAGGCCACCGAAAAGGAUAAACCCCGCAAUAAUUGAAUAACAAACAGCAUAAUACUGCUUAAGGUUGUCUGAACUCUGGAAGCAAUGAAUUCACCUUGUGAUUAAUACUUUGCACAAACACUAGUUUUUGCAAAUUUUUAUGAAUCGACAAAAGGCUACAACAAAAUAUGGCUAAAACAUGUCGGGGAUAUGAAAAUACAUGUCUUCACAGGGGCACCAGCUUACCAGGGGAGGCAAAAAUGGAAUGAACGAUGGAAAACUAGGAAGUUCGUUUUCUUGAUCUUCAUUUACCGCUCCAAGCUCUGCACGUUUAAUCCGCUGUUGUAUCCUCAGCCUGCGAACCUACGCAUAUCGAAGCUCAUUCUUAAAGAACACAUUUCUAAUGGCAAUUGGAGAGUAAUUUAAAACAUGCUAAACUGAGAAAGUGGUAGUAACUAGCAAUUGCUCUCACCUCCUCCAUAUGCAAGAAAAUUUUGUUGCGACGACUCCGAAUAUUAUCUUGAAUUUCCUGCAGCUCCAUUGUGGCAAAAUCCUGCACUGUUUCAGGCCCCUCUAUGAUACAAAAUAUGCACCAUUAAGCAUGUAAAAACUAAAAAUUACAGGCUACAAAGCAAUUUCCGUAUAGUUGUUGGGUUAAAUAACAUCAACAGCAAAUAAAUCACAUGGGUUUUUCACAUAAAGUUACAAACUUUCAAGGACUAAUAAGCUGUCUGCAAUCUCAUAAAUUUCACAGUGCAAAGUAACAAUCCAAAGCUUGGAACUUUAAAUUUCCACCUUCUGUUAAUUUCCUAGAGAGAAGAGAGGGGGGGGGGGAAGUACCCGGCGGGGUUUGUAUCAGCGGCGGGAUUGGGAUCAGAAUCGACAGACGGAGCGAAAGAGGAGGAGUCGGGUUCCGAAGCCAUGGCAAGGGAUCGCCAUCUGGAGCUGCUUGUUGAUAUGGGGCUUCUGGGUAGCUGAAUUUGGAGCAGCCGGCGCUAUGCAGUUUGUACGGACGGCACCGAUUUACGGGGAAAGAAACGGCCAAAAGUCUGCCGGAGCAGAGCAUCUCUGUCUCUCUCUCUCAAACCAGAAGGUAGAGCUUUCUGUUUCUCUUGAGGUUUCUUUCACUGGUAAAUUCCAGAGAAGCAGAGAAGAAGGCUCUCUGAGAAAUGGCGAUGGUGCAAGUGGAGACAAAACAAAUGUAAAUCUUGAAGCACUGAACAUCUGCAGAACACUUGUCAACUGCCGAACUCUAGGAUUAGGAGAGAGACAGUGAGCGACCGGCCAAAAAAACAAAAUGGAGGUAAGUGGCUAAUUCUUCUCUCAUUUUUUUUUCCUUGUUUUUCAGGAAAAAAAAAAGACAGAGAGAGAUUUUUAGUGGACCUGGCGUCGAUAGAUUCGAGUAGUAUGUCACAUUUAAAAUUUGAGCAAAUUGUAACUAUAGUACUUUAAUUUUAAUUUAAUUGGAGGAAUGAUCCAUCAACUAAAAAUUCAUUACCAUUGAUCAUUUAAUUAAAAAUCUAUUACCGUUGGUCCCUCAACUUUAAUUCAACUAGAGAAAUGAUCUUUUAACUUUAACCCAAUUGUAGCAAUGGUCAUUCCAACAUAACUCGUUUUGACAAAAUUUUUGAUGUAGUUGACGAAAAUGACCAUAAUUACAUACUUUGAUAAGUUGAGGAACUCUAAUUGUAUAAAUGGUCAUUUCAACAUAAUUUAUUUUGACAAAAUUUUGACGAAAUUGAUGAAAAGGACUAUAGCUACACAUUUUGAUAAGUUGAGGGACCAAUAGUAAUUGAUUUUUAGUUGAAGGACCAUUGCUAUAAUUUACUCUUAAAAUUUUAUUAUAGGAUGACAAACGUCGAAAAUAAAAGGUUAAGUGCAGUGAUCGUCUUUGAGGUUUUGGAGGUUCUGUGUGGUCAAAUACUUUGUUCUCCCUAAAAUUGCCACUAUUGAGACGAUUACUUGCCUCAUACAAACAUUUUACGUUUACUUAGAACUAGAAAGACAAGAAUUGCAUGUGAUGAAUUGCUCUAAUCAUGGGGUUUAUUUUUUAACUCAUUGUGUUUUAAAUUUAAACUUUUUUCCCUCUCUUUGAUAUACUUAUAAAGUGUGAAAUUAAUAAUUUUAAUGAGUGACUCAAUUAACUAUUUUCAUUUCUUACGCGUUCAAAAUUACACAAAUUUGUUGCAUACAAUUUUUUAAAAAGAAAAUUUCUAUUAUUAUGGAGAAAGUUCGGUACAUUAUGGAAGGAGGAAUUUUGAACUCGAAACACAUGGUAGAAACCUAACGCCCAUCCACUAGGAUAUUAGAAACCCAACGCAUAUCCACUAGGAUAUUAGACCACCAGAGCUGGUCCUGAGAUAUUUGGUGCCUGUGUCAAAAUGUGUCUUUUUCCAGUACAACAACAGAAAUUGAAAAGAAAUAUUUAAAGAGGGCUGGAACCCAGUCGAAGCUGGGGGCUAGGCCCUCACACCCAUGUUAUAUUACUCGAAAAAAAAAAAAUAUACAACGGGAUGGAACAUAGUACCGAAACCCCGACAAUAAAAAACAAAAUCACAUACAACCACUCCAAGCAGUCAACAUGACCAUUACAUAUUGAAUCCAAAAGGUUGACGCCUAUUCUCUGCAUAUAAUGCACAGAAGAUAACAAGAUUACUAAUAUAAAAAGAACAUCUGAAAAGAUGAACAUAUGCAUCAACAUAUAAGUUAACCAUUCUAAGUGCAAAUUUAGAAGUGAUAUGCUCCAAGUAUAAUAUUGGACAGAAGAGCGGCAGCAUCAACCAGUUCUGCUAUAUCCGGCUGGAUGAGAGCUGCUAAAGACAUGAUUGUUCCCUAAUAACAUGAAUAAAUUGAGUAAACACCAAAAGUAGCAGCAAGGGAAGGAGAUGUUAAGAAGAUGAAGAGGUGUAACACCUGUGAAUGUCCAACAACAAAGACUUUGGUGCUUGUUGAAUAUAUGCAGCGCAUCAUUUCUGAUAGAUCAAAUCGAGCCAAUUCCUGCCAACUCCAAUCCUAAAAAUCCUACAGUAAAGCAUAAAUCUUAUUCUCUUCUGAUAAAGAUGUGUGUCCCUGUCUCCAACGUGUUUGACGCACAUUCCCUACCCAUACAUCGAAACCUUCAUCUGCAAGGACAAAUCCCAGUUAUUCUUCUGGAGAAUUUAAGAACCAUGAAUCACCUGGUCAAGAUCAAGAAAAGCCAGUAACCAAUUACAAUUGAGUUUGAAGCACAUAAGAGCCUAAUUUAAAAUGUAUCCCAUGGAUGUUCAUCAAUUUACACAAUAGUUAGUUUCAAGAAAGGAAAUUUCAACAGAACCUGAAAACUUCAGAUCAGGGGGCACCAAAUAGUGAGCUAUACAUUCAAAAUUUGAAAUAAUCAACUUAGUGGGACCAAUAUGUUGAAAAAAUUGGAAGGAGCUAUGAAAGUAAGGCUUUUCACUAAUCAGACGUCCAGAGAAUCAAUAUUUUACUCACGGAUCAGUUACGGGGAACACUCCCCACCAAAGCAAUCUCUUUCGUCUGAAUCUGGAAAACAAGCAGCAGUGGAUUUUAACAGUCUGGGUAUCUCAAAGUUACUUUAAUCAUAAAUUUAACACUAAAACAUAUAAAUGGGCAUUAUUUAGUGAAAUAUUAGUAUAGUACUCACUGUGUGCUCGGAACAAGAGUACCCAGAAAGCUCAAUGAGCUGCGCACAGAGGACUACAGCGGUGAACGACAGCGACCGAUUCUGUAAAAUUCAGUCAAGUUUUGGGUGAUUUCUGCAGUUAUUUCGGAGGUCAAGAGGCUGAUAGGGAAAGCUGCGACCGAAGGGCACUGGUCUGGAAGCAAAGGCUCAGGUCACCGCUGUCCCGAUUCGCGAAGGAAGUGCCCCAAAAACAAUUUCGGCCCUGGACAGGUGCACUGUUUGCACUGGACCAGGGCCGGCCGGCCCUGGCAAUAACGUCCCCCAAACAGUACAUAUACAGAUGCUAGAAAUAUAUUAAUGUAACCUGAAACUACUAGAACCAUUCAAUUCUAGCGUCUACAGCUAUAGCAUUAGUUGGUACAAUGGACAUUCUUCCAAAGAGGGGGAUGAACUCGUUGAGGCUCUUAUUUAUUCCUCCUCUUGUUGUGCCCUUUUCAGCUGCUAAUUCCAGACGAUCCAAUCUCAUACAUCUUCCCUGCAAAAGCAUGCGUGCCAGACUUCAAGAUCAAAUUUUUCCAACAAAAGAAACUUAAAGAUCAAACUCGCUAGCAGAUUAAAUGGUGCACAAGGGUGUUAAAAUCUUGACAUAGUAUAUUUUUGGCAGAUUUUAUGUGAGCAUGCAACUAAAACUGGCAUCACUAUCAAUGGUGCAAAAAGAUUGGUGGAAAACUUUAACAGUUUGAGUUGUAACUUCUCCAUUGUAUUUGUUAAGGCAAGACGGAUGUCAUCUAUGCAUUUUUCUGUAAAACUUAAAAGGCUGCAUAGCAGCUCUUGUUCGUACGACAAGCAAUUGAAAAUCCCAUCAUUAUGCCCCGCAUAUACCAGAAAAAAAAAGUCAUUUACACAAAUUCAGAGCGUUCAUCCACUGUAAUUUGCAGAUAUAGAAACGUUAAGAUAAAAGGAAAUGCAAAGUUAGCAACGGGAAUUGACAUACCAAUAUCUUCACAGUUUCUGCACAAGCACAAAUCAAAAGAAUCCGGCGGUGGAGUUAUGUACCUCUCCUUGGAAAAUGCCACCUCUUGGGAUUUCAAAAUAUGCGGCCGUGGCUAGCCGUCUGACCACGCCAAUUCCACCAAAGCCGCCGCAACGCGGCGCAGUGUCCGAUUGAUUGCUUCAAAACAGAGCUUCGUAUCCAUGUGUUUAUCAGCACAGAGUACCCAAAACCCCUGAAAAUUAUUUCUUUAUUCAGAUAAUAAAAUUUCCCAAAUUUCAAAUUUUAAUUCCGAACCAAAAAUAGGAUUUGAAUUUUGAUUACCUAGAAAUUGGGGGGUUGGCGAUAUGCGUCCUCGAGAGGGUACCAAUACAAAUUACAGAGCGUGUUGGGACGAUGUACAAGGCUUUUGCAGUCUCUCAGAUGUAAAUACCGAAGCUCCGUAAGGCGUUCAAUCCAGGGGGAAAGCUCUUUGAUAGAUGUUCCAUCCAAGACAAGAUUUCUUAAUCCUUCCAUAUUUUCUUCAAUGCUUGGAAACACCUCGAAUUUUGUACAACCGGAAAGAGAGAGAUAGACAAGGGACUUGAGCUGACAAAUGCUACUUGGAAGACUCUUAAGCUCCUUGCAAUUUUCUAGCUUCAAAUGAUUCAAUCCCGUGAGAUUAUUAAUUGACGAGGGCAUUUCUUUAAUUUUUGAUCCGGAUAAAUGAAGAACUUUUAACCCUUCAAUCACUUUUAAAAUCUCUGGAAACAUCUCAAGACUCUGACAAUCAUAAAGUACAAAGGUUUCGAGAGAUUUCAUAUGAAUGUUGCUUGGAAGACUCUUAAGUUUUUGGCAAUCUGAUAGGUUCAAAUGAAUCAACCCCGUGAAAUUAUUAAUUGACAUGGGCAGUUGUUUAAUUUUUGACCCGGAUAAAUUAAGCUCUUCUAACCCCUCAAUACCAUCUGAAAUCAAUGGAAACAUCUCAAGACUGGAGCAGCCACAAACAUUAAAGGUUUUCAGACAUUUCAAAUGAAUGCAACUUGGAAGACUCUCAAGUUCCUUGCAAUCUUUUAGGUUGAAAUGACUCAACCCCGUGAGAUUAUUAAUUGACUCGGGCAGUUCUUUAAUUUUGGACUCGGAUAAAUUAAGCUCUUCUAACUCCUCCAUACCUUCUGAAAUCUCUGGAAACAUCUCAAAAUUGGAGCAGCCAAAAAGAUUAAAGGUUUUGAGAGAUCUCAUACGAAUUUUAUUGGGUAGAAUCUUAAGUUCCUUGCAAUAUGAUAGGUUCAAAUGACUCAACCCCGUGAGAUUAUUAAUUGACUCAGGCAGUUCUUUAAUUUUGGACUCGGAUAAAUUAAGCUCUUGUAACUCCUCCAUACCUUCUGAAAUCUCUGGAAACAUCUCAAGACUGGAGCAUCCAUAAAGAUUAAAGGUUUUCAGACAUUUCAUAUGAAUGCAGCUUGGAAGACUCUUAAGUUCCUUGCAAUCUCUUAGGUUUAAAUGAAUCAACCCCGUGAGAUUAUUAAUUGACUCGGACAGUUCUUUAAUUUUGGACUUGGAUAAAUUAAGCUCUUGUAACUCCUCCAUACCUUCUGAAAUCUCUGGAAACAUCUCAAGGCUCACGCAGCCAAAAAGAUCAAGAGUUUUGAGAGAUUGCAUACGAAUUUUGCAGGGUAGAAUCUUAAGUUUUUCGCACCCUUUCAGAUCCAAUAAAACAAGUUUUGUAAGAUUCGAAAUAGAUGGGUGAACCUUAACUAACCCUCCACAACCAUGAAGAAUUAGCCUCUCAAGAUUUGGCACAUUUGUGAAGUCAGGGGUUUCCUUAAGGUAUGAACAAUAACUUAAAUUGAUGAAUUUCAACUUUUCCUGCGUCUGUUAAAACAUUCAGGAAAACAUGCAUUACUUAAUAAGACAUCUCACUCAAAGCCCAAACAUUUAAAAGAAACAAAUACAUGUAAAUGAUUGCACAUACCUGGGUUCCUUCCCAAAGUCGGUCAAUGUGGCUAUAUUGCAUGUCAAGUCCAACAAGAUUUUCGAAUUGAAAGUUGGAUGGCAAAGACUUGAGCGGGAAACAAGACCAGGAAAGAAACCUCAACUCACUAGAAACAAACUUUAAGGACCCAGUCAGGUGUUGUAUGCUGAAAGUACCGAUCUUGAGAAGUCUUAGUUUAGUCAUCCUAUCAAAAGCUUUAACAAUUAAGCAUCCCUCAUAUGAGUGCCCCAAAUCUAGGAUUAUGCUUUUAACUGUUUCUGUACCCUGUGCAAAUCAAAGGGAAGGAAAAAGCAGAGAACCUUAGUUUAGAUUAUGAAGUUAAUGGUUGUUUCUUAAGGAGUUGUUUGAUAAUAAUUUUGUUUUCACUUUUCACUUUUGUUUUGAUUAUUUAUUUAGAAAUCUGAAAAUUGAAAACAUAUAACUUGUUUGUAAUUGUUUUCAAUUUUCAAUUAUUAAAAAAAUGAAAAUUAAAAAUUAAAAAUGGAAACAAAAGUGGUUAUCAAACGAGCUUAAGAAAUUGAUUUUGGUCAAAAGUUGAAGCUUUCUACUAAACAUUGCAUAAGAAGAGAAAUUAUCACCGUAUUUUUAGUUAUCACAUGAAGAACAUCUUCAUAACUCCACAACCUACUUCGUUUCCCAGGCUCUUCGAUAGAUUCUUGCUGGACGAUUUUCCGACCCAUUUCCUCUAGUAAAUCAUGCAUCUCCAGUUCCCCCUUCCAUGAGACAGUUACUAGAGCUCGAUCGAUUAAAACUUUUAUUCCAAUAUCAGGAUAGGAACCACAGCUGUGCAGAACUUCGGUUGCAUAGUCUUUUCUCAUUCCUUUAAAGAAACAUGCAAUAUCUAGAAAGAUAUCCUUCUCCGUGUCAUCUAGUCCAUCGAAGCUUGUUUUAAGCACAUCAUGAAUUCCCUUUUGCGGGAUUUUCUUUAUUUUUUCUAACUCAUUUUCCCACUGGCGUACAUUUUUGUUAUCAAGAAAAGCUCCCAAGACUUUGAGUGCUAAAGGCAGACCUUGAGCAUAUUUUACAGCACGCCUCGAGAGAUCAUCAUAAUCUCUGUUGGGUUGGUUUUUUCUAAAGGCGUACCGCCUAAAGAGUUCCAGAGCUCCAUUAUCACUUAAAAUCUUGGGAUUAUAUAUCUCAUCAGCUAUGCUUAGUAAUUGCGAAUCUCUGGUUGUUAUAAUAAUUCUGCUUCCACCACCAAAGGAAUGUGGUUCUUUAAGUAAAGCUUCAAUUUGUUCUAAUUCUUCCACAUCAUCAACAACAAUAAGAACUUUUCUCCGACCUAGGCUAUUUAACACCACCUGGAAACCUUUAUUCGAAACGUCGGAACUCCCCACCUUGUUGUUCGAGAUACUCGAUAGAAGUUCUGCCUGCAUAUAUAGUUUGCCAUGCUUUAUGAAACCUUCCUUGAAAUUUUCAAGAAAGCAACAAGCUUUAAAUCCACCAGAGAUUUCAUCAUAAACAGCUCUAGCGAUGGUUGUUUUGCCUAAACCACCCAUACCCCAUAUUCCAACAAUGCGAACAUCAUUAGUUUCAACUCCAGGAGGAUACAAUAAUGAAUGCAUGUUAUGCAUAUGAGAGUCCAUUUCAACCAAGCCAUUAUCUUUGCUUGAUGAUGAUGAGAUGUGGAUCAAUUUCUUAAAAACAUCUUCUACAAUUUUCUCAAUAAGCUCUGCAUCAUCCCUGUCAAAUUUAAAAAACAAUAUAAUAACACCACCAAAUAAUACUUAAUGGGUCUUUUUCAUCUGUUAGUUUAAAAAAAAUAGAAAUUAAAACUAAAACUAAAAUCUAAACGUUAUAAAAAUCCCAAAAAUUAAUAGGAAACUAAAACAAAUUAGAAUUUACUCAUAUUUCGCGAAUCCCAGCCGGAUAAACUGGUGGCAAUUGUAAGAGCGGAUCUCCAGCUCUGAACCUCUUCCAUUUCAGCGUUAGAAUCACGAUCGUGCUGAGCAAAAGCUUCCUCGAAUUUUCUCUUGAGUUUACGAACGUCAGACGGAUCAACUUCAUAGAAAAUGGGGAGUACAAUCUGGUUAUUGGUAUCCUUGCAUUUCAAGAUUUGCACGAGUUCUUUCAAGCACCAAGUGGAAGAAGCAUAGUCUUGAGAGAAAACUACAAUCGAAAGCCUUGACUCUCGAAUCGCUGUCAGGAGCUCAGAAAGGUGGUCGCCUUUUCUGAGCUUCUCGGCAUCAAUGAAGGCGUUGAUUGGUUUCUUAACCAGAGCGUUGUAGAGAUGGCUGACGAAGCCCCUGCGAGUGUCUUCCCCUCUGAAAUUGAUGAACACAUCGUAUUUGCAACCAAGGCCAGAAGAAGAUGAAGAAGAAGAAGCAGCCAUUAUUAAUCGAUCGCACCUGGUCAGCGACGAUCGAGCAGCUAAGACUAAGAGAAUUGUAAGUACAGAGAUACUCAAUAGAUCUACAAAUUGGAUCACCGGAAAUUAGUCUGAUCGAUACCAAGUCAAUGAGUCAAUGCAAAAGUAAAAAGGGGAAAGGGAAAUUAUGCUUUAUGUUUUUUCACAUCUUCUUCGGGGAAAUUUCGGUGUGAAAGGAAUCUUAUCCUUUUGAUUUUUUAACCGAAGCAAAUGCGAAGAAAAGGGUCAAAGUGGUAAAUUGAAUAUACACUUGCCUAUCCAACAACCUCUUAAUUUAAUAUAUUUAAUUGAGAAAAGUAGUUUAGAGGAAGAGGUAUUCAUCAAUUCCCCAUAAACUUGUGACCAUUGGCCAAUUUUCCCCCUCAACUUUAAUUUUGGCCAAUUUCUUCCCUAAACUCUCAUAAUUAGUUAAUUUCCCCCAUCAACUUUAAUUUGGUCAAUUUCCCCCCUCAACUCUCAUAAUUAGUCAAUUUGCACCCUACUGUUAAUUUUUUAUUUAUUUUUCAUCUAUUCUUUUUUUUUUCUUUCAAUCUUUCUAAUAACUUCCAACAAAAUACUAAAAUUAAUAUAAACUCACCUGCAUAAUAUAGGGUAAAAUGUACAAAAACAUAAUACCAUUAGUAUGUGAUAUGGGUUGAUUAUAAGAAAAAGUUAUGAAUCGGGUUUAAAUCAUGUAGAAGAAGAAACAAUAAUCCUAAACUCAUGGAUCAGACCUAUUUCAAUAAAAUGGGUUAUUCUUAAUAAGGAGUCGAAAAUUAUGAAUUGACUAGCCAUUUUUGCACUAAACCUCGAUUCUCCGCAAUUUACUUGAACUUAGCUUUCACUUUUAUAAAGAAAAUUGUAUUCACAUACAAAAAUGUACACAUCAAUCCUUUUCGUUAUCAAUUUUGUAUAGUAAAAAAUCAAAUAAAAUUACUCCAUACUAAUUUAUUAUGACUAAUAAUACUAUUUAUGAUAAAUUGUAAAAUUCUAAAUUUUAAUCUAUUUGUAAUAGGAUAAAGACAUAGGAAAAUGAUUAACAUACAUCUUAUUUAGUUUCUUACACACACUUGUUUAAUUAUGAUCAAAUUAAAAAAUUAACAGUAGGGUGCAAAUUGACUAAUUAUAAGAGUUGAGGGGGGAAAUUGGCCAAAUUAAAGUUGAGGGGGGAAAUUGACUAAUUAUGAGAGUUGAGGGGGGAAAUUGGCCAAAAUUAAAGUUGAGGGGGGAAUUGGCCAAUAGUCACAAGUUCAUGGGGGAAAUUGAUGAAUACCUCUUAGAGGAAUGAUGGUAUCUCUUUUUCUUCUCACUCAAUCUUCCAGCAUGCGAUUUAAUCAUGAUUAAAGCCAAGCUUAAUAAUAGGUCGUAUUAUUUAGGUCGUUUUGGAUUAUAAGUUUUUGUUGUGAACUUGUGAUACGAUAGUUAGAAAAUUAAAAAAAUUAUAAUUUAAAUAUAUGUGGUGAAAUCUGUUAAGAUUUAGAUUCAAAAUUGAAAAUUUCAUUAACUUCAUUAAUUAUUAGCACACGAAGCUUACAAAUGAAAUAAAAAUAAUAAAAUUAGUCUCACAUGUAAUCUCUAUGCGCUAACAAUUAAUAGAGAGAUUCAUUUUAACCUAAAAUGUGUGACUUACGUACUAAUAAUUAACAAAAUAUUGACAAAAUUUUCAAUUUUAAGCAUAAAUCUUAAUAAACUUCAUCUCAUAAACUUAAAUCCUAAUUCAACAAUCUUCUCAUUACCUUACCACUGCAAACUACCUUGCCACUACAAAAAUUAUUAAUCAAAUUAAACUUAUUAUUUACUUACAAAUACGUAACUCAAUCACCGAAAGCUAUCUCCGUUGCUAUCUCCGUUUCUUUGCUGAGUGGACAGCUGUCUCUUUGUCUUCUUUUGGCAGAUAGCUACUAGACUCCUAGUGGCCGGCCUAUUUUCCACAGCUGGUUAUAGGACUCAGUUGCUAUUCAAGAAGUGUUAUGUUGUAAUUCAAUAUUGAUGGAAAUCCAACAGAAUCUUCUUCGAAUUGUUGUGAGCAUUUUGGGAUAUUUUUUAAUCAUAUUCAUUUAUCGUUGUGGGAUCAAUUUUAUUAAAUAUUAUUUAUGUUUAAUUUUAAAUAAAUAAAUUUAAAAUAAAUUUUUAUCGCACGAUAUACUAUGAACGAAUACGAUUCAUAGAUCUCCAAUAUCUUCACAAGAAGAAUCCAAAAGGAUCCGGAUUCAAUGGAAAUAAGCUAAUUUUGAAUCAAAUAACAUUACUUUAUUUUGUAAGUAAAUUAAUUUUAAAUCAAACAACAUUCAUUUAUUAUGUAGCUAAUUAAUUUUGUAUGUGUCAUCAUAUAUAUUAGGCACAUUUUAUUAUAGGUGAUUUUGUGGUAUUCAUUUUCAUUUGUAAGUAAGAGGUCUUAAGUUCGAUUUUCAUCAAAAACGAAUUUAAACUAUAUUAUUGCUAGUCCAUUAUGAGGCCUAACCCACCCUCCUCCCCCUUAGUGUAGAUAGAUCGUUUGUUCAAAAAAAUAUAUAAUCAAAAUAGAAUGUGAAGCGAAACAAUAGAUCAACAUUAUUUAUGUUAAUUAUAAAUAGGUCAACCAUGUAUGUGAUACUUAAAUCAUUUAAAAUAAAAUAAAAAUUACAAAAUCUGCCAUUACAGCUGGCACACACUUUAAUUAACACUUUCUUUCUCAUAAUUUUUAUAUUUGGAAUAAGUCAUACGAAUCAAAUACUACAAUGUAUUAUCUGUUUUUUAAUUCUAUUUUUUACAUUUGGAUUCAGACACUGCGUUGUAGUGUCCAUUUACUGAUUUUGUUUUUUCCAUCACUCACAUGCCUCCUAUAUGUUCCUUUGUACAUUUGGAUUUAGACAAUGCAAUGCAGUGUCUGUUUCUUGGUUCUGGUUUUCUCUUUUGGAUUCAAACGCUGCAUUGCAAUGUAUGUUUCCUAGUCCUAUUUCUUUCAUCAUCCACACGUCUCCUACACUUCACACUUUCAUGCGACUCCUGAUUUUUACAUUUAGAUUCAGACAUUGUAAUGCAAUGUUCAUUUCCUACCUUUGAUUUUUACAUUUAAAUCUAGGGUUAAACUCUGUUUACUACCCUAAUGUUUCGUGGUUUUCUACAUUUAGUACAUCAAAUUUUUUUCAUCCCAGAGUCAUACCUAAAGUGUUAAUUUUGGGACAGUCUCAUACAUCCAUUAGUCAAACUGUUAGUUCUCACGUUAAGUGAUGAUGUGGCGCCCAUGUGGACAAUGACUGGGCCCCACGUGUCAUUAAAAAAUAUUAAAAUAAUUAAUUAUGUAACACCCGCCCCCACUUAUAAAAUUAUAUGUGUGUAAUAUUCCCUAAAUAUUCUGAAUCUAUCAAUUUUACCCUUUUUGGACUACCCUAUCAGGAUCUAAACAUUGGAUCCUUCUUUCUUUUCAAACUGCCACGUGGCAGCUCCCUAGCAAUUUCCCUGUCUUCUCUCUCUGUCCCCCCCCCGUGACUCCUUCUUUCUCUUCUUCUUUUUCUGUUUUCUUUUCUUUCUUCUGUCUGUCUCUCUGUCCCUCCCGACUCUAUCUCUUUCUCUCGUCUCUCUCUCAUAGCUCCCUCAUCUCUCUUCUCUGCAGCAACCCGCACGCACGCACCCAUCUCCCCCGCGCGAAGAAGACCCAUCUCCUUCUUCUCUCUCCCUCUGUCCCGUGCUGCGAGCCCAGAAACCGGAGAGGAACUCCGGCGAAACCUUUAUUUUCCCGGUUGGGACGAAUCGAAGCCGGGUGUAAGCACACCCAACUCCGGCGAUCCCGAGGGUGUCGGGGCUUUUUCCGGCCAUCUCCGAUCGUUCCACGACGAAAGGAAGGUGCAAUUAUUAACGGUGAUUCUGUUAUACCUUCUUGGUAUAGCUUUGCACCGUUGGUGUACGGUGAGUGGACCCCUUCAAAAUCAUGUUUUAACAAUAGAAAUGCAUACAUGAAAAGCAUGAUUUAAUACUUAUGUUUUACGAAGUACUUUAUGAGAUAUAUGCUUACUGAGGCUAGAUUGAAUUAUUACUAUUUUUCCUAUAACCCAUGUUCUUAUAGAAUAUCCGAUGGAUGACGAUAUGAUAUUAGAACAUGUUUAGAACACCUCUUUGUAGUAUAGAUGAUGGAUGACUUUAUACUACGAAGUUGUUUUUCAAUAUGUUAUGCUCAAUGGUUUUGUACUUACCUAGUGGUCCUUUCCGCUACGGGACGUAGGGAUAGAUUCCGGUCCGUCCCGAGCGACGGUUUGGUGUUGGCAUAGGGCCUGGAGUGUGUUUCCUCUGGCUAUUUAGCACAGGGACGGGGAGCCGGCAUGGGGUCUGUAGUGUAUUUUCCUCUGACUGUCUGCUCAGAGACGGGGAGCUGGCAUGGGGCCUGUAGAGUAUCGGACAAUUCACUAGUGUUUAUUACUUAUACAAGUUAUGAAUUUGAGAUAUUGCACGGCAUGCUAGGUUUCGGAAAAUCUAUUUUGAUCAUGAUAUAUGUGUUUUCAUUAAACCUGGGGGUUAGUAUGUUGAUAACUGUUUUAUUAUAUUUAUAUCAAACUGGUCCACUCAUGUUUGUUUUGCGCCCCCUUCAGGACCUACGAACGAGGAUUACGAUAUAAGCUACGAGGCUUUUCCCUAUCAGUGAUCCAGUGCUAUACUUCUUCUGCUUCGAUAUCUUUUGUAAUAUAGCACAUCUCUAUUUUAAAUUCUGUUUGUACUCUGUAAUAGAUGUAUGCUUUGACAUUAUGCGUGGAUCCUAAUGUUGUAAUUAGAAGUUGAAUUUGUAGUAUUAUUGUGGCUAGUCUUGCUGCCUGUUUUAGCUUAUUUGUGAGUUUUUACUUAAAUUAAUGGCUUUCGUCACCCUUUGGGUGUCGGCCAGCACGUGAUAAUCCCGAUGUCACGAGGACAUCGGGAUCGGGGCGUGUCAGAUUGGUAUCAGAGCAUGAUUCAUUCAGAGCAUACUUAGGAUUCUUUUCCACCAUUUGGUAAUUAUAAUUCCCCUUAUAUCCUUAAUUUUCUGUUGUUCUAAAUCUUUCUUGUUUCUUAUCAGAAUUAUGGAUCCCGCUGGUGGGCAUGUACCUCGUCGAGCUCGUUUUGGUAUAGGGGGAGGACUUGAGCAAUUGGCUAAUGUUUUGCGAACUGCCCUUACUGGUAGAUCAUCGAAUCGCACCUAUAUUGAGAUUGCUACCAGUCAUGGUAUUCCAGAGCUUAAGGUAGUGGGAGCCUGUCCGGAGGCUGAGGAAUGGUUAGAGCAGGUGGAAGAUACUCUGGAGGGUAUGAGAUGUCCACCAGGUGAGUGGGCGGAGACUGCUGGGUUUUUUCUUAAGGGUCCUGCAAAGAUUUGGUGGAAAGGAGUGAAGCAUUCUCGUCCACGAGGCACUUCGAUGACUUGGGUGGCAUUCCGGAAAGCUUUCAGUGCACAUUUUCUGAGUCCCAGUUAUCAGUUGAGGAUGAGACAACAAUUUCUGGAGUUUCGUCAAGGCGAUCUGAGUAUCACAGAGAUGGAUAAUACUUUUCGACGCCUGUCGAGACACCAUCCGGUGACUUAUGAUAACCCGAGUGAGAAGAUGGUUCAGUUGCUGGUUUGUUUGAACCCUGAUUAUCGUGAACGAGUGGCAGCUAUAAGGCACAGAAGUUAUGAGGAAAUGAUUGAGACUUGUUUGAGGAUUGAACAAUCUAGGUGGGAGACUCAGCACCAGGAGGAGCAGGCGCAGUAUCAGGAACCACCCAGAUAUCAGGAACAACCUCGGAACCAGAACCAGAGAGGUCAUGGUUUUAGAUCUCGGAGUGUGAGGAAAUCUGGUAGCUCUUCUAACUUUGUUGGCCCUAGACACUCUCAUUCCUUCAAACGUCAGGGUCAAGGUUCAGGUUCUUCCAGCGAGGGUUCGGGUAAUGAAUCAGGGAGGCGAUAUUUCAGUCAUUUUCGAUCGCAGGUUACGUGCCACAGGUGUGGAGGCAUGGGACAUAUUGCCAGAUUUUGCCCUUCAGGACAGCCUGCUGAGAGUUAUGCAUCGGUGCCGAGUUAUGGUGGAGGGAGUAAUCCGAGUUCUAGCUAUGGAGGUAAUUACACUCAGAGUUAUGGUGGAAGUGGAAGUGGAAGUCAGAAUACCCAAUUUUCCACUCAGAGACAGCCGCAACAGUUUGGUGCAGCUUCGAGUAGCCGCUCUCAGGGGAAUCGAGCAGGCCGUAAUAAUCAAGGUUUCAGAGCUCGUGGUAACCGUAACAGUGGUGGAGGACGUCAGUUUCAUGGACGUAUCAACGCCAUGACACAGCAGGAGGCUGAUCAGGAUCCUCAAGUCAUUACCGGUAUGUUACUUAUUUGUGGUAACUGGGCGAGGGUUCUAAUCGAUCCGAGUGCUACUUUUUCUUUUGUGUCUUCAUCUUUUGCACCGAAUUUAAAUGCACCACCUACACCUCUUGGUUAUGAUAUGCUUGUGCAAAUGCCGCAAGGGGAUCUGUUUUGUGCUCAGUGGGAGUAUAAAAGUUGCCCAGUGGUAGUGGAAGGGGAAAUGAUGGAGGCUAAUCUGGUCCCUUUUCAUUUGGCGGAGUUCGAUGUGAUUUUGGGGAUGGAUUGGCUAUCCAGGCACCGGGCCUAUGUCGCAUGUUGGGAGAAAUCUGUGACGUUCAAUCGACCUGGACGACCGUCAAUCACAUUUCAGGGUGAGCGACGAAUCCUUCCUAGUAGUAUUAUUUCCGCUAUUCAGGCUACUAGAUUGUUGAGUAGGGGAUGUGUGGGAUUCUUAGCUCAUGUAGUAACGAGGGAUAAAUCUUCGUUACGUCCUAAGGAUGUGCCAGUGGUGAAGCAUUACACCGAUGUUUUCCCGGAGGAUUUACCAGGGUUACCGCCUGCGAGGGAAAUUGAAUUUACCAUCGAUUUACUUCCAGGAACAGACCCUAUCUCUUUAGCACCUUAUCGCAUGGCACCGGCGGAGUUGAGGGAAUUGAAGGUUCAACUUCAGGAAUUGGUGGAUAAAGGUUACAUCCAACCCAGUAUGUCUCCCUGGGGUGCUCCUGUUUUAUUUGUUAAAAAGAAGGAUGGAUCGAUGAGACUUUGCAUCGACUAUCGGCAGUUAAACCGGGUGACGGUGAAGAAUCGAUAUCCUUUGCCUCGGAUCGACGAUCUGUUCGACCAGCUGAAGGGUGCUCAGAUAUUCUCUAAGAUAGAUCUUCGCUCAGGUUAUCACCAGUUGUUAAUUCGGGAGGGAGAUGUACCGAAGACUGCUUUCCGCACUAGGUAUGGACACUUUGAAUUUCGUGUCAUGCCUUUCGGACUGACGAAUGCACCUGCAGCAUUCAUGGAUUUGAUGAACAGAGUUUUCAGACCGUAUUUGGAUCGGUUUGUGAUUGUGUUCAUUGAUGAUAUUCUGAUCUUUUCCAAGAGUGUCAGCGAGCACAAGAAGCAUUUGAGGUUGGUGUUGGAAAGGUUGAGCAGUGAGCAGUUGUAUGCUAAGUUUAGCAAGUGUCAGUUCUGGCUAACCCAAAUUAGCUUUCUCGGUCAUGUAGUAUCUGCUGAGGGGAUUAGUGUGGAUCCUCAGAAGGUGUCAGCAAUAACUACGUGGGAGCAACCGAGGAAUGUUACUGAAGUGAGGAGUUUUCUAGGUCUGGCUGGCUAUUACCGAAGAUUUGUUAAAGGUUUCUCAGCCAUUGCCUUACCUCUGAAUAAGUUGACUCGAAAGGAAGUGGAGUUUAAGUGGGAUGAAGAUUGUGAGCGGAGUUUUCAGGAACUGAAGCGAUGUCUUACUCAAGCUCCCGUUCUUACUCUUCCAGACGAUAGCGGUGAGUUUGAUAUCUACACGGAUGCAUCAUUAUCAGGUUUGGGUUGUGUACUGAUGCAGCAUGAUAAAGUCAUUGAUUAUGCUUCCAGACAGCUCAAAAUUCACGAGAGAAACUAUCCCACUCAUGAUUUGGAACUUGGUGCAGUAGUGUUUGCUUUGAAGAUCUGGAGACAUUACUUGUACGGUGAGAAGUGUCGUAUCUUUACUGAUCAUAAGAGCCUCAAGUAUAUCUUUACUCAGAGGGAUUUGAAUUUGAGGCAGAGAAGAUGGAUGGAACUUAUCACUGAUUAUAACUGCACGAUCGAGUAUCAUCCCGGACAUGCCAAUGUAGUGGCAGAUGCACUUAGUCGGAAAUAUCAUGGAUAGCUUGCAUCUCUCCAAGCUAUUCAUGUUCCACUACUAUUUUCUCUUCGAGAAACAGGCUUGUCGGUGAGACCGGGUGAGCAAUGAGCGUGGUUGGCAAAUUUCCAAGUUAGACCUGUUUUGGUGGAUAUAGUCAUAGAAGCUCAGGAGCUUGAUCAGGAGAGUGCCAACAUUAAGGUCUCGGUGGAAAAAGGAGAAGAGAAGCAUUUUAUCAUCCGAAGUGAUGGAGCCUUGAUGUGGGAAAACAGAUUGUAUGUUCCUCAUGAUAACGAAGCAGUGAAAAGAGCAAUUCUGGAUGAAGCACAUUUGUCAGCUUAUGCCAUGCAUCCGGGAAGUACUAAACUGUAUCGCACUAUCCGUCUGUUCUAUUAUUGGUUGGGAAUGAAGCGGGAUGUGGCGGAUUAUGUGAGUAGAUGCAUCAUUUGUCAACAAGUAAAGGCAGAGAGGCAAAGACCUGGAGGAUUGAUGCAGAAUCUUCCGAUACCAGCAUGGAAAUGGGAAGACAUCACCAUGGAUUUUGUGUAUGGUCUGCCGAGGACGCGGUCGAGAUUGGACGGCAUAUGGGUAAUUGUUGAUCGACUGACUAAGACCGCUCAUUUCUUACCUGUUCGACAGACCUAUUCAAUGGAGAAAUUAUCGAAGUUGUUCAUCGAUAAUAUUGUUAGACUUCAUGGUGUACCUGUCUCUAUUGUUUCAGACAGAGAUCCCAGAUUUACUUCCAAAUUUUGGAAAGCUUUUAAUACUGCCAUGGGUACUCAGUUGCUGUUUAGUACUGCUUAUCAUCCACAGACUGACGGUCAGUCCGAGAGGACAAUACAAACAUUGGAGGACAUGUUGAGAGUGUCUGUUCUUCAGUGGAAGGGUAGUUGGGAUAACUAUCUGCCGUUGGUUGAAUUUGCAUACAACAACAGCUACCAUUCGAGUAUUGGUGUGGCACCUUAUGAAGCCUUGUAUGGGAGAGUGUGUCGAACGCCGUUGUGUUGGGCAGAGGUCGGCGAGCGAGUAUUGUUGGGACCGGAGAUUGUAGACACUACCAAUGAGAACAUCCAGCUGAUAAAGAGAAAUCUCAAGGCAGCUCAAGACCGACAGAAAAGCAUAGCGGACAAACAUUCCAAAGAUCGUGAGUACAAGAUUGGUGACUUUGUAUUCUUGAAGUUGUCUCCCUGGAAGGGUGUGGUUCGUUUUGGUAAACGAGGAAAGUUGAGUCCUCGAUAUGUUGGUCCUUAUCAGAUUACGGAGAGAAUUGGUGCAGUUGCCUAUAGAUUGGAGUUGCCACCGGAGUUGUCUCAGAUUCACAAUGUUUUCCAUAUUUCUAUGCUUCGGAAAUAUGUAUCAGAUCCCUCUCAUGUUAUUCAGCUAGAGCCGCUGGAAGUAAGUCCGGAUGUUAGUUAUGUUGAAGAACCAGUGGCUAUUCUUGACCAGCAGAAUAAAGUGUUGAGGAACAAGGUCAUUCCGUUGGUGAAAGUGUUGUGGAGGAACCACGCUACUGAAGAAGCGACGUGGGAAACGGAAGACCUGAUGAGGAGUCAGUAUCCGUAUUUAUUUGCUUGAAGUUGUAAUUUCGGGGACGAAAUUUUUAUAAGGGGGGUAGAUUGUAACACCCGCCCCCACUUAUAAAAUUAUAUGUGUGUAAUAUUCCCUAAAUAUUCUGAAUCUAUCAAUUUUACCCUUUUUGGACUACCCUAUCAGGAUCUAAACAUUGGAUCAUUCUUUCUUUUCAAACUGCCACGUGGCAGCUCCCUAGCAAUUUCCCUGUCUUCUCUCUUUGUCCCCCCCCCCGUGACUCCUUCUUUCUCUUCUUCUUUUUCUGUUUUCUUUUCUUUCUUCUGUCUGUCUCUCUGUCCCUCCCGACUCUAUCUCUUUCUCUCGUCUCUCUCUCAUAGCUCCCUCAUCUCUCUUCUCUGCAGCAACCCGCACGCACGCACCCGUCUCCCCCGCGCGAAGAAAACCCAUCUCCUUCUUCUCUCUCCCUCUGUCCCGUGCUGCGAGCCCGGAAACCGGAGAGGAACUCCGGCGAAACCUUUAUUUUCCCGGUUGGGACGAAUCGAAGCCGGGUGUAAGCACACCCAACUCCGGCGAUCCCGAGGGUGUCGGGGCUUUUUCCGGCCAUCUCCGAUCGUUCCACGACGAAAGGAAGGUGCAAUUAUUAACGGUGAUUCUGUUAUACCUUCUUGGUAUAGCUUUGCACCGUUGGUGUACGGUGAGUGGACCCCUUCAAAAUCAUGUUUAACAAUAGAAAUGCAUACAUGAAAAGCAUGAUUUAAUACUUAUGUUUUACGAAGUACUUUAUGAGAUAUAUGCUUACUGAGGCUAGAUUGAAUUAUUACUAUUUUUCCUAUAACCCAUGUUCUUAUAGAAUAUCCGAUGGAUGACGAUAUGAUAUUAGAACAUGUUUAGAACACCUCUUUGUAGUAUAGAUGAUGGAUGACUUUAUACUACGAAGUUGUUUUUCAAUAUGUUAUGCUCAAUGGUUUUGUACUUACCUAGUGGUCCUUUCCGCUACGGGACGUAGGGAUAGAUUCCGGUCCGUCCCGAGCGACGGUUUGGUGUUGGCAUAGGGCCUGGAGUGUGUUUCCUCUGGCUAUUUAGCACAGGGACGGGGAGCCGGCAUGGGGCCUGUAGUGUAUUUUCCUCUGACUGUCUGCUCAGAGACGGGGAGCUGGCAUGGGGCAUGUAGAGUAUCGGACAAUUCACUAAUGUUUAUUACUUAUACAAGUUAUGAAUUUGAGAUAUUGCACGGCAUGCUAGGUUUCGGAAAAUCUAUUUUGAUCAUGAUAUAUGUGUUUUCAUUAAACCUGGGGGUUAGUAUGUUGAUAACUGUUUUAUUAUAUUUAUAUCAAACUGGUCCACUCAUGUUUGUUUUGCGCCCCCUUCAGGACCUACGAACGAGGAUUACGAUAUAAGCUACGAGGCUUUUCCCUAUCAGUGAUCCAGUGCUAUACUUCUUCUGCUUCGAUAUCUUUUGUAAUAUAGCACAUCUCUAUUUUAAAUUCUGUUUGUACUCUGUAAUAGAUGUAUGCUCUGACAUUAUGCGUGGAUCCUAAUGUUGUAAUUAGAAGUUGAAUUUGUAGUAUUAUUGUGGCUAGUCUUGCUGCCUGUUUUAGCUUAUUUGUGAGUUUUUACUUAAAUUAAUGGCUUUCGUCACCCUUUGGGUGUCGGCCAGCACGUGAUCAUCCCGAUGUCACGAGGACAUCGGGAUCGGGGCGUGUCAAAUUAAAUAAAAGUUAUAAAAAAAAAACCGAAUCUGCAACCCAGAAGAAGAACCUUCUGGGUACGUGUUUGCAGUUGCGGGGCGAAUUCUAGAUCUUAAUUGGAUUAUUAGUUUCUGUUGUAAUAUGGUAGUUAGAAGAUUAAAAAAAACUAUGAUUUAUGCUUCAUAUGCUAACAAUUAACAGAUAAUUAAUGAAAUUUUUAAUUUUAAAUCUAAAUCCUAACAUAUUUUACAAUAGAAGCUUAAAUCUUAAUUUACUCAAUCACAUGGAUUAUUUUAUAACUACCUUACUAUUAAUUCAAUUAAACCUAUUAUUUCUACGAAAACUAACAAAAAUUUCAAAAAAAACUUUAGUUUUAAUGAAAAAAGAAAAAUGAAGAUUUGGUAAAUAAUACCAAAAAAAAAAUAAAAAUAUAAAUUUUCAUUAAAAAUGAACAGCAUCAAAAGUGUUUUAUUAAUACUCCAAUUAUUUAUUUACAAAUACGUGACUAAAUGAAAGGGAGCACUCAAAAUGAUGAAAAGCAGGAGCACCGAAGGCUAUCUCCGUUUCUUUGUUGAGUGGACAGCUGUCUCUUCGUCUUCUUUUGGCAGAUAGCUCCUAGUGGCCAGCCUAUAUUCCACAGCUGGUUAUAGGAUUCGGUUGCUAUAUAAGAAGUGUUUUGUUGUAAUUCAAUAUCGAUAGAAAUCCAAUAGGAUCUUUUUCAAAAUUUUGUGCGGAUUUUGGUAUGUUCGUAAAUCGUAUUUGUUCAUAUUAUACGCUCAUUUUUCAUGGAAUAUUAUUUUUGUUUAAUUUUAAAUAAAAUAAUUUAAAAUAAUUUUUUAUUGUAACAUGUACAAUGAACGGAUAUGAAUUGAUUCACAGAUCUUCAAAAUCCUUACAAAGAAAAUCCAAAAAUAAUCCGAAUUCAAUGGAGAUAAGUUAAUUUUGAAUCAAAUAACAUUAGGAAAAAAAAUUAACAUUAGACGGUUUUAAAUAAUUUAUUGUAUAUUUUUAGGGAAUUGUUAUUAGCACUUUAAAAAUCUCAUUUUACACUCCAAACUUUUUAUAUUAGAAAAGAAAAAUACACUUAUGAGGAAUGUAGAAUAAGAUUUUUGAAUUAACCAUGCAAAAAUGUAAUGUUAAAGCAUCAUGUCAUACAGACCUCUUCAAGGUACCAGAAAUUUUUGCACUAAAGAUGUCACAAGCAGCUGAUAUGAAGCUGCAUUUUCUGUGAGUUGAAAUUUUGUCAAUAUAAUCGAUCACCUGAAGAGAGAGAGAGAGAGAAAGACAGUGAUGUCCAGAGAUGUGAGCCUAAAUGCUGAGUGUGUAAAAAAAGAAGAUUAAAUGGAUAGCAAGAAUAUACAACUUUAAUGCUGAAAAGAACAUUGAAUAUGAUGCUCAUUCAUCAUUGCCAUUGAACGUGUACCUUCUUCUUUUCCUCUUUCUCAAAAGCAAGUAGAGCCUUGAAGACUUGCCUAUAUGAUCCAUCAUCACAACCAGGCAAAGUUGUUUUAAUCAUAGCAACAAUGGCUCUAACUAACUACCUGCCAUAAGAAACAUGCUACAUCAACAAGAUCACAGAGUGUACCAGAAACCGUAAUGUAGCAAAAUCUUAGAUAAAAUAGCUGGCCAAAAGGGAAUGGAAAAGCAAGCACAAAAAACAAUGAAAAGGACCAGUGAUGCCAAAAUUCUGGUGGAAAAGGUGAAAAGCUUAUGUCUAUUACAGUUCUUGUAUGCAUUCUUUAUAACUUAAGUUCUACGUAGCAAAAACCACCUUAUGCACAACAAUAUUGGAAAAAUUAGAUACAUACAACUGAGAAGAUAGGUUUUCAUAAUCUGGACAAGUGCUAACUACCUUCUUCCUAUAAACUGCCACUCCAUGAACAUUAAAUGGUAUUUUCCUUUCACGCAAGGCUGUCUGGAAGACUUUUCCUGAUACCUGUAGAAUAAAUUACAAAAGAAAAUGUGACCAAAAUGUCUUAUAUGAUUCACCUCAUUCACAUUAGCACUAAGGCAAGUAAGCUUGACCUGCCUCCGGUAAAGGAUUGCUAUAUUUCCAUAGGAGCACCCUGCUUCUGACCGUUUAGAUGCAGUCUCCAGGAUCUUGUCGACAACAAAGGCGCAUUGUGCAUCCUCAUUGUGACUUUCCUUGAUAAUUACCUACAUUUUGCCAGUAAAACCAGUGUCACUAACUAAAAGGACUGAAAAAUGACAUCAAAUUGUACUUGUUGGAGCAAGGAAAGAUUAAGUACCUUAGACCCAGAAGAAUUGUCCGUGUCAACAUUCUUUAGUUGGCAUCACUUCUUAUUGUUUUUUAUAACAGAAGAUGCAGCUUCCACACAAUAUAGCGUGUGGACCGAAAGUUCUUAUUAAGCCUAAUCUGAACCAUAAAGUUAUGUCAAAUCCCACAGAACCCCAUAAAAUAAAACUUACUUUCCUGUAAUUGUACAAUAUAUUUGUUCUAUACUAUAUAUAACGAAAAAAGACACCGUGAAUGACAUAAGAUAACAUAGCAGUCAAGUGCGAAGCGAACCUCUUUGUAAUUUGAAAAAUCUUUACGAAAAGAAUCAAAUCCAGAAAUGUCCGCCCCAUUGAAACUGAAAAUGGACUGCAGCAGGAUAUAUGUUAUUUGAUUUAGAACAGAUAAGGGCUGGAUUAGAAUGAGCUGAGAGAGGGAGAGAGGGAGAGACGGAGCAAUAACAUUGGAUUUCCAUAAUAAAUCAACAACAUGCCUGAUCAUCAUCACCAACAAUGGUUAUGUGGUUAUGAGAGGCGAGAAUCCGCAAAAGUCUAUAUUGCAUAGCACUUGUGUCUUGAAACUCGUCUAUUACAAUAGCUUUCCAUGACUCCUGGCACUCCUUCAACACUAAUUAAGAGAACACCAUGUAUCAACAUUUAGCAUUACUUGUAAAACUAGAUAAAUCAAUGAAAUAUACUUAGAUGAUAGAGACCUUCAGGAAAAUCACUUAGCAGCUUCACAGAGCAGCUAAUUAAGUCGUGGUAGUCCAAAGCGUUGCACGAUUUCAAGAUAUCAUUGUAAUUCCUAAGAAUUUCACCCUGAUUCAGAUUGAGAGCUAAAACUCAUAAGCAAUAGUUUCAAAGAACUGAAAUGAUAUCUGAAAUUCUAGUUCUGAGCGUACUCCUGUCACAUCACCCAUUCUUUGGCAUUCAGCGGGAGUUCUUUCCAGAAGCUUUUGCCUGAAACAUAAAUAAAUUUAUUGCCUAAUGCCACAUAUUGUAAGACACACCAUUGUAUUGGUCACUCUAGCUAAGCACAAUGAGCUUCAGUGGCAUACGGCGGUCACACAACACGCCGGAUGCACUCUUCCACUUCAUCCAUCCAGCUUGUAUUCUAUGGUUGAGAUCUCCAUCUAAUUCUCCGUUCUUUUGCAAAAUAGAUCCUAGGUAACGAAAACGGUCGCUCUUUGAUAUUUCUUGAUCUCCGAUCCUCACCCCUAAAUCGUUUUGGCCUCCAUUUGCACUGAACUUGCACUCCAUAUAUUCUGUCUUUGAUCGGCUUAGGCGAAAACCUUUAGAUUCCAACACUUCUCUCCAAAGGUUAAGCUUUGCAUUUACCCCUUCCUGAGUUUCAUCUAUCAACACUAUAUCGUCUGCGAAAAGCAUACACCAAGGAAUAUCACCUUGAAUAUGUCCUGUUAACUCAUCCAUUACCAACGCAAAAAAGGUAAGGACUUAAGGAUGAGCCUUGAUGUAAUCCUACAGUUAUGGGAAAGCUUUCGGUUUGUCCUUCAUGAGUUCUUACGGCAGUCUUUGCUCCUUCAUACAUAUCUUGUAUAGCUUGGAUAUAUGCUACUCGUACUCCUUUCUUCUCUAAAAUCCUCCAAAGAAUGUCUCUUGGGACCCUAUCAUACGCUUUUUCCAAAUCUAUAAAGACCAUGUGUAAAUCCUUUUUCCCAUCUCUAUAUCUUUCCAUCAAUCUUCGUAAGAGAUAGAUUGCCUCCAUGGUUGAGCGCCCUGGCAUGAACCCGAAUUGGUUGUCCGAAACCCGUCUCUUGCCUCAAUCUAUGCUCAAUGACUCUCUCCCAGAGCUUCAUUGUAUGACUCAUUAGCUUAAUACCACUAUAGUUCAUGCAAUUUUGUACAUCGCCCUUAUUCUUGUAGAUAGGCACCAAAGUGCUAAUUCGCCACUCAUUCGGCAUCUUCUUCGUUUUCAAAAUCCUAUUGAAAAGGUCAGUGAGCCAUGUUAUACCUGUCUCUCCCAAAACUUUCCACACUUCGAUUGGUAUAUUGUCUGGGCCUACUGCUUUUCUAUGUUUCAUCUUCUUCAAAGCUACAACCACUUAUUCCUUCCGGAUUCCACGAUAAAAAAAGUAGUUUCUACACUCUUCUGAGUUACUCAACUCCCCUAAAGAAGCACUCAUUUCAUGUCCUUCAUUGAAAAGAUUAUGAAAAUAACCUUUCCAUCUGUCUUUAACCGCGUUCUCUGUAGCAAGAACCUUUCCAUCCUCAUCCUUAAUGCACCUCACUUGGUUUAGGUCCCUUGUCUUCUUUUCCCUUACUCUAGCUAGUUUAUAGAUAUCCAACUCUCCUUCUUUGGUAUCUAGUCGCUUAUACAUAUCGUCAUAAGCCGCUAACUUAGCUUCUCUCACAGCUUUCUUCGCCUCUUGCUUCGCAUUUCUAUACCUUUCACCAUUUUCAUCGGUCCUAUCCUUGUAUAAGGUUUUACAACAUUCCUUCUUAGCCUUCACCUUUGCUUGUACCUCCUCAUUCCACCACCAAGAUUCCUUUUGGUGUGGGGCAAAGCCCUUGGACUCUCCUAAUACCUCUUUUGCUACUUUUCGGAUACAACUAGCCAUGGAAUCCCACAUUUGAUUAACUUCCCCCUCUCUAUCCCACACACACUGGGUGAUUACUUUCUCUUUGAAAAUGGCUUAUUUUUCUUCUUUUAGAUUCCACCAUCUAGUCCUUGGGCACUUCCAAGUCUUGUUCUUUUUUCUCACUCUUUUGAUAUGUACAUCCAUCACCAACAAGCGAUGUUGAUUAGCCACGCUCUCUCCUGGUAUAACUUUGCAAUCUUUACAAGUUAUACGAUCCCCUUUCCUCAUUAGAAGAAAAUAUAUUUGUGUUUUUGACGACCCACUCUUGUAGGUGAUCACAUGUUCUUCUCUCUUCUUAAAGAAGGUGUUGGCUAAGAAGAGAUCAUAUGCCAUUGCAAAAUCCAAGAUAGCUUCCCCAUCCUCGUUUCUCUCCCCAAAACCAUGGCCACCAUGAAAACCUCCAUAGUUGCCUGUCUCCCUGCCCACGUGUCCAUUUAAAUCUCCUCCUAUAAAUAACUUCUCCGUCUGAGCAAUUCCUUGCACCAAGUCUCCAAGGUCUUCCCAAAAUUUCUCCUUCGAACUCGUAUCCAACCCUACUUGAGGUGCGUACGCACUAAUCACAUUGAUAAGUUAUUGUCCUAUUACAAUCUUGAUUGCCAUGAUUCUAUCUCCUACCCUCUUGACAUCUACAACAUCUUGUGUCAAGGUCUUGUCCACGAUGAUGCCAACACCGUUUCUCGUUCUAUUUGUGCCCGAAUACCAUAGUUUAAACCCUGAGUUUCUAGAUAUAUAUAUAUAUAUAUAUAUAUAUCAAAUGGCCCCUAAAUGCUAUUAAAAAUCUCAAAAAUUAACAGGAAACUAAAACAAAUUAGAAUUUAUUCAUGGUUUCGCAAUUCCCAGCCGGGUAAACUGGUGGCCGUUGUAAGAGAGGGCCUCCAGCCGGAUAAACAUUUUCGAGUUAUAUGAUAUUUGUAUAGCAAAAAUACUUUAAUAGCAAGUGCGCGUGAGUGAAGAAAUUGAACUUACUUAUAUUCUUUCGAAUCCCAACCGGAAAAAUUGCAGGCUCUGGGAAGAGCGGACCUCCAGCUCUGCACCUCCUUCACGUCAACGUUAGAACGACCUUCAUGUUUAGCAAAAGCUUCUGCAAAACUUCCCUCGAGUUUACGAAUAUUGGACGGAUCGACUUGGUAGAAAAUGGGGAAUACAAUCUGGUUCUUGGAAUGGUUGCAUUCCAAGAUUUCCACGAGUUCUUUCAAGCACCAUGUGGAUGAAGCAUAGUUUUCAGAGAAAACUACAAUCGAAAUCCUUGACUCUCGAAUCGCUGUCAGGAGCUCGGAAAGGCGGUCGCCUUUUCUGAGGUCUUCGGCAUCAAUGAACGUGUUGAUUGGUUUCUGACGCAGAGCUUUGUAGAGAUGGCUGACGAAGCCCGUGCGAGUGUCUUCCCCUCUAAAAUUGAUGAACACAUCGUAUUCCCAACCAAGGCAAGAAGAAGAAGAAGAAGCAGCAAUUAAUCGAUCGCACCUGGGCAGCGAUGAUCGAGCAGCUUAAGACUAAGAGAAUUGUAAGUACAGAAACACUCAAUAGAUCUACAAAUUGGAUCACCAGAAAUUAGUCAAUGAGUCAAUGCAAAAGGGAAAAGGGCAAUUAUGCUUUUUGCGUUUUCACAUCUUCUUCAGGAAAUUUCGGUGUGAAAGGAAUCCGCAUACUUUUGAUUUUUCAACCCAAGAAAAUGCGAAGAAAGGGGACAAAGUAGUAAAUUUAAUCUACAGUUGCCUACCCAACAACCUCUUGAUUUAAUAUAUAUUUAAUUAGGAAAAGUAGUUUAGAGGAAGGAUGGUAUCUCCUUUUCUUCUCUCUCGAUCAGUCAAUCUUCCCGCGUGCGAUUUAAUCAUGAUUAAAGCUAAGCUUAAUCUUAGAUCGUAUUAUUUAGGUCUAAUUGGAUUCUUAAUUCUUGUUGUGAUAUAGUAGUUGGAAGAUUAAAAAAAAUUAUGAUUUAAAUGUUUGUGGUGAAGUCUGUUACGAUUUAGUUUCAAACUUGAAAAUUUCGUUAACUCCGUUAAUUAUUAGCACAUGAGACUCACAAAUGAAACUAAAAAUAUAAAGUUAGCCUCACAUGUAAUCUUCACGUGCUAACAAUUAAAAGAGAGUUCCGUUUUAGCUUAAUAUAUGUGACUCACGUGUUAAUAAUUAACGGAAUAUUAACAAAAAUUUUAAUUUUAAGCAUAAAUUCAAAUAAACUUCACCACAUAAGCUUAAAUUCUAAUUUAGAUAUCUUCUAACUAUCUUAUCACCAUAAAAAUUAUAAUCAAAUUAAACUUAUUAUUUAUUUAUAAAUGCGUAAUUAAAUCACAAAGUGUUGAAUGAAAGGGAGCACUCCAAAUGAUGAAAGAUGUGUGAUAUCCACACAUCUUUUUUUUUACUUUUUACACAUCGUUUUAAUUUUCGACUGUCGGAUCGAAUUAAUUGAAGAAAAUCAAAGGAUAAAAAUCAACAAAGGGUGUGCAAGAAGUAAAAAUGAGUGUGUGGAUAGUCAUCCCAUGAAAAGCGGGAGCAUCGAAAGCUAUCUCCGUUUCUUGUUGUCUAUUUGUCUUCUUUUGGCAGAUAGCUCCUAGGGACCGGCCUAUUUUCCACAGCUGGUUAUAGGACUCAGUUACUAUAGAAGGAGUGUUUUGUUGUAAUUCAAUAUCGAUGGAAAUCCAACAUAAUCUUUUUCAAAUUUUUGUGAGGAUUUUGGGGUGUACGUAAAUUGAUUAUGUUCAUCGUAUAUUAUGUGACCAUUUUUUAUCAAAUACUAUUUGUGUUUCAUUUUAAAUAAAAUAAUUUAAAAUAAUUUUUAACUGCAAGAUGUACAAUGAACGGAUAUAAUUCACAAAUCUCCAAAAUCCUUACAAAAAAAUCCGAAAAAGAUCCAAAUUCAAUGGAAAUAAGCUAAUUUUGAAUCAAAUUACAUUACUUUAUUUUGUAAAUAAAUUAAUUUUGAAUCGAACAACAUUCAUUUAUUAUGUAAGUAAUUCAUUUUGUAUGUAUCAUCAUAUAUAUUAGGCACAUUUUAUCAUAGGUGAUUUUGUGAAAAAUUAAUAAAAAGUUACAAUAUUAACAAUAGAUCAAUAAUAUUUAUGUUAAUUAUAAAUAGGUUAACCAUAUGUUGUGAUACUUAAAUACAUUUAAAAUAAAUAAAAAUUACAAAAUCUGACAUCCACUGCGACGUAGGAGCCACGGUGCAGCCCAAACUUUGCAGAUAAGAAAUCUGGUAAUUCACAGCAUGACAAACAAAUUACUGGGUCUCCUGACCAUCGUUGAUGCCAAUGUGUGCACAAGGAAAGGAGUAAGGUAAUCAAAUGCGUUAGUCUUGUGUACCUGUUUCGGUGUUGGUUUGGAUGAACCCAUUGAGUUCUCGAUCCUUAACUUCUGGAAAUGCUCCUGAAAGCAUAAAUAUAUGUACGGAUUUAAACCAAUGACAAAUGGACAUAAUUUACGGACAAUGAUUGAAGAAAAUACAGAUAUAAACGCCUCAGUAUUCCAUUGACGAAAGUUCUAGAUUUGAUGAAUCAAAAGUCCCACGUUGAGACUGCGUUAAGGCAAAUGGUUCUCAAAACCUGUUUUUCCCUCAUCAAAUGAGCGCGUUGAUCUGCAGGUAUUUUCUGCCAUCUCAAAACCUGUUACAAAGAAAUAUAACGUUGAUGUCGAGCUGGAUAGCAUAUUAUACCAAUUAUGUGUACAAACCUAUUGAAAUAAAGUAGCUGUAGUUGCAUAUUACGACAGAUAUUAACGAAAACAAAAGAAGGCUCGCCUAUUCAAGAUCCUAAAUCCCGUGAUUCUUUUGUUUUUAGUUUCAGAAAUUUUCAGAGCAAACUGGAAAGUACCAAGAUACUUACAUAUUGGGCAUAAUGAAAUGCAUCUUCAUCUUUCAAGCAAGAUUUGAGUGAGCGCAAACCGUCCUGAGAGUUACAUAAGUCAAUCAGUAAUAUAAAAACGUAGACGCAUCACAUCCAAACACAAGUAUUCAAACACCAACAACUUCUUCAUGCGGUGAGGCAUGUUAAAAAAUAGGGAAGAACAGUUAUUGAAUAGGAAGUUAAAGGACUAAAUUUAUGACCUUGUGUUUGUAGUUCUUGGCUCGUAUGCGUUCAUCUAUUACAAAACCAAUCUGUAACAGGUACAACAGAAAAUAUAAGCAGUAGUCAGAACAUUAAUCUUCGGCAUUCACAUUGCCACCAAUCCAAAGUUAAAAGUCUGAAGGCAAAACAGUAUGAUUCUUAUCUCUCAAACAAAAAUGAAACUAUACCCCGGUCUCAGACAUAAAUGAAAUAAGUUCUACUGCCUCAACUGAGUACUGUGAUUAUAUAUAAAUCCAAUUCACCUUGUCAAGUAAUCUCUUAGGAUCUUGAAAUGCUUCCUUCUUAGCCCAGUCAUUAAAUACAUGCGAGAAAAUUGAUCUCUCAUCCACACUGAAUCUAUUGCACAGUGACAGAAGAAUAAAGUUAAACAUGAACAUAACCAACCAAAAUGCUAGUUAUAAUAGUACACCCAUAAUUGCAAGCAAAACCUUUUUAAGAAGCCAUUUCCAUGGUUUUCCUCCCAAAUUCCAUCAAUUCUGCAGAGGCAACGUCAAAUUUACUAUGAUGGAGAUCAUUUUGCACUGUAAUAACUUCAGAAGGUAGGAGAUUUGGUUUCAGAUCAUCUGUUGACGGAGUAGUUUCUUUUGAAGUGUCAUGAUGCUUUUGAUUGCAAGCCUUCUGUACUUACGUCAGCCUACAAAACAAAAAUUGCAUUCAUCCACACUAGACUUAAUAAGAUUAGAAACACUUCAGAUUCUUCAUUAUUUGUAUUUUUGACUAAACAGCAGAACAACUGAGGAUAAUGAACAGUAAUACACACCUGGACUUCUCGUAGAUGAUUUGGAAUUUCUUUCAGAAAUCGCGAAGGUUGAAGCAUCUGAAGGAGUCACCUUCUCAGUCAGAGCAACAACAACAAAUAAGGAGGACAGGAAUUCAAGCUAAAACGAACCUGCCAACUGGAAUCCAUCGUAACAUAAAGAAUGAAAAGCUUUUUUCGAGCACGAGUCAUUGCAACAUAUAAUAGGCGUCUCUCCUCCUAUGAUUAGAGUGGGAUUAUUGAGUUAUUGACCAAAAGAAAAAAGAGUGGGAUUAUUGUGAAAAACAUGUCAAAGCUCUGCAUAUAACUGAAAAAUGUUGAACAAUUUACCACACACCUCAAUGGAGGUCCCAUUUUCUUUUGCAACCCCAUUGAAUUCAUGCAACAACGGGAUCUCAGAUUCAUUUACCUGUGUUAUUGGCAUGAGCAUUAAAGCAAGCUAAGAUGAUUUGAAGAGGUUGAUAUCGUCAUGAAUAUAGUAGAACAGAAUACCAAUUUCAAGCCAUCAAUUAGGUAUAGCAUUGGCAUGUUUAAUCCGUAAAUCUAAUGACAGAACACCUCAACUCUACACAUAAAUAAAUAAACAACCUGAAAAAUAUUACAGCCACAUGUUAAGGCAAAUACCUUAAUUAUGAAAACUAUAUCCCACUCUAAACCUUUUGACUGCAAGAGAAUGAAAAAGAAAGACAGUAAGCCAAGAAUGUUUUGUAGAACUCCAAAGGAAGUCCAAUAGGGAAAUCAUCGCAAGUAUAAGAGUUAGCGAGGUUCGCAUAAGAGGAUAUCAAAAAGAUCUAGAACCUGAUGAAUAGUAGUCAAAGUGACAGAACUUUGGUUGUCAUGUCUUCGGGAGUGAAAAUUUUCACUCUCCUGCUCAGAUAUGUAGUCGAUGAAAGCUUUGAGUAAAUUAACGCAGCCUUUUUCUUCUGCUACGACUUCUCUCUCCCCUUUUCCCGCAACAAAAUGAGUUGAUAAGAAAUCAGAUACGUCGUCUAGUAGGUACUGAAGAACCUGCAAUGAGAAUAAUCGCAUCACAGCAACAGGGUUGGACCAAGAUUUAAGUGACAACAAUGAUUAACUAACUAAAAUAGAGAAAUUAUUCAUUUAAGACCUUGUUGACGGAAAAAAGGGUUUUCCAAGCAGCGGGUCAUUUAAGCUUAUUGUAUAAAUGACAAUCAUCACAAACGGCAAACUUACAGAUCUCACGUCAUUGUCUUCAUUCAGCAGUUUUCCUCCAUCUACAUCAACGACUGCACGUUGCUCAAGACGGUACUUCUAAAAAUUGAAAGUCAACAACAACAACAACAACAACAACAAAGCCUUUUCCCACUAAGUGGGGUCGGCUAUAUGAAUCCUAGAACGCCAUUGCGCUCGGUUUUGUGUCAUGUCCUCCGUUAGAUCCAAGUACUCUAAGUCUUUUCUUAGAGUCUCUUCCAAAGUUGUCCUAGGUCUUCCUCUACCCCUUCGGCCCUGAACCUCUGUCCCGUAGUCACAUCUUCGAACCGGAGCGUUAGUCGGCCUUCUUUGCACAUGUUCAAAAUCACCGGAGCCGAUUUUCUCUCAUAUUUCCUACAAUUUCGGCUACUCCUACUUUACCUCGGAUAUCCUCAUUCCCAAUCUUAUCCUUUCUCGUGUGCCCACACAUCCCACGAAGCAUCCUCAUCUCCGCUACACCCAUUUUGUGUACGUGUUGAUGCUUCACCACCCAACAUUCUGUGCCAUACAACAUCGCUAGCCUUAUUGCCGUCCUAUAAAAUUUUCCCUUGAGCUUCAGUGGCCUACGACGGUCACACAACACGCCGGAUGCACUCUUUCCAUCCAGCUCGUAUUCUAUGGUUGAGAUCUCCAUCUAAUUCUCCGUUCUCUUGCAAGAUAGAUCCUAGGUAGCGAAAACGAUCGCUUUUUGUGAUCUUCGCUAGAUUUCUCCGGUCAUUAGUGUGGAUAAGUAUAUAAAUGGAUAGAGAUAGGAAAGCAAACACAAGAUGUACGUGGUUCACCCAGAUUGGCUACGUCCACGGAAUAGAAGAGUUCUCAUUAAUUGUGAAGGGUUUACACAAGUACAUAGGUUCAAGCUUUCAUUUAGUGAGUACAAGUGAAUGAUUUUAGUACAAAUGACAUUAGGAAAUAUUGUGGGAGAAUGAUCUCGUAAUCACGAAACUUCUAAGUAUCGGAGUGUGGUGUCGUCUUGACUUGCCUUAUCUGUCUCAUAGGUAGAUGUGGCAUCUUCUCUGGAAGUACUCUUCCUCAAACGAUAAAUUAUUAAGAAGCAUUGAAUAUAAGCAUGAAACGAAGAAAAUGUUAUGGAAUGGUGAUCCUCAUCCUCAAAGAUGAUUAAAAGCAAUUUGAUUCAAAAAUGACAUAUCAACUCUGGAGAAAUGGAAGACAAACCUGUGGUACCAUAUUCGCAACUGAGGUUAUGACAGCUGAAAUCGAUUGUUCCUGUGUGCAUUGAUAAGUGAGACUACCAUAGAGAUUCACAACUAAAUAAAGACAGGUAUUCCACAGAACAACCUUUACCUCUUUGGAAACACAGAUCUAACAAAAACUAUAACAUUUUGGAUUAAUAUUGACAAAUCAAGAAUAAUGCAAGGGAGCAAGAGAUACUCUUCCUUCUAAUAACAAGGAGGCGUGAAAAGUAUACAGAGUUCCAACAAUUAGAGAACUAAAAUCAAACUAAAAAAAUCACCAAAGUAGACAGAAUCUCACUUCGCCAAAAAUUUGAAAAUAUACCUUUUUAUCCAUUGAGAUUCAUGAACUACUACUACUACAUCAUGCCAAUAAGCAAUGCGUAAGAGGAGCUACAAUUUACCGAAUAUAUUUACCCUGAGAACAAGUUUUGAAAUCAUCUCUAGUGUUAACAGCACCUUGCGUCCUUGGGUAAGCUGAGUCCUAUUAUCAAGUAAAGAGACCAAUCAGUACAUAUCCAAAAGAUCUUAAAUGCUUGUAAUACCAAAUAAGAAAGAAACAUGAGUAUAUCUUGAAUUAACCAUGCAAAAAUGUAAUGUUAAAGCAUCUUGUCAUACAGACCUCUUCAAGGUACCAGAAAUUUUUGCACUAAAGAUGUCACAAGCAGCUGAUAUGAAGCUGCAUUUUCUGUGAGUUGAAAUUUUGUCAAUAUAAUCGAUCACCUGAAGAGAGAGAGAGAGAAAAAGACAGUGAUAUCCAGAGAUGUGAGCCUAAAUGCUGAGUGUGUAAAAAAAGAAGAUUAAAUGGAUAGCAAGAAUAUACAACUUUAAUGCUGAAAAGAACAUUGAAUAUGAUGCUCAUUCAUCAUUCCCAUUGAACGUGUACCUUCUUCUUUUCCUCUUUCUCAAAAGCAAGUAGAGCCUUGAAGACUUGCCUAUAUGAUCCAUCAUCACAACCAGGCAAAGUUGUUUUAAUCAUAGCAACAAUGGCUCUAACUACCUGCCAUAAGAAACAUGCUACAUCAACAAGAUCACAGAGUGUACCAGAAACCGUAAUGUAGCAAAAUCUUGGAUAAAAUAGCUGGCCAAAAGGGAAUGGAAAAGCAAGCAUGAAAAACAAUGAAAAGGACCAGUGAUGCCAAAAUUCUGGUGGAAAAGGUGAAAAGCUUCUGUCUAUUACAGUUCUUGUAUGCAUUCUUUAUAACUUAAGUUCUACGUAGCAAAAACCACCUUAUGCACAACAAUAUUGGAAAAAUUAGAUACAUACAACUGAGAAGAUAGGUUUUCAUAAUCUGGACAAGUGCUAACUACUUUCUUCCUAUAAACUGCCACUCCAUGAACAUUAAAUGGUAUUUUCCUUUCACGCAAGGCUGUCUGGAAGACUUUUCCUGAUACCUGUAGCAUAAAAUACAAAAGAAAAUGUGACCAAAAUGUCUUAUAUGAUUCACCUCAUUCACAUUAGCACUAAGGCAAGUAAGCUUGACCUGCCUCCGGUAAAGGAUUGCUAUAUUUCCAUAGGAGCACCCUGCUUCUGACCGUUUAGAUGCAGUCUCCAGGAUCUUGUCGACAACAAAGGCGCAUUGUGCAUCCUCAUUGUGACUUUCCUUGAUAAUUACCUACAUUUUGCCAGUAAAACCAGUGUCACUAACUAUAAGGACUGAAAAAUGACAUCAAAUUGUACUUGUUGGAGCAAGGAAAGAUUAAGUACCUUAGACCCAGAAGAAUUGUCCAUGUCAACAUUCUUUAGUUGGCAUUGCUUCUUAUUGUUUUUUAUAACAGAAGUUGCAGCUUCCACAAUAUAGCGUGUGGACCGAAAGUUUUUAUUAAGCCUAAUCUGAACCAUAAAGUUAUGUCAAAUCCCACAGAACCUCGUAAAAUAAAACUUACUUUCCUGUAAUUGUACAAUAUAUUUUUUCUGUACUAUAUAUAAUGAAAAAAGACACUGAAUGACAUAAGAUAACAUAGCAGUCAAGUGCGAAGCGAACCUCUUUGUAAUUUGAAAAAUCUUUACGAAAAGAAUCAAAUCCAGAAAUGUCCGCCCCAUUGAAACUGAAAAUGGACUGCAGCAGGAUAUAUGUUAUUUGAUUUAAAACAGAUAAGGGCUGGAUUAGAAUGAGCUGAGAGAGAGAGAGAGAGAGGGAGAGAGGGAGAGAGGGAGAGAGGGAGAGAGGGAGCAAUAACAUUGGAUUUCCAUAACAAAUCAACAACAUGCCUGAUCAUCAUCACCAACAAUGGUUAUGUGGUUAUGAGAGGCGAGAAUCCGCAAAAGACUAUAUUGCAUAGCACUUGUGUCUUGAAACUCGUCUAUUACAGUAGCUUUCCAUGACUCCUGGCACUCCUUCAACACUAAUUAAGAGAACACCAUGUAUCAACAUUUAGCAUUACUUGUAAAACUAGAUAAAUCAAUGAAAUAUACUUAGAUGAUAGAGACCUUCAGGAAAAUCACUUAGCAGCUUCACAGAGCAGCUAAUUAAGUCGUGGUAGUCCAAAGCAUUGCACGAUUUCAAGAUAUCAUUGUAAUUCCUAAGAAUUUCACCCUGAUUCAGAUUGAGAGCUAAAACUCAUAAGCAAUAGUUUCAAAGAACUGAAAUGAUAUCUGAAAUUCUAGUUCUGAGCGUACUCCUGUCACAUCACCCAUUCUUCGGCAUUCAGCCGGAGUCUUUCCAGAAGCCUUUGCCUGAAACAUAAAUAAAUUUAUUGCCUAAUGCCACAUAUUGUAAGACACACCAUUGUAUUGGUCAUUCUAGCUUGAUUGUAGCUAAUAUUUUUUAAAUCGAAUGAUUAGAGUUCUUAAUCCACAAUAAUCUGAACAUUAAAUUUGGUAUUCAAGACUAACCUGUGUCACCAACUACAGCCAUUUCCUUGAUGCAUCCUUAAAAUGAUGUGGAGAUGUUACGCCGUUAGACUCUUCCCCAUCUAUAGCAACAUUAAGAUUCGUUUACUCUUUUCAUCUUCUGAUAACCGCACAGCUUCAAUGAUUGCUCUUCUCUGUUGCCCAUGUCCAUAUAUCAAAAAUUCUGGUCUGCGCUCGAGUCUAAAACACAAGCCAACAUAACAGACUCAGCUAUACCACCAAAUGUAUGGUGUUCAAAAUCAAGGGAGGUGAAUCAAUAGCUUACUUCUCAGCAUGUGAUCGGCAAAGUUGCAAUGAAAAUGAAUGAAAUGUACUGAUUGUUAGUAGUUUUGCCGUUGCUUUCCCAGUCACAGAUCCAAUUCGAUCUCUCAUCUCGGAAGCUGCUGCUGUAGUGAAAGUCAUUGCUAGAAUGUUCGACGUGCUAAUGCCCUAAGAACACAAAAAAAAAAAAAAAAACGUAUAAGAUUUCGAUCAUAAACAAGAAAUGUAGAGAAACACACAAUUACGAAAGAAAAAGUUAGAGGGAAAGUAGCAACACCUCAUUGAGCAGCAUUAGAACGCGCCCAACUAUCGUUGAAGUCUUUCCACUUCCAGGGCCGGCAACAAUCAUCAAAGGUACUGAAAUAUCGCUGCAAGCUGCCUCGCGCUGCCUUUCGUUGAGAGAAAGCAAAUACUUCAAUACUCAUCCGGCAUGUUAGGCAAUCCAUGGUUAACAGAAUCUUUUUGGUUUUCACUACUCAAAGGUGGCGCUGAUGCGGCACUAACGUCACUACCACAACUCCCAAUAUCAUCACGCUGAAUGUCCACACUCGGUUUCUGCUCGAUUAAAGCGUCAAUUUCCUGCAAAAUACUCUCGUCGAAAUCAUCAUCGUUAAGAAUUCCAGAUGCAGAGAAAGAAUCAAAUGAAGUCAGAAACUGCGGUUGUCUGAUUGGAGUUGUGAAAGAAUCCGAUUUUGACACGCUUGAUUCGGUCCGGCUAACGCUUAAGCUCCCGGAACACGAAGCACUGCCAUAUUCACCACGCGUUGAAUUGUACCGGCUUGCGGAAAUCGGAGGCGGUGUUCUUUGAACUCUAUUGAGCUGAGUUGGCGUUUGGAUUCCAUUUCCGCCACAGAUUCUGGAAUUUGAAAAACACAAUUGAAUUGAUUUAAAUUGAAGCAAGAAAACAGCCGAGUAGCAAAAAAAUAGUAAGAAGAUGAAACCUUUGAUUCCUGAACGACUUACUUGGUAUGAGGGAGGUGAUGAUCAGGUGAAACGGCGUCGUUGCGGGGGCGUUUGCGAUCAAUGAGGGCCUUGGCGGCUCUGAAAUUCCGAGAGAUGCGGUUUCUUUGUUCCGCCGUGAGCCCUCCGCCGUACGCCUGAACGUUUUCCUUGGACAUUGCUUCGAAGAUUCCAACGGAGGAUUUGGCCUGACGGCCUGACCAGGCUGAUAACAGUGUAAAACCUUAGGAGCUAAGGAAAACUAAGAGAUAGAUCGUAGAGAGGGAAAGUUUUUUCUUUUUGGAAACUAGUAGGGAGGGAAAGUUUGUUAAACCUGAAUAAUAUUCUUUUCAUUCAACUUGUCUACAAUAAUUACCACUCUUGGUAUUUAUACAUUUCUAACACACCUCACUAACUAACUAAGACCACUACCAAUCAUACAAAAAUAAUUGUCCUUUGAUGAACUCUUUCACGAACAAAGUGGCAAUCAAUCUCUACAUGUUUGGCUUUAGAGUGCAAUACAGGUUUAGUGGCAAGAGCCAUUGCUUAAAUGUUAUCACAAUGCAAAACUGGAACAGAAGGAGAACCAACAUGCAAAUCUCGAAGAAGAUGUUGUAUCCAGAUAACCUUAGCAGUGGUUGUAGCCAUUGCUCUAUAUUCAGCUUCAGUGGAAGACCCACUCACUGUAUGCUGCUUUUUAGAACUCAAAGAGAUAGGAGUGACAAAACCCAUGGUUGAACGACGAUCAUUGUGAUCCCCUGCCCAAUCAGCAUAUGUAUGAGCUUUCAACUAAGAUGAACCUGAUUUAAAACACAAUCCCAGAGACAUAGUGCCUCUGAGAUAUCGCAGAAUACGUUUCACAGCAGCAAAUGAGUGGCUAAUGGUGAAUGCAUAAACUGACAUACUUGAUUGACGGAAAAAGAAAUAUCUGGUCUUGUAAAUGUUACGUAUUGUAGUGCCCCAACAAUACUUUUGUAAGUGGUAGGAUCAGAAACAGGUUCACUACCAUGAUUCAGAAGCUUUUGAUUAGGAUGACAAGGUGUGGAAAAAGGUUUACAGUCCAGCAUAUGCAUCUUUUGAAUGAGUUCUUUGACACACUUGGUCUGAUGAACAAAGAGUCCCUGUUCUUGAUAUUCAAUCUGUAAACCAAGAAAAUAAUGCAACACACCCAGAUCUUUCAUGUCAAACUCACUAGUUAACUGACUAAUAACAUUCUGAACCUUCACAGCAUCAUUACUAGUGGGAAUGAUAUUAUCAACAUGUAAUAAGAGAACAAUAAUUGAUGAACCAUCACACUUGACAAAUAAAGAAGGAUCUGCAUAUGAUGACUUGAACCCAAGCUUAGGCAAAUAACCUGAAAACCUGUCAUGUUAGGCUCUGGGAGCUUGCUUGAGUCCAUAUAAAGACCUCUCUAGUUUGCACACAUAAUCCGGAUAGGUAGAAUCCACAAACCCUUGGGGCUGAGACAUAAAAACUUCUUCCUCAAGAAAGCCAUGCAAAAAAGCGUUCUUGACAUCUAACUGUUUGAGUUUCCAAUUAUGAGAUGCAGCCAAGGAUAGAACCAAUCGAACUAUGUUUGGUUUGACCACAGGGCUAAAGGUUUCAUAAUAGUUAAUACCAACUUCUUAAGAAUACCCCUUAGCUACAAGUCUAGCCUUGUACCUAGCCACUAAACCAUCUGGAUUUCUCUUAAUCUUGUAGAUCCAUUUACAACUAACAAGAUUUUUGUCAGGUGGUAAGGGCACAAGCCUCCAAGUAUGAUGUUGAAUCAAAGCAUCCAUCUAUUCUUUCAUGGCAUUUUGCCAUUAAACACACUUGACAAUACUAGAAAAAGACUGAGGUUCCUUGAUUUCAGAAGCCUGAUCCACCUUAGCAGAAAACACCUUCUUUUUCAUAAUCCUAGACUUAGACCGGGUUUGCAUGGGAUGACAAUUUUGAGCAUUGAUACACACUGGUUGGAGAUCAUCCACUUGAGACAUUGUAGUAUUUGGAUGAUCUUUUGAAUACACAGUAGGCAAAACCUCUGAAGAAGGCACAAAACUUGUGGAAGAAGAGACAAGAUCACCAGAACUAGUGGGUUGAGAGGAUGAUGACUGAGUAACAUGUUGUGAUUUAGAGGUAAGAGAAGUGGGACCAAUAAAUGGAAAUGUGGAAGAAACACUAGGUGGAUGAAUGAAUGUGUUUGAAUGCACAACAGACAUUGGUGAGGAAGAAUGACCAGAAGUAACUUGAGGAUUGAAACCCAAAGCAUUAGAGUCUGUAGGAAACUUGGAUUCAUCAAAAAUAACAUGUCUAGAUACUAACAGUUUCUGAUCUUUGAGAGAUAAGCAAAUAUACCCUUUGUAUUGUGUAGCAUACCCCAGAAAAAUACACUUAGUAGUUUUAGGUUCAAGUUUAUUGCUUCUAUAGGGUUUCAAUGAAUGAUAGCAUAAACAACAAAAAAUUCUCAAAUGAUCAAGCUUAGGUGGAGAUUUAUAUAGCAUUUCAAAAGGAGACUACAUAUGUAGGGUAGGUGUGGGCAUUCUGUUUAUAAGAAAAGUAGCAGUGGCACACGAAUGGAACUAGAAUUUUGAAGGUUGAAACUUGUUGUAAAAAGGUAAUAGCUGUUUCGACAAUAUGUUGAUUUUUUCUCUCAGCCAACCCAUUAUGUUAUGGGGUAUAAGGACAAGAUUUUUGAUGAACAAUGCCUUUGGUAAGAAGAAAUUGCUUAAACUGAGUAUUAACAUAUUCCCCACCCCCAUCACUUUGCAAAAUUUUUACAUAAGCAUCAAAAUAAUUCGAGACAAAAGCAAGAAAGUUGACAAAACAGUGAGGGACCCCAAACAUCUAUGUGAAUUACUUCAAAUGGAGUAAGUGACUUCGAAGCAAUUACAGGAAAAAUGGAGCUUGGUAAAAUUUGCCUUGCAAACAAGCUUUACAAGUAUGAGAUUGAGAGUUACAAGGAAAAGAUAUACAAGACUUAUUAAGUGCUGCAGUGACAAUGGAAUGUGCAGGAUGGCCUAAUCGACAAUGCCACAAUGUAGAAUACAUCUUUUGACCCACAAAUGCAAUUGGAUUAAAAACAGGAGAAAUAGACCUAUGUGGUUUGAUUAUGGGAAGUGGAUAGACAACAUUAUUACUCAGCCCUUGGAAUAGCACUUUCCCGGUGACCUUGUCUUGUAGAUAGAGAGAAACAUCAUCAAUGAUACAAUGACACUGAUUAUCUUUGCACAACUGAUUCAUAGAUAAUAAGUGUUGUGACAGUUUUGGAACAUGUAACACAAAGUUUAACUUGAAAUUAUGUGACUUAGUGAGAAGAGAAGAGGAACCAAUAUGUUUGAUAGCUAAACCUUCACCACUAGCACUGGUCACAGUAUCAUUUGAUGGAUAAAUUUGUUGCCAUGUGCAAGUUUGACAAAUCUGAGGUCAUAUGGUUAGUUGCUCCCAAGUCAAGAAACCAUAAAUCUUGUUGAAGAGUUGAGGAUGAUGCACCAGCUCGUGCUUGUAUAGCAAGAGGAGGAUUUUGUGAGGAUAUAGUUGAGAGAUACAUAUGUGGUAUGACAUGAUACUGAAACUGGGAGCUAUUAGACCGUGGAAUCAUGCCUUGUGAAGGACCACAUGGAUUCUAGCUAGGUGCUUCGCCAUAUGACCCAGCAGGCAUUGGAGUUGGCAUAGAUGAGGAUAAACCCUGAGAGAAAUGCUUUGAUGUGCCUGUGAAAUUCUUAUUUCGAUCAAAGCAAGUAGCAGCAACAUGGCAAUUUCUGUGACAAAUUUGACAUCCAUGUUGAAAACAAUUCAAUGCAAAAUAAACUUUGCGAUCACAUAUUUGCAGAAAGGCCUUUGCAACCCUAGAAAGAAGAAGGAGCAAAGAAGACCAAAUGUGUACGUUUCUCUUUGGUUUUUUUUCCCUCUUAAUCACGCUGUUCGAAAUCACGGACCUCGGGCCUGGGCCUAGUGGGCCCAAUUAUGAGGCCCAUUAUCUCCGGUCUUCUCGUUCUACUUCUAGUUACCCAAAUUAAGAACGUACUGGUUCGCUUUUAGCGCGAGAGAGAAAUGGAGGCCCUGAUUGCCUCGUACGGAGACUCGUCGUCGGGCUCAGACUCCGAGUCGCCGGCUCCACCUCCAUCACCACCUCCGGAGCUCAACAACCCUCAAGAACCGACCCCUGCGCUGCCUCCACCUCCUCUGUCACUUCUCGACAACCCCAAUUCCUUCGGUAACCUCUGAUUCCCAUCAAUUUUCAUCUUUUAGCUUUCUGUUGUGAUGGCUUUUUCCGAGUUGCCCACCAAGUAUUUGAUGUUUUGCCUCUGAAGGAUUUCUGGACUUCUCGGCAAGCGCCCAGCCGAGCAGAGUUCGGAACUUUCCUCACGUCGAAGGGAACUACGCAGUACAUGUAUACAUCCCAGGUUAUCAAAAUUCUCGAAAUUUUCAGCUCCAUUAGCAAAUGCGAUCGCUUUGCACUUAGUUUUUGCUUGUUUAAUUCUGUGGUCAGUUUAUAUACCACCAGCACCAAGGAAAGAGAUGGCCUUGUUUUUGAACAAGCUAGCUUCUCUGGUGCCUGGUCUCCAUGCGGUUGACGUUGACUUCCUGCUUGACAUUCUGCGUAAGGACGAGCACAAGCUUGAACAAGUUGCUUUAGGCAGAGAGUUCCAUAUAAGUCUCGGAAGAACUGUUCCGAUUCGGGUGCACCAGAUUGAUUCCUUGGUGACAAUGCUGCGGCAGAAGCUUCAGAUUCAGAGGCGGUAUGGUUACAUUUACAUUCUCUUGUCUGCAUUGCGUGAAUUUAGUUCUGUUAUUUAACAUAAUUCUGUAAGCCUGCAAAUUUUUCGUCCAUUUUCAGUUUAACACAUUUUGUUAUUGUGAAACAAGUAUUGGAUUGAUUUUAGCAAGUGGUAGGUUUUUGUUAAUGAUGAUCAGACCCGGACCUUUGUGUCUAUCGAAAUCAUUGCUGCUGGGUUAGCUGAGGUAUGAUUGCUAGCUUUCUCUCUUGGUGCAAUUCUAAAUGUUUUCAGUUGUUAUAUGGGCUUAAGAUUUAGCAAGGACUUGCCGAAAGUCAUGGGAUUUUGAAAUAUCGAGAUCUUGCUUGCUUAUUAGCUUAGAUUUGGUCUUCGAUGCACUUGUAACAUGAAAAACACAAACGAAAACUAAUGCAUGAUAUGCUCAUGGUUUUAACAUGUGUUGUCCUGGCGUAAAUCAUGUUCCUAAUCAUGUCAUGUGAGUAUAAGCCUAUGAAACUUAGGGCAUGUUUGGCGGGCUGGACAAGAUUGGAAUUGGUAUUUCAGACUAGUUAGGUUAGGAUUGAACUGGAUAGGAUAGGUUUUUUGUCUAAAGAUUGGUGUAGACUGUCUUAACCAGACUAGGAACGAUGGGAUUUAAAACGUGAAACAGAUCGGCGACAUCCCAACGAUGACCCGCCCACCCAACAACUCUGCUCGUGACUUGCAACACCUCUCGUACCCUCCACGCCCCUUGCGGCCCGUCAGACCACUCUGAUAUCCUGGAGGAGUGAAACGUGGUUACUAGAAGCAUACCUGUUUUCGUAUUAAUGCACGGUUGAAUCAGCUUUCAUUGUCUACAAGUCUGAAAUAUUUUAACUUCCAUUGAUUUCAGAUAACAAAGCAGAUUCAAGCUGUGAAUGAGGUGUAUAAGCUUCACAAUCAUCCUAAAUUUUACAAGGUUAGCUUUUUCGUCCUUUUCAAACUCGAAUCGCUUCCUGAAUAUAUGACAAUAUAUUGGAUCAAAUGAUUUCUCAAAAAACUAAUUCACUUGAUGGGGUCUUGGUGAUCACAGGAUCCACGCCCUCACAUCUCGGUAGCUUGGGCAUUGGGUGACAUCAGCAAUUCCCUGAACAAAGUGGUUGAAGAAGAAAGACGAAGAUCUACCAUCGGAGGAUCGUUACAGAAAUGUAUUUUUACCAGUAAAUUCAAUGGUAUCGAAUGUAGGAUUGGUAAUAAGACACACAAAAUAUGUAAAUUUUCUGAAGAAUAAUGUAGCCAUUUAACUGUAUUGUGAAAUUCCGAGAAUAUAUCACUGAGCAUUGGAUGAGAAGACAUUUCUUCGUUGGUGUCGAACUUCUUGUCGAAGGUAUUGGCACCAGUGUAAACGUCAUCAUCCAUGUUGAUGGUAAUUACUUCCCAGCUACUAAGGGUGUCGGAACAGCCUUGCACGCAGCCUCCUGUGCAUUACUUGGUAUUGUCUCAGAUUCUCCAAACUUGAAUGCUAAUGUAAACCCACUCUUGACCUUUCCGUCAUCUGCGAUUACCGGAAUGCCGGCUUGGAUGUUGCCGUUGACCUACCGAACUUAAAAUACCGACGAAAUGUUGGAGUACUUAAGUGUACUACUCGUUUUUGUAUGCGAGAGCUCCACCUCUAUCGUUGUAACAGCAUCUGAUGCGGACUAGUCCUUCAUUCCCGUUACUCUUUGCCAUCUCCACUUCGAACUUGGCGUGAUGGCUCCCGGCCUCCUCUCCGGUGAAAUUGAGUAACCCCGGAGCUGGCGUGCCAUCAAGAUUUCCGUCGUGUCUCUAUUUGCUGUUGUGGUUUGGUUUCACCACUAUAAACUUGGCAGAGUUGGCAUUUUCAUUCUGUUGUCUGUAUAUCUUGAUAUUACAAGUAUUUGUUGUGCAAAAUGCAUGCUAAGUUCAACUUAUGUUUAUAUGUGUGUGUGUGUGUGUUGCCACUUUUCCAACGUUUUCUCCAAAAUUGUGACGAGCAACAAAGCAGUUUUGAUUCCGUGCACAACAACGAUACCUCGAAAGAAAUUGAUUCUUCCCCAGAAAGAUGUUUUAAAACAAAGUUGAACAAGGGAAGAAAACUUUUGAAUCGCAAUCAGAUGUCUGGUCAAAUUCUUUAACAGUUGAUGUAUACAGAAGUUCCUUGCUUAUGACACGACUUAUGAGAGGAUGUAUGUAUUGCAUUUGCAUCAAAAGAAAGAAAGAAGGUUGUAAGUGGUAAGGGAACGACUACCGAUGCCGCUCCACUUCUAAUCAAAGGGAUCGAUCCGAGGGUCGUGUUCACUUGCCAUCGCCAUUCCAGUGCAAAGGCAUGUCGGGCACAUUACCUGCCACAUUUACAGACGCAAUGUUAGAUAUAGCUGCCAUUUGGAAGUCAUCUCUCAAAAUUUUGCUACUAAAUCAAUCUUAAACUUCAUUUCCAGUGCAAUUUUUUUCUUCUGAAUUGUCUUUCACAUGCCCGACAAAUAGAAGUAUCACCAAACAUGUGAAUAUAGAGCAUCUAAGCGGCAGGCACUAAAAGGAAUUUAGUAUGCAAUAAACAUUCAACGGACAUAAUUAUAUGUCUAACCUUUCCCGCUCCUGAGCAAUUUGAACAUCGUUCAGUUUUUGGCAGAGAUAGGGGUUGGUUUCCGCCAUCAGCUGUCGAUACUGGUUCAGUAAGAACAAGGGUUCCAGUGCUGGAGCAACGAGCACAAGCAAGAGAUCCUGCGUAAGUAUCAAAUACACAGGUAAGUUGACAUACGAAACCAAUCCGAACAUCUCCAUCGUAUAUAUUUAAAGCUACAGUACAUAAACUAAAAGUCAGAAAUAUAGGACAUUAUCACACCAGUUCCAAGACAAUAUUUGCAUCGUUUAUGCUCCUGCUGUUUCACAUUGUUUAUUUCAACUACCAUCAAUGCUGAGAUCACUCCGACUGCUCCUCCAGAGAAUGACGCCACUAUGGGAUCAACUUGACUGCAGUUUGAAAGUAAAGGAGAUCAAUAAACGAAACUGGUAACAACAUAGUAUCAACAUUAUUUAGCUUCGUUUCAAGAAAGAUGACAUCCUAGGUUUUUCUAAUGUGUAAAAAUUGAGGAUCCUCGUAAAAUUUGACCAUAUCGGUUCCCAAAGCAUUUGAUUCCUACGUUACAGACGGAAAACAGCAACAAUCGAAUUUAAAGAUUCAUAACACGAUAGAUGGUACAAAAUUUCAAAACGAUAAUUACUAGAGAACAGGAGGGUUAAUAGCCUGAGAUAUGAGCAAUACCUCAACUGCAACGGCAGAUGCAUAUUUACUAUAAAGUCUUUAUAUGAUGUGCCUCCUAUUCCCAGCUUCAACUCCAACUGAAAGAUGUAAAGGUAAUUGUAGGCAAAGAGUUACAAACAUAACCGAAUCCAUGUUUUAUAAGCAACAACUACACUUAUUUUGAUAUGUUUCCUCAUUUUUUACUUGCAAAUUCCGAACCAUAUUGUCGGACCAGUAAAAGAAAAUAAUGUUUAUGAUAACUGUUAAAACUAAUUACAACAAGUUAAUGCAUAAAGAACUUACGGAGGGUGCUAUGAGGCCACCGAAAAGGAUAAACCCCACAAUAAUUGAAUAACAAACAGCAUAAUACUGCUUAAGGUUGUCUGAACUCUGCAAGCAAUGAAUUCACCUUGUGAUUAAUACUUUGCACAAACACUAGUUUUCGCAAUUUUUUAUGAAUCGACAAAAGGCUACAACAAAAUAUGGCUAAAACAUGUCGGGGAUAUGAAAAUACAUGUCUUCACAGGGGCACCAGCUUACCAGGGGAGGCAAAAAUGGAAUGAACGAUGGAAAACUAGGAAGUUCGUUUUCUUGAUCUUCAUUUACCGCUCCAAGCUCUGCACGUUUAAUCCGCUGUUGUAUCCUCAGCCUGCGAACCUACGCAUAUCGAAGCUCAUUCUUAAAGAACACAUUUCUAAUGGCAAUUGGAGAGUAAUUUAAAACAUGCUAAACUGAGAAAGUGGUAGCAACUAGUAAUUGCUCUCACCUCCUCCAUAUGCAAGAAAAUUUUGUUGCGACGACUCCGAAUAUUAUCUUGAAUUUCCUGCAGCUCCAUUGUGGCAAAAUCCUGCACUGUUUCAGGCCCCUCUAUGAUACAAAAUCUGCACCAUUAAGCAUGUAAAAAUUAAAAAUUACAGGCUACAAAGCAAUUUCCGUAUAGUUGUUGGGUUAAAUAACAUCAACAGCAAAUAAAUCACAUAGGUUUUUCACAUAAAGUUACAAACUUUCAAGGACUAAUAAGCUGUCUGCAAUCUCAUAAAUUUCACAGUGCAAAGUAACAAUCCAAAGCUUGGAACUUUAAAUUUCCACCUUCUGUUAAUUUUUUAGUGCACCUGGUGUCGUUAGAUUCGAGUAGUAUGUCACAUUAAAUUUUUUUUUUCUGUGCAUGCAUUUUUUUUUAAAAGAAAAUUUUAUAUUGUUAAAGAGCGAGUUCGAAACUAUUACAUUAUGGAAGGACAUAGUACCGAAACUCCGACGAUCAAAAACAAAAUCAUGUACAACCACUCCAAGCAGUCAACAUGGCCAUCACAUAUUGAAUCCAAAAUGUUGACGCCCCAUUCGCUGCAUAUAAUGUACAGACGAGCGGCAGCUUCAACCAGUUCUGCCAUAUCCGGCUGGAUGAGAGCAGCUAAAGACAUGAUUGUUCCCUAAUAACAUGAAUAAAUUGAGUAAACACCAAAAGUAGCAGCAAGGGAAGGAGAUGUGAAGUAUAUGAAGAGGUGUAAGACCUGUGAAUGUCCAGCAACAAAGAUUUUGGAGCUUGUUGUCGAAUAAUGCAACGCAUCAUUUCUGGUAGAUCAAAUAGAGCCAAUUCCCGCCAACUCCAAUUCCAAAAUUUCUACAGUAAAGCAUAAAUCUUAUUCUCUCUUCUGAUAAAGAUGAGUGUCCCAGACUCCAACGUGUUCCACACACAUUCCCUACCCAUACAUCGAAACCUUCAUCUGCAAGGACGAAUCCCAGCGAUUCUUCUGGAGAAUUUAAGAAUCAUGCAUCACCUGGUUAAGAUCAAGAAAAGCCAGUAACCAAGUUCAAUUGAGUUAAAAUGUAUCCCAUGGAUGUUCAUCACUUUGCCCAAUUGUUCUUUUCAAGAAAGGAAAUUUCAACAGAACCUGAAAACUUCAGAUCAGGGGGCACCAAAUAGUGAGCUAUACAUUCAAAAUUUGAAAUAAUCAACUUAGUAGGACCAGUAUGUUGAAAAAAUGGGAAGGAGCUAUGAAAGUAAGACUUUUCACUAAUCAGGCGUCCAGAGAAUCCAUAUUUUACCCGCGUAUCAGUUACGGGGAACACUCCCCACCAGAGCAAUCUCAUUAGUCCUUCACAUCUCAACCGUACAGAAGUUGCACUAACAAACAUGACUCCUAUUAGUCCUUCACAUCUCAAAUCCAGGAAGUACCCAUCUUUCGUCUGAAUCUGGAAAAUAAGCAGCAGUCAAUUUAACAAUCUCGGUAUCUCAAAGUUACUCACUUUAAUCACAAAUUUAGCAAUUAAACAUAUAAAUGGGCAUUUUUUUAGGGAAAUAUUAGUAUAGUACUCACUGUGUGCUCGGAGCAAGAGUACCCAGAAAGCUCAAUGAGCUGCGCACAGAGGACUGCAGUGGUGAACGACAGCGACCAAUUCUGUAAAAUUUAGUCGAGUUUUGGGAAAUUUCUGCAGCGAUUUCGGAGGUCAAGAGGCUGAUAAGGAAAGCCGCGACCAAAGGGCACUGGUCUGGAAGAAAGGCUUUGGUCGCCGCUAUCGCAAUUCGCGAAGGAAGAAGUGCCCCAAAACAAUUUCGGCCCUGGACAGGUGCACUGUUUGCACUGAGCCAGGGCCGGCCCUGAAUCGCGAUAACGUCCUUCUCCAAACAGUAUAUAUACAGAUGCUAGAAAAAUCUACCGGAACUAUUCAAUUCUAGCGUCUACAGCUUUAGCAUUAGUUGGUACAAGGGGCAUUCUUCCAAAGAGGGAGAUGAAAUCGUUGAGGCACCAAAUAGUGAGCUAUACAUUCAAAAUUUGAAAUAAUCAACAUGGUAGGACCAAUAUGUUGAAAAAAUUGGAAGGAGCUAUGAAAGUAUGGCUUUUCACUAAUCAGGCGUCCACAUAAUCAAUAUUUUACUCACAGAUCAUUUACGGGGAACACUCCCCACCAAAACAAUCUUUUUAGUCCCUCACAUCUCAAACCAAGUAGAAAUUGCAGUAACAAACACAUCUCAAACCCAGUAAGUACCCAUCUUUCGUCUGAAUCUGGAAAACAAGCAGCAGUGGAUUCAACAAUCUGGGUAUCUCAAAGUCACUCACUUUAAUCACAAAAUUAACAAUUAAACAUAUAAAUGGGCAUUUAUUUAGUGAAAUAUUAGUAUAGUACUCACUGUGUGCUCGGAGCAAGAGUACCCAGAAAGCUCAAUGAGCUGCGCACAGAGGGACUGCAGCGGUGACGACGGCAACCGAUUCUGUAAAAUUCAGUCGAGUUUUGGGCGAUUUCUGCAGCGAUUUCGGAGGUCAAGAGGCUGAUAAGGAAAGCUGGGACGGAAGGGCACUGGUCUGGAAGAAAGGCUCAGGACACCGCUGUCCCGAUUCAUGAAGGAAGAAGUGCCCCCAAAACAAUUUCGGCUCUGGACAGGUGUACUGUUUGCACUGGACCAGGGUCGGCCCUGGCGAUAACGUCCCCCAAACAGCACAUAUACAGAUGCUAGAAAUAUAUAAAUGUAACCUGAAACUACUAGAACCAUUCAAUUCUAGCGUCUACAGCUUUAGCAUUAGUUGGUACAAGGGACAUUCUUCCAAAGAGGGAGAUGAACUCAUUGAGGCUCUUAUUUAUUCCUCCUCUUGAUGUGCCCUUUUAGGCUGCUAAUUCCACACGAUCCAAUUUCAUACAUCUUCCCUGCAAAAGCAUGUGUGCCUGACUUCAAGAUCAAAUUUUUCCAACAAAAGAAACUUAAAGAUCAAACUCGCUAGCGGAAUAAGUGGUGCACAAGGGUGUUAAAAUCUUGACAUAUGUAUAUUUUUGGCAGAUUUUAUGUGAGCAUGCAACUAAAACUGGCAUCACUAUCAAUGGUGCACAAAGAUUGGUGGAAAACUUUAACAGUUUGAGUUGUAACUUCUCCAUUGUAUUUGUUAAGGCAAGACGGAUGUCAUCUAUUCAUUUUUCUGUAAAACUUAAAAGGCUGCAUAGCAGCUCUUGUUCGUUGUAUUGAAUACCAUGGUUUUACUGAUGAAUGCAGAGUUUGCUGAUGAUUCAUACGACAAGCAAUUGAAAAUCCCAUCAUUAUGCCCCGCAUAUACCAGAAGAAAAAAAAGUCAUUUACACAAAUUCAGAGCGUUCAUCCACUGUAAUUUGCAGAUAUGGAAACGUUAAGAUAAAAGGAAAUGCAAAGUACCUUUCACCCAAAUUGGAGGAGCAACGGUGGCAUUAGCAAGCUAGCAACGGGAAUUGACAUACCAAUAUCUUCACAGUUUCUGCACAAGAACAAAUCAAAAGAAUCCGGCGGUGGAGUUAUGUACCUCUCCUUGGAAAAUGCCACCUCCUGGGAUUUCAAAAUAUACGGCCGUGGCUAGCCGUCUGACCACGCCAAUUCCACCAAAGCCGCCGCAACGUGGCGUAGUGUCCGGUUGAUUGCUUCAAAACAGAGCUUCGUAUCCAUGUGUUUAUCAGCAGAGAGUACCCAAAACCCCUGAAAAUUAUUUCUUUAUUCAGAUAAUAAAAUUUCCCAAAUUUCGAAUUUUAAUUCCGAACAAAAAAAAUAGGGUUUGAAUUUUGAUUACCUAGAAAUUGGGGGGUUGGGGUGGAGAGGGACUCGGGCCAAGACACAGAUAUGCAUCCGUGAUAAGGUGUGCAAGGCUUUUGCAGUUUCUCAGAUCUAAACACUGAAGCCCCGUAAGCCGUUCAAUCCAGGGGGAAAGCUCUUUAAUAGAUGUUCCAUCCAAGAAAAGAAAUCUUAAUCCUUCCAUAUUUUCUUCAAUGCUUGGAAACACCUCAAAUUUUGUACAACCGGAAAGAGAGAGAAAGGCAAGGGACUUCAGCUGACAAAUGCUACUUGGAAGACUCUUAAGUUCUUUACAAUUUUCUAGCUUCAAAUGAUUCAAUCCCAUGAGAUUAUUAAUUGAUAAGGGCAGUUCUUUAAUUUUCGACCCAGAUAAAUCAAGAACUUUUAACCCCUCAAUCACUUCUGAAAUCUCUGGAAACAUCUCAAGACUCCAGCAACCAUAAAGAUCAAAGGUUUUGAGAGAUUUCAUAUGAAUGCUGCUUGGAAGACUCUUAAGUUCCUUGCAAUCUUGUAGAUUCAAAUGACACAACCUCGUAAGAUUAUUAAUUGACGGGGACAGUUCUUUAAUUUUUGAGCAGGGUAAAUCAAGCUUUUCUAACCCCUCAAUACCUUCUGAAAUCGAUGGAAACAUCUCAAGACUGGAGCAGCCAUAAAGAUUAAAGGUUUUCAGACAUUUCAUAUGAAUGCAGCUUGGAAGACUCUUAAGUUUCUUGCAAUCUUUUAGGUUGAAAUGACUCAACCCCGUGAGAUUAUUAAUUGACAGGGGCAGUUCUUUAAUUUUGGACCCGGAUAAAUUAAGCUCUUCUAACUCCUCCAUACCUUCUGAAAUCUCUGGAAACAUCUCAAGACUGGAGCAGCCAGAAAGAUUAAAGGUUUUGAGAGAUCUCAUACGAAUUUUGCUGGGUAGAAUCUUAAGUUCCUUGCAAUUUGAUAGGUUCAAAUGACACAACCCCAUGAGAUUAUUAAUUGACUCGGGCAGUUCUUUAAUUUUGGACUCGGAUAAAUUAAGCUCUUCUAACUCCUCCAUACCUUCUGAAAUCUCUGGAAACAUCAGAAGACUGGAGCAGCCAAAAAGAUUAAAGGUUUUGAGAGAUCUCAUACGAAUUUUGCUAGGUAGAAUCUUAAGUUCCUUGCAAUUUGAUAGGUUGAAAUGACUCAACCCCAUGAGAUUGUUAAUUGACUCGGACAGUUCUUUAAUUUUGGACCCGGAUAAAUCAAGCUCUUCUAACCCCUCAAUCACUUCUAAAAUCUCUGGAAACAUCUCAAGGCUCACGCAGUUAAUAAGAUCAAGAGUUUUGAGAGAUUGCAUACGAAUUUUACUAGGUAGAAUCUUAAGUUUUUCGCACCCAUUCAGAUCCAAUAAAACAAGUUUUGUAAGAUUCGAAAUAGAUGGGUGAACCUUAACUAACCCUAUACAACCAUGAAGAAUUAGCCUCUCAAGAUUUGGCACAUUUGUGAAGUCAGGGGUUUCCUUAAGGUAUUCACAAUAACUUAAAUUGAUGAAUUUCAACUUUUCCUGCGUCUGUUAAAACAUUCAGGAAAACAUGCAUUACUUAAUAAGACAUCUCACUCAAAGCCCAAACAUUUAAAAGAAACAAAUACAUGUAAAUGAUUGUACAUACCUGGGUUCCUUCCCAAAGUCGGUCAAUGUGGCUAUAUUGCAUGUCAAGUCCAACAAGAUUUUCGAAUUGAAAGUUGGAUGGCAAAGACUUGAGCGGGAAACAAGACCAGGAAAGAAACCUCAACUCACUAGAAACAAACUUUAAGGACCCAGUCAGGUGUUGUAUGCUGAAAGUACCGAUCUUGAGAAGUCUUAGUUUAGUCAUCCUAUCAAAAGCUUUAACAAUUAAGCAUCCCUCAUAUGAGUGCCCCAAAUCUAGGAUUAUGCUUUCAACUGUUUCUGUACCCUGUGCAAAUCAAAGGGAAGGAAAAAGCAGAGAACCUUAGUUUAGAUUAUGAAGUUAAUGCUUGUUUCUUAAGGAGUUGUUUGAUAAUAAUUUUGUUUUCACUUUUCACUUUUGUUUUGAUUAUUUAUUUAGAAAUCUGAAAAUUGAAAACAUAUAACUUGUUUGUAAUUGUUUUCAAUUUUCAAUUAUUAAAAAAAUGAAAAUUUAAAAAUAUAAAUGGAAACAAAAGUGGUUAUCAAACGAGCUUAAGAAAUUGAUUUUGGUCAAAAGUUGAAGCUUUCUACUAAACAUUGCAUAAGAAAAGAAAUUAUCACCGUAUUUUUAGUUAUCACAUGAAAAACAUCUUCAUAACUCCACAACCUACUUCGUCUCCCAGGCUCUUUGAUAGAUUCUUGGUAGACGAUUUUCUGACCCAUUUCCUCUAGUAAAUCAUGCAUCUCCAGUUCCCCCCUCCAUGAGACAGUUACUAGAGCUCGAUCGAUUAGAACUUUUAUUCCAAUAUCAGGAUAGGAACCACAGCUGUGCAGAACUGUGGUUGCAUAGUCUUUUCUCAUUCCUUUAAAGAAACAUGCAAUAUCUAGAAAGAUAUCCUUCUCCGUGUCAUCUAGUCCAUCGAAGCUUGUUUUAAGCACAUCAUGAAUUCCCUUUUGCGGGAUUUUCUUUAUUUUUUCUAACUCAUUUUCCCACUGGCGUACAUUUUUGUUAUAAAGAAAAGCUCCCAAGACUUUGAGUGCUAAAGGCAGACCUUGAGCAUAAUUUACAGCACGACUCGAGAUCAUCAUAAUCUCUGUUGGGUUGGUUUUUUCUAAAGGCGUACCGCCUAAAGAGUUCCAGAGCUCCAUAAUCACUUAAAAUCUUGGGAUUAUAUAUCCCAUCAGCUAUGCUUAGUAAUUGCGAAUCUCUGGUUGUUAUAAUAAUUCUGCUUCCACCACCAAAGGAAUGUGGCUCUCCAAGUAAAGCUUCAAUUUGUUCUAAUUCUUCCACAUCAUCAACAACAAUAAGAACUUUUCUCCGACCUAGACUAUUUAACAUCACCUGGAAACCUUUAUUCGAAACGUCGGAACUCCCCACCCUGUUGUUCGAGAUACUCGAUAGAAGUUCUGCCUGCAUAUGUAGUUUGCCAUGCUUCAUGAAACCUUCCUUGAAAUUUUCAAGAAAGCAACAAGCUUUAAAUCCACCAGAGAUUUCAUUAUAAAUAGCUCUAGCGAUGGUUGUUUUGCCUAAACCACCCAUACCCCAUAUUCCAACAAUGCGAACAUCAUUAGUUUCAACUCCAGGAGGAUGCAGUAAUGAAUGCAUGUUAUGCAUAUGAGAGUCCAUUUCAACCAAGCCAUUAUAUUUGCUUGAGGAUGAUGAGAUGUAUCGCCGACCCCACUUAGUGGGAAAAGGCUUUGUUGUUGUUGUUGUUGAUGAUGAUGAUGAGAUGUGGAUCAAUUUCUUAAAAACAUCUUCUACAAUUUUCUCAAUAAGCUCUGCAUCAUCCCUGUCAAAUUUAAAACACAAUAUAAUUACAACACCAAAUGAUACUUAAUGGGUCGUUUUGAUAACAAUUUCGUUUGCAAUUUUUUUUAAAUCUAGAUUUUAAGUUUGCAGAUUUUGUUUUCAGUUUUUAGUUUCAAUGAAAGUAGUUAUUAAACAAGGUUUCCAAUUUUUCUUUCAUGGUAUACAGUACGUAGUCCCAAAUAUCAGUAGUUAGAUCUUGCAUUUAGAUCUAAUGGGUAUUUACAACCUUUUUUCCUGAGAAUUUUGUACCAUUGUAGCCAGAUCACAUGUUUUCAUCCGUUAGUUUUAUAAAAAUGGAAACUACAAACUUAAAAAAAAAAAAAAAUAUAUAAUAUAUAUAUAUAUAUAUAUAUAUCAAAUGGCCCCUAAAUGCUAUUAAAAAUCUCAAAAAUUAACAGGAAACUAAAACAAAUUAGAAUUUAUUCAUGGUUUCGCAAAUCCCAGCCGGAUAAACUGGUGGCCGUUGUAAGAGAGGACCUCCAGCCGGAUAAACAUUUUCGAGUUAUUUGAUAUUUGUAUAGUAAAAAUACUUUAAUAGCAAGUGCGCGUGAGUGAAGAAAUUGAACUUACUUAUAUUCUUUCGAAUCCCAACCGGAAAAAUUGCAGGCUCUGGGAAGAGCGGACCUCCAGCUCUGCACCUCCUUCACGUCAACGUUAGAACGACCUUCAUGUUUAGCAAAAGCUUCUGCAAAACUUCCCUCGAGUUUACGAAUAUUGGACGGAUCGACUUGGUAGAAAAUGGGGAAUACAAUCUGGUUCUUGGAAUGGUUGCAUUCCAAGAUUUCCACGAGUUCUUUCAAGCACCAUGUGGAUGAAGCAUAGUUUUGAGAGAAAACUACAAUCGAAAUCCUUGACUCUCGAAUCGCUGUCAGGAGCUCGGAAAGGCGGUCGCCUUUUCUGAGGUCUUCGGCAUCAAUGAAGGUGUUGAUUGGUUUCUGACGCAGAGCUUUGUAGAGAUGGCUGACGAAGCCCGUGCGAGUGUCUUCCCCUCUAAAACUGAUGAACACAUCGUAUUCCCAACCAAGGCAAGAAGAAGAAGAAGAAGCAGCCAUUAAUCGAUCUCACCUGGGCAGCGAUGAUCGAGCAGCUAAGACUAAGAGAAUUGUAAGUACAGAAACACUCAAUAGAUCUACAAAUUGGAUCACCAGAAAUUAGUCAAUGAGUCAAUGCAAAAGGGAAAAGGGCAAUUAUGCUUUUUGCGUUUUCACAUCUUCUUCAGGAAAUUUCGGUGUGAAAGGAAUCCGCAUACUUUUGAUUUUUCAACCCAAGAAAAUGCGAAGAAAGGGGACAAAGUAGUAAAUUUAAUCUACAGUUAGUUACCUACUCAAUAACCUCUUGAUUUAAUAUAUAUUUAAUUGGGAAAAGUAGUUUAGAGCAAGGAUGUUAUCUCCUUUUCUUCUCUCUCGAUCAGUCAAUCUUCCCGCGUGCGAUUUAAUCAUGAUUAAAGCUAAGCUUAAUCUUAGGUCGUAUUAUUUAGGUCUAAUUGGAUUCUUAAUUCUUGUGAUAUAGUAGUUGGAAGAUUAAAAAAAAAUUAUGAUUUAAACGUUUGUGAUGAAGUCUGUUACGAUUUAAAUUCAAAAUUGAAAAUUUCGUUAACUCCAUUAAUUGUUAGCACAUGAGACUCACAAAUGAAACUAAAAAUAUAAAGUUAGCCUCACAUGUAAUCUUCACGUGCUAACAAUUAAAAGAGAGUUCCGUUUUAGCUUAAUAUAUGUGACUCACGUGUUAAUAAUUAACAAAAUAUUAACAAAAAUUUUAAUUUUAAGCAUAAAUUCAAAUAAACUUCACCACAUAAGCUUAAAUUCUAAUUUAGAUAUCUUCUAAUUUAGAUAAUUUUUAACUGCAAGAUGUACGAUGAACGGAUAUAAUUCACAAAUCUCCAAAAUCCUUACAAAAAAUAUCCGAAAAAGAGCCAAAUUCAAUGGAAAUAAGCUAAUUUUGAAUCAAAUAACAUUACUUUAUUUUGUAAAUAAAUUAAUUUUGAAUUGAACAACAUUCAUUUAUUAUGUAAGUAAUUCAUUUUGUAUGUAUCAUCAUAUAUAUUAGGCACAUUUUAUCAUAGGUGAUUUUGUGAAAAAUUAAUAAAAAGUUACAAUAUUAACAAUAGAUCAAUAAUAUUUAUGUUAAUUAUAAAUAGGCUAACCAUGUAUUAUGAUACUUAAAUGCAUUUAAAAUAAAUAAAAAUUACAAAAUCUACUACUACAGCUAGCAUUCACUUCAACUAAAGCAAUACGUAGUUUUUAUAUUUGGAAUAAGUCAUACGAAUCAGAGACAUGAAGAGGUGUAAGAACUGUGAAUGUCCAACAACAAAGACUUCGGAGUUUGUUGUCGAAUAUCUGCAGCGCAUCAUUUCUGAUAGAUCAAAUCGAGCCAAUUCCCGCAAACUCCAAUCCCACCACCACCUUUCAAGCCGGACUCAGCCCUCCGGGCGGCAUUUGGCAGGACAGCACUGGAUCAAACAAGAUUGAGACUGGCAGUGGGAGCAAUGAACGAGCACACUCAGCAGGGAAGUCCAUCAUGGGUUCUAACCACACAUUGUUUCUCUACUUUGUGGCUUCCAACACGAUUGGAUUUUUUGUUUCACUUUACAUGAUCAAUGUCCUCACCAGCAAUUUCCCUCUGCAGUUGGAGCUUCAAAUUUGUAUUGUCGCGAUGUACAGCACGUACAACACUGCAGUUUUCAGCAUUGCACCGGAGAACGUGCGCUUCUUCGUCCUUCUGUUCUCUGUAGUUUUCCCAACUUUGGUUACACUUGCUGUCCAAAAUGAUCGUCUUUCGACAUACAUCACAAUGGCGAUCUUUAAUCAUAAUGACUUGUACUGCUCGAUCAAACGAGACGCAUGGAGGCGCGACGUAGGAGCCACGGUGCAGCCCAAACUUUGCAGAUAAGAAAUCUGGUAAUUCACAGCAUCACAAACAUGUUACUGGGUCUCCUGACCAUCGUAGAUGCCAAUGUGUGCACAAGGAAAGGAGUAAGGUAAUCAAAUGCUUGAGUCUUGUGUACCUGUUUCGGUGUUGGUUCGGAUGAACCCAUUGAGUUCUCGAUCCUUAACUUCUGGAAAUGCUCCUGAAAGCAUAAAUAUAUGUACGGAUUUAAACCAAUGGCAAAUGGACAUAAUUUACGGACAAUGAUUGAAGAAAAUACAGAUAUAAACGCCUCAGUAUUCCAUUGACGAAAGUUCUAGAUUUGAUGAAUCAAACGUCCCACGUUGAGACUGCGUUAAGGCAAAUGGUUCUCAAACACAAAGCAAUAGUUUGCUACCGAAAACAACCAAAGUCUGACAAAGGGAACCGUCUUACACCUAACCUGUUUUUCCCUCAUCAAAUGAGCGCGUUGAUCUGCAGGUAUUUUCUGCCAUCUCAAAACCUGUUACAAAGAAAUAUAACGUUGAUGUUGAGCUGGAUAGCAUAUUAUACCAAUUAUGUGUACAAACCUAUUGAAAUAAAGUAGCUGUAGUUGCAUAUUACGACAGAUAUUAACGAAAACAAAAGAAGGCUCGCCUAUUCAAGAUCCUAAAUCCCAUGAUUCUUUUGUUUUUAGUUUCAGAAAUUUUCAGAGCACAAACUGGAAAGUACCAAGAUACUUACAUAUUGGGCAUAAUGAAAUGCAUCUUCAUCUUUCAAGCAAGAUUUCAGUGAGCGCAAACCAUCCUGGGAGUUACAUAAGUCAAUCAGUAAUAUAAAAACGUAGAUGCAUCACAUCCAAACACAAGUAUUCAAACACCAACAACUUCUUCAUGCGGUGAGGCAUGUUAAAAAAUAGGGAAGAACAGUUAUUGAAUAGGAAGUUAAAGGACUAAAUUUAUGACCUUGUGUUUGUAGUUCUUGGCUCGUAUGCGUUCAUCUAUUACAAAACCAAUCUGUAACAGGUACAACAGAAAAUAUAAGCAGUAGUCAGAACAUUAAGCAUCGGCAUUCAAAUUGCCGCCAAUCCAAAGUUAAAAGUCUAAAGGCAAAACAGUAUGAUUCUUAUCUCUCAAACAAAAAUGAAACUAUACCCCGGUCUCAGACAUAAAUGAAAUAAGUUCUACUGCCUCAACUGAGUACUGUGAUUAUAUAUAAAUCCAAUUCACCUUGUCAAGUAAUCUCUUAGGAUCUUGAAAUGCUUGCUUCUUAGCCCAGUCAUUAAAUACAUGCGAGAUAAUCGAUCUCUCAUCCACACUGAAUCUAUUGCACAGUGACAGGAGAAUAAAGUCAAACAUGAACAUAACCAACCAAAAAUGCUAGUUAUAAUAGUACACCCAUAAUUGCAAGCAAAACCUUUUUAAGAAGCCAUUUCCAUGGUUUUCCUCCCCAAAUUCCAUCAAUUCUGCAGAGGCAACGUCAAAUUUACUAUGAUGGAGAUCAUUUUGCACCAUAACAACUUCAGAAGGUAGGAGAUUUGGUUUGAGAUCAUCUGUUGACGGAGUAGUUUCUUUUGAAGUGUCAUGAUGCUUUGAUUGCAAGCCUUCUGUACUUACGUCAGCCUACAAAACAAAAAUUGCAUUCAUCCACACUAGACUUAAUAAGAUUAGAAACACUUCAGAUUCUUCACUAUUUGUAAGUUUGACUAAACAGCAGAACAACUGAGGAUAAUGAACAGUAAUACACACCUGGACUUCUCGUAGAUGAUUUGGAAUUUCUUUCAGAAAUCGCGAAGGUUGAAGCAUCUGAAGGAGCCACCUUCUCAGUCAGAGCAACAACAACAAAUAAGGAGGACAGGAAUUCAAGCUAAAACGAACCUGCCAACUGGAAUCCAUCGUAACAUAAAGAAUGAAAAGCUUUUUUCGAGCACGAGUCAUUGCAACAUAUAAUAGGCGUCUUUCCUCCUAUGAUUAGAGUGGGAUUAUUGAGUUAUUGACCAAAAGAAAAAAGAGUGGAAUUAUUGUGACAAACACUUCAAAGCUCUGCAUAUAACUGAAAAAUGUUGAACAAUUUACCACACACCUCAAUGGAGGUCCCAUUUUCUUUUGCAACGCCAUUGAAUUCAUGCAACAACGGAAUCUCAGAUUCAUUUACCUGUGUUAUUGGCAUGAGCAUUAAAGCAAGCUAAGAUGAUUUGAAGAGGUUGAUAUUGUCAUGAAUAUAGUAGAAUAGAAUACCAAUUUCAAGCCAUCAAUUAGGUAUAGCAUUGGCAUGUUUAAUCCGUAAAUCUAAUGACAGAACACCUCAACUCUACACAUAAAUAAAUAAACAACCUGAAAAAUAUUACAGCCACUUGUUAAGGCAAAUACCUUAAUUAUGAAAACUAUAUCCCACUCUAAACCUUUUGACUGCAAGAGAAUGAAAAAGAAAGACAGUAAGCCAAGAAUGUUUUGUAGAACUCCAAAGGAAGUCCAAUAGGGAAAUCAUCGCAAGUAUAAGAGUUAGCGAGGUUCGCAUAAGAGGAUAUCAAAAAGAUCUAGAACCUGAUGAAUAGUAGUCAAAGUGACAGAACUUUGGUUGUCAUGUCUUCGGGAGUGAAAAUUUUCACUCUCCCGCUCAGAUAUGUAGUCGAUGAAAGCUUUGAGUAAAUUAACGCAGCCUUUUUCUUCUGCUACGACUUCUCUCUCCCCUUUUCCCGCAACAAAAUGAGUUGAUAAGAAAUCAGAUACGUCGUCUAGUAGGUACUGAAGAACCUGCAAUGAGAAUAAUCGCAUCAAAACAACAGGGUUGGACCAAGAUUUAAGUGACAACAAUGAUUAACUAACUAAAAUAGAGAAAUUAUUCAUUUAAGACCUUGUUGACUGAAAAAAGGGUUUUCCAAGCAGCGGGUCAUUUAAGCUUAUUGUAUAAAUGACAAUCAUCACAAACGGCAAACUUACAGAUCUCACGUCAUUGUCUUCAUUCAGCAGUUUUCCUCCAUCUACAUCAACGACUGCACGUUGCUCAAGAAGGUACUUCUAAAAACUGAAAGUCAAACGAUAAAUUAUUAAGAAGCAUUGAAUAUAAGCAUGAAACGAAGAAAAUGUUAUGGAAUGGUGAUCCUCAUCCUCAAAGAUGAUUAAAAGCAAUUUGAUUCAAAAAUGACAUAUCAACUCUGGAGAAAUGGAAGACAAACCUGUGGUACCAUAUUCGCAACUGAGGUUAUGACAGCUGAAAUCGAUUGUUCCUGUGUGCAUUGAUAAGUGAGACUACCAUAGAGAUUCACAACUAAAUAAAGACAGGUAUUCCACAGAACAACCUUUACCUCUUUGGAAACACAGAUCUAACAAAAACUAUAACAUUUUGGAUUAAUAUUGACGAAUCAAGAAUAAUGCAAGGGAGCAAGAGAUACUCUUCCUUCUAAUAACAAGGAGGCGUGAAAAGUUUACAGAGUUCCAACAAUUAGAGAACUAAAAUCAAACUAAAAAAAUCACCAAAGUAGACAGAAUCCCACUUCGCCAAAAAUUUGAAAAUAUAUCCUUUUUAUCCAUUGAGAUUCAUGAACUACUACUACUACAUCAUGCCAAUAAGCAAUGCGUAAGAGGUGCUACAAUUUACCGAAUAUAUUUACCCUGAGAACAAGUUUUGAAAUCAUCUCUAGUGUUAACAGCACCUUGCGUCCUUGGGUAAGCUGAGUCCUAUUAUCAAGUAAAGAGACCAAUCAGUACAUAUCCAAAAGAUCUUAAAUGCUUGUAAUACCAAAUAAGAAAGAAACAUGAGUAUAUCUUGAAUUAACAAUGCAAAAAUGUAAUGUUAAAGCAUCUUGUCAUACAGACCUCUUCAAGGUACCAGAAAUUUUGGCACUAAAGAUGUCACAAGCAGCUGAUAUGAAGCUGCAUUUUCUGUGAGUUGAAAUUUUGUCAAUAUAAUCAAUCACCUGAAGAGAGAGAGAGAGAAAGACAGUGAUAUCCAGAGAUGUGAGCCUAAAUGCUGAGUGUGUAAAAAAAGAAGAUUAAAUGGAUAGCAAGAAUAUACAACUUUAAUGCUGAAAAGAACAUUGAAUAUGAUGCUCAUUCAUCAUUGCCAUUGAACGUGUACCUUCUUCUUUUCCUCUUUCUCAAAAGCAAGUAGAGCCUUGAAGACUCGCCUAUAUGAUCCAUCAUCACAACCAGGCAAAGUUGUUUUAAUCAUAGCAACAAUGGCUCUAACUACCUGCCAUAAGAAACAUGCUACAUCAACAAGAUCACAGAGUGUACCAGAAACCGUAAUGUAGCAAAAUCUUAGAUAAAAUAGCUGGCCAAAAGGGAAUGGAAAAGCAAGCACAAAAAACAAUGAAAAGGACCAGUGAUGCCAAAAUUCUGGUGGAAAAGGUGAAAAGCUUACGUCUAUUACAGUUCUUGUAUGCAUUCUUUAUAACUUAAGUUCUACGCAGCAAAAACCACCUUAUGCACAACAAUAUUGGAAAAAUUAGAUACAUACAACUGAGAAGAUAGGUUUUCAUAGCUGGACAAGUGCUAACUACCUUCUUCCUAUAAACUGCCACUCCAUGAACAUUAAAUGGUAUUUUCCUUUCACGCAAGGCUGUCUGGAAGACUUUUCCUGAUACCUGUAGUAUAAAAUACAAAAGAAAAUGUGAGCAAAAUGUCUUAUAUGAUUCACCUCAUUCACAUUAGCACUAAGGCAAGUACGCUUGACCUGCCUCCGGUAAAGGAUUGCUAUAUUUCCAUAGGAGCACCCUGCUUCUGACCGUUUAGAUGCAGUCUCCAGGAUCUUGUCGACAACAAAGGCGCAUUGUGCAUCCUCAUUGUGACUUUCCUUGAUAAUUACCUACAUUUUGCCAGUAAAACCGGUGUCACUAACUAAAAGGACUGAAAAAUGACAUCAAAUUGUACUUGUUGGAGCAAGGAAAGAUUAAGUACCUUAGACCCAGAAGAAUUGUCCGUGUCAACAUUCUUUAGUUGGCAUCGCUUCUUAUUGUUUUUUAUAACAGAAGAUGCAGCUUCCACAAUAUAGCGUGUGGACCGAAAGUUUUUAUUAAGCCUAAUCUGAACCAUAAAGUUAUGUCAAAUCCCACAGAACCCCAUAAAAUAAAACUUACUUUCCUGUAAUUGUACAAUAUAUUUGUUCUAUACUAUAUAUAAUGAAAAAAGACACUGUGAAUGACAUAAGAUAACAUAGCAGUCAAGUGCGAAGCGAACCUCUUUGUUAUUUGAAAAAUCUUUACGAAAAGAAUCAAAUCCAGAAAUGUCCGCCCCAUUGAAACUGAAAAUGGACUGCAGCAGGAUAUAUGUUAUUUGAUUUAGAAAAGAUAAGGGCUGGAUUAAAAUGAGCUGAGAGAGAGAGAGAGGGAGAGAGGGAGCAAUAACAUUGGAUUUCCAUAAUAAAUCAACAACAUGCCUGAUCAUCAUCACCAACAAUGGUUAUGUGGUUAUGAGAGGCGAGAAUCCGCAAAAGACUAUAUUGCAUAGCACUUGUGUCUUGAAACUCGUCUAUUACAAUAGCUUUCCAUGACUCCUGGCACUCCUUCAACACUAAUUAAAAGAACACCAUGUAUCAACAUUUAGCAUUACUUGUAAAACUAGAUAAAUCAAUGAAAUAUACUUAGAUGAUAGAGACCUUCAGGAAAAUCACUUAGCAGCUUCACAGAGCAGCUAAUUAAGUCGUGGUAGUCCAAAGCGUUGCACGAUUUCAAGAUAUCAUUGUAAUUCCUAAGAAUUUCACCCUGAUUCAGAUUGAGAGCUAAAACUCAUAAGCAAUAGUUUCAAAGAACUGAAAUCAUAUCUGAAAUUCUAGUUCUGAGCGUACUCCUGUCACAUCACCCAUUCUUCGGCAUUCAGCGGGAGUCUUUCCAGAAGCUUUUGCCUGAAACAUAAAUAAAUUUAUUGCCUAAUGCCACAUAUUGUAAGACACACCAUUGUAUUGGUCAUUCUAGCUUGAUUGUAGCUAAUAUUUUUUAAAUCGAAUGAUUAGAGUUCUUAAUCCACAAUAAUCUGAACAUUAAAUUUGGUAUUCAAGACUGACCUGUGUCACAAACUUCAGCCAUUUCUUUGAUGCAUCCUUAAAAUGAUGUGGAGAUGUUACGCCGUUAGACUCUUCCCCAUCUAUAGCAACAUUAAGAUUCGUUUUACUCUUUUCAUCUUCUGAUAAACGCACAGCUUCAAUGAUUGCUCUUCUCUGUUGCCCAUGUCCAUAUAUCAAAAAUUCUGGUCUGCGCUCGAGUCUAAAACACAAGGCAACAUAACAGACUCAGCUAUACCACCAUAUGUAUGGUGUUCAAAAUCAAGGGAGGUGAAUCAAUAGCUUACUUCUCAGCAUGUGAUCGGCAAAGUUGCAAUGAAAAUGAAUGAAAUGUACUGAUUGUUAGUAGUUUGCCGUUGCUUUCCCAGUCACAGAUCCAAUUCGAUCUCUCAUCUCGGAAGCUGCUGCUGUAGUGAAAGUCAUUGCUAGAACGUUCGACGUGCUAAUGCCCUAAGAACACCCAAAAAAAAAAAACGAAUAAGAUUUCGAUCAUAAACAAGAAAUGUAGAGAAACAGACAAUUAUGAAAGAAAAAGUUAAGAGGGAAAGUAGCAACACCUCAUUGAGCAGCAUUAGAACGCGCCCAACUAUCGUUGAAGUCUUUCCACUUCCAGGGCCGGCAACAAUCAUCAAAGGUACUGAACUAUCGCUGCAAGCUGCCUCGAGCUGCCUUUCGUUGAGAGAAAGCAAAUACUUCAAAUACUCAUCCGGCAUGUUAGGCAAUCCAUGGUUAACAGAAUCUGUUUGGUUUUCACUACUCAAAGGCGGCGCUGAUGCGGCACUAACGACACUACCACAACUCCCAAUAUCAUCACGCUGAAUGUCCACACUCGUUUUCUGCUCGAUUAAAGCGUCAAUUUCCUGCAAAAUACUCUCAUCGAAAUCAUCAUCGUUAAGAAUUCCAGAUGCAGAGAAAGAAUCAAAUGAAGUCAGAAACUGCGGUUGUCUGAUUGGAGUUGUGAAAGAAUCCGAUUUUGACACGCUUGAUUCGGUCCGGCUAACGCUUAAGCUCCCGGAACACGAAGCACUGCCAUAUUCACCACGCGCUGAAUUGUACCGGCUUGCGGAAAUCGGAGGCGGUGUUCUUUGAACUCUAUUGAGCUGAGUUGGCGUUUGGAUUCCAUUUCCGCCACAGAUUCUGGAAUUUGAAAAACACAAUUGAAUUGAUUUAAAUUGAAGCAAGAAAACGGCCGAGUAGCAAAAAAAUAGUAAGAAGAUGAAACCUUUGAUUCCUGAACGACUUACUUGGUAUGAGGGAGGUGAUGAUCAGGUGAAACGGCGUCGUUGCGGGGGCGUUUGCGAUCAAUGAGGGCCUUGGCGGCUCUGCAAUUCCGAGAGAUGCGGUUUCUUUGUUCCGCCGUGAGCCCUCCGCCGUACGCCUGAACGUUUUCCUUGGACAUUGCUUCGAAGAUUCCAACGGAGGAUUUGGCCUGACGGCCUGACCAGGCUGAUAACAGUGUAAAACCUUAGGAGCUAAGGAAAAACUAAGAGAGAGAUCGUAGAGAGGGGAAAGUUUUUUGUUUUUUGGAAACUUAGAGAGGGAAAGUUUGUUAAACCUGCAUAAUAUUCUUUUCGUUCAACUUGUCUACAAUAAUUACCACUCUUGGUAUUUAUACAUUUGUAACACACCUCACUAACUAACUAAGACCACUACCAAUCAUACAUAAACACUUGUCAUAAUCCUAUGCACUCAUAGUAUCAUCACUCUAACAUCCCCCUCAAGCUCGUGUGGCAGAUUGCCAAGUAUGAAAUUGGAACAAUUACGAGUGAACUGGGGUGAACACAAGCCUUUGGUGAACAUGUCGGCAUAUUGAUCUGCAGAGGUAACAAACUGCAAAAUAAUUGUCCUUCGAUGAACUCUUUCACGAACAAAGUGGCAAUCAAUCUCUAUAUGUUUGGCUUUAGAGUGCAAUACAGGAUUAGUCGCAAGAGCCAUUGCUGAAAUGUUAUCACAAUUCAAAACUGGAACAGAAGGAUAACCAACAUGCAAAUCUCGAAUAAGUUGUUGUAUCCAGAUAACCUUAGCAGUGGUUGUAGCCAUUGCUCUAUAUUCAGCUUCAGUGGAAGACCUACUCACUGUAUGCUGCUUUUUAGAACUCCAAGAGAUAGGAGUAUCUCCCAAAAAAAUGACAAAACCCGUGGUUGAACGACGAUCAUUGGGAUCCCCUGCCCAAUCAGCAUCUGUAUAAGCUUUCAACUAAGAUGAACCUAAUUUAAAACACAAUCCCAAAGACAUAGUGCCUCUGAGAUAUCGCAGAAUACGUUUCACAGCAGCAAAUAAGUGGCUAAGGGUGAAUGCAUAAACUGACAUACUUGAUUGACAUAAAAAGAAAUAUCUAGUCUUGUAAAUGUUACGUAUUGCAGUGCCCCAACAAUACUUUUAUAAGUGGUAGGAUCAGAAACAGGUUCACUACCAUGAUUCAGAAGCUUCUAAUUAGGAUGACAAGGUGUGGGAAAAGGUUUAUAGUCCAGCAUAUGCAUAUUUUGAAGGAGUUCUUUGACAUACUUGGUCUGAUGAACAAAGAGUCCCUGAUCCUGAUACUCAAUCUGUAAACCAAGAAAAUAAUGCAACACACCUAGAUCUUUCAUGUCAAACUCACUAGUUAACUGACUAAUAACAUUAUGAACCUUCACAUCAUCAUUACUAGUGAGAAUGAUAUCAUCAACAUAUAAUAAGAGAACAAUAAUUGAUGAACAAUCACACUUGACAAAUAAUGAAGGAUCUGCAUAUGAGAUUGAGAGUUACAAGGAAAAGAUAUACAAGACUUAUUAAGUGUUGCAAUGACAAUGGAAUGUGCAGGAUCGCCUAAUCAACAAUGCCACAAUGUAGAAGAAAUCUUUUGACCCACAAAUGCAACUGGAUUAAAAACAGGAGAAAUAGACCUCUGUGGUUUGAUAUGGGAAGUGGAUAGACAACAUUAUUACUCAGCCCUUGGAAUAGCACUCUCCCGAUGACCUUGUCCUAUAGACAGAGAGAAACAUCAUCAAUGAUACAACGACACUAAUUAUCUUUGCACAACUAAUUCAUAGAUAAUAAGUGUUGUGAUAGUUUUGGAACAUGUAACAAAGAGUUUAACUUGAAAUUAUGUGACUUAGUGAGAAGAGAAGAGGAACCAAUAUGUUUGAUAGCUAAACCUUCACCACUAGCAGUGGUCACAGUAUCAUUUGAUGGAUAAAUUUGUUGCCAUGUGCAAGUUUGACAAAUCUGAGGUCAUAUGGUUAGUUGCUCCCAAGUCAAGAAACCAGAAAUCUUGUUGAAGAGUUGAGGAUGAUGCACCAGCUCGUGCUUGCACAGCAAGAGGAGGAUUUUGUGAGGAUAUAAUUGAGAGAUACAUAUGUGGUAUGACAGGAUACUGAAACUCGAAGCUAUUAGACUGUGGAAUCAUGCCUUGUGAAAGACCACAUGGAUUCUAGCUAGGUGCUUCACCAUAUGACCCAGUAGGCAUUGGAGUUGGCAUAGACGAGGAUAAACCCUGAGAGAAAUGCUAUGAUGUGUCUGUGAAAUUCUUAUUCCGAUCAAAGCAAGUAGCAGCAACACGGCAGCCUCUGUGACAAAUUUGACAUCCAUGUUGAAAACAAUUCAAUGCAGAAUGACCUUUGCGAUCACAUAUUUGCAUAAUGGCCUCUGUGAUCACAUAUUUGCAGAAUGGCCUUUGCAACCCUAGAAAGAACAAGGCGCGAAGAAGACCAAAUGUGUACGUUUCUCUUUGUUUUUUUUUCCCUCCUAAUCGUGCUGUUCGAAAUCACGGACCUCGGGCUUGGGCCUAAUGGGCCCAAUUAUGAGGCCUAUUAUCUCCGGUCUUCUCGUUCUACUUCUAGUUACCCAAAUUAAGAACGUGCUGGUUCGCUUUUAGCGCGAGAGAGAAAUGGAGGCCCUGAUUGCCUCGUACGGAAACUCGUCGUCGGGCUCAGACUCCGAGACGCCGGCUCCACCUCCACCACCACCUCCGGAGCUCAACAACCCUCAAGAACCGACCCCUGCGCUGCCUCCACCUCCUCUGUCACUUCUCGACAGCCCCAAUUCCUUCGGUAACCUCUGAUUCCCAUCAAUUUUCAUCUUUUAGCUUUCUGUUGUGAUGGCUUUUUCCGAGUUGCCCACCAAGUGUUUGAUAUUUUGCCUCUGAAGGAUUUCUGGACUUCUCGGCAAGCGUCCAGCCGAGCAGAGUUCGGAACUUUCCUCACGUCGAAGGGAACUACGCAGUACAUGUAUACAUCCCAGGUUAUCAAAAUUCUCGAAAUUUUCAGCUCCAUUAGCAAAUGCGAUCGCUUUGCACUUAGUUUUUGCUUGUUUAAUUGUGUGGUUCCAGUUUAUAUACCACCAGCACCAAGGAAAGAGAUGGCCUUGUUUUUGAACAAGCUAGCUUCUCUGGUGCCUUGUCUCCAUGCGGUUGACGUUGACUUCCCGCUUGACAUUCUGCGUAAGGACGAGCACAAGCUUGAACAAGUUGCUUUAGGCAGAGAGUUCCAUAUAAGUCUCGGAAGAACUGUUCCGAUUCGGGUGCACCAGAUUGAUUCCUUGGUGACAAUGCUGCGGCAGAAGCUUCAGAUUCAGAGGCGGUAUGGUUACAUUUACAUUCUCUUGUCUGCAUUGCGUGAAUUUAGUUCUGUUAUUUAACAUAAUUCUGUAAGCCUGCAAUUUUUUCGUCCAUUUUCGGUUUAACACAUUUUGUUAUUGUGCAACAGGUAUUGGAUUGAUUUUAGCAAGUGGGAGGUUUUUGUUAAUGAUGAUCAGACCCGGACCUUUGUGUCUAUCGAAAUCAUUGCUGCUGGGUUAGCUGAGGUAUGAUUGCUAGCUUUCUCUCUUGGUGCAAUUCUAAAUGUUUUCAGUUGUUAUAUGGGCUUAAGAUUUAGUAAGGACUUGCCGAAAGUCAUGGGAUUUUGAAAUAUCGAUAUCUUGCUUGCUUAUUAGCUUAGAUUUGGUCUUCGAUGCACUUGUAACAUGAAAAACACAAACGAAAACUAAUGCAUGAUAUGCUCAUGGUUUUAACAUGUGUUGUCCUGGCGUAAAUCAUGUUCCUAAUCCUGUCAUGUGAGUAUAAGCCUAUGAAACUCAGGGCAUGUUUGGCGGGCCGGACAAGAUUGGAAUUGGUAUUUCAGACUAGUUAGGUUAGGAUUGAACUGGAUAGGAUAGGUUUUUUUGUCUAAAGAUUGGUGUAGACUGUCUUAACCAGACUAGGAACGAUGGGAUUUAAAACGUGAAACAGAUCCGCGACAUCCCAACGAUGACCCGCCCACCCAACAACUCUGCUCGUGACUUGCAACACCUCUCGUACCCUCCACGCCCCUUGAGGCCCGUCAGACCACUCUGAUAUCCUGGAGGGGUGAAACGUGGUUACUAGAAGCAUACCUGUUUUCGUAUUAAUGCACAGUUGAAGCAGCUUUCAUUGUCUACAAGUCUGAAAUAUUUCAACUUCCAUUGAUUUCAGAUAACAAAGCAGAUUCAAGCUGUGAAUGAGGUGUAUAAGCUUCACAAUCUUCCUGAAUUUUACAAGGUUAGCUUUUUCGUGCUUUUCAAACUCGAAAUUACUUACUGAAUAUAUGACAAUAUAUUGGAGCAAAUGAUUGUGCCUGAAUGCUACUCAUUGCUCAAAAAACUAAAUCACUUCAUGGGGUGUUGGUGAUCACAGGAUCCGCGCCCUCACAUCUCGGUAGCUUGGGCAUUGGGUGACAUCGGCAAUUCCCUGAAGAAAGUGGUUGAAGAAGAAAGACGAAGAUCUACCAUCGGAGGAUCGUUACAGAAAUGUAUUUUUACCAGUAAAUUCAAUGGUAUUGAAUGUAGGAUUGGUAAUAAAACACACAAAAUAUGUAAAUUUUCUGAACAAUAAUGUAGCCAUUUAACUAUAUUGUGAAAUUCCGAGAAUAUAUCGCUGAGCAUUGGAUGAGAAGACAUUUCUUCGUUGGUGUCGAACUUCAUGCCGAAGGUAUAGACACCGUGUAAACGCCAUCAUCCAUGCAGUCUCCUGUGCAUUAUUUAGUAUUGUCUCAGUUUCUCCAAACUUGAAUGCUCCUAUAAACCCACUCUUGACCUUUCCGUCAUCUGCGAUUACCGGAAAGCUGGCAAGGAUGUUGCCGUUAACCUACCUAACCGGCUAGGAUGUUGCCGUCAUCUCCAAACUUUAAAUACCGGAAAGCCGGCUCCAAACUUCAAUGUGCUACUAGUUUUUGUAUGCGAGAGCUCCACCUCCAUUGUUGUAACAGCAUCUGAUGCGGACUAGUCCUUCAUUCCCGUUACUCUUUGCUAUCUCCACUUCGAACUUGGCGUAAUGGCUCCCGGCCUCCUCUCCGGUGAAAUUGAGAAACCCCGGAGCUGGCGUUUUCAUUCUGUUGUCCGUAUAUCUUGUAUUACAAGUAUUUGUUGUGCAAAAUGCAAGCUAAGUUCAAUUUAUGUUUAUGUGUGUGUGUGUGUUGCCACUUUGUCACUUUUCCAACGUUUUCUCCAAAAUUGUGAUUUUGGUGAAUCCUAAUAACAAUUCCCUCGUUAAUCAUUGGGACGAGCACCAAGGCAGUUUUGAUUCCGUGCACAACGGCGAUACCUCGAAAGAAAUUGAUUCUAACCCAGAAAGAUGUUUUAAAUCAAAGUUGAACAAGGGAAGAAAACUUUUGAAUCGCAAUCACAUGUCUGGUCAAAUUCUUGAACAGUUGAUGUAUACAGACGUUCCUUGCUUAUGACACGACUUAUGAGAGGAUGUAUGUAUUGCAUUUGCAUCAAAAAAGAGAGAGAAGGUUGUAAGUGGUAAGGGAACGACUACCGAUGCCGCUCCACUUCUAAUCAAAGGGAUCGAUCCGAGGGUCGUGUUCACUUGCCAUCGCCAUUCCAGUGCAAAGGCAUGUCGGGCACAUUACCUGCCACAUUUACAGACGCAAUGUUAGAUAUAGCUGCCAUUUGGAAGUCACUUCUCAAAAUUUUGCUACUAAAUUAAUCUUAGACUUCAUUUCCAGUGCAAUUUUUUGCUACUAAAUUAAGCUUGUGAAUAUAGUACAUCUAAGCGGCAGGCACUAAAAGGAAUUUAGUAUGCAAUAAACAUUCAACGGACUAACCUUUCCCGCUCCUGAGCAAUUUGAACAUCGUUCAGUUUUUGGCAGAGAUAGGGGUUGGUUUCCGCCAUCAGCUGUCGAUACUGGUUCAGUAAGAACAAGGGUUCCAGUGCUGGAGCAACGAGCACAAGCAAGAUAUCCUGCGUAAGUAUCAAAUACACAGGUAAGUUGACAUAUGAAACCAAUCUGUGUAAACUACACUGUAAUAGCAGAAGAAUAUGCAGUACGAGAGAAAGAGAGAGAGAGAGAUUUAGAGAGAGAAGUUAAUACUUCAUAUGUAAUAUUUUCUAUAUCAUCAAUCUUACAAUAUUAAGACUAUAUACUAUAUGAAACUGCUAACUAACUCUAACAACCUCUCUAACAACCUUUCUAAUCUUUUGACAAGUGUCUUCAUAUUCUACCAUUGGAUUACUAUCCUUAACAUCCCCCCUCAAGCUCAGGAGAGGUAGAAUCCAAACUGAGAUUGCGACAAUGAAUCUGAAAGAGAGGAGCAGAUAAUCCCUUGGUCAGUAUGUCUGCAUAUUGCUCACUGGAAGACACAAACUGAACAAGCAACUGCUUCUUUGCAACUCGUUCGCGAACAAAAUGAAUAUCAACCUCAAUGUGCUUUGUGCGUUGAUGUAGAACUGGAUUGGAUUAAGCAAUUACUGACCUUUGUGCAUCUUACUAUUCCUACUUCACCAGUUUUGUAUUGUGAUAAUAUGUCAGCAAUCGCAUUAACAACCUCUCUAACAACCUUUCUAAUCUUUUGACAAGUGUCUUCAUAUUCUACCAUUGGAUUACUAUCCUUAACAAUCUGAACAUCUCCAUCGUAUAUAUUUAAAGCUACAGUACAUAAAACGAAAAGUCAGAAAUAGAGGACAUUAUCACACCAGUUCCAAGACAAUAUUUGCAUCGUUUAUGCUCCUGCUGUUUCACAUUGUUUAUUUCAACUACCAUCAAUGCUGAGAUCACUCCGACUGCUCCUCCAGAGAAUGACGCCACUAUGGGAUCAACUUGACUGCAGUUUGAAAGUAAAGGAGAUCAAUAAACAAAACUGUUAACAACAUAGUAUCAACAUUAUUUAGCUUCGUUUCAAGAAAUAUGACAUCCUAGGUUUUUCUAAUGUGUAAAAAUUGAGGAUCCUUGACUAUAUCGGUUCCCAAAGCAUUUGAUUCCUACGUUACAGACGGAAAACAGUAACAAUCGAAUUUAAAGAUUCAUAACACGAUAGAUGGUAGGUCUCGGGUUCGAGACUUGGGAGCAGCCUCUCCAUAAAUGGGGGUAAGGCUAGCCGACAUUCACCUCUCCCAGACCCUGCGUAAAGCGGGAGCCUUGUGCACUGGGUACGACCUUUUAUAACACGAUAGAUGGUACAAAUUUUCAAAACGAUAAUUACUAGAGAACAGGAGGGUUAAUAGCCUGAGAUAUGAGCAAUACCUCAACUGCAACGGCAGAUGCAUAUUUACUAUAAAGUCUUUAUAUGAUGUGCCUCCUAUUCCCAGCUUCAACUCCAACUGAAAGAUGUAAAGGUAAUUGUAGGCAAAGAGUUACAAACAUAACCGAAUCCAUGUUUUAUAAGCAACAACUACACUUAUUUUGUUAUGUUUCCUCAUUUUUUACUUGCAAAUUCCGAACCAUAUUGUCGGACCAGUAAAAAGAAAAUAAUGUUUAUGAUAACUGUUAAAACUAAUCACAACAAGUUAAUGCAUAAAGAACUUACGGAGGGUGCUAUGAGGCCACCGAAAAGGAUAAACCCCGCAAUAAUUGAAUAACAAACAGCAUAAUAUUGCUUAAGGUUGUCUGAACUCUGCAAGCAAUGAAUUCACCUUGUGAUUAAUACUUUGCACAAACACUAGUUUUCGCAAUUUUUUAUGAAUCGACAAAAGGCUACAACAAAAUAUGGCUAAAACAUGUGAAAAUACAUGUCUUCACAGGGGCACCAGCUUACCAGGGGAGGCAAAAAUGGAAUGAACGAUGGAAAACUAGGAAGUUCGUUUUCUUGAUCUUCAUUUACCGCUCCAAGCUCUGCACGUUUAAUCCGCUGUUGUAUCCUCAGCCCGCGAACCUACGCAUAUCGAAGCUCAUUCUUAAAGAACACAUUUCUAAUGGCAAUUGGAGAGUAAUUUAAAACAUGCUAAACUGAGAAAGUGGUAGCAACAAGCAAUUGCUCUCACUUCCUCCAUAUGCAAGAAAAUUUUGUUGCGACGACUCCGAAUAUUAUCUUGAAUUUCCUGCAGCUCCAUUGUCGCAAAGUCCUGCACUGUUUCAGGCCCCUCUAUGAUACAAAAUCUGCACAAUUAAGCAUGUAAAAACUAAAAAUUACAGGCUAUAAAACAAUUUCCGUAUCAUUUUUGGGAGCUCUCUCUCUCUCUCAAACCAGAAGGCAGAGCUUUCUGUUUCUCUUGAGGUUUCUUUCACUGGUAAAUUCCAGAGAAGCAGAGAAGAAGGCUCUCUGAGAAAUGGCGAUGGUGCAAGUGGAGACAAAACAAAUGUAUAUCUUGAAGCACCGAAAUUGUGCAGAACACUUGUCAACUACCGAACUCUAGGAUUAGGAGAGAGAGAGAGAGAGAGAGUGAGUGACCGGCAAAAAAAAAAAUGAGGGAAGAAUCACCCACAUUUAAAAAUGAUUUUUAGGGGACCUGGUGUCGUUGGAUUCGAGUAGUUGUUCGGUAUGUCACAUUUAAAAUUUUAUUAUCUGAUGAUAAACGUCGAAACAUAAAGAUAGGUCAUCUCUAACCGAAUGAGGACUAAAAAGUCAUGUUUAGUACUAUAAUCCUGCAAUGAAUUAUAUUUUAAUAAAUAAUAUCAGGUUAUAUUUUAUACCAUAUCUAACCGAGUGGGUCAAAUGAUCAUAUGCCAAACAUAGCCUUUUGACAAAAAACUCAUCUCCAACCGAGGGGGCUAAAUGGUCAUAGACCAAACAUAAUUGCUCAAUAAUUUAUUAUUCUAAUUGAAUUAAUAUGAUUAAUUAAAUUAAAUUACCAUAUUAAAAUAAGAUUUCAUGAUAUAUUUUGAGUGCCACUUGCCACAAUACCGAAGAAAGCAUGGUAUUAUUGCACCUGCCACAAAGUCAAGCUUGACAUUCUGCUGCUGGAGGGCUGGCUGGCUAGCUGAAAAUGGCCAGCCUGCUGGCCUGAUUUGGGAGGUUUUGGCCCAAUGGGGCCCCAAGCCCUUUGGCCUAGCCUUCGGUUGGAAACGGUUUUCGUGUUAUUCUGAGUUAUUUUUAACCCUAUGAUCCUUUGGCCGGAUCGAUUGGAGAUGACCUUAGGUGUGUUGAUUGUCUUUGAGACAUCGGAGGUUCUGUGUGAUUGAAUACUUCACCCUCCUCCAAAGGCGCCACUCUUGAGAAGGUUACUUGCCUCAUGCAAACAUUGUGAAUUGCAAGUGAUGAAUUGUUCUGAUGAUGAGGUUUAUUUUUUAACUCAUUAUGUUUCAAGUUUAAACAUUUUUCCCUCUCUUAGUGUAAAAUAUUGUUUGUGAUAAAAAAACUUAAAAUGAGACACUCUCCUUCAUAUAUAAGAUGAUCAAGUGUGAGAUUAAUACUUUUAAUGAGUGACUCAAUUAACCAUUUUCAUUUCUUACGCGUUCAAAAUUAGACAAAUUCUUUGCAUACAUUUAAAAAAAAAAGAUAUUAAGGAGAGUAUAAAAUUAUUACAUUACGAAGAGAGAGUUUCGAACUCGGGACGUAUGAGUAGAACCCUAACGCCUCUCCACUAGGAUAUUAGACCAAUACUGGUCUUGAAUUUUUUUGGUGCCCGGAGCGAAUGCUCAAAACGUGUCUUUUUCCAGUACAACAUAAAUUAAAAAGAAAUAUUUAUAGAGGGCUAGAACCCAAUCGAAGCUGGGGGACUAGGCCCUUACGCCUAUAUUAUAUUACUUACCUAAUACAAACAUUUCUGAUAGAUUUCAGAGGCUCUAAAUGGUCAAACACUUCGUCCUUCCCAAAACCGUUACUGUUGAGAGGGUUCCUUACCUAAUACAAACAUUUUACGUUUACUUAGAACUAGAAAAAUAAGAAUUGCAGGUGAUGAAUUGCUCUAAUGAUGAUGUUUAUUUUUUAACUUAUUGUGUUUUAAGUUUAAAUAAUUCUGUUUCUUUGAUAUAUAUAUUAGUGUAAAAUCAUUCGUAAUAAUAAAAAAAAAGAAUAAAAAUGAUACUCUCAUUUAUAUACAAGUUGAUCAAGUGUGAGAUUAAUAAUUUUAAUGAGUGAAUUAACUAUUUUCAUUUCUUACGAGUUCAAAAUUACACAAAUUCUUUGCAUACAUUUUUUUUUUAAAUAGAAAAUUUCUAUUAUUAAGGAGAGAGUCCUAAACUAUUAGGUUAUGGAAUGUGAGUAGAAACCUAACGCCUAUCCACUAGGAUAUUAGACCACCAGAGCUGAUCCUGAGAUUUUUGGUGCCUGCGUCAAAAUAUGUCCUUUUCCAGUACAACAAUAUAAAUUAAAAAGAAAUAUUUAAAGAGGGCUGGAACCCAGUCGAAGCUGGGAGGCUAGGCCCUCACGCCCAUAUUCUAUUACUUGAAGAAACAAUAUACAACGGGGGGAAUCAUAGUACCGAAACCCCAACAAUAAAAAACAAAGUCACAUGCAACCACUCCAAGCAGUCAACUUGGCCAUUACAUAUUGAAUCCAAAAGGUUGACGGCCUAUUCUCUGCAUACAAUGCACAGAAGAUAACAAGAUUACUAAUAUAAAAAGAACAUCUGAAAAGAUGAACAUAUGCAUCAACAAAUAAGCAGGGGCGGAUCCACAGUGGGGUCGUCGGGGUCAAACGACCCCUUGGAAACCAUGGAAACAACCUUGAAGCUCCCAUAUGCGACCUCUUGGAGCUGGGGUUGUCGGGGUUGUCAGGAAGAGGAAGAAGAAGACUCGGCAGGAAGAGGAAGAAGAAGCAGCUCGCGCGACGUGUAGGUUCUGUGUAGAGUUUCUGACCUUUAAUUCCCACUUCACAAAGACGAGAGAAAGAGAGAGAGGGAAGGAAAGUCCUCGGGGUGGUGGUGAUGUAGACCUUCGUCGGGGUAGUGGUGUGGGUGUGCGUGGGUGUGGAUUCGAUCGGAGAGAGUGAGAGGGUUAAAGAGUGAAAAAGAGAGAGAGAGAGAGAGAGAGAGAGAGAGAGAGAGAGAGAGAGAGAGAGAGAGAGAGAGAGAGAGAGAGAGAGAGAGGAGAGUUCGGGGAGAUGAGAAGGAGGACAAUGGGGACUUGCCCCGUGGCAAGUUGUGAUAGGUAGGAAAUCCCAAAAAGGGAUCCGGAUAGGGUAAGUAAGUGGGGACCAAAUUGUAAACUUCAUUUAACUGUAGGGAAAUUGUGAAAUUACAAGGAAAUCUUUGGGGAGGGGUUUUACAGAAACCCUUCUCAACACUUAAAAGCAAACUGCGUGCUUUUAAUCAGGUUUGGCUCUAUAAUUGAACUUGUAACCAUGCCUUUCCCUAUGACGGAAUUGUGAUAUGCUUUGCCAGAUAUUCACAAGGAAUUCAUUUUUCUUUUUCCAAUUGCAAAAUAUUAGUGAACAAGUUGUUUCUUCUAUGAGAGAUCCAAGCAUAAUGGUUGGGUAGAUGCAGAUGAGAAAAUCAGCAGUUGCUGUAUUUGGCACAGUAAGAUAUUAACUCUUACAUCUAAAUUGAAAAACAUGAAAAUUUCCUAGUUCUCAAGGUCUCACGUGCAUGCUCAGAUACAUUUGUGCUUCAUAUUUGUGUGUUUGAUUCCGAGAAGGCUGACAAGUUGAAGCAAUCUCUUCCUCCAUGUUUGAACAUUCAGGACCUUUGAACAAGGAUUUUGGAGUAGCUGGUUGCGCUAUCCUACCAAGACCCGAUGAAAUGACGAUAUGCAUGCCGUUUCUGUUAAAAAAAAAUAUCCUUAUUGACCCCCCAAACAUUAUUUCCUGGAUCCGCCACUGCAAAUAAGUAAACCAUUCUAAGUGCAAUUUUAGAAGUGAUACGCUCCAAGUGUGAUAUUGGACAGAAGAGCGGCAGCUUCAACCAGUUCUGCUAUAUCCGGCUGGAUGAGAGCUGCUAAAGACAUGAUUGUUCCCUAAUAACAUGAAUAAAUUGAGUAAACACCAAAAGUAGCGCAGCAAGGGAAGGAGAUUUGAAGUAGAUGAAGAGGUGUAAUACCCGUAUAUGCAGCGCAUCAUUUCUGAUAGAUCAAAUCGAGCCAAUUCCUGCCAACUCCAAUGCCGAUAAUCCUACAGUAAAGCAUAAAUCUUAUUCUCUUCUGAUAAAGAUGUGUGUCCCUGACUCCAACGUGUUUGACGCACAUUCCCUACCCAUACAUUGAAACCUUCAUCUGCAAGGACGAAUCCCAGUUAUUCUUCUGGAGAAUUUAAGAACCAUGAAUCACCUGGUCAAGAAAAGCCAGUAACCAAUUACAAUUGAGUUUGAAGCACAUAAGAGCCUAAUUUAAAAUGUAUCCCAUGGAUGUUCAUCAAUUUACACAAUAGUUAGUUUCAAGAAAGGAAAUUUCAACAGAACCUGAAAACUUCAGAUCAGGGGGCACCAAAUAGUGAGCUAUACAUUCAAAAUUUGAAAUAAUCAACUUAGUGGGACCAAUAUGUUGAAAAAAUUGGAAGGAGCUAUGAAAGUAAGGCUUUUCACUAAUCAGACGUCCAGAGAAUCAAUAUUUUACUCACGGAUCAGUUACGGGGAACACUCCCCACCAAAGCAAACUCUUUCGUCUGAAUCUGGAAAACAAGCAGCAGUGGAUUUUAACAGUCUGGGUAUCUCAAAGUUACUUUAAUCACAAAUUUAACAAUUAAACAUAUAAAUGGGCAUUAUUUAGUGAAAUAUUAGUAUAGUACUCACUGUGUGCUCGGAACAAGAGUACCCAGAAAGCUCAAUGAGCUGCGCACAGAGGACUACAGCGGUGAACGACAGCGACCGAUUCUGUAAAAUUCAGUCGAGUUUUGGGUGAUUUCGGAGGUCAAGAGGCUGAUAAGGAAAGCUGCGACCGAAGGGCACUGGUCUGGAAGAAAAGGCUCAGGUCACUGCUGUCCCAAUUCGCGAAGGAAGUGCCCCCAAAACAAUUUCGGCCCUGGACAGGUGCACUGUUUGCACUGGACCAGGGCCGGCCGGCCCAGGCGAUAACGUCCCCCAAACAGUACAUAUACAGAUGCUAGAAAUAUAUUAAUGUAACCUGAAACUACUAGAACCAUUCAAUUCUAGCGUCUACAGCUUUAGCAUUAGUUGGUACAUGGGACAUUCUUCCAAAGAGGGAGAUGAGCUCGUUGAGGCUCUUAUUUAUUCCCCCUCUUGAUGUGCCCUUCUAGGCUGCUAAUUCCAGACGAUCCAAUCUCAUACAUCUUCCCUGCAAAAGCAUGUGUGCCAGACUUCAAGAUCAAAUUUUUCCAACAAAAGAAACUUAAAGAUCAAACUCGCCAGCGGAAUAAAUGAUGCACAAGGGUGUUAAAAUCUUGACAUAUGUAUAUUUUUGGCAGAUUUUAUGUGAGCAUGCUACUAAAACUGGCAUCACUAAAGAUUGGUGGAAAACUUUAACAGUUUGAGUUGUAACUUCUCCAUUGUAUUUGUUAAGGCAAGAUGGAUGACAUCUAUGCAAUUUUCAGUAGAACUUAAAAGGCUGCAUAGCAGCUCUUGUUCGUUGUAUUGAAUACCGUGGUUUUACUGAUGAAUGCAGAGUUUGUUGAUGAUUCAUACGACAAGCAAUUGAAAAUCCCAUCAUUAUGCCCCACAUAUACCAAAAAAAAAAAGUCAUUUACACAAAUUCAGAGCGUUCAUCCACUGUAAUUUGCAGAUAUAGAAACGUUAAGAUAAAAGGAAAUGCAAAGUACCUUUCACCCAAAUUGGAGGAGCACCGGUGGCAUUAGCAAGUUAGCAACGGGAAUUGACAUACCAAUAUCUUCACAGUUUCUGCACAAGCACAAAUCAAAAGAACCCGGCGGUGGAGUUAUGUACCUCUCCUUGGAAAAUGCCACCUCUUGGGAUUUCAAAAUAUGCAGCCAUGGCUAGCCGUCUGACCACGCCAAUUCCACCAAAGCCACCGCAACGCGGCGUAGUGUCCGAUUGAUUGCUUCAAAACAGAGCUUCGUAUCCAUGUGUUUAUCAGCAGAGAGUACCCAAAACCACUGAAAAUUAUUUCUUUAUUCAGAUAAUAAAAUUUCCCAAAUUUGGAAAUUUAAUUCCGAAUCAAAAGUAGGGUUUGAAUUUUGAUUACCUAGAAAUUGGGGGGUUGGGGUGGAGAGGGACCCGUGCCACGACGGAUCUCUGUGUCUGUUUUAACUCAUGCCAAAUUAUAGAGAGUGUCAGGAAGACUUAAAUACUGAAGCCCCGUAAGCCGUUCAAUCCAGGGGGGAAGCUCUUUGAUAGAUGUUUUAUCCAAGAUAAGAUAUCUUAAUCCUUCCAUAUUUUCUUCAAUGCUUGGAAACACCUCAAAUUUUGUACAACCGGAAACAGAGAGACGGACAAGGGACUUGAGCUGACAAAUGCUGCUUGGAAGGCUCUUUAGUUCCUCGCAGUCGUUUAGCUUCAAAUAAGUCAAUCCCGUGAGAUUAUUAAUCGACCAUGGUAGUUCUUUAAUUUUUGAUCCGGAUAAAUUAAGAAAUUCUAACCCUUCAAUCACUUCUGUAAUCUCUGGAAACAUCUCAAGGCUCGAGCAACCAUAAAGAUCAAAGCUUUUGAGUGAUUUCAUACGAAUGCUGCUGGGAAGACUCUUAAGUUUCUUGCAGUAUAGUAGAUUCAAAUGACUCAACCCCGUAAGAUUAUUAAUUGAUGGGGGCAGUUCUUUAAUUUUUGAGCAGCGUAAAUCAAGCUUUUCUAACCCCUCAAUACCUUUUGACAUCGAUGGAAACAUCUCAAGACUGGAGCAGCCAUGAAGGUUCAAGGUUUUGAGACAUUUCAUACGAAUGCAGCCUGGAAGACUCUUAAGUUCCUUGCAAUCUUUUAGGUUGAAAUGACACAACCCCGUGAGAUUAUUAAUUGACAUGGGCAGUUCUUUAAUUUUUGACUCGGAUAAAUUAAGCUCUUCUAACUCCUCCAUACAUUUUGAAAUCUCUGGAAACAUCACAAGAUUGGAGCAGCCAUAAAGAUUAAAGGUUUUGAGAGAUCUCAUACGAAUUUUGCUGGGUAGACUCUCAAGUUCCUUGGAAAAUUCUAAGUUUAAAUGACUCAAUCCCGUGAGAUUAUUAAUUGACUCGGGCAGUACUUUAAUUUUUGACGCGGUUAAAUUAAGCUCUUCUAACUCCUCCAUACCUUCUGAAAUCUCUGGAAACAUCUCAAGAUUGGUGCAACCUCUUAGAUUAAAGGUUUUGAGAGAUUGCAUGCCAAUGUUGUUGGGUAGAAUCUUAAGUUCAUUGCACCAAUUCAGAUCUAAUAAAACAAGCUUUGUAAGAGUCAAAAUCGACCCGUGAACCUCAACUAAGCGUGUACAACUUUGAACAAUUAGCCUCUCAAGAUUUGGCACAUUUGUGAAGUCAGGGGUUAUCUCAAGGUUUUGACAAUGACUUAAAUUGAUGAAUUUCAACUUUUCC